rnacentral:lncRNA from 1 species
AAUGAAGGGUAACUCUUUUAUGGGUCAUCUCAAUCUUCCAUCUCAUCCGAAUCCAAACAUAUCCUUUGUUGAUAUAUCUGACAACAAAAUACAAGGUCCAAUUCCAGCAAACAUUUGUUCAAUCUUUCCACAACUAAAUGGGUUAAACCUAGCAGGCAAUUCCCUUCAAGGUAAUAUUCCUCCUUGUCUGGGUAGUUUGACCACUUCGAAUUUAUUAUUAGAUCUGUCACAUAAUCAGCUAUCUGGAGGAAUACCAGAAAUAUUAGCUCAAAGUGACUCGUUGAGGUUUCUUAGGCUAUCAAAUAAUCAUCUAAGUGGAAAGAUAACCCCAACGAUCUUUUGCUCAACUUCAUUACGAUUGCUAUAUUUAGAUGGCAAUAACUUUGAUGGAAAUAUACCUAGCAUUGAUAUCUCAACUUUCCUUUCAUAUUCCCUUGUUGAUAUGGAUUUAAGUAACAAUAAUUUGUCCGGAGAGCUCCCAAGAUGGAUAUUGAAUGUGUCAAAUUUAAUGGCAUUGGCAGUAUCUAACAAUCAGCUCAAGGGUCUCAUUCCGAUGGAAUUGUGCUAUUUGGAUUCCCUUAGAAUUUUGGACCUUUCAGAAAAUAAAUUUUCUGGCCCAAUACCAUCUUGCUUCGGCACACAAUUUAUCAUACAUCUCCAUUUGAGCAAAAAUAGAUUAAGUGGCACCUUGACAAAUGCAUUCUUUAAUAGCUCUUCCUUGGUGACUUUAGAUCUUAGUGAAAAUCAGUUGAGUGGAGAAAUUCCAUACCAGAUUGGAACUCUUUCUGCUUUGAGUGUUCUCCUUCUAAAAGCCAAUUAUUUUAUUGGAGAAAUUCCCAUUGAGAUAUGCAAAUUAUAUUCUUUAAGUAUCAUUGAUCUUUCUCAAAACAAGCUUUUUGGUCUGAUACCUUCUUGUUUGAGUCGUUUAACUCUUGAUCCAAAUGAUGAAAAAUCUUCAACAAAUAUCUAUGUGGAGGGCUUUGGAGGAAUCUUUGAGCCGGGUAAUUACUUUGGAAUGACUGAAUUUGAAUUUCUCACUUUAAGAGGAUACGAGUCAUUAGAUGUAGAUUUCGAAAUUGAGAAUCAAAUGGAAGAAAAGGUGGAUUAUACAACAAAAAGAGCAUCUUACACAUACAAGGGAAACAUUCUUAAAUACAUGUCGGGAAUUGAUUUAUCAUGCAAUAGAUUAACAGGUGAAAUCCCCAUAGAGAUUGGAAAUUUGAGUGAAAUCCGAUCACUAAACUUGUCGCACAACAAUUUGACUGGACAUAUACCGUCAACGUUCUCAAAGCUCAAGCAAAUUGAGAGUUUGGACCUGUCUCACAACAACUUAAUUGGAAGAAUCCCUGUUCAAUUAACGGAGUUGUACACCUUAGCAGUCUUCAAUGUGUCACACAACAACUUGUCAGGGAGUAUUCCGUCUCCAAAAGCUCAAUUUGGAACCUUUGAUGAAAGCAGUUAUGUGGAGAAUCCUUUUCUCUGCGGGCCUCCCCUGCAUAAAAAUUGCAGCGACCUUGAUUCACCCCCGACAACAGCACCAAAGAGCUCAAACGAGGAAGAAGAAAGUGGUUUGAUGGACAAGUAUGUUUUCUGGGUGACCUUUUUUGUUUCUUACGUGAUUGUGUUACUGGUUAUUGUUCUCAUCCUGUAUAUAAAUCCUUAUUGGCGACAAGCAUGGUUUUCUUUUGUUGAACACUGCAUCAAGACUUGUCAGUACUUUCUUCUGCGAUUUUCCAUCUUCAAAAGGAGUGGGUAGCCUUGUAUUUUGGUGGUUUACAUUUGUAUGUAAUUUUCAUCACUCUUUUUUUAUUUUUCAAAGUUUGAUUGGAUUAUCUGCUUCUAAGUUUUUAGAGCUAGAAUGCAAUAUAUCUGUUAUGGAAAGCAAUAUAUAAAGUUAUGCAUUUUCAAUUAAAACAUUUAAUAUUGCUUUAUAAUUUUUAGUGUUCUGAUAAGAUGAUGUUAAAUUCAACAUAUUGUAGCAUAUAUAUUAAUAAAACCUAUAUUCAUCUAUACAAAUUUUUUAGUCAACCAAACCAUUGAUGUGGUGGCAAAAACUUCACAUUGUUUUCAAGUCUUCAUUGACAUUAGGUUGAGGUUUCAAACCCUAGCGUAAAAGAGGGGGGAGAGGGGUUGUCUGAACCAAAACUUCAUUUCAACAGAUAUCCUUUACCCACUAAAUCAUAUGCUCAACUGAAACUUUUAUAUAUAUAUAUAUCAAACAUGAAUGAUAUAAAUAGUCUUUAAAUUUUUAAAUGAUAUAAAUAUAUAUAUAUUUUUAAAAUGAACAAAAAUUAUAAUAAUUAAUAUGUAGUUUCAUUAUUUUAUUUAAACUCAAAAUAAUAAUAUUUAAAAAUUGAGUUUACGUGAUAUUUAUUUACUUUAAAAUUAAUAAAAUGUAAAUAUAAACUUUAUUUUAUUUUAUUUAUAUUCAAAUUUAAUAAAUGUUUAUCUAAUUUAUUUAAAUUUAAAUAAAUUAAAUAAAUAAGCACACAAUUUUUUUUAGAGAAAGUGAUGACUCUUUUUUAAUGAUGAGAUGUUAGAAGAUUUACCAUAUGUGUAAUGUGGAGACAAUAACCCUAAUAUGUAACUUUUGCACAAUAACCUUAAUUUAUAAUUAGUGAAUCAUCAAUUAAAAAUUAAUUAAUUGAGUAUUUACACUUGUCCAACCAUAUUUUAUUUAAUAAGUGUCAUGGAUCAUAGGUCAAAUAAGUAUCACAAUAAUCACAGUAAUACCUGCAAAAAUUGAAUCCAAAUAAACAUAUCCAUAAAUUGUUAAUGAAAAUUUGUUCGCAGCGAGAACCUUAACUAAGAUUGGAAGAAUUUAUAUGUUUUUGUCUUUUUGCUAAAAUGAGUAUAAAACAUAUAAAAAAUAAAUUAUGAAUGUUCAUUUUUUUAAUAGUUCAAAAAAAUAUAUUAUAUAUAAUAUAUAUUAUUGUUUUGCAUUUGCUCCUCAAAGAAAAUGGAAACAAUCGUAAGCCUAUGGCAUCAUUAGAAACACCAUUAAUCUUGAUGUGUCGCAAAUCUCUAGAAAGUUAGCCAAAUGAGUAUUCAGAUCUUCAUCUUGCAACCUAUCAAACUGAACAUAUUGUUGUACCAUCUGAAUUGUGUUCGACUUUAGCUCAAAAUUAUUUACAGCAAUAGUCAGUCUGACAAUACUCGAUUCAACCCCAAUCAGAAUAGACUUAGCAUAAUCAUACAUAGUCCGAAGAGUAGGAGCUGCAGGAAGCUGUUGAUUAUUUUUAUGAUUAUCCAUCUCCACAUUAAUAUCCUUUUCCUCUUGAUCGUCUACUAAAAUCUAUUUAUCUUGUCUUUUGCUUUUCUAACCUCUCUAAGAUUUCUACGAGCAGUCUUUUCAACUUCACUAUAAAAAAUUAAUGUUUCUGACGAGUUUCCUCUAGUCAUAAACCAAAAGACUCUAUCAUAAUAAAAAAAUGAAAAAUUAGAAUAUUGUAAAAGUUAAAUUAAAAACAAAAAUAUCAAAAUAAAAAUAAAAAUAGCUAAAUUAAUAGAAAUAAAGUUUUCCUAAUAUUUUAGUCCCCUGGCAAUGGCGCCAAAAACAUGAUGCAGUCAUAAACCAACUAAAAAUCUGACUAAGGCAAGUGUACCUAUCAAUUAAUUGUAUAGUUACGAUGAGCAAAUAAAUCGUUCCCACAAAGACUAAAAGUAGUAAUUACUGUCUUUCUAUUAUUUAAUCGAUAAACUCGAGUAAUUGAUUAAAACUAAAAUUAUUUAAAUUAAUUAACAAUGAAUGUGACAAAUAAUAAAUCAGGAAAAUAAUUGAAUAAUAACCAAGAAGCAAAACAAUACCUAGGAAAAAAUUCACCUAGAUUUCAUCUGUCAUUAUCAAUCUAAAUUCCACAAUUUCUUUACUUAGUAUCUUAAUUCAUAGAAAUCCCUAAAUCAUGCUAAUAUCUCUCUUCAAGAAUAAGAGCAAUAACUUUAGGCUGGUUAAUUGAAAUUUCUUUCUAAUUAAAACCCUUAUUAUCGCAUUAAAUCGCUUUAUGGAUUUCCCAAUUACAUUUGACUCUAAUUCGGUGGAUUUAUAUCAUCCUAUUUCUAAGAUUGCAUGCAACUUCACUCAAUUACGCUAGAUCUACUCUUAAACAAGGUCUAUUCCUUCUCUGAUUUAAGCACAACAAACAUGGAUCAACAAUCUAGAAAUAUUAAACCAAGAGUAAAAUACACAUAAUUGAGAGCAAGAUCUAAGUAUUUAUUGUGUAAAAAUAGAAAUCAAAUAAUAUAAUUCAUCCUAAAGCUUAUCUCUCUAGGUAUUUGGAAAAUUAGUUCAUACUUGCAAAUAAAAACAUCCCAAAGACAAUAUAACCAAAAGAAAUAAAGAAGCUCGUGAUAAUCUCCUAAGAAAUCAACUGUGAGUCUUCAAUCUUGACUAAAAUUUGCUUCAGAAUCGGCUUCAAUGGUGUUUUCGAGUUGUUUUAUUGAGCAUUCUAUGACGGCUCUCUCCCCUCUUCUUAUAUUUGUCAUAUAUAGGUCUUAGAAUGCUCGAAAAACCUAAACAAAAGUGUUUUUCCGCAAGUUUGAAGUGUGACUCGUGAUUUCUACGUAGUCUCGCACAUGACCAUGUAGAAGCUCGUGUGGCCACACGGUCGUGUGUCCAGCCCAUGUGGCUCCUGAAACUUGCUCCAAUUUUCACUUAUUUUUCACUCUUUUUGCUCUAAAAUGCUACUAAGUAUAGAAACAUGAAUUUAAAGGAUUAGGAGCAUAAAAUUCACCAUUUUAAUUCGAAUAAUAAUCCAAAAAUGCAUUAAGAAUGAGGCUAAAACAUGUUACUUUUGGCAUUUAUUAAUUUUGCCAACACCCAAAAUAGUUGCUUAAAGGUACAAAUUUAAACAACCCAAAAAAGGGUCAGUAUAAUCCAAAAAGCGUUGUGUUAGGCUUUUCAUAUGAUAACACUUUUAUAUAGUUGGGAAAGGUAUAACAAAAGUCGGCAUAGUGUUGGAUAAAACUGAUUCUUAUUUAAGCGUUGCCUUAGGCAUGCAUAUCCCAACCUUUAUACAAAGAGUUGGCCAAAGCGUAUGUUAACAAGUCUAUCCUAACACUUAGGAAAGUGUCAGCAUAAUGUUGGACAAACUCGAAUCUUAUUUAAGUGUUGCCUUAGGCAUGCAUAUCUCAAACCUUAUACAAAGAGUUGGCCAAAGCAUACGUCGACAAGUCUAGUUAUUAGCUCAAUAGAUCAAACAGGAAUUGCUAAGAGGGGUGAAGUGGCUUUUAAAAAAAUGUGAAAGCUAGAAAGAAAAUUGAAAGAUGAACAUAAUAAUUUAGAAUGGUUUAGCCCCAAUUGCCUACCCCACUACCUUGACUUUCCACAACUAAGGAUUUUCCAAAAUUCACUAAAUUGAUAACCUUUAAGGAUAAGGUUUAACAUUACAACUCUAUUAAGAUUUCUGUAACACCCCAAACCCGGCUAGACGUUAUAACCGAAUCUGGCGAUGUCACAUGGAAUGGGAUUUGAAACCUCGUUGUUACGAUGAAAACAUUCCAUGCUAUUAUCUUUAGUAAACCUUUGUUAGAACUUAGGAAGUCGUCUUUAUUCAUUUAAAACAUUUGUUUUGAAACAUGCCUCGUUGUGGAAGCUUUAAUAAAACAGUCUAUGUGAUCAUGCGUUUAGAAAAUAAUUUAACUUUUUGAAAACGGAAUUUCCUAAGACCCGCAGGUAUAAAUCCAUAAAGUAAAAUAAAUAAAUAAAAACCCAAAUUUAAAACCAAAAUCCUAGAAGGUCCUUAAAUUACAUCCCAAAUAAUCAAUAAUAAUCAAAUCAUAAAUCGUAAAUUGAAAACCAUGAAGUCGAAAAAUUACGGUGGUUACCGCUAAGUCCUCCGUCGCACCGAUCCAUCUAAGUCUAGGGAUUAACUAUGCACAUUAAACAAAAAAUGUGAGUUUACGUAAACUCAGUGUGUAGUCCCGUAGAAACAAACAAACAAUCAGUAUUCACAGUGCACAGUUGAACAGUCUUGGGCCUAAGCCCUUUUCAGUAUCAGUGACAGUUUGGGCCUUAGCCCAUCUCAGUAUAGUGUCAAAAAUGCAGUAGGUCCUUAACCCAUCACAGUAUUAGUAGCAGUAACAAUUAUGCAGUAGCAAAAUCCUACCCAACCAGCCUCUACACACCAUCUUCGUCUAACCCUACAUUCUAUGUGGGGAUAUAAUCAACCUACCCAUCCCUUUUUAAUAAUAACCCAUGCUAGCUAAAUAUUCUAUGUUUUCACUAUUUACUUAUAUGUUCAUUUAAAGCUGUCUACUUGAGUCAUUGUCACUAAAUUAUUUACAUCUUAAGCUACAGAAUUCCAAAUUAAGAUCUGCUUGAUGUUUUCAAAACUGGACUCAGAUAUCUUUCUACCAUAAAUUUUCAAAAUUUAUAGCUUAUCAAAUAAGUACAGUAAAAUCUUCAAAGUUAUCCCUAUUCUGCCAUUUGACAGCUUCAACCUUUUCCUUACUAAAAAUUAUUAAUCUCUUAGUACGAAAUUUGAAUGAUGUUUCCAUUUGUUUCUCUUGAAAGUAGACUUAUUAAAGAUUUAAAUGUAUAAAUUUAAGCCCCUAAUUAUUUGUUUACAAUUUUUGAUAAUUUUCUAAAAUCAGAACAGGGGAACAAGAAAUCAUUCUGACCUUGUCUCAGAAAAUUUAUUAUAUCUCAUAAUUUACAAUUCUAUUGCUUACACUGUUUCUUCGAUGAAAAACUAGUCUCAAUAAAAUUUAAUUUAAUAUUUUAUUCAACCCUUAACUCAAUUUUCACUAUUUUUGAUGAUUUUUCAAAGUUAAACUACUGCUACUGUCUAAAACUAUUUUUGUGCAAAAUGUUGAUUUCCAAGGUUAUAACACCCUUAUUUCCUUUCUCUACAAUUUUUUUCGCAUCAUUUUCUCUUAUGUCUCGACAGCAAGCGAUUUUGACUUUUUGCUGAAUCCCCUUUUCUGCGUUUCGGGUACACACCUGGUUUCGUUAGAUGCUAAAAUAGUCCCCGAGCACUCCAAAGCCUAUAAUUGAACAAAUAACAUCAAUUUAAUCUCACAUAACGUGAUCCCAAAUCAAACUCAUAUCGAGGUUUUAACCCAUAAGCGACUAAACCUUACCUUCAACUGAUAAUAGUAGUUCCCACACAAACUAAGACUCCGAUUGGUGAUUACAAGCCCUUGAAUCAUCCCCUAAUAGGCAGAAACAAAACACUUUAGAAGAAAGUUAACAAAUAGAGACAAAUCACUUAUCUAAAACUUGUCGAACGAUCGCAGACAAACAUGGAGCGACACGAGGCAGAGUGGGAAAAAAAUCAAGAAGAUGAAGGGUGAAAGAGAGCAGAAAUUUGGCAAUAAUGAAGAGAAAAACAGCAAAAGGGUGGAGGGAUUUUGGGGAAAGUAAAAAAAAAGAAAAAAAAAAUUAACAGAAUAUUUGAUAACCACCCCAAUCCCUUAUUUCUCUCCAUCAAACUCCCCACAAAUCCACUACUCAGAUUUUUAGUCCAUCUCAAACUCUCUUGGACACAUGAGCAAAAAUAAUGCCUAUGCUAAGAUUCAAACACAAGACCUCUUUCACACCAACACUCUACUUAUCCACCAAACCAGCAAGCUAAUUUUGUUAAUUAUUUGCCAACUUUUACUUAAAAGUCUACUGACCAAAUAUAGGACUUAUUCAUAAAAAUACCAAAAUUUGCCCAAGUUCUGGCUUGAACUUGGGACCUCCCAAACACACCUAAAAUACUUAACCACUGAAGUAGAUACACAAUUGUGUCACACAUUCACAAUACCCAAAAUUAAAAUUUUUAGGUGUUACAGUGCUUCUUUUACUGAAUUAAACUAUAACCUUACUAACCUUAUAAAAUGCAUAAAAAACUAAUAAAUCACUUGAUUACAAACUCAUUAAGUAUAGAAUCAAGCUUAAUUUGCCACAACGAAUUGUGGUUAAUCAAUUGUUAAUAUGAAAUUUAUUUUUUUAGAACACCAAAUUCUUUCAACCGCAUUUUGAAGCAGUGGUGGAUCCUAGGACAAAGUUUGGAGGGGAGGCUAGUAAAAUUUUUAGGAAUUAUAAUAUAUAUAUUUGCCAUAACCAUCUAAUACUCAUACUUGUUUAUGCUUAUAAUAUAAUUUUUGUAACUAGUAUAAAAAUAAAUUUUUAAAAUGGGAUUUGAGUGUAAUUACGUAUGUAAUCAUUUUAAUUCUCAGUCCCCUAAGAAUUAAAAAGUGUAAUUGAGUGCUCUAAUUACAGCCAAUUCGUGGGACUCACCAAUCAAUGGUUACCCAAACAUGUCAUCUUUGUGUAAUUACUAGCAAUUACACCCAAAUUCAAUUACUAGGUGAUUUUCCAAACACUGUGUAAUAUGUCGCGACAUCUAAGCCCUUUUGUUUUGUACUUUUUUUAACUUAAUUUUUAAGAGUCCAAGAAAAGUAAAUUACUUAUUUGGUAACACUUAUAUUUAGUCAAGCUAAAAAUAGCUUAAUAAAUUGAUGUUAUUUACUAUAUUUGUCAAACCAUUUUAAAACUAAUUUUGGCUAAGUCAAAAUCACUUUUUAUUCAACUUACCUUUACUAUUUUUAGCCAAUUGAAGUCUUAUAAAUACCUUGUUCAUUUUCAUAAUAUACACACUUGCUCAUCCUUUCCAUCCUUUUAAGAUUGCUAAGUAUUUUUUUGUUGUGAUCUAUUAUUGAUUCCUACUCCCUUUUUAUAAUGAAAGAACUUAUUAAUACCUUAAUAUUUUACUAUUGGUUCUUUCUCACUUUUGUUUUAUUUUCAUCACUUUUAAAAUGUUAUUGUAGCGACCUAAAACUUUCUGGGCACGGGCGCUAGUCGAAGUAAUUAUUGAAGGUUUGAAAACAGUGUCUCGAUUUUAUUCGAAAAAGGGAGUCGCCACCGAUCUUUUUUUUUAGGUGUGAUCGGACACCUACAAAAUUCCCUUUUUAGAAGAAAAAUUUAUUUUUAAGCUUUUCUAAAAAGAGGUAAUUUUAGGUCCACGUAAAAAUCCAGAGAAAAUUAGGGUUCGGGAGUCGGUUACGCGCGAGGAAGGUAUUAGCACCCUCGCGACGCCCAAAAUUGGUAUCUCGUUAAACGCAUGUUGUCUUAACUUUCAAAAAUACGAGUUCCAUUUAAUAUUUAGUCGUGAUCCGAUUGAAACACGAGAAUUUUGAAACACAACAACCCCUUUUUUUUGAAAACACGAAAUUUUUUUAAAACGCAAGAAUUUUAGAAACACGAAAUUUUUCUUUAAAAAAACACGAAAAUUUUGAAACACGAGAAUUUUUUCAAAACACGAAUUUUCUUUUUGAAACACGAAAAUUUUGAAAACACAAAGUUUUAUUUUGAAAACACAAAAGAUUUGAUAAAUUACGAAACAUGAGAUUUUUUUUGAAACACGGAAAUUUAUGAAACACGGUCAAUUUUUGAAAACACGAAAAUUUUUGAAAGACGGGAUUUUUUUUUGAAAACACGAAAAUUUAUAAAACACGGAAAUUUUUUCUAAAAACAAGAAAAUUUUCGAAAAACGAGAAUUUUUGAAAACACAGGAAAUUUUUGAAAACAUGAAAUUUUUUGUUACACUAGAAUUUUGAAAACACGAAGAUUUUUGAAACAUGAGGAUUUUUGAAAACACGAAGCUUUUUGAAACAUGAGAAUUUUUUGAGAACAUGAAAACAUGAAAAUUUGUCAAACACGGGAAUUUUUUGAAAACACGAUAACAUCAAAGAGUAGUCAAGAGAGUUUUUUGAAACACGGAAUUUUUUUUGAAAAAAAGAAACACAAAUAUAUUUUUUUGAAACACGAGAAAUUUUUUGAAAAAAAGAAACACGAAUAUAUUUUUUUGAAACACGAGAAAUUUUAUUAUUAUUAUUUUGAAACACGAGAAAUUUUGAAGACAUGAAAAUUUUUGAAACACGAUUUUUUUAAUAAUACCAUAUUUAACACGAAUCGAUGAUAUUCACCCCGAUAUGGUGAUGAAAUCGUCGUAUUAGUGUCAAAACAAAUCAAAUUAAUAUUUAAUCAGGAUUCUAAUAAAACACGAGGAUUUUUAUUAAAACACGAGGAAUUUUGAAUAUUUUCGAUUUUUAGAAGGGCGUCCCGUAUUUAACACGAGCCAUCGAUAUUCACCCAACAUAGCGAUGAAUUCAACGGCUUGAUGCUAAAUCGGUUCGUUGCCUUAUGCAUUAAAAUAUUUUUUCUAUAAAAAAAAUGCAAAUAAAAUUACAUAUAAUAAUAUUUCUAAACUAUUAAAAAACUAAUUUAAUUGUAAUGGGGAAAUAUUUAAAUAAAUGGACUUAAUUAGAGUGGGUUUAAAAAAUUACCAAAAGCCCAAAGUUAUGGGCUUGAAUUUUGGGCCUCCCUUUUCUUUUUUUUCUUUCUCUUUCUUUCCUGGGCGUUGGGCUGCCGGACUGGGCCGAGUCUGCUGGCCCGCUGGUUGUUGAAACAGGCCUGCUACCGCUGCUGGAUCGAGUACAGGCCUUCGUGCGGGUCGGGUCUGCCUCCUGGACUGGGUCGUGGCCUGCUGUCACUGCUGGGCUGCUCUGCUGCGCGUGGGCCUGGGCUGCUGCUUAGCUGCUGGAGUGGCCUGCUGUUGGCCUGCCCAAGAUGGCCUAUUGCUUGCUGGGCCGGUCUGCCACUGCUGCUGGUGUGGGUGGCCUGCUGCUGGCUUGUUGCUGGCUGCUGGCUGGGUUGGAUCCGGGUCAUCGGGUCGGGUUGGCCCGGCUGUUAUUUUUUUUCUUCUAUUUUCUUCUUUCUUCUUUCUUUUUUUCUUUUUUUCCUCAUUUCUUUUUCUUUCCUUUUUCUUUUUCUUUCUUUUCUUCUUCCUUUCAAACCCUAGCCACCGUCUUUUGCUUGGUGGCGCGACAGUGCCGGCGCUUCUCCCUUCUCCCUUCUCCCUUCUCCUCCUCUCUCUUCUUUCUCUCUUUUUCUUUUUCUUCUCUUCUUCCUCUCUUCCUUACUUCUUUACUGUUUGGGUUGCUGUUUUUUUUUGUUUUCUCUUUGCUUGUUUGUAUAGGUGCGACGGUGGUGGUGGUGUCACAACGGCGGUGCGACGACGGUGGUUGCGGGAGGAUGGUGGUGGAGGCUUUCGGCUUGCUGCUAUUUUUUUGUUUUUGAAUUUUUUCUGCUCUUUUUCUUUUGGUUGCCGAAAAACCUUUUCUUUUUGUUUCGGUUUCCCUUGGCUUUCUAGGUGGCGGUGCGGUGGUUGCGGUGGCGGGGUAGUGGCGCGACGGUGGCGAUGGCUUUUGGGCUGCUGUUUUUUGGAUUUUUUUGAGUUUUUCUCUGCUCUUUUUCUAUUUUUUUUUGGUUGCUAUCCGACCCCCUUCCUUCUCUUUUGAUUUUCUUUUUAAUCUCUUCAUUUUUUAUCCUCUUUCUUCUUGUUUUCAGAUGGCAUGGAGGUGAGGAGCAUGGCUGAUUGGCGGUGUCAGGCGUAGGGUGUGGUGCACGCCCAAAUGCUGGUUGGGGGGCAGUCUUGUCAUUCCCAGAAGGACUGAAUUGUAGAGUGUGCAAAGUUUUUAGGGCAAAAAUGUGAUUUUAGGAAAAUAUAGGGACAAAAUGUAAUUUCUAGAAAGUUUAGGGGCCUGACUGUAAUUUAUAAAAUAUUAGGGGUCAAGAUGUAAAUUUAGACAAAGUUAGGGGUCAAAAAAUAAUUUUUGAAAAGUUUGAGGGCCAAAAUGUAAUUUUUAUUUUUUGUAUUUUUAUUUUUUUCAAAAUUUUAUUAUGACUAUUUUAUUAAUAUUUAAAACAAAAAUUAAAAACGGACUAAAGUAAUUCCAAAAUUAAAUCCUAAUGGGCUCGAUCAUUGGGCCCAUACGAGACCGACCCGGCCUAAAAUUCAAACCGGGCAAAAUUCAGUGAUUACAGCUGCCCCUCUUUGCUCAUCGCUGUAAAACAGGGAUAGAGCAAAGACUUAAAAGCACUGAAUUUUGCUCGAUUGUCUAAUUUUUUAUAUUUUUUGAAAGCCUGAAAUUGAAAAAAAAAAGCUUGGUGUGCGAUCCGAAGUUCAACUCACUUUUCAGAUUAUAAGUUGACCUUUGAAAAAUAAAAAAUAAAAAUACCUCAGCUUGACUCGAGGCUCAACUCACCUCUAGGAUUAUGAGUUAAUAAUUUUUUUUUUUGAAAACAUAAAUUGAAAAUACCACAGCGUGACCUGAGGCUUAACUCACCUCUCGCAUUAUGAGUUGAUUUUUGAAAAACGAAAAAUUGAAAAAUACCUCGGCAUGUGACCCGAGGCUCAACUCACCUCUCGUAAUAUGAGUUGAUUUUUUUUGAAAAACAGAAAUUUAAAAUACCUUAGCGUGCGACCUGAGGCCCAACUCACCUCUCGCAAUAUGAGUUGAUUUUUGAAAAACAGAAAUUGAAAAUACCUCAGGAUGACCCGAGGCUCAACUCACCUCUCGUAUUGUGAGUUGAUUUUUGAAAAAAAGAAAAUUUAAAAGAAAUACCUCGGCGUGACCCGAGACUCAACUCACCUCUCGCAAUAUGAGUUGAUUUUUUUGAAAAACAGUAACUUAAAAAUACCUCAGCGUGACCCGAGGCUCAACUCACCUCUCGUAUUAUGAGUUGAUUUUUGAAAAACAAAAAUUAAAAAAUAUAAUUCUUGAAAGAAACAGGGUUUCAAAACAUCAGGUGAAACUAAAGCCUUCUUCUUCGUUGAUUCUGUGCAACUUUCUCUCAGUAUUCCCUGCUCUACUAAGAUACCUGUAUAUGUCAUGUAUGAUGUUAUUAUGAUAUGCACGUGUUUGACCUAAAUGCUUUUAUGCCUACAUAAUCAUGCCAUGAGCCCUGGGCUGUUUGUCUCAUGCCUCCUUUUCGUGAGGGACUGCAUUCAUUGCCUCAAUCAUUGACUUCUCUCUUCGGUUUUGUACUCAUCUUCAAGUUUGUCGGGUGACCCACAUGUCCAUAUUUCCCCUUCUUGCCCCUUUUGUUGAACUUUGUUCCUGCUUUGGGGUCCUUGUACUUAUCAAAUUCUCAUCCAGGUAAUGCUCAACAUUCAUUUUGUUUAGAGUAUGUCAUCUUACUAUUUAUCAUUUAAAUGAAUCAAACACAAGAUGCAUAAAUAAAAUGGCAAAGUAGGCAUGAAAGAAAUACCUCACAUCCAUUUCAUUUUCAAAACCAUCAAACAAAGAAAAUUGACAAGGAAAAAGUUCAAAGAAAGCAUCAUAUAGAAAGGAAAGUGAAUUCAAUGGCCACAAAUGCUCUAGAUAUCCAACGUAUGAACUUCUCCACGUUUCUUCAUCCUGGAUCCUUUCGAGCACGGCUUCUUGUGUAGAAGAUUUCGAGCUUCUGAGAAUGCUUCAAAUAUUGCGACUUUGUCAUUCAACUCUCCGUUCAAGUCACUUUGCUCCUUUAAGCUCGAGCCCACUUCAUUAGGACGCCCUUUCAGGUUUCCAUCCUAAUUCUUUUUGUUUAUCAAAACGCCCUUUUCAGGUUUUCAUCUUGAUUUUCUUUUUCUUUUCUUUUUUCUUUUUUUGUUUUUGUUUUUGUUUUUUUUUGUUCUUUUUGUUCUUUUUGUUCUUUUAUUUUUUUAUUUUUUUUUUGUUUUUUUAGGCAUAAUAUUUCUUUACAGCAUCUGAGUUCACUGGAUUAGGUAACUCUUUCCCGUCCAUCUCAGUGAGAAUCAGAGCCCCUCCUGAGAAUGCCCUCUUUACAACGUAUGGUCCUUCCCAAUUUGGUGACCAUUUUCCUCGAAAGUCCUUCUGUAUUGGGAGAAUCUUUCUCAGUACGAGCUCUCCUUCGCGAAAUUCUCUUGGCCGCACCUUUUUAUCAUGGGCCGUAAUCAUUCUCUUCUGGUACAUCUGUCCAUGACAAAUUACCUUCAAGCGUUUCCCUUCAAUAAGGUUUAGCUGAUCAUAUCGAGCUCGAACCCACUCUGAUUCCUCUAACCUUGUCUCCAUCAAGAUGCGCAGGGAUGGGAUCUCUACUUCGAUAGGCAGAACGGCUUCCAUUCCAUAGACUAGAGAAAAAGGAGUUGCCCCCGUAGACGUCCGUACCGAGGUGCGAUAUGCGUACAAAGCGAAUGGUAGCUUAUCGUGCCAGUCUUUAUAUGUCUCAGUCAUCUUCCCAAUAAUCCUCUUAAUGUUCUUAUUAGCGGCUUCUACUGCUCCGUUCAUCUUUGGGCAAUAGGGCGAAGAAUUAUGAUGUUUUAUCUGGAAUUGCUCACAUACUUCUUUCAUCAUCUUAUUGUUCAAAUUUAAAGCAUUAUCUGAAAUGAUUCUUUCAGGCAGACCAUAUCGGCAUAUAAUCUCCUUUUUUAAGAACCUACAGACUGUAGCCUUUGUCACAUUAGCAAACGAAGUGGCUUCUACCCAUUUUGUGAAGUAGUCUAUAACCACAAAGAUGAAUCGAUGCCCAUUGAAAGCUUUCGGGGAAAUUGGCCCUAUAACAUCCAUGCCCCACAUAGAAAAAGGCCACGGAGAAGUCAUGACAUGAAGGGGUGACGGAGCUGCAUGAAUUUUGUCGCCAUAAAUUUGACAUUUGUGGCACUUUCGUGCGUAACCAAUGCAAUCCCUUUCCAUCGUCAGCCAAUAAUAACCAAGUCUCAUAAUCUGCCUGGCCAUGGUGAAACCACUGGCAUGUGUUCCACAAAUUCCUUCAUGAACCUCUUCAAGUAUCUUUCUAGCUUCAACAGCGUCCACGCACCUCAGGAGCACUUGAUCUUUUCCCCUUUUGUAUAGAAUAUCCCCGUCAAGAACAAAUCCAAUCGCCAUUCUCCUGAUUGUUCUUUUGUCAUUCUCGUUUGCUUGCUCGGGGUACCUUUGAUUCUUGAUAUACUCCAAGAUAUCAUGGAACCAUGGUCGUCCAUCUGACUCCUCCUCAAUACUAAAGCAGUGUGCGGGGGUCUCAUAUAUACUCAUUUGGAUGGGCAUUAUCUCAUUUUCUCUGUUUGCCUUGAACAUCGAAGCCAAGGUGGCUAGGGCAUCAGCCAGUUGGUUCUCCUCUCGUGGAAAGUAGUUAAAAGUCACUUUAUAGAACUCCUUGAUCAGCUCUGCAACGAGAUCAUGAUAUUUGACUAAUUUUGGAUCUCUCACUUCCCAAUCUCCACGAAUUUGAUAAAUGACUAAUGCUGAGUCCCCGUGUACCUCUAAAAUUUUGAUUUUUCACUUGAUAGCUGCACGAAGUCCCAUGAUGCAAGCCUCAUAUUCCGCUAUAUUAUUUGUACAGAAGAAAUUCAAUCUGGCAGUAAGCGGGUAAUGGUCCCCUUCAGGUGACACUAAGACUACUCCUAUCCCAUGCCCCAAUACAUUUGAUGCACCAUCAAAGCUCAUCUUCCAUGACUUUCCUUUUGAUGACUCGCCCUCUUUUUCUGAAAUACACAUCAAAUCUUCAUCUGGGAACUCAAAUCUCAAAGGCUCGUAUUCCUCCAUUGUUCGACUUGCCAAGAAGUCAGCUAUUGCGCUUCCUUUUAUCGACUUUUGGCUCACAUAUACAAUGUCAUACUCAGUCAAUAGGAUUUGCCAUCGGGCCUUUCUCCCUGAGAGUGCAGGUGACUUCAUCAUGUACUUUAUUGGGUCCAGUUUUGAAAUUAACCAUGUCGUGUGAUACAGCAUGUAUUUUCUGAGCCUUCGAACUGUCCAAAUCAAUGCACAACAAAACUUCUCAAUUGACAGGUACUUUGCCUCAUAUUCUGUGAACUUCUUGCUGAGGUAGUAAAUUGCCUUCUCUCUUUUCCCUGACUCAUCAUGUUGUCCCAGUACGCAACCCAUUGAGUUCUCAAACACGGUCAGGUACAAUAUUAAGGGUUUUCCAGGGGUCGGCGGUACUAGCACAGGAGAAUUAGAUAGAUACUGUUUUAUCUUGUCGAAGGCCACUUGGCACUCCUCGUUCCAUUCUCCCGGAUUACGUUUUCAAAGGAGUCGAAAAAUUGGGUCACACUGAUUGGUAAGUUGAGCAAUGAAUCGAGCAAUGUAAUUCAACCUUCCUAAAAAACCUCUGACUUCCUUUUGUGUACGCGGGGGAGGCAAUUCUUGUAUAGCUUUUAUCUUAUCUGGAUCAACCUCGAUACCUCUUUCACUAACAAUGAAACCUAGCAGUUUUCCUGAGGUAGCCCCAAAUGUACAUUUGGCCGGGUUAAGCUUCAACUGAAACUUUCUUAAUCUUUCAAACAACUUCCUAAGACUCCCAACAUGCUCUCUUUCUUCCCGAGAUUUGGCAAUCAUAUCAUCGACAUAAACUUCUAUUUCUUUGUGCAUCAUAUCAUGGAAUAACGUCACCAUGGCUCUCUGAUAUGUUGCCCCAGCAUUCUUUAAUCCGAACGGCAUUACCUUGUAGCAGAAGGUUCCCCACAUUGUUAUGAAUGUAGUUUUCUCCAUAUCUUCGGGAGCCAUCUUUAUCUGAUUAUAUCCUGAGAAACCAUCCAUGAAAGAAAACAGAGAAUGCUUUGCCGUAUUAUCCACCAAAGUGUCGAUGUGCGGUAAAGGAAAGUUAUCUUUAGGGCUUGCUUAAUUCAGAUCAUGAUAAUCCACGCACAUUCGCACCUUGCCAUCUUUCUUCGGCACUGGGACUAUAUUAGCUACCCAUUCUGGAUACUUUGAGACUUGUAGGAAGCCAGCGUCAAAUUGUUUCUUGACUUCUUCUUUUAUCUUUAACAGCAUUUCGGGUCUCAUCCUUCUUAAUUUCUGCUGAACGGGCUUGCAUUCUGGUUUCAGUGAGAGCUUGUGGACCACAAUAUCCGUGUUUAAUCCUGGCAUAUCUUGAUAAGACCAGGCAAACACAUCCUUGUAUUCAUGGAGCAAGGCGAUCAAAUCUUGCCUUGUGUUUUUUGAAAUCGAAGUCCCAAUCUUCACUUCUUGUUUCUCUUCUUCAUUCCCCAAGUUCACUACCUCAACAGAUUAUUGAUGGGGUAGGAUUUGUUUCUCUUCUUGUUCCACCAUUCUCAGUAAGUCAGGAGAUGAGACACAAUCUUCAACAUUUUCGUCAGCUUCGAAUUCUCCUAAACAAAUAACCUUCUCAAAAUUGAUUUCAGGAUUCAUAACGGGAUUAUUCAUGCCAUUGAUAUCUGAACACCUGAAAGGUGAAUGGAAAAAGGAUAUAGAAGAGUAUUGAGGUAUUGUAAUCAACACACAAUGAUAUGAGAUGAUAUGAGACAUAUGCCAGAAAAGGAUAUGAACAGAAGGAGUAGUCGCAAAGUUAAUGAAAAGAAUAUGACAAUAUAAAACAAAAUGCAUCUUCAUUAAUGUUCAUUGAAAUGAUAAAGAGCAAACAUAAGCUCUUACAAAAGGAACCCUACUGUUUAAGGACACACAAAAUGAAGGGUUAACAUUGAGCAUUACUCUGAAGGGGACUUAAAAACUACAAGGAGGUCCUCAGCAGUCCAGUUGUUCAAAACAUAUCCUGGAGGACAAUGGCGUAUCAUUGAAGCAUUCUUAAUUUCAUCAUUCUCAUUGUCAAUAGCAUUUAGGCUGAGAUUCUGAAGACCCUUUUCAAUCAAUAAUGUGGCUUGCAAAUUGUUCUGCCCUGGGUACAUCACUCCUGCUGAUGUAAAUGUUCUCGACAAAGGAGGAUACGCCAACGGCCCCCAUUCUAAUUCCUGGCCCGAAGCUCUUGCGAUUCUUCUUUCUCGAUUUUUCUGAAAUUGUUUUUAUCUUUGAUGUACAUCUGGCUUGAACCCCAAACUGUAUCGACCCUUAUGGUGCGUUGGUUUCAAAGCUCUAACCAUCCUUUGUUGAUAUUUUCCCAAACCUUUCCUCGCUCGAGCUCCUUUUCCCACAGUCAGCUUAAGUCCCAUCUUGGUAUUCCUCGACAGUUUGGGAAUGGGGAUCUUAUUCCCUUCAGUAACAAAUGCAGCAUUGAUAAAUUUCAAGAAGCGAAAAGAACAUUCUACAGCAUCUUCGCUUAUUUCGAUGUAGGGUGCAUCAGUAGAGAUAGAUGCGACGAUGUCUUCCUCGCCACCAACAGUAAUCAAACGACUAUCCAUGAUGAACUUUACUUUCUGAUGGAGAGAUGAAGGAACUGCCCCAGCAGAAUGGAUCCAAGGUCUUCCUAACAGGCAAUUGUAUGAAGGUGUGAUGUCCAUGACCUGAAACUCGAUAUCGUAUGCACAUGGCCCCACUUUUAAAGGAAUUUCGAUAUUUCCCAUGACCUCUCGCCGUGUCCCAUCAAAUGCCCUUACUAUAGAAUGACAAGGCCUCAGAUAGGACAUAUCAACCGGCAUCCUAGAAAGCGUGGCCAAAGGCAUAACAUUGAGUGCAGAUCCAUUGUCGAUGAGCACAUUUGGUAAUAUGUAACCUUUGCAAUUGGUUGUGAUGUGCAAUGCUUUUAUGGAGCCCCUUCCAUUUGGCGGUAUUUCGUCGUCACUAAAGGAGAUGAAAUUAUCUGCAUUUAGAUUAUUUGCCCACCUAUCAAGCUUUUCCACAGAUACAUUGUUCGCCACAUAAGCUUGAUUUAACACUUUUAACAAGGCAUUCCGAUGUGGCUCUGAAUUCAACAAUAGAGACAGUACCGAGAUACGGGCUGGCUGCUUGUUUAAUUGUUCUACAAUGCUAUAUUCACUGUGCUUAAUGAACUUUAAGAACUCACAUGCUUCCUCCUCAUUCACAGCCUUUUUAACUUCUUCCUCGGGUGGUAUUUCAACAUCAUCCUCAGCCUCAUACAUUGGUGCUUUUCUUUUUUGGCUCGGACCAGCAACCUUCUUCUUUGGCUCAACCGUCUCGGGAGAAUAACAUCUUUCGCUACGAGUAAAAUGUCCUACUCCGCUAACACCUUCACUCACAACCUUGGACUUUUCACCCUCAGGUACAAUGAUAUUGACAUCAUAAUUCUAAGGCACCGCCUUGUUGUCCUUAUAAGGGAAAGGAGCAGGUACUUCAAUUAUCAAACUUGGUUUAACUUCUCGACUAACUUCUUCCUUCUUUGUCCCGUAAUAAAUCACCAAAGGUCUAUCGACGCUAUAAAGGGAAGCCAUUGAUUGAUUAUUAGAGGCACAUAUUUCUCCUUCUUCGGCCCCCUCCACCCUAUCAAAGACCUUGACCUCUUUGUUAUCCAUCAUGUCUUGAAGUAAUUUCCUAAAUUCCUUACAAGAUUGGAUGUCAUGCCCUUGGACGCCAUGAAAAUCACAGAAACUCUGGUCUUUUGUACUUUCUUCUUUAAGAAUCUUACUAGACGGACAGAGCAAGCCAUUUUCAAUCAUCAUCUCCCAUACCUUCCGUAAAGGUGUCUUUACUUCGGUAACACAACCUUUGGCUUGACAAUUGUCUUCAUUUGUCACCGCAUUUACAUUCCCGUCAGUAUGGUUAGGAAGAGGAUUUCCUGUCACAUUGCUAACAUCGUCGAACCGUAGAACACCGGCAUCAAUAAGACCUUAAACCCUCCUUUUAAAAGCAAGACAGUUUUCUGUAGAAUGUCCCUGAUUCCCAGCGUGAUACAUGCAAUUAGCGUUAGGAUCAUACCACUUCGGGUAUGGAGGCUUCAGGGGUGCCAUGUAAUGUGGGGAUAUUAAUUGUUUUUCCAACAGCUUUGGGUAUAAUUCUCCAUAUGAUACAGGAAUUAGAGUAAACUGAGGUCUUUCAAGAUUGGGUCUUGCCGGUCUUUGUUCAUUUUUGGGUUGGCUUUGUACAGGUAUGGUGUUUGGCGGGAACACGGUGAAUGGUCUUUGGUUAUUCACAGCAUAAACGGGGUAAGAUAGGGGUGCUUGAUAGUAAGGACUUUGAGGAGGAAAGUAGAAGUUUGAAGGUGGGCGGUAAUGAGGUCGUGGUUGGGUGAGGUACGGAUUAGGGGUACAUUGGCUUUCAGUCCCAACCAUAUGGGCCUCUGCCUCCUUUUUCUUUGCGGGUACUGUCCUCUUCGAACUCUCAGGACCUUCCAUUCUCCCACUCUUGACGGCGUUUUCGAUAAGUUCCCCGGAUAUUACAAUAUCUGCAAAGUCCUUUGUGGCACUUCCCACCAACUUAUCGUAAAAUGGCGCUUUUAGAGUGUUGAUGAAGAGGACCGUUAUCUCUGUCUUAGUUAACGGAGGCUCCACUUGAGCCGAGAUAUCCCUCCAUCUUUACGCAUAUUACCGAAAAGUCUCUGUCGGCUUCUUUUCCAUCAUUUGUAAGGUUAGUCGAUCAGGCACCAUAUCUGUUACAUGCCUAUAUUGCUCACAGAAUGCUGAAGCCAAAUCCUUCCAUGAUCGGAUUCUCUCUCUACUGAGUUGAUUAUACCAUCGAAGGGUUGAGCCAAUCAAACUAUCUUGAAAGUAAUGCACCAACAAUUUAUCAUCGUUUACAUAACCAGUCAUCUUUCGGCAAAACAUGAUCAGAUGCGCCUUUGGACAUCUUGUUCCGUCAAAUUUCUCAAAAUCAGGUGCCUUAAAUUUUGGUGGUAGGACCAAAUCAGGUACCAAACUGAGCUCUUUGGCACUCAAAGCAGAGAAAACUUCAGCGCCUUCUACUGCCUUGAUCCUCUAUUCCAGGACUCUAUACUUAUCCUGAGCGUUAUUGUCAUCAAUUCUCAGCCUUGCUACUUCUACAGGAUCAUCUAGGUCUGGAACAAUUGGAUCUGAAGGAUUAGCCCCAGGGUUCGAUACAAACAUUCCUUGUCCUAAAUGAGCAGAUGGAGCAGGAUGUUGUUCCAGGCCUGUAGGUUCCCUUUGGGGGUAUCCUCUUUGCAUUGCGUGGACAUGAGGUGGAGUAAAUCCCGGGGGAUAAAGUGGGUCUUGAUUAGCUCUUGACUGAGGCGGUUCUACGACAUUAGGGCUCUGUAUAGGUCCCUUUCCUUUGACCAAAGCCGUCAUCAUUUCUAUCAUUUUAGCCAUUUGAUCCCUUUGCUCGAGCAAUUCUUCUCGAGAUCUCACCAUCAAAUCUCUUGCCUCUUGCUGCGACUUGGCCAGUUGCUCCUGCAACUCUCUUUGGGUUCUUUCCAUCCUUUCCAUCCUUUCAUUGAGUUCAGCAUCCAUAGCUCUAGCUCUUAAGCGCGUCCUAUAAGAGUGACGUGAUUCCAGACUCGUAGUGUAGUAACUGUGGAUUAGAUGGUUUUACCCUUAGCGAAUGAUUAAGGUGAUAUGAGAAUACAAUGAAUAAAUGAAUGAGUAACUAAUGAAUGUUAAUCAUGCGUAAAUAUGCAAAAAAGGGUGUUGAUUCCAAAAUGGCCCCAUACUUGGGCGUUUCAUUUAUCAAAAGAGUCCGUUACAAAAAGUUUUGCCAUCCUAGUUCAACAAUUACACGAAUUUCCUAGCCACAUCGCCUUGCUUCUUCAUACGUUCCAAGAACUCUGAUAUGCUUGAUCUUUGGCUAGGAGGGUAUUGGCAACUGAGAACUUCCGCUUCAUCUGAUAAUUGUACUAUUUGUGCAGCCGCCUUACGAAUUUCAUUGAUCAACCUACCGAGAUGCAUAUCCUUUUCUUGGAGGGCUCUUUCAUAAGCACGAAUGUCUCUGUCAUGCUGAUCAUUCUUCUCUUCUAAAGCUCUCAAGAGGUCAUCCAGAUGUUGCUGAUGAGCUUGCAGUGUACUCUCUAGACUUCAGAUUUUUCCUUUUAGCCCUUGAUGCUCAGACUGACUAGCCGUUAGUUCUGCAGUCACAGUUUCGUAUUCAACGUUCUUCUUCCUCAACUCUAUCAUAGCACAUGCAGCUCUUUCCUCUUCUUUCUUUGCUUUGGCUUUCCAGAAUUCCAUCCCACCUUUGAUAUUACUUAGUUCCUCUUUCCAUUCUGCUGAUGCUUUGCCCAAUCCACUAUUUCUUAUAGUGCCCCUUAAUUUCUUGUUUUCCAAAUGAAGGUCCCUUAAAUUCUUUCUCGUAACUUGAACUUCUUUUUGGACUUUUUCGGCUCUGGAUUUUUCAAUUUCGACAUCAAUCUUCAGCUGGUAGUUCUCCUCCUGAAGAGAUUAAUAUCUCGCAACAUUUUGGCCUUUUCACGUUCAAAUUCAUGUCUUGCAAUUUCUAGCUCGGAUGGGGUUUUCUCUGAGAACGGAUUCUGGCAAGCUUCAUUAAUUGGUGGGGUUACUUGACUCUUCACUCGUUGUUGCCUCCAUAGGUCAUAGUCUACAGUGAUAGUAUCAGCAUAUAGAGCCAAUUCCAUUAGGUAGAUUCGCCUCCAAGAAUUCGCAGUAUCUCAAACCUUUUUCAUGUAACCCUCACCCAUAAAGGCAAACUCCGAUUGUGCCAAUCCAUCGGUAACUGGUACAAACUGUCGCGAAGCGAACUGUCUUUAAACCAACAAUGGAGCAUAUCCAACUCCUCCCCAUAAUCCUAAUAAAGGUAUCCAGUCUUGGUUUCCACACUUGUAUAACAAGACAGAGGGACGAAUCCAAGGUGCUCUCCAAGUUAUAUCUUCGACACGGAGGUUCUGAAAGACCGAGACCCAGUGUUGUUCAGUGACAUCUUUCGGCCAAUCUUUUCCAAGGUGUGCUUCCAACGGGGCGAAUGUCUUUGAAAACAUGUGGAAAGGCGUACGCUCCACCCUCCAAAAAUGGCUAAAGAUCCAAACAUUCAGUAACUGAGCGCAUUCGAUAAAACGUCCUUCCCCUUUUCUCCUACAAGCAUUUAGAGAUCUAAAAGUCUCAGCCAAGAUGGCUGGGACCGGGUUAACUCUUUGCCUCAACUUUUCGAAGAAAUCCACAACCGCAACUUCAAUAUGCCCAAGAACCUUCGGGAAGACGACCAGUCCGUAAACAGCCAAGGCAAACAAAUCUACUCUUUUUAACACAUCUGGAUGAUUCUGAACUAACUCCCGCAGAGAAAACCACGGGACACAACUGACUUCAUUCUUCUUCUUUAUCUGUUUUUCAGCCCAUGUAUCAGUCAUUCCCGUCAACUUCAUUAGCUUUUUCUUGAAGGUCAUUGGUUUAGGCUCCUUCACAUAUAUCUUGUUGAGUUGCACAUUAUCGAUGCGAAGCAAAGCGGCAUACUCUUCUAUGGUCGGAGUCAUAUCUUCCUGAUUGAAAGUGAAACACUGAUAGGCUGGGUCCCAGAAUCGAACCAUGGCUUGGAUCAACUGCUCGUUCACAUCGAUUGCUAUCAAGUGAGCUAUAUCCCCAUACUUUUCAGUGGAGAUGCUUCUAGUAUCUGAGUCCCACUGCUUCCAAAUCCUAGUCAAGUCUUCGAGAUCAUUUUGACGAGCAUUCAAAGUCACACGCUCGGGAAGAUCAGAGGUGUAUCCUUCCUUCAAACUGUCCCCUUUCACUUUUUGAGUUCUCAAAGACCAAUCUCGGACUACAGCAUUUUUCUCGGUUACUCGUGUAAUUGACUCCUCCAUCAGAAACCCGUUUUUGGCAACCAAUAUUUAACCAACACCUUCCUAAUGAGAUGUCUACGAUGCAUGAUGGAAAAUAAGAUGAAAAACAAAUAACCUUGGUUAGAGAUCACAACAGAUAUAAACAAAAGAAAAAUGAAAAAUAAAGACUAUGGAAAAUUUAACAAAUUAAGCUAUUCAAUCAUGCAAUUUGGUGGAACAGACCCACAUUUUUUUUUGCCCCAACAUGCUUUACAAGAAACCUACCCCACAUACCAUCAGACCAUCUAUCCGACCCAAUUUAUUGAAUAGACUCAAUUUAUCUGCAAAUAAGUGUAAAUGUAAAAGAAAUAAAAGGUAAGAGGCGUUUCUCCCGUGCACUUAUUUUGGUAACUAUCAAACGGACAGAGGUUCUGUAUGGCUCUACUCGGGUGGCCUAUACGGUUCACUAUAUGUAGUUUCGGUUUUAGAAAGGUACUCGAAUUGUCCAUACUAUCACCUACUAAGGUUAGUACAGAGCUUCGGUUAUCGCCCGUCAGGGCUCGCGAGCUCAAUUCGAGGGAUUACAUUUACUUAUGCCUAUGCGGAGGGACAAGUUAACUCACGAAAGCAUAAGUCAUAUGUAACCCGAAAGUAAUUACUAGCCUGUGCGGAGGGACGAGUUAACUCACGAAGGCGUAGCGUUUACUUCCACUUAAACGGACAGAGCCCGGGUAGAGAGCUCAUGUUAUGCAAAAAAUGCAAGUGCACUGUGUGUGGAGAGAAACUCACAAACCUUUUUAUUUUUACUUUUACUAAAAAAAACAAACUAAAACCAUAAAACUUAAAGCUGAAAAAAACACGAAAAUAAAAAAGGUUAGAAAAAUAUUAAUUUCAAAACUGAAUACGGAUGCAUGAUUUUUUUCAAAACAAAAUUCAAGGAUCACGAUUAAAAAUUAAUUUGAACAAGAAAAUUUGAAAAUUUUGACAACACACGUUUAACAUCAGACUCGACUCUCAAAAAAAACUCCCCAGCGGAAUCGCCAGCUGGAGCGACCUAAAAAUUUCUGGGCACGGGCGCUAGUCGAAGUAAUUAUUUAAGGUUUGAAAACAGUGUCUCGAUUUUAUUCGAAAAAGGGAGUCGCCACCGAUCUUUUUUUUUAGGUGUGAUCGGACACCUACAAAAUUCUCUUUUUAGAAGAAAAAUUUAUUUUUAAGCUUUUCUAAAAAGAGGUAAUUUUAGGUCCACGUAAAAAUCAAGAGAAAAUUAGGGUUCUGGAGUCGGUUACGCGCGAGGAAGGUAUUAGCACCCUCGCGACGCCCAAAAUUGGUAUCUCGUUAAAUGCAUGUUGUCUUAACUUUCAAAAAUACGAGUUCCAUUUAAUAUUUAGUCAUGAUCCGAUUGAAACACGAGAAUUUUGAAACACAACAACCCCUUUUUUUUUUUUGAAAACACGAAAUUUUUUUAAAACGCAAGAAUUUUAGAAACACAAAAAUUUUCUUUAAAAAAACACGAAAAUUUUGAAACAUGAGAAUUUUUUCAAAACACAAAUUUUCUUUUUGAAACACGAAAAUUUUGAAAACACAAAAAAUUUGAUAAAUUACGAAACAUGAGAUUUUUUUGAAACACGGAAAUUUAUGAAACACGGUCAAUUUUUGAAAACACAAAAAUUUUUGAAAGACGGGUUUUUUUUUUGAAAACACGAAAAUUUAUAAAACACGGAAAUUUUUUCUGAAAACAAGAAAAUUUUCGAAAAACGAGAAUUUUUGAAAACACAAGAAAUUUUUGAAAACAUGAAAUUUUUUGUUAAACUAGAAUUUUGAAAACACGAAGAUUUUUGAAACAUGAGGAUUUUUGAAAACACGAAGCUUUUUGAAACAUGAGAAUUUUUUGAGAACAUGAAAACAUGAAAAUUUGUCAAACACGGGAAUUUUUUGAAAACACGAUAACAUCAAAGAGUAUUCAAGAGAGUUUUUUGAAACACGGAAUUUUUUUUUGGAAAAAAGAAACACGAAUAUAUUUUUUUGAAACACAGGAAAUUUUUUGAAAAAAAGAAACACGAAUAUAUUUUUUUGAAACACGGGAAAUUUUAUUAUUAUUAUUUUGAAACACGAGAAAUUUUGAAGACAUGAAAAUUUUUGAAACACAAUUUUUUUAAUAAUACCAUAUUUAAUACGAAUCGAUGAUAUUCACCCCGAUAUGGCGAUGAAAUCGUCGUAUUAGUGUCAAAACAAAUCAAAUUAAUAUUUAAUCGGGAUUCUAAUAAAACACGAGGAUUUUUAUUAAAACACGAGGAAUUUUGAAUAUUUUCUAUUUUUAGAAGGGCGUCCCGUAUUUAACACGAGCCAUCAAUAUUCACCCAACAUAGAGAUGAAUUCAACGGCUUGAUGCUAAAUCGGUUCGUUGCCUUAUGCAUUAAAAUAUUUUUCUAUAAAAAAAUGCAAAUAAAAUUACAUAUAAUAAUAUUUCUAAACUAUUAAAAAACUAAUUUAAUUGUAAUGGGGAAAUAUUUAAAUAAAUGGACUUAAUUAGAGUGGGUUUAAAAAAUUACCAAAAGCCCAAAGUUAUGGGCUUGAAUUUUGGGCCUCCCUUUUUCUUUUUUUUUCUCUUUCUUUCCUGGGCUUUGGGCUGCCGGACUGGGCCGAGUCUGCUGGCCCGCUGGUUGCUGGAACAGGCUUGCUACCGCUGCUGGAUCGGGUACAGGCCUUCGUGCGGGUCGGGUCUACCUCCUGGACUGGGUCGUGGCCUGCUGUCACUGUUGGGCUGCUCUGCUGCGCGUGGGCCUGGGCUGCUGCUUAGCUGCUGGAGUGGCCUGCUGUUGGCCUGCCCAAGAUGGCCUAUUGCUUGCUGGGCCGGUCUGCCACUACUGCUGGUGUGGGUGGCCUGCUGCUGGCUUGUUGCUGGCUGCUGGCUGGGUCAGAUCCGGGUCGUCGGGUCGGGUUGGCCCGGCUGUUAUUUUUUUCUUCUAUUUUCUUCUUUCUUCUUUCUUCUUUUCUUUUUUCCUCCUUUUUUUUCUUUCCUUUUUCUUUUUCUUUCUUUUCUUCUUCCUUUCAAACCCUAGCCGCCGUCUUUUGCUUGGUGGCGCGACGGUGCCGGCGCUUCUCCCUUCUCCCUUCUCCUACUCUCUCUUCUUUCUCUCCUUUUCUUUUUCUUCUCUUCUUCCUCUCUUCCUUACUUCUUUACUGUUUGGGUUGCUGUUUUUUUUUGUUUUCUCUUUGCUUGUUUGUAUAGGUGCGACGGUGGUGGUGGUGUCACAACGGCGGUACGACGACGGUGGUUGCGGGAGGAUGGUGGUGGAGGCUUUCAGCUUGCUGCUAUUUUUUUAUUUUUGAAUUUUCUCUGCUCUUUUUCUUUUGGUUGCCGAAAAACCUUUUCUUUUUGUUUCGGUUUCCCUUGGCUUUCUAGGUGGCGGUGCGGUGGUUGCGGUGGCGGGGUAGUGGCACGACGGUGGCGAUGGCUUUUGGGCUGCUGUUGUUUGGAUUUUUUUGAGUUUUUCUCUACUCUUUUUUUAUUUUUUUUUGGUUGCUAUCCGACCCCCUUCCCUCUCUUUUGAUUUUCUUUUUAAUCUCUUCAUUUUUUUGUCCUCUUUCUUCUUGUUUUCAGAUGGCAUGGAGGUGGGGAGCAUGGCUGAUUGGCGGUGUCAGGCGUAGGGUGCGGUGCACGCCCGGAUGCUGGUUGGGGAGCAGUCUUGUCAUGCCCAGAAGGACUGAAUUGUAGAGUGUGCAAAGUUUUUGGGGCAAAAAUGUGAUUUUAGGAAAAUAUAGGGCCAAAAUGUAAUUUCUAGAAAGUUUAGGGGCCAACUAUAAUUUACAAAAUAUUAGGGGUCAAGAUGUAAAUUUAGAAAAAGUUGGGGGUCAAAAAAUAAUUUUUGAAAAGUUUGGAGGCCAAAAUGUAAUUUUUAUUUUUUGUAUUUUUUUUAUUUUUAUUUUUUUUUCAAAAUUUUAUUAUGACUAUUUUAUUAAUAUUUAAAACAAAAAUUAAAAACGGACUAAAGCAAUUCCAAAAUUAAAUCCUAAUGGGCUCGAUCAGUGGGCCCAUACGAGACCGACCCGGCCCAAAAUUCAAACCGGGCAAAAUUCAGUGAUUACAGUUAUUUUAUUAUCUUAAUUAUUUUUCAAAAUUAAUAGAAUUUUAUUAUAAAUUAGGGCAGUUCUCAUUUAAUUAAAAAGUUUAUAUAUAUUAAAAUUAUAAAAAUAUAUUAUUUAGUAAAUUAAAAAAUAAACAAAUACAUAGUUUAAUUAACAGUAAUAUUGUAUUUUCUCCAUUAUGUGGUAUUUUCCCUAUAAAUACAUAGUUUUAGGUUUAUACCUAGAGUUAGCCACCUUAGUAUUAUUUUGCUUUAGUGUUUUCUUUUGUCCAUGAAUUUCUAAAUCAUCUUUUCUAGUCAAAGGGAUUUUGAACUUUGAUUGUAAUAGUUUGUAAGAUCUAAUUGCUCUUCAUCUAUUCUUUGUUCUUUAGCGCUUGCAUGUGUUCUAUUUUAAUUACAAAUAUUCAAGUUUGUUGGAUAUUGGUACCAUAUUCAAUUGCUUAGAACAUAGUGACAAAUAACAUGAUUACAUAUAAACUAUGUAUGCAAUUCAUGUUAUGUGGAUACCCGAUUUAAUCUAAAUGAACCCCGUUGGUGUGUGUUAGUUGGUCAGAAAUAGGUUUCUCUCAUUCUUAAUACUACCUAUAAUUAAGCUAAAUCCUAGGCACGAAGUUAUAGGGCCUCUUGGUUAUCGAAAGGUAAUGAGAGAUUGUUUAUAUGGUUCUUAAUGCUAGGUGCGACAUGGGCAACUAUAACUAAUUUAUUAAAAACACUAAAAUUAUAUUUGCAUCAUUGAUCAAACUCAUGAAUCAAAAUUGAGAUUUUACCUUAGUUAGACUCUCAUUAUAUUGAUUUUGCUAUAUUUUAUUUUGCAAUCUUUUUCUUUUACAAAGUUUUAAUUUUAAUUUUAAAAAUCCUUAUUUUUAUUUUACUUGUUUUUUUAAAGAAUUAGAACAAUCACUAGUCUUUGUGGAUAUGGCUCUACUCACAGUCAUCUACAAAUUUAUUUUUUUAGUAAGAAUUUAUUUUUCUAGGUCACAACAACCAUACAACUUUUGACACCAUUGUUGGGGAUUGGUGUCAAUAAUUUUAUUUCCUUUUAAAUUCAAAUAAGAAUUUUCAAGAAGAGUGAAUGAGGUAAAUAUUUCUUUUUCCUAAUAAUCAUUGAGACCAAACGAUAACAUUAAUGAUGACCUUGAUAUUUGUGGGUGUCGAAAUAUCCCUUAAAAAAAUGUAUUUCAAAUUUUAACUUUCCUGAAAACAUAUAUUAUAAAUAAUAAAAUAUCUAAUAACAUAGUAAAAAAAAUCCAAGUUUUGGUUCCCCUAUAAUCGAUGGCCCAGUUUGCCUUUAACGAGCACUACACCAAAACAGGCUUUUAGCGGCGUUUGAAUAAAAAAUGCCUCUAAAGAUCGAGCAUUAGCGACUCUUUUCGGAAAACGCCGCUAAAUAUCGAACUUUAACAUCGCUUUAUGGAAAACGCCGCUAAAUAUAAGCAUUAGCGGCGUUUUCUAAAAAGCGCCGCAAAAAACCUAUGCUUUCGGGGUUUUAGCGGCGUUUUUAAUGAAGCGCUGCUAAUGCUCAGGGCUUUAGCGGCAUGUUUUGGGAAGCGCCGCUAAUGCUUAGGGCUUUAGCGGCGUUUUUGAGAAAGCGCCGCUAAUACUCUAUUUUUAGCGGCGUUUUCUAAAAUGCGCUGCUAAUGCUCAGGGAUUUAAAAUAAUCUAAAAUAUUUUUUAAAAAUGGAAAAAUUAAAAUACUAUAAGUUCUUUUAAACAGAAUAUAUGGCAUAACCUAUAAUAUGGAAUAAAAGGCGGCAUCACGUGUUAAUUUAAUUUAAUUAUUAUUUAAAAAUUUAUAUAAAUAAAAUAGACAUAAUGAUUUAUUUAUCCUUCUAACUUUACAAAAAAACCAUUACAACCCUUUAUUUAAUUUUUAUCUUUUUAACCCUUAAAUUUAUAUUAUUUAUUAAAUCAGCUCAAAAUAGAUGGGAAAAUUAUUCUUUAUUAACUUUACUAAACAUGGAAGCCAAAGGCCCUGAAAUGAAAACAAUUUUCACCAAAGCGUUUUUAUAACUUAUACACUUUUAAAUUAAUAAUGAUAAAAUUACAUGUUAACCCCCUAAAAAUGAUAAAAAUUUUAUUUAAUCCUUAUAAAAAUAUAAUUAAAAUGGUAAAAUUACAUUUUUAACUAUCCUAAAAUAUACAAUUUAAUUCCAUCUCCUCCAAAAAAUAAAAAUAAAAGAAAAACAUUACCGUUAACCCAGUUCAUAGGAGGCUGAAAGUGAUACCCGGUUCGAUGAAGUUGUUUUACAGUAAAUGCAGUUUUAGAUUAUAAAUGUGGAUGAAUCUUAUGAAAUGCUUCAACGAUGCCAUUCUUACUUAUUAUCUCACAAAAACACCCAAUUAUUAAAUAAACUAACAAAAUAUUUUUUGUAAACUCCAUUGAAAUUUCGAAAGCCGAAUGUUGAAACAGGAUGGUGAUUCAUUUAUAUAGGACUGAAAUUUAACAAUUUCAAAAAAAAAAUAUAUAUUUUAAAAUGUUUAGAUAAAAUAGUUUUUUAUUUGAAUUUACCAGUAAUUUAUAAUAUCAACAUUAAAUCUACAAUUCUUGAUUUUCUUUUUUUAAAAUAAUUAAAAUUUUAUUCUUAUAGUAUUUAAAUAAUUAGGGAUUAUGAAUUGUGGUUUAUGGUUUAAGGGUUGGGGUUUAAGGUUUAGGGGUUAGGGGUUAGGGGUUUAGGGGUUAGUGCUUGCUGAUUUUUUUUAUUGAUCUUCUACCCCUUGUACCUGGAUCCGACCUGACCUGGAUUGUUCCUUGUGUUCUUUUUCUGCUUUCUCAGCAGGGAGAUCCCAUUCUGCAGACAAAGAAGAACACAAAAGAUCAAAGGUAAUUUUAUUUCAAUUUGAUCCAUUUUUCUUGGUUAUCUUUUCCGUGUUUUUUUAUUUGUAAUUUGUUAUGUUUUCUGGGUUUUGCUUAUAAUGUCUGCAUUAAUAUUCAUUUCACAUUUUUUGUUUGUAUUUGCUUUUGUUUCUUUUUCCCAUCACAAUCAAAGUUCUAAACUAAUUUUUUCCCUGUAAUUUCAUUUUUAGAUUCAAAGUUUCUUUUUUUUUUUAAAUUUUUUUAUUAAUAGCAUUGACUUUUAAUAUUUAUUUUGAUAGUUUUUUUGGGGGAAGUGUGGGGGGGGGGGUCAGCAUAUUUGCUUUUGAACAUAAGAUUGAUUCUGCCUGUGUUGUGUAUUUGCCAAAUUCCAGUCCUGGAUUCAAAGUUUGUAUGUGUUUCUUACCAUUUUCUAAGAAAUAAAAAAUAUGUUAUUAAUAUUGUCUUUGUUAAGUCUUUUUCACAUAAUAUUCUUUGAAGUUUGAACAUUGUUUUGCUCCUUUUCAUUAUGGAAAAACAAAUCUUUUUUUUCCAAUUUAGUCUUUGUUUUUAAUUAUUUUAUAUAAUUAAAUUACUCAAAGUUUAUUUCCCUUUUUUUGAUCCAAACUUUUCUUUUGUACAAAAUUACUCUCUUUCUUAACUUUUUAUAUUAUAUAUAUGUUUUAUAAUAUUAGCUUUAGCUCUCAGUUUUCACUUUCACAUUGAGUUAUUUGAGCAUUUUUCAUAUUUCUUGCUAAUGUGGGACAGAUUUCAUUUUCUUAAAAGGAAAAAAAUUAUGUUGUUUUUGUUGCCUCAAUCCUCUUUAUUUGUCUCUUUAACCUCAUUGGAUAUGGAGUCUAUGUUGUCUUUUCUUUUCAGUUUUUCCAUUUUAGAUUUAUAGGUAAACUUCAAAGUGGUUCUUCUUCAAGUUAAAACAGUGGGGUUUUUUACAUUGAUCAUCUUAAGUUUUCAGAAAAUAUUUUUCCUGUUGAUUUGGAUUUUUUAAGGUUAUUUUUGUCUUUCCUUCCUAAAAUACUUUUUUUUGGAUGAUUUAAUGAAUAUGGCAGGAUUAAGCUUUAGAAAUCCAUGAUUAACUGAGGACUCUAUAUUGGGUCCUCAGUUCAGUUGUUUAAAAUCUAUAUAUUUUUUUAUAAUAUGCUAUGUUAUUCGGACUUGGAUAUGUCCUUGGAGGAUCAUAUCCCGGUACUUUUGUUUGCAUAUGUGCUGGACACAGAUGCUUUAAAUAAAAUGAAGAGUGCUUGCUGUCAACUAGGAGUUUUGAUGAUUAUGAUCAUGAUUGUUUCAUAUAUAUAUAUAUAUAUGCUCUAUUUUUCACCUAUAGUAACAUUAAUUUUGUAAAGAUAUUUUCUUCAAUUCUGAAACUGCUUUAAUAUCUCUUAUCUUAAAAGUUUUGUUUAUCUUGGUAAACUUAAUUUUGCAGCUGCUACUGGAUUUUUUGAGCUUCUCUGCUUCUAGCUUUUCAUCUAUGGCCAGAUACUCAGUUGUGACUGAUAAGGUCUCAAUAGAGGUUGUUGAAGAAUUCAUUCUAGUACAGUUGAAUCUGACAAAAGGCACAAUAUCUGAAAUUAAGGUACCUAAUUCUUUUUUUUCCUUCUUAGCCAUUAAUCAUUAUUGAGUGUUGACAUGGGGGAUCUAUGCUACUAUAUCUAUGUUACUCUAACUCAUCAUUUUUUCUGAAGUGCUCAUGUUUGACACUUGUGUUUGAUGCAUAUUUGGACAUGGAUACAUGAACAUGAUCCUCCAAAUAUAUGAAAAUCCUUAAAAAAGUUGAGCAUACCUAUGUGGGAUAUAUACCUUAUCUGAAAAUAAAGGUUAUGCCUUUUUAAAAACCUGUUUAAUACAUUAUAUAAAUUUCUUCUUAAAAGUUUGUUAGGGCUGAAGCAUGCAUUAGUCUACUAUAAUUUGCUGCAUAAAUGGAAAUUAGCUAGGUGUCCACUGCACAACCUUCAAUUAGACUUUACAUAAAAAAAUUCAUUAUUCAAGGCAAACUGCCUGGCUUGCUGAAAAAUGAUAGUUACAAACUGCCUUCAUUUCUCCCAUAAAGAUCUGCCGAAAUAUGUUUCAUCUAACAAGAUUUUGAUUGACAGCACAUUCAUUUGACAGGAUAAUUUGGAAACCCUGUUGCAAGAGGACAUUCAGGCUGAUCUAGUCUGCUGCUUGCAGCAUUUGCAGGUAUUUUGUGUAGUUUAAGUUGUGAACAUUGGGUUUUGAUUUGUCAUGUGAACAAAUAUGAUGAAUCUGAAGUGCAUUUCUAUUCUUCUAUUUGCAGUUAAGAUUUGAAAUUGAAGACAAAGCAAGGAGACCUCUAAGUAAUGUGUCAUUUUUGUUGAAACCAGGGGGUUAUUUUUUCGGUAUUACUCCUGAAAAAGUGAUUGCCAAAAACUGUUGUUUCUGGAUUUAUGUAUUUUCCUUUUUUUUUCUUGUGAUUACUGCUGCACCUGUUUCUGGGAGGUGAUUGUGUAAACAUUUUAGUGUGCUUUAAUUAUUGUAAGAAUAUUAAAUUUUAACAUUGUUAAUUUUAAUAUUAUUGUAAGAAUAUUUUGAAUUAUAAUUCAGUUAUCAAUUAAUAUCAUAUAUCUUUCAUUGAAUUUGAAGUAUCAUUUAAAUUUACUGUUUUUGGUUGGAUUUUAUGUUACAAGAAGAUUUGUAUAUGGAUGAAAAUCGGCAAAUUUGUCAAAAUUAGUGGCGUUUUCCCAUAAACGCCGCUAAAGUACGUACUUUUAGUAGCGUUUGUGAUGAAAGCGCCGUUAAAGAUAAUGUUCUCUAGCGGCGUUUGUGGGUCAAGCGUCGCUAAAGGUCAUGUUCUUUAGCGGCGUUUGUGUGUAAAGCGCCGCUAAAGCUCAUGUUCUUUAGCAGCGUUUGUGGGUAAAGCGCCAUUAAAGGACAUGUUCUUUAGCGGCGUUUGUAGCUAAAGCGCCGCUAAAGGUUAUGUUCUUUAGUGCGUUUGUGGCUAAAGCGCCGCUAAAGAUUAAGUUCUUUAGCGGUGUUUUUUUCACAUAAACGCCGCAAAAGUUAGCGACGUUCUCAAUAGCGGCAUUUUUUGCGGCGCUUUUGUGUAGUGGAGGAUGAUGAGGAAAGUCUUGACGAUGUUGUGGAUAGCUCGGUUCAAGUUUAGGGUGCUUCUAAUAGUGCUAAUGUUUCUUCUAUUGUUCCAUCGACUGGGAAUCCUUCUUCUAUUAGUGUAGCUGCUGAUACAGUUACCUCUACUUCAAUAAGAGAUGAGACAAUACAGAUUGCCUGGGUCAUGUUUAGUCUUUUUGUAAAACUUUGGUAUUUAAUGCAAACUUUAUCCCUUAUUUGGAUUCCGUGUUUAUGUUAUGCAUCCUUGCAUUUCUUUAUCAACUUAUUGUAUUGAUCUUGUGUAGCUUUAUCAAGCUUUUAUUUUUACUACUUGGAAGAUGUAGGGAAUUUUAUUCUUUCCUUAUUUGUUGUAUUGUGCUUUUAGAUUAACUUAGUGAGAAGUACCCUUGGCUAAGUCUUUCAGAAGGCUAGUAGUUUUAUUUGCUAUUAAUUUAACGGGCAGUAUCCUUGGAGGGUCUGUGCUAAAUUAAUGGGCAGUAUCCUUUUUUAGUUGCAAUGUGACACCUCACACUCGAUUCGGACGACGAAUUUAUAUAUAAAACAUCACAUUCAUUAUCGAAACAACUCAAACAAACAAGAAACUGACGUCAAAGCCAAAUCAAGAAGCAUAGCACAUAAUUCAUAAUUUCCAAAACGCUAAUAAUUAAUUUGUAACUUUUUUUAAUAUAGUUAAUUUAAUGACUAAUGCCGUAAUUAGUCUCACUUAAAAAGAGCCCACCAUUUGACUUGACGCAGAGGUCAAGAGAUAUCUCUAAAAAUGGGAAGCAAUAUAUGAUGUUUAUGGUUGAUAUUGUUCUAUGUGAGGUGUUCAAAUGGUUGAUUGAUCAGUUAACUAAAUCGAACUAGUAUUAAUUGAAUUAAUCUAACUUUUUAAUCUUUAACUGUUAAUUAAAUCGAUUUUUUUUCAAAAAGAUUAACCGAACAAAAAAUAUUUCAAUUAAUUCAAUUGGUUAACCAAAAUUUAUAUAUAUUUUUUGUUUAAAAUGAAUAUAAAACAUAUAAAAAAAUUGAUAAUGUUCAUUUGACUGAAUUAACCUAAUUAAUCAAAUUAGUAAUAGCCUAAUACAUAUGACAUAUAAUAUUAUUUAUUAAGUUCAGUUAAUUCGGUUAAUUACUCGAUUUCGAACUGAAUUAACCAUUAACUGAAAUUCCAAAAAUCAUUUAAUCGAUUUUUAACCAAAUUAAAUCAGUUAACUGAUCAAUUAACCGAAUUAAAUCAAUUUAAUCAAUUAAUUUAAUUUUAACCGAAACUUAAACACCUUUUUUAACUCUAUGAAUGCCAAAAUCCAUAUAUAGACUUAUUUCGGAUGUUAGAAUUUUCCACCAAAAACCAAGUCUUUGUGGAAUUAAAGUUUUGUUGCUAAGACCCACUGGAUUUUUCAUAACCACUAUAAUUAGAUUAGAACUAUCUCUCCGCGUAUGCUCGAGUUUAAAAUUUUUUAAUUAAAUUUUAUUAAUCUAUUUUUUAAUUAUUAUAAUAUUAACAUAGAAAUUAAAAUUGUGAUUAUUGUUUAUAAUAGAAUAUAAAGUCUUAAAUUAUAAUGAUAAAAUCAUGGAGAAGAUAUUUUAAUUUAAAAAAUGUAUAAAAUUUAUAUAUUAUCUCUUCAAUAAUUUAAAUUAUAAUGAUAAUUUUUAUAUAUUAAAAUUAAUAUAUUAUCUCUUUUACAAUUACAUAAAAAAUUAUAUUAAUAUAUAAAAAUGAUAAAUUAAAAGAAAUUCUCUUUUAAUUGUUUGCCAUUAGAUAUCUAGUGAACUGAUGCCACUAAUUUAACUCUCAAAAAAUGGAAGUUUGAGAAAGCUAAAGGUUGUUAAAUUAGACAAAAAGAAACAAGAAGCCAUGCCAAUAAUUCCGUUAACAAUUUAACCGGACCAAAGUAGAACUAAAUGAUAACAUUAAUGAUGAAAUUAAAAGUUUUUUGUAGUUCAAUGACAAAACAAAAAUACGCUAAUAAUUGAGCCAUUCAUUGUGCAAUUUAGACUUAAUUUAUUUUUGGAAGAAAUUGUAUUUAUGUGAUAAUAAUAAAUUUUAAAAAAAUAUUUAUUUUGUCAAAAAUUUGUAAUUAUAAUCAUUUAAAUAUAUAUAAAAAAGUAUCCAACAAAUAUAUCAAAUUAUUGCAAUAAAAGGAUGAAGAAAUCAUAAUAUAACAAGACACCAAUUAGAAAUAACUUCAUUUCAAAUAUAAAUGAAAUUUAAUAAUGAAACAAAUUUUAUUAAAGGCAAGGACUAAAUUAAAAAAAUUAAAAUCAAUUAUAGACUAAGGGUGAGUUUGGAUGGGCGGUGUGUUUACCUGUGGUUAGAGUAAAAACAGCGGUGGUGGUGAGAUUAGAUACUGUAGCGAUACUGUAGCGUGAGACAAAAAAUAAGUUAAACGCACCGCACCGCACCCAAUCGCCCAUCCAAACUCACUCUAAGAUAUGAAUAUAUAAAUAGUGAAAAGCGUAAUCAUAAACUUUUAAAAUAAAAAUAUUCUAGAAAGCAAUUAUUUCUAAAAAGUAAAAAUCAUCCACCCUCUUUUGUUUAUUAUACUUUUAUAUUGAAUAUACUAUGUCUUUUUACUUGCUGAAAAGGUUACAAAGUUAUCAUAAAUUUCCUAAAAUCUUAUAGCACUUUUCCAAAGAUCCAAUACAGCAUGAUACAAUAGCUGAAUUAUACCAUUAAUUAUUAAAUUAUAGAUAAUCAAACAAGAUUAUAAUUUAGUCAUUAAUAUUUUCAAAAUUAUUUUUAUGGUCACCUGAUUAAGUGGCACUUUUUUUUGUUAGUAUGAUAAUAAUUUUAUUCUUUGAUUUUUCUAUUAAUUUGACUCUGAUUCUAAAUAAAAAUUAUAAAUAAAUAAAUAAAAAGACAAUUUCAAAAAUAGUGGUAAUCAAAUUGUAACGUUUUUAGUUUAAUGUCAAAAACAAAAAUUUAUCUAUAAUUAAUUUAACGCAUAUAUACCCUUUAUUUUUUGAAAGGAAAUCUUACUUAAAAAUAUCCCACCACUUGACUUACACACAAGUCAAGUAAGGAAAGCAAUAUUUGAUGUUUACUGUUGAUAUUAUUUUAUGAAUGCCAAAAUCCAUAUAUAGACUUAUUUCGAGUGUUUGAAUUUUCCACCAAAAACGAAGUCGCUGUUGAAUUAAAAUUUUGGUGCUAAGACCCACUGGAUUUUUCACAACCACUUUUAUUAGACGAUAAUUAUCUCUUCACGUAUGCUGGGGUUUAAAAAUUUUUAAUUAAUAAAUAAACAGAGAUAAUAAAGAACAAAGAAUAUGAGAGUUAACAAAAGAGAGUGUGUGUUUUAUUGAUCAAUCAGAAUAUUUACAAAACUUUUUCAAAAUCUUUAUUUAUAGGUAUAAAAAGUAUAAAUGAAGUAGAGAUCUCCGGAUGACUAUUAAAAUUUAAAGUACAUCAAAACUUUUCUCGGUUUUAAUGGAUAUCCGUUUAAUAAUAUAUCCAAAACAUUUAUUUAUUUUUAAAAAAUAUUAUAAUAUUAACAUAGAAAUUAUAUUUGUGAUUAUUGUUUAUAAUAUAAUAUAAUAUAAAUGAUAACAUCAUGGAUAAAAAUAUUUUAAUUUAAAAAUUGUAUAAAAUUUAUAUAUUAUCUCUUCAAUAAUUUAAAUUAUAAUGAUAAUUUUUAUAUAUUAAAUUUAAUAUAUUUAAUCUUCCUUUAAACGAAACAAAUUACUUGUUGAGUUAUUGUAUUUAUUCUAUGAAUUAAUUUUAAAUUUUAUUUGUUAAUCUUCACAAAAUUAUUAGACACUUUGAGCAGUUUAGAAAAUCAUUUAAAAGUAGAGAAAUUCUAUUGAAGAAUGAUAUUUUUGAUUAUUGAAAAUAUUUGCUUAUUGAAGAAUGAUAUUUUUGAUUAUUGAAAAUAUCUGCUUAUUAUCAGACGGAUGAUAUUUUAAAAACUCAAACUAAUAAAACAAUAAUUUGAAACAGUGAAGAAACUUAUAGAAAGGGUGUAGCAAGAGAGCUAGAGGGUUGACACCAGAAGUCAAGAGAUAUCUCCAUAAUGGUCACUUGUGUUGAGUGGUCUGGGGUGAUUGAAUUUUGUACAUUGAAAACGAAGGUAGAGGACAAUUGCUUUCUUGUCACUAUUGCUACAAAUGCCAUUGAAUUUCCACAAGAAAUUUAUCCCAUAUUUAGUUAAGGGAACCUCACUUGACUUGACACGUGACACAAGUCAAGAUAUAUCUCUGAAUGUAAGUAUUAUAGAUUUUUAUUUUUUUUCUAUUAUAUCAAGUAAAUUUUUUAUAUUUAUGUCAUGUAAUUAUAUUAUGCAGUAAAACGUACAAGUCUAAUUCAUAAUGACUUUCGAUAUUGCCUCACGUAUCAUCAUGCCUAUGCUAUUUUUGUAUUAUCCUUGUUUUGAAGGCUAUAUAUAUUUAUAUAAAUUUUGUUUUAGGUAGAUUUUAACAUGUUUUUUCUUCAUCUCAAGUACAUUUUUUUUUAUUUUUUUUUUCAUAUUUUAGUUAUUGAAUGUUGGGCUUAAAAUAUUAUAAACAUUCCUAAUUAUAUAUUAAUUUUACAUUAAGUUUUAACAGAUAAAUUUAGCAUUAUUAUAUUAUACUAUAAUAAAUUUCUUAGGUCAAAAUUAUCUUUGAUUUUUUAUCCAAUUAGAUAUUCCUACACCUUUUUUUUUAUUUCUAAUAACAAAUUCAAAAUUAUCUAUAUCUAUCUAUAGUACAAACUGGCUCUUAAGAGAGUUUUAAGAGUAAAUGGGUUGAUAAUAGUGUUUUUCAAUUUUAUACAUAUUCACAAUUUUUAUCUUUAAAGGUGUCAAGGUUCGUUCAUUUAUUUUCAUAUAAUUAUGUUCAUUUAUCUUCAUACCAGGCUUUCUUGCAGGCUUACAAUCUACUCUAGCUUAUUAUUACUUUAAUGCAAGCUGCAGGACAGGAUUAUGAGUGUAACACCCUAAAUUCGGCCUAGACGUUAUAGUCGUAUCUGGUAAUGUCACACGAUAGUGUUUUUGAAACUUCAUUGUUACGAUGAAAACAUUCCAUAUUUUUUAUUUUAUUUUUUAUUUUAGUAAACCUUUGUUAGAACUUAGGAAGUCGUCUUUACUCAUUUAAAACAUUUUUUUUGAAACAUCCCUCGUUAUAAAUUCAUAAAGUAAAAUAAAUAAAUAAAAACCCAAAUUUAAAACCAAAGUCCCAGAGGGUCCUUAAAUUACAACCCAAAUAAUCAAUAAUAAUCAAAUCGUAAAUCGUAAAUUGAAAACCAUGAAGUCCAAAAAUUACUAUGGUCACCGCUGAGUCCUCCAUCACACCUAUUCAUCUAGGUCUGGGGAUUACCUGUGCACAGUAAACAAAAAGGCGAGUUUAUGUAAACUUAGUGUGUAAUCCCAUAGAAACAAACAAACAAUCAAUAUUCACAGUGCACAGUUGAAUAGUCUUGGGCCUAAGCCCUUUUCAGUAUCAGUGACAGUUUGGGCCUUAGCCUAUCUCAAUACAAUGUCAAAAAUGCAAUAGGACCUUAGCCCAUUACAGUAUUAGUAGCAGUAACAGUUAUGCAGUAGUAAAAUCCUACCUAACCAGCCUCUACACACCAUCUCCGUCCAACCCUACACUCCAUAUAGGGAUAUAAUCAACUCACUCAUCUCUACACUCUAAGUAGUACCGAAUGAGGCACAAAACAGUAGUUUGCAACUGAGCUGCCAGUAAAUUUGGCUAAAAGCCUUUCAGUACACUUCUUCCGAAUAACAACCCCCAAUCCAAUGCAAUGCAACAUACAAUGGAUGACAUGCUAUUAUGCAAUUUCAGUACAUAUAUUCAAUUCAAAUAUUUUCAUACUCAGUACAGAUAUCAUUCAGUCAAUUUCACACAUUUAGGGAUCUAAGUAGCGUUUACCGACCCUACAAUAGGUUCACAGUCGACUUGGGUGACCCGUGCAACCUUAGAAACAUUUCGAUGAAAAUGGGCUCACAUACCUAUGUGAUCUGCCCCUGUGGGCCCACAGGCCUGUGUAGCCCACUCGGCCCAAAUUGGCCUUGGUCGUGUGAUCUAUUUUUAAUGUAACCCAUGCUAGCUAAAUAUUCAUAUAUGUUUUCACUAUUUACUUAUAUGUUCAUUCAAAGUUGUCUACUUGAGUCAUUGUCACUAAAUUAUUUAUAUCUUGAGUUACGAAAAUCCAAAUUAAGACCCGCUUGAUGUUUUUGAAACUAGACUCAAAUACCUUUCUACCAUAAAAUUUUCAGAAUUUAUAGUUUAUCAAAUAAGUACAUUAAAAUCUUCAAAUUUAUCCCAAUUCUGCUAUUUGACAGCUUCAACUUUUUCUUACUUAAAAUUAUUUAUCUCUUAGUACGGAAUUUGGAUGAUGUUUCUAUUUGUUUCUCUUGAAAAUAGACUCAUUAACGAUUUAAACAUAUAAAUUUAAGCCCUUAUUUAUUGUUUUUCAAUUUUUGAUGAUUUUCCAAAGUCAAAACAGGGGAACCCGAAAUUAUUCUAACAUUGUCUCACAAAAUUUAUUAUAUCUCAUAAUUUACAAUUCAAUUGCUUACAUUGUUUCUUCCAUGAAAAACUUAAUAAAAUUUAAUUUCUAAUUUUAUUCAACCUCUAACUCAAUUUCCACUUAUCUUGAUGAUUUUUCAAAGUUAGACUACUACUGUUGUUCAAAACUAUUUUAGUGCAAAAUGUUGAUUUCCAAGUUUAUAACACCCUUAUUUCCUUUCUCUAUAAGUUUUCACAUUAUUUUCCCUUAUUUCUCUUAUUUCUCGAUAGCAAGCAAUUUCGACUUUUCGCCGAAUCCUAUUUUCUGCGUUUCGGGUACACACCUGGUAUCGUUUUGCUGCAAAUACGCUCUCAGGCACUCCAAGACUUAAAAAUCGAUAAUUAGAGCCCAAUUUAGAUCACUAACGAAAACUCAAAACUAAAAAUCAUCUACAUCAAAAUCAAUAGCAAACCUAAACACUUACCGACAACGAACUAAAAUUUCUAACGCUCAAUUUGCUUGUGAAGCCGCAACUGAUUUCUGAUUUUCGCCUAAACCAAGAGAGCCAAAACAAUCCUUUUUAGGAACUAGCUAAGAAACGAUAAAAUAGAGACAAUUAGAUACUUACAGAACCAGUGUAUACAAUUGCUAGUUGGAAAAUAGGCUAGUAAAAAAAUCAAAUAGAGAGGGUGGGCUAGGGAACAAAAAUUUGGCAAAGCAAAGAAGAAGAGGACGGUAGAAAAAUUGGGGAAAAAAAGAGAAUGCCGAAAUUUAGGAAAAAUAAAAACCAAAUAGAAACUUAGAUGAUAUUAAUAACUACCCUACAUCCCUAAAUUUUCUCCCACCAAUCCUACUAACCUACAACCACUCCAGAAUUCCACUCUGCCGAAAUACUUGUCCAUCAUUGCGUAAAAAUAACGCCUAUGCUCCAGCAUAGAUUCGAACUCAGGACCUCAUAUAAUUAAACACUCUACUUAACCACUAGACCAGCAGACCCAUUUUGUUAUUUAAUUACCAACUAUUAAACUUAAGCUUUUUAGGCCAGGUUAAGGCUUUAUUUAUAAAAAUACUAAUAUUUGCCCAAGUCAUGGCUUGAACUUGGGACCUCCCACACACUUCCAAAACACUUACCCAUUGAAGCAGACAAGUACUUAUAUCACAAAAACAAGAAUUAAAAAUUUUGGUGCAUUAUAAUUCUACCCCCAAGAGAAAAUUUCAUCCUCGAAAUUUACCUGAUCAGAACGAAUGAGGAUGCUGCUGACACAUCGCAUCCUCAAGCUCCCACGUUGCCUCCUUAGUAUUAUGGUUACACCACAGAAUCUUCACCAGAGGGAUAGACUUCCUCCUCAAAACCUUUACGUCUCAAUCCAUAAUCUGAACCGGCUCCUCCUCAAAGGUUAAAUCUGGCCUAACCUCAAUCUACUCUAUUGGAACAAUAUGUGUAGGAUUAGAGAGGUAGCACCUCAACAUAGAAACGUGAAACACGUCAUGAAUUUGAUCCAACUCUAGAGACAGCUCCAAUUGAUAAGCGAUCGGUCCCACUCGUUUCAAAAACCUAGAGCUCAACUUGCUCUUACGACCAAACCUCAGACUCUUCUUCAUUGCAAAACCUUGAGGAACAUGAAGUCCCCCACGGAAUACUCAAUCUCUUGACGCUUUAGAUCCGCAUAGGAUUUUUAUCUGUCUGAUGGCAUUUUCAGACGAUCCCGAAUCAGUCUAACCUUAUCUUUAGUCUCCAAUACUAACUCAGGAUCCAGAACACGUCGUUUGCCCAACUCAGUCUAACAUAAAGGAGUGCGACACUUAUGACCAUACAAUGCCUCGUAAGGUGUCAUCUAGAUGCUAGACUGAAAACUGUUAUAAUAGGUGAACUCCGCCAGUGGCAGAUAAUCUUUCAAACUACCUUAAAAAUCAAUAGCACAGCUCUUGAAUUUGAGCCUUAAGCUCCACAAGCUCCUUCCGUGCCUUUCGAUAGGGAGCGAUGGACACCAGAGCUGUACCUGGAAGUAGCUCAAUCCCAAAUUCCAACUCGUGAUUCGGAGGUAACCCAAGUAGCUCUUAAAAAAAGACGUCUAAAAAAUAUUUUACCGUUUCAAUAUCCUUAAUUGUAGAAUCCUUAGAAUCCAAAACACUUACGGAAGCUAAGAAUGCCUCACAUCCCUUAUGAACUAUUUUCUCUGCCACCAGUAUAGAGAUCACAUUAGAUAAGUAAUUCUGGCAUUCUCCAAUCAUGACUACCUCUUUAUCCUUCUUAGUCCUUAGUACGACCCUCUUAGUCGCACAGUCUAAGCUAACACGAUGCUUGACCAAUCAGUCCAUCCCUAGAAUUAGGUCAAACUCCCCAAAUAGAAGCUCCAUCAAAUCAGCCAAGAAGAUUGCCCCUUGUACCUCUAAAGGAAUGUCCUUAUACAGUUUACUAACUCUAACAGAUUGCCUUAAUGGGAUCAGUACCGUAACUUCACUCGUAGUGCUCUCAACUGGAAUUGUUGACACCAUUUUUGGAUUAAAAACGGGGUCGACUUGGGUUUUGAAAAUGAAAAUGAAUAGAGGAGUCGCCACCAAUCCUUUUUGAUGAGGUGCGAUCGGGUCACCUCGAAUUAAUCAUUUUAAUAAAAGUUAAGAUUUACUAAAACGAUAAUUUUUUUUGGUCUACGAAAAUCAGAAAAUGAGUUCGGGAGUCGGUUACGCACGAGGAAGGAUUAGCACCCUCGAUACGCCCAAAAAUUGGUACCUAGUUGAUUAAUUAGUGUCUUAGUUUCGAAAAUUGAAAACUUAAAAUACUUUGAAAUACGAUCCAUCUCUUUGUAAAAAAAACUCAAAUAUUAAAGACCUUCUCAUCUCUAAGUGAUAAAAUAUCACAUCCAGUAAGUUAGGACACGACAUCUCGAGCUUUUGAGAGUGAGUUUGUCUUUAUUUAAAAUUCAUGCAUUUUAACUUUUUUUUAAAAAGGAUGUUCGGUUAUUUAGGGUAAACGAAGAAAGUCGAAACCCAGUAAGUUAGGGUACGUUUUCUCGAAUUUCCUAAAAACGAAAUAUUGCCUUAUUUUGAAUUUUUUUUUGAAUAAUAGCAAAUGCAACAUUUAGAUAGUGUGCAUUAUUUGUUUGGAUUAAAAUAAAACAAUUUAUUGGAUAAAUGCAACGAGACUUGAUUCAUGAAGCGAUGAUAUAAAAUAAAAAUAUAGUAAUAAGCCUAGAACAAUGAUACAUGAACACAACAUUAUAUGGAUGAAUCACAAUAAUGCAAAAAUACGAAAUAAACAAAUUAAAAUACACAAAGACAAUAAUCAUACAACAUUUAAAUAAUAACAUCGAUAGAUAAAAGACCAAUGAAUUAAAUAAUAAUUUUUUAAGAAAAUAAAUGGCAUAAAAUAAAUUAAAAUAAAUAAUAUAAAACAUUUUAAAAUGACAAUAAUAAGUUUGAAAUAAAUAAUGUGAAAAAGGAAAUUUAAAAAUCAAUAACACACUAAACGAUAAAAAAUAUGUUUAUACAAAAAAUUAAGAUAAACAGUAUGUAUAUAUAUGUAUAAAAGUAUGAAGUGAAUGAUAUAAAAAGAGCAAAUAAUAGCAGUAAAACAUUUCGGAAUAAAUAAAUAGGAUUCAAAAUAAGAUACGUAUAACAAUUUAAAAUAAGCAAUAUAUAAAUAAAUAGAGUUUAAAAUAAAUGAUGUAAAAAAAAAAAUUUAUUUAAAAAAAAGGAACAAUAAUAUACGAAAAAGAAAAAAAGAUAUAUGAAGAAUAGAAAAUAUUUAUAUAAUAUGUGCAAAGAAACCAAAAUAAAUAAUGUAUGUAGAGUAGUUUAGAAUAAACAAUAUAUGCAAAACAACUUACAACUUUGAGUAAUUGAUACAUAAAAUUGGUUAAAAUUAAUAAUAUAUGAAAAUGAACCGUAUAUAGAAUAUUUUAAACACAUACAAUAACAGUUCCUUUUUUAAGAAAAAGAAUUAAACAGGUGAAGGAUUAAUUCGAAAACAAUACAAAAUUCUAGGUAAAAAAUAAAAAGAUACUGCCAGGAUUAAAAUGAAGUGCACCUAAAAUCAUAAGGACCAAAUGGGAUAAAAACCAUAGCCCUAACAUGCGCAUGAGGCCCGACAGAUCAAAAGACUGAUUUAAAAAACAAGCAAAAUCUAACAACUAAAUUAAGAGAAAAAGCAAAGAUAAAAUAGGGCCUGAUCAAAGGACGCUAAAGAUGGAGGGACCUCGUGUGCAAAUAUCCUAAUAAUUGAGGAUACAUGAAUCCCCAUCCCCACCAACGGCACCGUUUUGUUUGGUGUUUAAAACACCCAUUCUCUUUAUUAUUUCAGCCCUAAUUUCAUAGAAGAAAAGAAAAAAAGAACAAAAAAAAUAGAAUGUUAAAGCUUCUCUCCCUCUCCUCUCUUACUGAAUCGUGAGCCCGUCGCCGUUGCAUCACCGCGCCCCCACCGUAUCGGUGGCUGGCGAUGCUCAAGGGUGGGUUUUUAGCCCCCGAUUCAACCAGGUAUGAAGGCUAAGAUUUUUUAACCAAGAAAACCCGAAAAUGAAGGGAUCUCCACCCGUUUUGGGUUCGGCUCCGACGACUGAGGGAACCGCCGACGGUGUGACCCAGGGGUUCGGGUAAGUUUUCUCCCCGUCUUCUUUUUAUUUCUUGUUCUUGAAGCUUAAAAGCAAAAUCAAAAAUGAAAAAAGAAAAAAAGAAAUCAGAAAUUGAAAAAACGUAACCUUUUUCUUUUGUUUUUGCUCUUUUAUUUCUGAAAUAUGCGUGUGUACAAGAAUGGGGAUCCCUUUUUUACAAUUGCUUUCGGCUUCUGUUUUUAGCCGAAUGAGAUAGAAUCCAAAAUCUCCCCCUUUUACAUUGAAAAUGAAUGGCUCUUUAUAGCCGAUUAUACAAAGUCCUAUUGUUGUUUUGUUACUGUUUGCUGCGUUUCUGUUUCUGUUGCUGCUUCCGUCAUGUUUGCAGGUGUUCAAGGAGGUGAUGGGAGCAGGUGGAGGAGAGAUGGCGAUGGGACGUGCGGCUGACAGAGAGCAGCGGCAAGUGGGAUACUAGGGUUUCAGUUUCUGAAACCCUAGUCUGAUGUGGGCUUGGCUGUUGGGCCAGGGUGCUGGGCCUUUUAUUUCUUUCUUGGGCCCGGGCAAAUGGGCCUGCAACAGCUGCCCCUCUUUGCUCGUUGUCGUGUAACGAUAACAGAGAAAAGACUAAGAAAGGCCCAUUUUGCCCGGUCUCGCCGAGUCUUGACUUGUUCUGGUACUUCUCCAUUUCAAGUAGUUUCAUUCCAGUCCACUAGGUCUUGUUGCUUCGAUCCAUUCCACUGCAUUUUAGAGAGAUGCGUCCUGUAGCCUUUAUCUUCUUCGUAGCAACUUCAGGGGGACGAGGUUUGUGGUUUUCAAUCUAUUCCACUGCAUCUUCAGGGAAAUAAGACUUGAUGCGACCUACUCUGCUGUAACCUCAGAGAGAUAAGAUCCUUUAUUUUAACCCACUCCACUGUAACUUCAGGGAGAUAGGAUAGUGUCUUCGAUCUGCUCCGCUGUAAUCUCGGGGAGAUAAGAUCUCUGGCUUCAAUCUGCUCCACUGUAACUUCAGGGGGACAAGAUCUGUAAUUUCCAAUCUAUUCCACUACAGGUCAGGGAUAUAGGACUUGUGGUUUGAAUCCGCUUCCUUACACUUGAAGAUAAGAUUUGCUGUCUUUGAUCUGCUCCGCUACGGCUUAGGGAGACAAAAUCUGUAACCUUUAACCAGCUCCAAUGCAACCAAUGGAGGCAAGGCUUUGUUUUUGAUCUGCUUUACUGUUAAUGCAGGAAGGCAAGAUCUGCUUCUUUAACUAGCUCCACUGCAAUCGAUGGAUGCAAGGCUUUGUUUUCGAUCUGCUUCGCUGUUAAUGUAGGACGGCAAGAUCUGCUUCUUUAACCAGCUCCACUACAACCGAGAGAGGCAAGGUUUGUGUCUUCGACCUGCUUCAAUGUCAAUGCAGGAAGGCAAGAUCUUUUGUCUUCAACCAGCUCUAUCACAACCGAAAGAGGCAAGGUUUGUGUCUUCGAUCUGCUUCGCUGUCAAUGCAGAAAGGCAAGAUCUUUUGUCUUCAACCAGCUCCAUCACAACCAAAGAGGCAAGGUUUGUGUCUUCGAUCUGCUUCGCUGUCAAUGCAGAAAGGCAAGAUCUUUUGUCUUCAACCAGCUCCAUCACAACCGAAAGAGGCAAGGUUUGUGACUUCAUUGAUCUGUCCCUUGGGGAACAUGACCUGUAUGUUCUAUUUUAUGAACCUAAUUGUGCCUAGUGAUUAGGAUGACAUAAUCAGAAUGAAUCAAAUGCUCCUAACUAGAUAUGUAUGAAUGACAUUUGAAUGAAUGCAAAAUGUCAUGAAGAUGAUUCCUUAAUGCUUAGGUUAACAUCACGUAAAAACUUAUUAAGGUUUUAUCACUGACGUACUACAACGCCUUUUUGCUCGUCUGGUAUAUCCAAAGAAACACUUAAUCUGGUUGCCCCCCACUGUAAACCUUAAAGUUUAAUCUAUUAGGGCACAAAAUUUGUACCAUCAUUCUCCCACUACAAUCCAAGGGUAGAAAUAUGGUUUUUCCUCAAUCCUCUUUUAUCACAAUUCAAGGAUAUAGGAUCUUAAUCUUUCUGGUCCCCCUUUACACCAUUUCCAGGGUGUCGUUUCAAAGACUCAUGCACAAAUGAAGGCUCUCUUCUCCGAGGUAACCUCUUCCUAUUGCCUAGUGAUCAUUGCUUGCUUGUUUAUUUAAGCUUUUUCAUUGACACGACAUCUUGUCAUUUUGUUCAAUCAAUGCAUUUGUCAACAAAAUCCAAAGAGAAAGUCUAAACUUAGACUCUUCCUUCUCAAAUUUCCAACCUUCAAAUUUGGCAUGUUCUAAACAAUAGUCCUGUUUUAGGUUCCUGUAUUAUUUAGAAACUUUUCAGAGUAAUAUGCAAAACUUCCUUUGUGAAAGUUUUAUUAGUCCAUUAAUCAUUAUUCCAAUGCUUGCAAAAAGGUCAUAACAAUGGAUAAGAAUAAAGUUGGUUCUGAGCAUAGCUCGAAAGAACAAAUUAUCGAAAAUAGUGAAGAAGGACAACAAAAGAAUUAAUUGGGAAUGUAUAUCUUGGAAAGAAAGAAAAAGUAUUCCAAGAACAACAAAUAACAUGAGAAUUGGGUGCCCCAGAUAUCACAGCUUGAACUUCUCUAUACAAACUUUCUGAAGACCCUUUUGAGUUGGACAUGUGUUUAGGAGAUCUACAAUGCUCUGUCGAUGCCCCCAAGAUGUCGCCUAUCCUUUCCUGUUGAUUCAGGCAUGGCAAGAUCAACACAUGCCUCAAUAUGAACAAAACUUGAGCAGCUUAUAUCACCCCAUGCCCCAUUUUGAUCAGUAUUUGAGCCGCCCUUUUCGGGUUUUCAGCUCAGAUCCCCUUUGGCCUAAGGCGCCCUUUGCGGGUUUUCCCCUUAGCCUCUCCAUUUUACUCUUUUCAUUUUCCAUUUUCAUUCUUCAUCUUUUUAUUUUUUUUGAACUUCAUUGUCUUACAAUACAGUGACAAACUGUGAUGUCUGAUUUUGAACCGAUUACAGCCCUCAACUAUCAUGUUGUCAUUCUAGUUCAAUACAUUUUCCCAUACCAUCGUCUCUAGAAUUCUAUAUUGGCAUAUGAUGACAUUGACGCAUGCUGUAGCCUUUAUCCAUUUGAUGAAGUAAUUAAUGAUCUCAAUAGUGAAGCAAUGCCCAUUAGAAGUCUUCGAUAAUGGUGAUGUCCAUGCCCCAUUUUGCUCAAAAUUUGAGUCACCCUUUUUGGGUUUUCCACUCAAAACCACUUUUGGUCACAAAGCGCCUUUUUGGUUUUUCGCCUUGGCCUCUCCUUUUCUUUUCUUUGCUUUUCGUAUUUUUAUUUUGACUUUGAUUGAUUUCUCUUUGUUUUUAUUUUUUAUUUUGAUUUUGAUUUUGAUUUUGUUUUUUUUUUUCAUUUUUCCUUGUUUUUUGAAUCGGAUCUAAACUCUUGGGAUUAGGCAAGUCUUUGUUAUCCCCUUCAAAGGAUCUUCUCUGAUAUCGAAUUUCCUUUAUAGAGCCUUUUAGGGCAAAACUACAACUGGAAACUUUUGAUCUUCUUCUUCCAUCGGGAUAAAAUCUAGCAACAUCUUGAAGGAAUAGAAACUCGACUUCAAACGGGCAAAGCUAUGCUGAAUUGACGAGAACGGUAUUGCCCCGGCAAAGAAUUGUAUCAUUCAUACGAGUUUGGACAUCGUGUUGUUGUGCAGAUUUCAUUAUCAGUGCUUAACCCAGCAUAUCCUGGUAUGAUCCUACAAAGACAUCUUUGAACAAGGUCUUGCUUCAUUUUUAAGGACAAGUCAAUUCCAAGCUCAGAAUUCCUAGUGAUCUGUCUAUCCUCCUACUCAACCAUCCUCAAUAAGUUUGGGGGUAAGCUACUAUCUAUGUCAUUUCCAAAGUCAUGAGAUCCAUCUAAGCACAUGCCUCACUCAAGUGGAAAAUCUGAGUUUGCAGCAGUUUCAUUCAUGUUAUUGAUAUCUGAGGACUCAUAAUAAGCACCGAGGAAUAUACAAAAGAAUGUAUAAAUUUAUGAAUGAUUAUUUACAAUAUGAUUAUGAAUGAAUGUUGUGGAAGAAAAUCCAACAGAAUGAAAUAAUCAAAAAUAAUUAUUAAAAAGAAUGAAAGAAUAUUGGCUCAAAAAGGAACGCAAAGAUGUAUUUUAUUAGAAUAAUAACGUUCAGACAUUAGCCUAUUUCACAAAGGAAUUUCUAUCGCUUCAGGCUAAAAACAGCAAAAAUGUUCUGAACAUUACUCUAAAUAAGCUCUAAAAACUACAGGGAUUUAUUCUACAAGCCCAUUGCUUGGAACACUCCAGGUUUAUAAGGGCAGACAUCUAACAAGAUCCCUUUUCAAUUAUGCCUUCAUAUAUGGUAUUGAUGUGAAAACUUCCCAACACUUUCUCAUAUAUUGCGUUCACCCCAUUGUUAAUCAUGAUUGGGUGGCGAAUUUUCUGCAUUAGAUGAGUCACCAAACUUGACGACACCCAUGUUGAUGAGCUUUUCAACCAGUUUCUUGAAGGCUAUGCAGUUCUCUAUGGAAUGCCCCGUAUUUCCCGCAUGAUAUUCGCAAUGUGCAUUCGCAUCGUGCCAUUUGGGGUACGGUGGCUGUGGAGGUUUUGAGUAGAAAGGAGAAACAAUGCGUGCAUCGAAUAACUUUUGAUACAGCUCAUUAUACGACAUCGGGAUUGGCGUGAACUGGAGGUUCUCAGUACCUUGUUUCACACUAAUUUCUUGUCUAGAUGAACCUUGCUGACUAGCAGUCACCUUUCUUGGCUGUGUAAUCGAUUUGUUGUAAGUGUUGACAUUGCUCACAUCAUUUUCCUUCUUCUUUAAGUCUGACCUUCUAUUAUUCUCCCCAGCAUCAAUCUUUCCACUUCUCACGGCACUUUCAAUCAUUUCACCGCUCAUGACUAUGUCUGAAAAACUCUUCGAAGCACUUCCUAACAUGUGGGUGAUGAACGGGGCCUUCAAUGUGUUGAUGAAGAGCAUCGUCAUUUCUUUCUCUAGGAGUGGCGGCUGAACUUGGAUAGCGACCUCCCUCCACCUUUGUGCGUAUUGCCUAAAACUUUCAUUAGGUUUUUUCUCCAUAUUUUGCAGGGUUAUUCUGUCAGGGACCAUAUAAGCUACAUGACUGUAUUGUUUCAUAAAGGCUUGUGCUAAAUCCCUCCAAGAACUAAUCUGGAUACGCGUCAAUUGAUUGUACCACUUAGACGCUGUCCCUGUGAGGCUAUCUUGAAAGCAGUGUAUGAGCAGUUGGUCGUUGUUGACGUAUCCGGCCAUACGCCUACAGAACAUAGUAAUAUGAGCUUCUGGGCAGCUGGUCCCAUUAUAUUUCUCGAAUUCCGGCAUCUUAAAUUUGUAAGGGAGCACCAAGUCCGGAACCAAGCUCAGAUCCUUUGCAUCUAUUCCAUAGCUUUCGAUGCUUUCUAUUGCCCUAAACUUCUCUUCUAUCCAUUUCCAUUUCUCCUCAAAUUGUUUUGGAAAUUCCUCCUUCGCCUUAUCCUUUUCAACCAUCUCGUCAAGAUCUGGGACAGCAAUAUUAUUCGGGCUAUCACCGGGAUUAAAGCCCGCUCCGGGUUGAAAAUUCAUUGGAAUUGAAGCAUCGCCUUGGAACUGCUGGGGCCUAACCGACACAGAGGGUCUCCGCGGAUGCAGCUCAGUCUGUACUUGCGCAUGCGGAGGCGUGAAACCUGGAGGAUAAAGUGGUUCACCAUUGUUUUCUUCUUCACUAACAAUCACAGGACCUUUACCCUUGUCUACUCCCUUCAAUAAUUGCGUCAUCUUAGCCACCAGAUCAUUUUGGGACUCCUCCAUCUUUUGCACCAUGUCACGCUGAAUCUUUUCUAUUUGCUCUUUCAUUUGCGCCUGCAACUGGUCUUGCAUUUCUUUUUGAAGUCGCUCUAGCUUCUCCAACCUUUGGUCCAUAAUUUUUGUCUUAGCUCGGGUGCCGUAACUUUGUUGGUUUUCCAGGUUAACUGAAAUGAUUUUAUUCGAUUAGGUUUUUAAUGGUCAUUAAUGCAUGUGAUGUGAUGCAAUGCAUGAAAAGAAUGCAAAGAAAAAGAGGCACUGAUUCUAAUUCAACUUCAUUAGAAAACUUUACUAGAUAAAGAGUUUCUUUACAUAAAAUAGACUACAUAUAUGGCUUUGCCCUCACACUCAAAGCCUUAACCUUUCUAAGAAGCCAAGCUAAUUCUCGGCCCCUGUCCGACUCUGACUCAUACUUCAAACUUAAUAGAUCAGCCUGAACCGCUAGAGUUUGCAGAUGAUCAGCUACUUCGCGCACUUGAGUCACCGCCUCUCCCAUAAUAUAAUCUCUUUCUCCAAUCUGCUCUUGAGACCGACGGAAUUGUCUUUGCCACUGCUCAUUACUUUCUUCCAGAAGCUCUAUCCGGAUUUCACUAUUUUGUAAUGCAUUCUCUAGCCCUCAUAUCUGUCUUUUUAAUUCUUCAAUUUUGUCUAAGCUCACCCUUAAUUCAACCGUAGCAUUACGAUUACAGUACUGGUGAAGCGAUCUUUCUAGUUCAGUUAUCCGGACCUUCAACACCGUCUUCUCGUCUUGGCAAACUAGUAGACUCUUUCCCAAGGCGACUUCUCGAGCCCGAGUAUCCUGAAAUUUCUUUUCCCAUUGAUUAGCUUUUGUCUUUUCCUCCUGAAUUUCUUGUCGCCAUUGUUCUGGUGUUUUACCCAAGCCAGCGGCUCUUACCGACUUACGCAACUUCUUGUAAUCUGUCUUCAGGCUGUCCAAAUCUUCUUCUGCCUUGUUCUUUCCUUUUCUCAAUUUGUUGGCCUCUAAUCUUUGAAUGUCCACAUCCAGUCCUAACUGCAUUUUUUCUUCCUCUAGUUGUUCUAUCUUCUUCCCUAAUUCUAAACUUCUUUUUUCGAAUUCUUGUUUGAUGAUUUCUAUUUCAGAAGGCAAAACUUGUAAGUGUUCCUCUAAAGAUCGAGCAGUUUCUGAAUUUGACGCCGGGAUGUUGUCAUUGAUCCUUUGAUCACGCCACUGACCAUACUCGGGGGUAAUUGUCGGACCCACGGCUAAGAUCUUCAUUCGACGAGUCUGGUUCCAGGCACUAGAUAUUUCUCGAACCUUCUUCUUGUAAUUGUCCUUCCUAUAGGAAAAAUCACUAUAAGCCAACCCCUGGGUUGCUGGUAUGAAUUGUCGUGAUCUAUACUGUCUUGAUACGAGUAGAGGAGCAUAUCCGAUAGCUCUCCAUAUCCCGAGCAGCGGAACCCAGUCAAAAUCUCCACAUCGGUACAAUAUCUCAUCAGGAAUUAACCAAGGAGCCCUCCAUUCAAUAUCUUCAUCUUGGAGAUUCUGGAGUAUCUCUAUCCAUUUUUCUUCUGAAAUAUCAUCUCGUCUUGGCGUGGCCACCAAUUCUCCUAGAGGGGAGUAGCUAUCAGAGAAUACCCGAUAAGAGACCUUUUCGACUUUCCAGAAGUGGCUAUGGAACCAUGCCAAUAAGAGCUGCGCGCAUCCAAUAAACCUUCCCUCCCCUACUUUUCGACACGCAUUCAAUGAUCUAAAAGUUUCAGCGAGUAUUGCCGGAACCGGUGUAACCCCUUUACUAAGCCGAUCGAACAAAUCAGAUACAGCCUCGUCUAUGUGUCCUAAAGCUUUGGGGAAAACCACUAGUCCAUAGAUACCUAAAGCGAAAACAUCGACCCUUUUCUUUAAGUCAGGAUGUACAAGCACCAAAUCUCGCAAACUUUUCCAAGGAACACAUUUACUGUCGCCCUUCUGUUGGAUCCGGGCAGCGACCCACUGCUCGCUCAUUCCAGUGAUGUUCAUUAAUUUCUUUAACAACGGAGGGACACAAGCAGCUCUGGAAUAAGCCUUGUCGACUUGAAUCUUUGGGCACCGAAGCAAGGUCGUAUACUCCUCCACAGUAGGCGUCAAAUCUACCUUCCCAAAAGUGAAACAACUGUAGGCAGGAUUCCAAAACUGAGCAAGGGCUCGGAAUAAAUACUUGUCCACUUUGACACUAAGCAGGUAAGGUAGGUCACCGUAGUUACAAUAGAACAGCUGCUUGGCCUCGACAUCCCAUUGAUCCCAGACUUCUUUCAUUUCUCGAAGGUCAUUUUGGAUUACACUGAUACGGGUAAAAUCCCACAAUUCUGACACGUACCCUUCGGUAAGACUAUCGCCUUUCUCCCGUUGUGUCGUUUCAGCCCAUAUUCGCACAGCCGCAUUAUCCUCUACUUUAUCAACAAACCCCUUUUCCAUGAUAAGCUUUCUACCAAGAAACUGAACGUAAAUCGACACCUCUUUUAGAAUGAAGAUGCCAUGCAAUCACAAACAAAGUAAAUUAGCAUUAAACACAGAAUAAGAUUUAAAAUAAGCGACAAAUAAAUACAACAUUCAUUUAGGUAAGCACUAAAAAUUUAGAGUAGCUCUACCUAGGUUGGUUCCUAUGGCUCAUUACAUGUGGUUUGGUUCUAAAGUAGGGUACCUGAACCAGCAAAUUCCUCGAUCCUCACCCAUUAUAGGCUCAUACGGACCAAGUUCGAUUCAGGGGGAUACAUUUCCCUAUGGCCAUGCGGAGAUGAAAAUCUCACGAAGACAUAGGUACGGAUGUAUCCCGAAAGCGAUUCACUAUCCCAUGCGGAGGUGAAAACCUCACGAAGGCGUAGUUUCUCACUCCCACUUAAAAGGGUGUGACCAACGGUCAUGCAAUGCAAUGUGCAGAAAGAUACAAAAACUUAAACUAACACAACAAUUAUAAACCACAACGAUGAAAAUUGUAAUAAAGAGCAAUGAAAUGCGAUGAAAGGAUCGUAUAUUUAAACCAAGUUUUGAUUUUCGACAAAAAGACAAAAAAUAAUCAACUCGUGGCCCGACUCACUUAUUGUGGUUGUCCCCAGUGGAGUCGCCAAGCUGUUGACACCAUUUUUGGAUUAAAAACGGGGUCGACUUGGGUUUUGAAAAUGAAAAUGAAUAGAGGAGUCGCCACCAAUCCUUUUUGAUGAGGUGCGAUCGGGUCACCUCGAAUUAAUCAUUUUAAUAAAAGUUAAGAUUUACUAAAACGAUAAUUUUUUUUGGUCUACGAAAAUCAGAAAAUGAGUUCGGGAGUCGGUUACGCACGAGGAAGGAUUAGCACCCUCGAUACGCCCAAAAAUUGGUACCUAGUUGAUUAAUUAGUGUCUUAGUUUCGAAAAUUGAAAACUUAAAAUACUUUGAAAUACGAUCCAUCUCUUUGUAAAAAAAACUCAAAUAUUAAAGACCUUCUCAUCUCUAAGUGAUAAAAUAUCACAUCCAGUAAGUUAGGACACGACAUCUCGAGCUUUUGAGAGUGAGUUUGUCUUUAUUUAAAAUUCAUGCAUUUUAACUUUUUUUUAAAAAGGAUGUUCGGUUAUUUAGGGUAAACGAAGAAAGUCGAAACCCAGUAAGUUAGGGUACGUUUUCUCGAAUUUCCUAAAAACGAAAUAUUGCCUUAUUUUGAAUUUUUUUUUGAAUAAUAGCAAAUGCAACAUUUAGAUAGUGUGCAUUAUUUGUUUGGAUUAAAAUAAAACAAUUUAUUGGAUAAAUGCAACGAGACUUGAUUCAUGAAGCGAUGAUAUAAAAUAAAAAUAUAGUAAUAAGCCUAGAACAAUGAUACAUGAACACAACAUUAUAUGGAUGAAUCACAAUAAUGCAAAAAUACGAAAUAAACAAAUUAAAAUACACAAAGACAAUAAUCAUACAACAUUUAAAUAAUAACAUCGAUAGAUAAAAGACCAAUGAAUUAAAUAAUAAUUUUUUAAGAAAAUAAAUGGCAUAAAAUAAAUUAAAAUAAAUAAUAUAAAACAUUUUAAAAUGACAAUAAUAAGUUUGAAAUAAAUAAUGUGAAAAAGGAAAUUUAAAAAUCAAUAACACACUAAACGAUAAAAAAUAUGUUUAUACAAAAAAUUAAGAUAAACAGUAUGUAUAUAUAUGUAUAAAAGUAUGAAGUGAAUGAUAUAAAAAGAGCAAAUAAUAGCAGUAAAACAUUUCGAAAUAAAUAAAUAGGAUUCAAAAUAAGAUACGUAUAACAAUUUAAAAUAAGCAAUAUAUAAAUAAAUAGAGUUUAAAAUAAAUGAUGUAAAAAAAAAUUUUAUUUAAAAAAAAGGAACAAUAAUAUACGAAAAAGAAAAAAAGAUAUAUGAAGAAUAGAAAAUAUUUAUAUAAUAUGUGCAAAGAAACCAAAAUAAAUAAUGUAUGUAGAGUAGUUUAGAAUAAACAAUAUAUGCAAAACAACUUACAACUUUGAGUAAUUGAUACAUAAAAUUGGUUAAAAUUAAUAAUAUAUGAAAAUGAACCGUAUAUAGAAUAUUUUAAACACAUACAAUAACAGUUCCUUUUUUAAGAAAAAGAAUUAAACAGGUGAAGGAUUAAUUCGAAAACAAUACAAAAUUCUAGGUAAAAAAUAAAAAGAUACUGCCAGGAUUAAAAUGAAGUGCACCUAAAAUCAUAAGGACCAAAUGGGAUAAAAACCAUAGCCCUAACAUGCGCAUGAGGCCCGACAGAUCAAAAGACUGAUUUAAAAAACAAGCAAAAUCUAACAACUAAAUUAAGAGAAAAAGCAAAGAUAAAAUAGGGCCUGAUCAAAGGACGCUAAAGAUGGAGGGACCUCGUGUGCAAAUAUCCUAAUAAUUGAGGAUACAUGAAUCCCCAUCCCCACCAACGGCACCGUUUUGUUUGGUGUUUAAAACACCCAUUCUCUUUAUUAUUUCAGCCCUAAUUUCAUAGAAGAAAAGAAAAAAAGAACAAAAAAAAUAGAAUGUUAAAGCUUCUCUCCCUCUCCUCUCUUACUGAAUCGUGAGCCCGUCGCCGUUGCAUCACCGCGCCCCCACCGUAUCGGUGGCUGGCGAUGCUCAAGGGUGGGUUUUUAGCCCCCGAUUCAACCAGGUAUGAAGGCUAAGAUUUUUUAACCAAGAAAACCCGAAAAUGAAGGGAUCUCCACCCGUUUUGGGUUCGGCUCCGACGACUGAGGGAACCGCCGACGGUGUGACCCAGGGGUUCGGGUAAGUUUUCUCCCCGUCUUCUUUUUAUUUCUUGUUCUUGAAGCUUAAAAGCAAAAUCAAAAAUGAAAAAAGAAAAAAAGAAAUCAGAAAUUGAAAAAACGUAACCUUUUUCUUUUGUUUUUGCUCUUUUAUUUCUGAAAUAUGCGUGUGUACAAGAAUGGGGAUCCCUUUUUUACAAUUGCUUUCGGCUUCUGUUUUUAGCCGAAUGAGAUAGAAUCCAAAAUCUCCCCCUUUUACAUUGAAAAUGAAUGGCUCUUUAUAGCCGAUUAUACAAAGUCCUAUUGUUGUUUUGUUACUGUUUGCUGCGUUUCUGUUUCUGUUGCUGCUUCCGUCAUGUUUGCAGGUGUUCAAGGAGGUGAUGGGAGCAGGUGGAGGAGAGAUGGCGAUGGGACGUGCGGCUGACAGAGAGCAGCGGCAAGUGGGAUACUAGGGUUUCAGUUUCUGAAACCCUAGUCUGAUGUGGGCUUGGCUGUUGGGCCAGGGUGCUGGGCCUUUUAUUUCUUUCUUGGGCCCGGGCAAAUGGGCCUGCAACAGGAAUCCCCAAGUUUCUAGAUAUGUUGCUAGCUAUGUAUGAGUGAGUAGACCCUAUGUCUAUCAAGGUAAUAUAUAGUACAUCAAGAAUAAAGAACGUACCCGUGAUGACGUUCGGAGCAUCUCUAUUCUCUCGGCGACAAGCAACAUAUACUAGGGCCGACUGCCUUGCCUCAGCCUGUCCAACACCUCUGCUUCGGUGCUCUCUACCUAUGACCCAUACCAUUACCACAUCUGGCCUGUCUAUGGCCCCUCGGUGGUUACUGUACUACCUUUUAUAACUAUACCGUACCAGUACCCGAAGUUUUCAUCUGAUCGGCCCUUAACGAACACUCCUUACAGUACUCUAAUGACUCAUACCGCAAGCACACCUCAGUCUUUCUCUAACACUCGCCCUGAUGGCGUCUACCACAAUCAGUACUUAGCUGCAGUUCAGUAACAGUAACAGAGGGCCCAGCUCUAACCGACCCAUCAACUCUGCCCUUUUUCUUAGGCCUCUGUGCAGAACUCGAAGGCUCUAAAUCCCUCUUAUUCUUACCUCUCUCACAGUAAUAGUUCUGGCGCUCAGCGCGCUUAAUCUCAUCGGUGAUCUUCGCCUUCUCCACUAGUGUAGAAAAAUCACCUCUCUCUACGGAGCUAUCAAGACUCUCAAAUUAUCUCUGAGCCCAUCCUCAAAACGAAUACAUCGCUCAUACUCAGAGGCCACCAUACCUCGCGUAUAGCGGCUCAGUCACAGGAACUCAGCCUCAUACUCGGCCACUGAUCAAUUUUUCUGAGUCAAAUUUAAGAAGUUCCUUUUACGGGUAUCCACGUAGCUCGCCCUCACAUAUUUCCCCUAAAAGGCAGUUUUAAAGAACUCCCAGGUUAGAUGUUCGGGCUGAGUGCCCUCCUUAACAAUGAGUCAUCACUGAUAAGCCUCAUCCCUCACCAGUGAGACUGCACCCUUUAAUUUCUGCUCUAGGGUGCAGUCUAAGUCAUCCAUGAUCCUCUCCGUGGCCUCAAUCCAGUACUCGGCCAUAUUAGGGGCAACUCUAGUGACACCCCUGAAAAGCUCAACUCCAUUGGACUAGAGUCGUUUCGUAUUCGAUCCUCGGACCCCUAAUCUAGUAUUGAUCCGAGCGACCCUCUCCAAAAUCCUUAGCAUAGCUUGGGAUAAUGCGUCGUCCUCAGCCAUGCGAUCUUGAGACCCAGUCUCAGUAGUAGGCGACACUAGCGUCUCACUAGUAUCCAAAUUCGGUAUGCUACCCAAUGAAGAGGACUCAGAUCGAGCUCCUUUGUGACCUCUACCUCAGCCUCUAGUACCCCGUCCACAGAUACAUCGUAUGCUCAUUGUCUAAUCACGUUUAUCUGUAUUAACAGUUUUAUGAAUCAGUUACGGUUUCAGUGUUUAUUAACAAAUGUUUUAUGUAAAAUAGUAUCGGUUAUUCAAAGUUCGUUUUGUAAAUCACAGUCUUACUAUAGUUUUUAGUUUUUUUACAAUUUUUAUUAUACACUAACUAGAGUGUUUUCAGUACAGUUUACUACCUAUAGUAGAUUCAGAAUAUACUAUCCAUAACAGUUUCAGUUUAAAACAAAUCACAGUUCAAAAUACUUACAGAAUCGACACCGGAGACUCGGUGUACCACUUACUUAGUACAAACAUUUCAAAUCAUUUAGAAAUUAAUCAACUUUUCGAAAGCUCAAUUUUUACAAAACCCAUAAUCCACUAUCGAGUUCUGUAACUUGGCUCUGAUACCACUAAAUGUAACACCCCAAACUCGGCCUAGACGUUAUGGUCGUAUCUGUUAAUGUCACAUGAUAGUGUUUUUGAAACCUCGUUGUUACGAUGAAAACAUUUCAUGUUAUUAUCUUUAGUAAACCUUUGUUAGAACUUAGAAAGUUGUCUUUAUUCAUUUAAAACAUUUUUUUUGAAACAUCCCUCAUUGCAGAAGCUUUAAUAAAAUAGUCUAGGUGAUCAUGCGUUUAGAAAAUAUAACUUUAUGAAAACUGAAUUUCCUACGACCAGCAGGUAUAAAUCUAUAAAGUAAAAUAAAUAAAUAAAAACCCAAAUUUAAAACCAAAGUCUCAAAGGGUCCUUAAAUUACAACCCAAAUAAUCAAUAAUAAUCAAAUCAUAUAUCGUAAAUUGAAAACCAUGAACUCAAAAAAUUACUAUAGUCACCGUUGAGUCCUUCGUCGCACCGAUCUGUCUAAGUUUGGGGAUUACCUGUGAACAUUAAACAAAAAGGGUGAGUUUACGUAAACUCAGUGUGUAAUCUCGUAGAAAUAAACAAAUAAUCAGUAUUCACAGUGCACAGUUGAAUAGUCUUGGGCCUAAGCCCUUUUCAGUAUUAGUCAUAGUUUGGGCCUUAGCCCAUCUCAGUAUAGUGUUAGAAAUGCAAUAGGGUCUUAACCCAUCAUAGUAUCAGUAGUAGUAACAAUUAUGCAGCAGCAAAAUCCUACCCAACCAGCCUCUACACACCAUUUUCGUCUAACCCUACACUCCAUGUGGGGAUAUAAUCAACCCACCCAUCCCUACACUCUAAGUAGUACUAAAUGCGACACAAAACAGUAGUUUGCAACUGAGCUGCUAGUAAAUUAGGCUAAAAGCCUUUCAGAACAUUUCCUCCGAAUAACAACCCCUAACCUAAUGCAAUGCAACAUACAAUAGAUGACAUGCUAUUAUGCAAUUUCAGUACAUAUAUUCAGUUCAAAUAUUAACAUGCUCAGUACAUAUAUCAUUCAAUCAAUUUCACACAUUUAGGUGUCUAAGUAGCGCUUAUCAACCCUACAGUGGGUUCACAGUCGACUUGGGCGACCCGUGCAAUCUUACAAACAUUUCGGUGAAAAUAGGCUCACACGCCCAUGUAAUCUACCCGUGUGGCCCACUUGGCCCAAAUUGGCCUUGGCCGUGUGAUCCAUUUUUAAUGUAACCCGUGCUAGCUAAAUAUUCAUACAUGUUUUCACUAUUUACUUAUAUGUUCAUUCAAAAUUGUCUACUUGAGUCAUUGUCACUAAAUUAUUUAUAUCUUGAGCUACAGAAUUCCAAAUUAAGAUUCGCUUGAUGUUUUUGAAACUAGACUCAAAUACCUUUCUACCAUAAAAAUUUUAGAAUUUAUAGUUUAUCAAAUAAGUACAGUAAAAUCUUUAAAUUUAUCCCACUUCUGUUGUUUGACAGCUUCAACCUUUCCUUACUAAAAAUUAUUUAUCUCUUAGUACGAAUUUGGAUGAUGUUUCUAUUUGUUUCUCUUGAAAAUAGACUCAUUAAAGAUUUAAACAUAAAAAUUUAAGCCCAUAAAUAUUUUUUAAAAAUUUUUGGUGAUUUUCCAAAGUCAAAAUAAGGGAACCCAAAAUUAUUCUGACAUUGUCUCACAAAAUUUAUUAUAUCUCAUAAUUUAAAAUUCCAUUGAUUACACUGUUCCUUACAUAAAAGACUAGACUCAAUAAACUUCAAUUUCAUAUUUGAUUCAACCUCUAACUCAAUUUCUACUAUUUUUGAUGAUUUUUCAAAGUUAGACUACUGCUGCUGUCCAAAACUAUUUUAGUGCAAAAUGUUGAUUUCCAAGUUUAUAACACCCUUAUUUCCUUUUUCUAUAAUUUUUUGCAUCAUUUUCUCUUAUUUCUCUUAUGUCUCGACAGCAAACAAUUUUAGCUUUUCACUGAAUCUCAUUUUUUGCAUUUCGAGUACAUAACUGGUAUCGUUUCGCUGUAAAUACGCUCCCAAACACUCUAAGACCUAAAAAUCGGUAAUUAGAGCCCAAUUUAGAUCACUAACUAAAACUCAAAACUGAAAAUCGUCUACAUUGAAAUCGAUAGCGAACCUAAACACUUACCUGCAACGAACCAAAAUUUCUAAUGCUCAAUUUUCUUGUGAAGCCGCAUCUGAUUUCUGAUUUUCGCCUAAACCAAGAGAGCCAAAACAAUCUUUUUUAUAAACUAGCUAAAAAGCGAUAAAAUAGAGAAAGUCAGAUACUUACAGAAUGAGUGUAUACAAUUUCUGGCUGGAAAGUAGGCUAGUAGAAAAAUCAAACAAUGAGGGUGGACUAGGGAGCAAAAAUUUGGCAAAGCAAAGAAGAAGAAGACGACAGAAAAAUUGGGGAAAAGAGGAGAAUGCCGAAAUUUGGGAAAAUAAAAACCAAAUAGAAACUUAGAUGAUAUCGUUAGCUACCCCACAUCCCUAAAUUUUUUCCCACUAAUCCUACUAACCUACAACCACUCCAGAAUCCCACUCUGCCGAAAUACUUGUCCAUCACUGCGCAAAAAUAACACCUAUGCUCGAACAUGGAUUCAAACUCAGGACCUCAUGCAAUCAAACACUCCAUUUAACCACUAAACCAGCAAGCCCAUUUUGUUAUUUAAUUACCAACUAUUAAACUUAAGCCCUUUAGGCUAGGUUAAGGCUUUAUUUAUAAAAGUACUAAAAUUUACCCAAGUCAUGGCUUGAACUUGGGACCUCCCACACACACCCAAAACACUUAAGCAUUGAAGCAGACAAAUACUUAAUAUCACAUAUACACAAAAACAAGAAUUAAAAAUUUUGGGGCGUUACAAUGAGAAGGAAAAACUUAACGAAAGAAAUUGAAGUUUCUUGGGGCUACCUUUGUAGAAAUAAGAGAUCAAUAGAGUUUCUUGGAAUUGAAGUUACAGUUUCAAAUUGUAUUAGCUUUUAUGUAGUACAACAUCAAUAUCAAUGUCCAUCAUCUUAUGUACUUUUUUAUUUGUUUACUUUUGUACAUUGAGUUGAAUGUUAGUGGUAUAUGUUAGUGGUAUACAUUUUAGCUAAAUGUUAGUGUAUUUUAAUUGUUGGAUCGAUUUUUGUAGUGAAUAUUAAAUCUUUAUUUUAAUUUUAAUUUUAUAUUUUUUUGUUGUAUUUAUAGCACAAUUCCUAUCAUUAUUCACUGUAAAUAUUUAUAAAAAUAUAUUAAUAUUGAAAUAAUAAAAAAUAGAAAAAAUUACAUUAUACGUGUCUAUUCCAAUCUUUUUAAGAUUACCUUAGACGGGUUUAUCCCAACCUUUUUUUAAAGGUUGCCUUAGACAAGAUUUAUCCCAACCUUUUUAAGGUUGCUCUAAACGGGUCUAUCCCAACCUUUUUUAAAAGUUGCCUUAGACAAGGUCUAUCCCAACCUUUUUAAAGUUGCCUUAGACGGGUCUAUCCCAACCUUUUUUAAAGGUUGCCUUAGACAUGGUCUAUUCCAACCUGUUUAAGGUUGCCUUAGAUAGGUCUAUCCCAACCUUUUUUAUAGGUUGUCUUAGACAAAGUCUAUCCCAACCUUUUUAAGGUUGUCUUAGACGGCUCUAUCCAAACUAUUUUUAAAAGUUGCCUCAGACAAGAACUAUAUCAACCUUUUUAAGGUUGUCUUAGAUAGGUCUAUCUCAACCUUUUUCAAAGGUUGGCUGUAACUAGGUCUAUCCCAACCCUUUUUAAUGGUUGGCCUUGACUAGGUCUUUCCCAACCCUUCAAUAAGGGUCGGCUUAUGUUGACUUAUGCUGACGUUUUUUCAAAAGUGUUGUGGAGCCUACGCCAACUGUAUUAUAGACAACCUUUUCGAAAGCAUCAGGAGAACCGUCGCGAAACUUAUGCCAACCUUUUUUACGUUGUCUUAGGUCAAAAAAAAGUGUCACGAUAGGCUUAUUUUAUUGUAGUGAUAGUAAUAUUUUUAGCUCUUAAAAAUCUAAAUUAUAUAUAAUAUGUAUUUACAACUCUAAAUAUUAAAGCUUGAUUAGAUAUAGGUUAUUUGAACUUUUCAUCUUAAAUAAAUUUGAGGAAAUUAAAUAUGGAAAUUUUAAUUAAAUUAUUUUAAUAUAUAUACACACCAUUAUUUUCAUUCAUUAAUAAUUUUAAACUAACAUUUUUUCUUCAGUAAAUUUCACUUUAAUCCCUUUCUUUACUUUUCUAAUGUUAUUUUUAUUUUUUUGUCCUUUAUUUUUCUUCUAUUUUAUAAAUUCUUUGAUCUUAUAUGUUUCAAGUAUCAAAGUGUAAAUAAAUAUAAAUAUUAAAAAAUGCCAAAUGUAACUCUAUGUGAUAUUAUUUAAUUGCUACUCAUUUCUUUUUGUUUCAAAAAACAAUGGAAAACUUAAGAAUUUUAAAGUUUUUGGUAUCAAAUAUAUAUAUCUAUACAUUUACAUUUUAAACUCCAAACUUAAAUAAAUAGAGAAAAUCUAAAAAUUUAAAAUAAAAAUAAAUAAAAAAUGAAUAUUUAACUUUUUUAGUACACAUGUAUCAUUCAGACAAUUUUAAUAUAACAAAUAAUCAAGUAAUUGGGAUUUAAUAUUUAAUUAAAAAUAUUCUUCUAAAAAUUGUAAAUCGCAUAACAUUGAAAGUCUUUAAAUAAUAUACUAAAGGGGUGAGCAUUCAAUCAAAUCGAAUGAAAAAAUUUUGAGUUAAUCGAGUUGACGAAUAAUAUUUUAUUAUCCUAACUAGAUUUAAAUUUUUCUCGAAUAGAGUCUAGUGAGAUGGAACUCGAAUCGAAUCGAAUAUAUUUGUUCGAGUUAAAUUAAGGUCCUUGUAAUCAUUGUCACCCACCGCAAUCAGAUUUGUUAUUAACUUUCACUCCCUCAUAAUUUAUUUAUUAAUCUUUUAUAUAGGGUUAGAUUCUUUGCUUGCUUAGUUGCUUCAAUUAUCUUCUGAUUUUGUCACUAUGUAUUCUGAAAUUUAAAAAUAUAUUAAAUGUAAAAAAUGUGAUUUUUUUAAUAAAAAAAUAUCUUAAAGGUAAAAUAUAAAAUUGAUACCAACAUAAAAUUUUAGCACGAAUAUUUUAUGCCAUCAUCAAUAAUUUAAUUUUAACAAAAAAAAUUAUAAAGAUUCAAUAUGAUAAAAUAAUUCAAUAAUAUUGAUAAGCUAUAAAAGUAACAUAUUUUAAUCUCAAUCUUAAUGUGUUUUUAGAUGAUUAAUUAUGCAAAUUAGUGAAUUUAAUGCUCCUAAUCCAUUAAAAUAAUGCAUGGUACUUUUGAUAUUGUAUAGUUCUUUUGAUGUCAAAAUAAUGCAUUAAAAUUUAUUCAACUGUCAAUUUAAGUGGAAAAAGUUGGAGAUGAAAUUUGUAAUUAAACCUUCUUUAAUUUACGUCUUUUUCCCUAAAAAUAUAUUUUUUAAAAAUAUUAAAUGUUAUAAAACUUGGGACAAAUAUUAAAUGUUGGAAAGUGGUUAAGAAAAUCAUUAUCAUUAUAAUUCAUCCUCAUUAUUGAUCAGUGUCACUGAAGCAAUGAAUUUCAAUGGGUUUGGUAAUGGAUGAGAGUUUGCUAAAAAUCUUCCUUUUGGUUUGUAACCAUUUUCACUUACAUAGUCUAGGAUAAGAAUGUUAAAAACCUAUGUUAUAUCCAUAGAAAUUGAGGGCUAUAUUUCUUAUCAUCACAACAAGCGCAAGCAUUGUUGGGGUAUAUCCACUUGUCUUAAACCACUAGAAUGUACAAGUAGCAAAAGAUAAUAAUGAUUAAAAGCUUGGGUAAUUAAUUUUGUAGUAUAUAGUCGGUCCAACACUGACUUAUAUCUAAGCAAAGUGCAUGCAUCAACUACAACAUUUUUUCUCUGAUUACCUUCUCCUUUCUUCUAUCAUUCUAGAGUGUAAACAAUUCACUCAAAGGCAAACAAUUUAUAGAAUUGUCUAACCAUGUGUAUUGCUGCUUUCAUUUGGCAAGCUCAUCCACUCUACCCUCUACUGCUUUUACAAAACAGAGAUGAAUACCACAACAGGUAUGUUUCCAUUUCACUUCAAUCAUUCUUCUCUUGAAAAUAUAUUUAUCUUAUUAAUAUAUAUGGGUGGAAUUGAAGGCCUACGAAGGCACUUGCAUGGUGGGAUGUUGAUGGUUGUGAGAUAUUAGGAGGAAGAGAUGAAGUAGCAGGAGGGACAUGGUUGGCUUGUUCAAGACAAGGCAGAGUUGCUUUUCUCACCAAUGUGUUGGAGCUUCAUCCCCGUCCCGACGCCAAGACCCGCGGUGAUCCCCGUCCCGACGCCAAGACCCGCGGUGAUCUUCCACUUCUUUUCCUGGAGGUAAAUAAAUCUAUAUGCCUUUUUUUUCUUCUUUUUAUUUGGUCGAAGCCAGCUCACCUAUCAAAAACGGUGGUCAUUCAUUAAAAGUAAACACACUGUUGUUGAUACAGAGCACAAAGAGCCCCAUGGAAUUUGCGGAGCAACUGGCCACCGAUGCUCAUCAGUACAAUGGAUUUAACCUCAUAGUGGCUGAUAUUCCUUCCAAAUCAAUGGUUUACAUCUCGAACAGGCCAAAGGGGGAACCCAUUAACAUUCAACAGGUUUCUCCGGGGCUUCAUGUUCUUUCAAAUGCCAAGCUUGACUCUCCCUGGCAUAAGGUACAUUAACUUGUUUCAUGUGUUAUAUUCCUAUAAAGUUAUGCCCAAAGGCAGAUGGACGCUGGAGAAUUGAUUCAUCCACUCCCAUUGUGCAGGCUUGGCGGUUAGGUAAAGGCUUCAAACAGAUGCUCAAUAGAUACGGUAAAAAUGAAGUAAACGUGAAAGAAAUGGUUGAGAAACUUAUGAAAGAUAAAGUGAAAGCUGAUAAAAGUAAGUUACCUGGCAUAUGUGAUCUCGACAUGGAGUUCAACCUUAGCUCCAUAUUUGUUGAAAUGGACACCCCACUGGUAAAAUUCCAAGUUCUAAACCAUCCUCCUACUAAAAUUUAUGUAGAACAAUGUUGAAGCCAAUAAAAAUUGUGGUUGUUUCAACUUACAUAUCCAUCUAUUUUCCGGAAUACAGGGGCUUUAUGGAACAAGGAGUACUGCAGCAAUAACCGUAGGUGCUGGUGGGGAAAUUAGCUUUUAUGACGAGUAUCUAGAAAAGGGUGUGUGGUUUGAGAGAACAGUCAAUUAUCAUAUCCAGAAGCUCAAGUAGAUUGAAUCCAUGUCAAAGCAAGGGAUUUUACUACUCAAGUUAUUUAUUGAUUUGCGAAUGUUAUAAGCAUUUUAAGUUUAUACUAAUUGUAACAUAGGAGUGAUGUAUGAUGUAUCUCAUUCUUAAUACUUUACAUUUUCACUUUAAACUCCAAACUUAAAUAAAUAGAGAUAAUCUAAAAAUUUAAAAUAAAAAUAAAUAAAAAAUGAAUAUUUAACUUUUGUAGUACACAUGUAUCAUUCAGACAAUUUUAAUAUAACAAAUAAUCAAGUAAUUGGGAUUUAAUAUUUAACUAAAAAUAUUCAUCUAAAAAUUGUAAACCGCAUAACAUUAAAAGUCUUUAAAUAAUGUCACAUACAUGAUUUUUUUUUUGUAAAUAUACAUGGUCUGUUUUUAUUUAUAAAACUUCCUUUUACCUCAUUUUUCUUCAUUAAUGUCUACAAAUUUGAAGGGAGUCAUGUACCGAUUAAAUUUGAAUCCUAUCAAGAAUGAGCUUUUGAUUGUUAUAUUUGAUGUUUUCCUAUUAGUUUAAGAUCCCCAAUAAUUAAGCAUGCUUUCUUAAUAAUUGGAAAAUAUUUAUUUAAAAUAUUACUGUAACAGCUUAAUUUUAGGCCUAGUCGGAACAGUAGUUUCGGGACCACGAAUCUGACGAGGAAAAUUUUAUUUUUUAUUAUAUUUUUAUAGUCUACAAUUUCACAGAAUGAUUUCGUGAAAAUUUUGUUCAAAAAUUUCGACGUUUGUGCACUCAAUUUAGCCAAAAGGACUAAAUUGUAAAAAGUGCAAAAGUUGAGUUCUACAUGUUAGAAGUGUCCAAUUGUUAUGAAAUUUUAAAUUGGAGGUCCUUAAAUGGUAAUUAGACCAUUGGUUAACUUUUUGGACAAAAAUGGACAAGAGAUAAGUGAAAUAAGAUAUUUUUAAGUUUGGGGCAUUUUGGUCAUUUAGUAAUUAAAAGAAUUAAAAAGGCCAAAAUAGCCAAAAAUUUGUCCAUCUUCUCCAUGGUGAACGAAAUCAGCAAGGGGAAGCCAUGGUUAGGGUUUUCAAGCUUCCAAGCUCCAUAGCAAGUGAUUCCAAGCCCCAUUUUUAAUGUUCUUUACAUUUUUGGAGUCUCAGUAACUUGAUUUAGCUUAUUCUAACAAUAAUUUAACCUAGGGUUCAUAUUUGGAAAAAUACCCAUAGGUGAAAUGUGUUUAUUUUGAUGUUUUAUGGUAGUGUAUGAAGCUUGAAAUUAUGUUAAAUAACUUUUGCUAGCCGAUUUUAAGUGAAAACGAGUAAAUUGACAUAAUCGAUAAAAAUACCUAAUGUUCAUAAGUAAGUGUUAGAGUGAGAAUUUGAUGUUGCCAUAGAAGGGAAAAAUGUUCAGCAUGUCAUAAAACAUAAGAAAAAGGAAUAACGUUUAAUCUCCGAGCCUAGGGGCAAAAUUAUAAUUUUGUAAAACUUUAGGGGCAAAAAUGUAAUUUUGCCAAAAUGUGAUUUUUGGACUGGAUUGAAUAAUGUGAGUGUUAAAUAAGUUAAAUAUGUUAUUAUAAGUCAAUAAAGACAAGGAAAUGACUUUGAUUAGUGAAAAAGAAAAAAAAAAGAAGAAAAACUGAGAAAUUUCCCGAUUGAACAUUCGGAAUAAAAAGGGAUAUGAAUGAAGUGACAGAAAUGAUCACAUGCGUGGCAUGGACUGUGUGUAGGCCACUAUGUGAAAGUGAAAGUGAUGGUCACGUGUGUAGUACUAUGUGCAGGCUACUACGUGUACCAGAAUGAUAGGUCGCAGGUGUAGUACUAUGUGCAGGUUACUAUGCGUACCGGAUAGCUUCGAUCACGUGUGUAGUACUAUGUGCAGGCUACUACGUGUAUCGGAUAGUGAUGGUCACGUGUGUAGUACUAUGUGCAGGCUACUAUGUGAACCGGUAUCAUUAAUUAUAAGGUGGUUGCUAUGUGUUAAUCCCACAAGAUAUCAUUGAUUACAAAGGGUAGUUGCUGUGUGCUGAAUCCAUCGUAUAUAUGUUAUUAUUCUAAACUGUUCAUCAGGAAAUUGACUAAGUGAAAAUACAUGAGAUCAUGUAAUGAUUAAGUGUGAUUGAAUGAUGAAUACAUGUGUGGAAUUGAAUUGAAUAAUGAUUGAAAGUGAAAAGUGAAAUUAUGAAAAAGUAAAACUAGCAACAAAUAGUUUUAGACAGUAACAAUAGUGUGACUUUGAAAAAUCACCAAAAAUGGUGGAAAUUGAAUUAAAGAGUGAAUAAGAUAUGAAAUGAAAGCUUAAUGAGUCUAUUUCUACAUAAAAGAAACAGAGCAAGCAAAAGAGUUAUAUAUUUUGAGAUAUUUGAAUUUUAGUGAGGCAGGGUUGGAUUGAUUUUGGAAUCCCCUAUUCUGAAUUUGGAAAAUAAUUAAAAAUUGUAAAAAUAAUAAUUAUGAGUUAUAAUUUAUAUUCUUAGAAUCCUUAAUGAGUCUAUUUUCAAAGGAAAUAAACAUAAAUAUCAUCUGAAUUCUGUAAAAUGAGAUAAUUUAUUUUUAGUGAAGAGAUGUCAGAGAUGCUAAGCAGUGAAAUAGGGGUGAGUUUAAAGAAUAAACUGUACUAAUUGGCUAAGAAAAAAAUUCUGAAAAUUUUAUGGUAAGAAUAUAUGUGAGUUUAGUUUUGGGUAAAAUUAACGGAACUUAAUUUGGAGCUUUGUAGCUCAGGAUAAAAAUAAUUUAGUGACUGUAACUCGACUAGAUAGCUUUUGAAUUUAAAUAUAAGUGAAUAGUGAAAUUAUGUAUAAUGCUAUUUAAGCAUGUUAUAUACAUAAAGGAUGUGGGAUGGAGAGGAGGAGGAGGACAAUAAAGCAUAUGCGUGUGGUAGAUUAGCAUGAAAUGAUGUCGUGAGUGGCUCAUGAAUUAACUCAUGUUGGUAAGUUGAUGCAUAAUUAUAGUAUUCAAAUAUAUUACAUAUUUGUAAUAUUUUGCUAUGUGAUUCGGAAAAAGGGGAAUAAAUAGCAUAAUGAAAAUUCGGCCAUGGUGCUAGUUUAUGUUAAAGGAGUGUUUUAUGGCAUAUCUUAAGUAAUGGAAUGUUAUGAAUUUUGAGAUUAAUUUGCUAGUCAAAUAAAUGACAAAUGAAUUGAUUGCGUAUUCGUAAUUUUGACAUAUGCUUGGUAUAUGAAACGUAAUAAUAUAUGCUUGAACAAACUUUAAGUAUUCGAAUGACAUGGAUUUGAUGGUGAUAAGAUUCGAACAUUGAAUUCAUGAAGCACAAGUGAUGUAUUAUUGUUGUGUGAUAGCUUGGUUUGAGAAAUUGGUUAGGUAAAUGGUAAGUUAAAGCAUUUAUGGAUAUAGAAGAAAAUUUGGAGUGAAUAUGAAAUUUAGCUCAAUUAAAUGAUUUCAUCAAUUAAACAUUGUGUAUACCAGAAUGUGUUAGUGAAUUACAUAUUCAUAAAUUGACAUUCGAAGUUCAGUUAGUGAUAUAUGAAAAUAACAUGAAAAGAUUUAUGAUUGUGAUUAAUAUUGAUUCUAACUUAAAGUGGAUUCUUCAAUAUUGGAUUGAUUUAACGGAUAUAUUGAGCAUAUGAAUGGGUAUGUAUUGGGCCUCGUAAACCUUAAUUAGCGACUCAAAGAUAAUAAUUUGAAAGUUUUUAAUUUGAAUGAAAUUUUAUAACUCAGUUUAAUAUGUUUAUAAGUGUAUUUAUUCUAAUAAUGCCUCGUACCCUAUUCCAGCGUAGAAUACGAGUAAGGGGUGUUACAAUGUGACAUCACUAGAUUCGGCCCUAAUGUUUAGGCCGGGUUUGGGGUGUUACAAUUACUUUUGAAAGUAUUUCUAUGAAGCGUGUCUCGUAUUUUCGGUCAAGCUAAAUGGCAAAGCAAAGGCAACAUUGAGACAUGGAGCAUAGGAUGUCACAAUGACGUGACGACAUUCGAAACUAAAUCGAAGCAGGGCCGACGUCACGAUGAGGGGACCUACGAUGUCGUGACGAUGCAACGAGGCAGCCACGUCUCUUGACAACUUAAUGGAUUUUCCUUCUCCCAGUUGAACUUUGAUUUUCGGUUCUCUUUUCUCAAUUUAACUCUAACUAUUCUAGGGAUAUUUUUGUAAUACCCUAUAUGUAGCACCUUUAACCCGUAUCCAUUGUCAGAUUAGAGUUACGAAAUAUUACCGAGUAAAACAAAACAUUUAACUUCACAACAGAAACAAUUAUAUUAAUUAAAUGUAAUCAUGGUAAAAAUAUAAUUACGGGUCUUAACUCGAGUUUACAGGGCCUUAAAAACAGUUUUGGAACAUUCAGGGAUCAAUUCGAACAAAUCAGAAAAUUUAAAAAAACAGGAAAAUUUUGAAAACAGGAAUCACACUAUCGUAUGACAUAGUUCAGAUCUUGUGGACAUUCGAAGUCUAGACACACAGCUUAUCCCAAGCCGUGUGAGUAUUCGGAAUAAGGCUACACGGACAUGUCAUAUGUCGUGUGCCAAAUCAUGUGUACUGUAAUAACCAAUUUUACCCGAGCUUAUUAAAAUUAAAUUAAAAUAAUAUAAAAAUCAAAUAAUAAUAAAAUGUCCAAUAACAGUCCAAUAAAAUAAACCCAUAAACCGAAUACACCCCAGCCCAAUAACCAAUUACAGGCCCAAUUCAAACCUAAUACCCAAAUUGCAACCCACAAGCCCAAAAGCAAGAAAAAUAGAAAACCCUAGACAGUAGCAGCUUCCAGCGCCGUUCUCCCUAUGUAGCCUCCGCGCGUGCUACGCCACCACCACGCGCGUUCCUCACAUGUGAACUAGGCCUCCACUCCAGCUUGCACCUGUAACAGACGUAACAAACUAGUAGAGAAAGCAAAGGAAAAAUGACAGCAAGGAAAAGGCAACACAGCAAAUAGGAAAGCAGUAAAUAAAAAAUGUAAAAAAUAUAUUUCGAUUGAUUUUAUUUUUAUUUUUAUUUUUAAGGAUUUCGGUUAUAAAAAGGCCAUUUGAGCACUAUAAAUGUGGACGCAUACAGAGAUUGAAUACAAAAAACAAAAAAAAAAUUCAAAGAAAAAGGUAAAUAGAGUUUUGUAAGAAAAAAAUGACAUUCUGCAUUCAUGCAAACAUCAUUCAUACAUUUGAAUUAUACAAGUCAUGUUCCCCCAGAGAACAAACCGGUGAAACUAUAAAGCCUGAGCAGCAGUGGAAUAGGUUGAAAAUAGCAGAUCUUGUUUUUCUGUACUGGCAGCGAAGCAGAUCGAAGAUAACAAGUCUUAUCUCCCUGACUUGCAGCGGAGCAGACUGAAGAUAGCAGAUCUUGUCUUCCUGUACUGACAGUGAAGUAGAUCGAAGACACCAGUCUUAUCGCCUUGAUGUUGCAAUGGAACAGAUUAAAGCUAAAGAUAGCGAAUCUUGUGUCCCUGCCGUUGCAACGGAGUAGAUUAAAGCUGAGGGCAGCAAAUCUUAUCUCCUUAGCGUUAAGACUUGGAUUAGCUGAAGUGGAGCAGAUUAAAGCUGUAGGCAGCGAAUCCUAUCUAUUUGGCAUUACAGUGGAAUAGAUUGAAGCUACAACAGCGAAUCUUACUUCCCUGGUGGUGUAGUGGAACAAAUUGAAGCUACGAUGGCGAAUCUAGUUUCCCCGACACUGCAGUUAAAUAGAUUGAAGCCAUAACGGUGAAUUUUACUUCCCUGGCGGUGUAGUGGAACAUAUUAAAGCUACGACGCCAAAUCUUGUUUCCCCGACAUUGCAGUUAAAUAGAUUGAAGCUACAACAGCAAAUCUUACUUCCCUGGCGGUGCAGUGGAACAGAUUGAAGCUACAACGGCGAAUCUUGUUUCCCCGACAUUACAGUUAAACAGAUUGAAGAUGGCGAAUCUUAUCUCUCUAAGGUUACAGUGGAGCAGAUUAAAGCCAAUAAUCCUAUCUCUCUGAGGUUGCAGUAGAGCGGAUUGAAGUGAUGAUCUUAUCUCUCUGAAGUUACAGUAGAGCAGAUCGCAUCCAAUUUUAUCUCCCUAAAGUUGUAGUGGAGCAGACAGAAGAAACCAAUCCUAUCUCCCUGAAAUUGCAGGGGAGCGGAUUAAAACUACAGAUCUUAUCUCUCUGAAGUUGCAAUAGAGCAUAUCACAACAGACUUAUCUUUUUAAAGUUGCAGCAGGACAAGUUGAAGCUACAAGUCUUAUCUCCCUGAAGUUGCAAUGGAGCAGACUGAAGAUAGUAAAUUUUUUUCUUUUGAAAAGACUACAAGUUACAAAUUGCAUCUCCCUAAUGUUACAGUGGAGUAUAUUGAAGCACCAAUUCCUAUACUUCUAAAGAUGCAGUAUGAUGGAAUGAGGCUACUUGAAGAAGAAGAGCACCAAGGUCCAGCAUGACCAGGCAAAAUUGGUCAUUUUUAAAGUCUUUGCUUUGUUCCCGUUACACGACAACAAGCAAAGAAGGGCAGCUGUAAUAACCAAUUUUACCCGGGCUUAUUAAAAUUAAAUUAAAAUAAUAUAAAAAUCAAAUAAUAAUAAAAUGUCCAAUAACAGUCCACUAAAAUAAACCCAUAAACCGAAUACACCCUAGCCUAAUAACCAAUUACAGACCCAAUUCAAACCUAAUACCCAAAUUGCAACCCACAAGCCCAAAAGCAAGAAAAAUAGAAAACCCUAGACAGCAGUAGCUUCCAGCGCCGUUCUCCCCAUGUAGCCUCUGCGCGUGCUACGCCACCACCACGCGCGUUCCUCGCAUGCAAACCAGGCCUCCACUCUAGCUUGCACCUGCAACAGACGUAACAAACUAGCAGAGAAAGCAAAGGAAAAAUGACAGCAAGGAAAAGGCAACACAGCAAAUAGGAGAGCAGUAAAUGAAAAAUGUAAAAAAUAUAUUUCGAUUCAUUUUAUUUUUAUUUUUAAGGAUUUCAGUUAUAAAAAGGUCAUUUGAGCACUGUAAAUGUGGACGCAUAUAGAGAUUGAAUACAAAAAACAAAAAAAAAAUAUUCAAAGAAAAAGGUAAACAGAGUUUUGUAAGAUUUUUUUAAAUUUUUCUUCACUUUUCUUUGUUUUUUUUUACUGCUUUGUUCAUUAAUAAUAUGUGUAAGGCCCAAUUUUUGUCCGGCCUGUUACAGAAAUAAAAAACCAAACAAAACCAAAAUGUUUCAGUCCAAUUUUGCUAAGCCCAAUAACCCAAUAGCACAGCCCAAAUCAAUUUAUCCUAAAACUAACCCAGCUACAAUCACCGAAACCCUAAAAUCCCUUAGCCACCGCCUCCAGCAAGUGUCCAAUCAGCGCACGUUUCGGAACCAGCCCUCUUCUCCGCGUCGUGCUCUCCACGUCUACCUGCGAAAACGGACUAAAAGAGUCCCAAUAUUGUAAAAUAAAAAUACAAAGUAUUUUCUUAGGCUAUAAAAAGCCUAACUUGUACACUGAUAAAAAUAAAAGAAUAGAGAACAGAAUAAAUAUUUUUACAAAGGUGAUUUUUUUUUGUUUUAUUCCGCAGUGACCAUUUUUUAUUUACAUAUGUUUUAUUUUCUUUUAUUUUCAUUUAUUUCGUAUAAAAUAACAAAGAAAAAAGAAAAGGAAAACAUACCUUUUGUCGGACUUGCCGGAUUGUUGCCAUCUCCAGCGCUAGGAGUUAGGGCUGAAAACCCUAGCAGAGGGCAUUUAGUUUUUUUUUUCCUUUCAUUCUGCUGCAAAUGUUUUUUAGAGAAAAAAAUUGUUUUAAAUAACAGAGCAAAACGGCGCCGUUUUACCCAGGCAUGACCCGCGCGGUGACCCGACCCGGAGGGAGGAUUCGCGCGUUUUGGUCGAAGGGAAAAUUUGCGCAAUUGGUCCCUCCCUUUUGCAAUGCGCUUCAAUUAAACCUGUUUUGUUUUUUUUAAUUUGGCCGCAUAUUUUAUUUUUGUUUCAAUUUGGUCCCUUGCUGCGCAGCAUUUUGGAGGGUAGGAUUAAUUUCCCUUCUAGUCCCCCAUUGUUGUUCGCGCGUUCAAGUUGGUCCUUUUUUUAUUUAUUUUUGAAUCUACCCCAUCUUUUCGUUUUUAAGUUCAAUUUAGUCCAUUUUUUAGCUUUUUCUUUUUUAUGUUUGUCAUUGUACCAUUAUUAUUAUUAUUAUUAUAUUAUUUGCUAUCAUUAUUGUUAUUGUAUUUUCUAUACAUAUAAAUACGCAUAUUUUUUAUAUAUAAUAUAUAAGCAUAUUUUUAAUAUAUAUAUUUAUAAGUACGCAUCUAUUUUAUACAUACAUACUUUUUUUUUUAUUUCCUAACCUUUAUGUACACGUAUAUAUACUUCUAUAUUUUGGUUUCAAAAUUUUUUAUACAUAUGCAUGUUCGUUUUUUCUUAUAUAUAUUAUUUUUCAUUUUUUUUACAAAACGUAUAUAUAUGUGUAUACAUACACAUUUUAAAAUACACACAUGUUUCCCAUAUUUUACAAUUCAAAAUACACAUUUUUUAUAUUAUAUAUAUACAUUCUUUAUAUUUUUGAGUUAUUAUAGACAUUUUUAUUAUUCUAUAUAUACUCCGUUAUUUAUGUACAUAUCAUACAUAUAUAUAAAUUUUUUAAUAUAUGUAUACAUAUUUUCAUGUUUUACCAAUACAUAUAUACUUAUACAUUUUUUUUCUGUAAAUAUAUACACAUAUACAUACUUUUAUAGUUUUAUUUUAUUUUCACGGUUUUCAAAUGCACAUACGUGCAUUUUUUAUGAGUUUUUGAUUGAUAUAUUCCAUUCCAUUUUUUUAUAUGUAUCCUUGUAUAUGUGUGUAAAAUAUAUGCGUACACAUAUUUUCAAAUUUUCUUGUAUAUUGUACUUGUAUGUAUAUAUUUUGUAAAUACAUAUUCAUAUAUGUUUUAAAUUAACGUUUUGUUUCAUAUUGUACGUUAACUUUUAACAUACCUUUUGGGAAAUAUAUUUUGGUUUUGUCAGUAUAUCAAAAUCAUUUUCUCUUGAUUCAAAGUUUUUUUGAAUAAAAGCAAUAUUCAAGUUUGAGAUUUUUGAGGAAAAUUGAGCCCUAACGUAUUGGGUUCUGAUUUUCUUUGUUAAUCUUAAAUAACCGAGGAUAUUCUUUAUUCAAAAUGCAUGAGUAUAAAGAUCAUUUUUGGGAACUUAACUUGUUGUGUCCUAAUGUAUUGGGCGUGACAUAUUACUUUCUCAAAAUGAAGAUUUUCACAUAAAAUAAAAGUGAUAUUCAAAGUUCGGGGAUUUUGAGAAAUUGUACCCUAACGUAUUGGGACUCGAUUUCUUUACAUGACUUGAACAAUUGAUUAUCCUUUUCAAAUUUCAUCAUUUAAGUUGUUUUAAAAAAAAUUAGCCCUCGACAUUAAGACAUUAAAUAAUUAAUUUGGUACAGAUUUUGGGUGUCACGAGGGUGCUAACCCUUCCUCGUGCGUAACUGACUCCCGAACCCAUUUUCUCAAAUUUCGUAGACCAAAAUACGUUUUAAGGUGAACUGAUCACACCUCAAUAAAAGAUCGGUGGUGACUCCAAUUUUGUUUUUUUAAAAAGUCGACAACUACAUUUUUGAUUUAGAAAUGGUUUCGACAGCUUGGCGACUCCACUGGGGACACUAGAGAGUCGAGCCAUAAAUUGAUUAUUUUUGUCUUGUGAUUGAAAAAUCAAAUUUGUUUUAAAAUCAUGAUUUCCCUUUACAUUCAUUGAUUUUCAUCAUGAUAUAUUUGCAUGAUGGGUCCGAGUCGAUUAAUUUGUAUUUGCAUUAUGCAUUGCAUUGGUUGGUCAGUGUUACCUCUUUAAGUGGGAGCGAGAAACUAGUCCUUCGUGAGGUUUUGACCUCCGUGCAGGGUAGUAGACCGCUUUCGGGAUACAUCCGUACCUAUGUCUUCGUGAGAUUUUCAUCUCCGUGCAGCCAUAGGGAAAUGUAUUCCCUUGAACUGAACUCAGUCCAUAUGAGCCUAUAAUGGGUGAGGAUCGAGGAAUCUGCUGGUUCGGGUACCUUUGCUCUAGAAACUAAACCUCAUAUACUGAGAUUUAGGGACUUGCCCUAGGUAGAGCUAUACCAAACCCUAGAGGAGUCCUGAAUAGGUUUUAUUAUUUCCUAUGUACGUUGAAUUAUGAUUUUAUGCAUGAUACUAACUUGUGUGUUUUGUUUUGGCGGUAUGGCAUUUUGACUGCAUGGCAUUUCAUUAUAGAAAAAAAAUGUUGAUUCAUGUUUGGUUGUUAAAUAGAGAGCUUGCUACGGAAAAUAGAUUUCUUGAUAAGGUGAAAGAUAAUACGGUUGUCUGAGUAUAGUCUAAGAAAACGUGACGCGAAAGGUAAUAGCGUAACAAGAGGAGUAUACGACUUUGCUGCGUUGCCCAAGGAUUCAAAUUGUCAAAGAUUAUUCAAGAGUCAUCAAACGUCCUAACCUCUUAAAGAAGCUCAUGGGCAUGAGUGAGCAAAGAGAUACGACCUAGAUCAAACAAAAUGGAGCUAAGAUUCGCAAAAUGCAUCUUAAUGUUCGAAUGGUCGAUGCCUUCACUUGGAGUACGAGCACAAAGCCGUAUAUAUAUAUCCGCUUUGUGUAAAGAGAUUUGUUUUCUAGUGAAGUUUUUCUAAUAAAGAAUUGAACUAGAAUCAACGUCUCUUUUUGCAUUUAUUUCAUGCAUUUGCAUUACAUUACAUCACAUGCAUUAAACACCGUAAAAGGAUCCUAAUUAACUAAAUCAUUGCUCAGUUAACCUGGAAACCAACCAACCAACCAAACACCAUUAUGACACUUGAGCAAAGAUUAAAGAUAUGGAUCAGAGAUUGGAAAAGCUCGAAUAGUACCAGAAGAAGAUGCAAGACCGACUUCAGCUGCAAGUGCAAGAACGGUUGGACAAGAUGCAAUAGGAUAUGUCAGAGAAGAUACAGGAAUCCCAAAAGGAUAUGAUGGCGAAGCUGACCCAACUAUUGACUGGAGGAAGUGAUAAGGGAAAAGGGACCUGUAGCUAAUGUCGAAGAAGGCAACGAGGAUGAACCUCUCUAUCCUCCAGGCUUUACUCCUCCACAUGUACGAACUCAAGCUGAGGUAUACCCGCACAAAUCUAUUGUCACAAUCAGGCCUCAGCAGUUCCAGGCCGGUACUUCAAAUUUCCAAGCUGGAUCGGGCUCUAACCCCGGGAACUACCCUAUUAACUCUGCCAUUCCUGACUUCGAUGAAAUGGCUGAAAAGGAAAAAAUAAAUGAAGAGUUACCAAGGCAGUUAGAAGAGAGGUGUAAAUGGCUCGAAGAGAAGUUCAAGGCGAUGGAGAUCACUGAAAACUAUCGUGGGAUCAACGCUAAAGAACUGAGUCUAGUCCUAAAUUUGGUACUCCCUCAUAAGUUUAAGAUGCCGAAAUUUGAAAAAUAUAAUGGGACAAGUUGCCCAGAAGCACAUAUCACCAUGUUCUGCAGGAGAAUGGCUGGAUAUGUUAACAAUGACCAGCUACUGAUUCAUUGUUUCCAGGAUAGCCUUACAGGGGCAGCAUCUAAAUAGUACAAUCAACUGAGCCAUACCAUGAUAGGUUCAUGGAGGGACUUAGCACAAGCGUUCAUGAAACAGUACAGUCAUGUAACAGACAUGGUUCCUGACAGAAUCACCCUUCAGAAUAUGAAAAAGAAGCCAAACGAGAGCUUUAGGUAAUAUGCACAAAGGUGGAGGGAGGUGGCUGUUCAAGUUCAGCCACUGCUCUUGGAAAGAGAAAUGUCAAUGCUCUUUAGAAAUAUAUUGAAAGCCCCGUUCAUUACGCAUAUGUUAGGAAGUGCUACAAAAAGCAUUUCUGACAUAGUUAUGAAUGGUGAAAUGAUCGAAAAUGCUAUAAGGAGUGGGAAAAUCAAUGCAGAGGAGAGUAACAAGAGGCCAGUCUCAAGAAGAAGAGAAAAUGAGGUGAACAACACGGGUUACUCUAAAUCAGUUACUAUGAGUCAGCCAAGAAAGUUGGUUGCUAACCAACAAGGUUCAUCAAGACAAGAAGAUGGUACAAGACAAAACACUAAGAGGCCCCAAUUCACGCCAAUUCCGGUGUCGUAUAGGGAGUUAUAUCAAAGAUUUUUUGAUGCACAUGUUGUUUCCCCUUUUCAUGUAAAGCCUCUACAACCUCCGUACCCCGAAUGGUAUGAUGUGAACGCACAAUGUGAAUACCAUGCGGGAAUUACGGGACACUCAAUAGAGAAUUACACUGCCUUCAAGAAGCAAGUUGAAAGACUCAUCAACACGGGUAUUGUCAAGUUUGGUGACUCAUCUAGUGCAGAAAAUCCGCUACCCAAUCAUAUUGAUAAUAGAGGUGAGAUUUUCACAUCGACGCCGUAUGUGCAGACACAACCAAAAGGGUUAUUGUUAGAUAUUCACCUGGAAGGUGCUAUAAAUAAUGGGACUGCAGAGGAAACCCCUAUAGUAUUUAGAGUCUGUUAGGGUAAUGUUCAGAACACACUUGUUGCUUUUAGCCUAGAAGCAAUAAGAACUUCUUUGUGAAAUAGGCUCAUGUCUGAACAUUGUUAUUUUAAUGAAAUACAUUAUUGCAAUCAUCUUUGAGCAAAUGUUCUUUCAUUCUUUACGAUUCUUUCAUUCUUUUGGAUUUUUUUUGCCAAACCAUUUUUUUCAUUCAUUCAUAUUAUUUAUAAAUUCAUACAUUAUUUUGUAUAUUCUUUGGUACCUACUAGGGGUCCCCAGAUAUCAAUGACAUGAGUGACGCUGCUAUAGACUCAGAACUUCCUUUUGAGUGAGACAUGUGUUUAGAGGGAUCUCAUGACUUUGAUGAUGACAUAGAUUGCAGCUUAUCUCCAGAUUUGACGAAGGUGAUAGAAUAAGAGGAUAAGAUAGAUCAUACCUCAUAAGAAAUUAUUAGAAAUUGUAAGCUUGGUGAAGAUUAAAAUUGACAUGACCACAAAGACGAAGUGGGACCUUAUGAAUUACCCUAAGAAUUCAAUGAUGUCUUCACAUGGUCAUACCCAGAUAUGCUCGGGUUAAGCACUGACUUUAUAAUCUGAAUAACAACAUGAUGUCAGAAAUUUGCAGUAGGUUCAGCAUUAAUGUUAUGAACGAUGCAGUGAAAUUUCUUUAUUGGGGAAAUGUCCUUCUCUUUGGCUUAUCAUAGCUUUGCUCAUUGAAGUUGAAUUGCCAUUUCUCUGUAUUUUUAUCCUAAGAGGAAGAUCUGAAGGUUCGUCCUAGAGAAUUUCACAAGGGGGAGCUAGUGUUGAAAAUGAUCAUUCCUAUACAAAAGGGAUUUUAGAGGAAGAUAGAUGCCAAAUUAGGAGGGUCCAUAUGUUGUAAAGAAAGUCUUUUCUAGGAAAACUUUGAUCCUGAGUGAGAUGGAUGGUAAAGAUUGUCCAAGCCCUGUAAACUCAGAUUCAGUUAAGAAGUACUUUUCCUAAAAAAGGGGACCAAGGUGAAAGCCUACAAAGGGCGCCUUGAGUAAAAAAAAAUAGAGAGGCCAAGGUGAAAACCCGCGAAGGGAGGCUUGAGACCAAAAGGAUUUUAGUUGAAAACCCAAAAAGGGCGGCUCAAAUGUUGAUCAAAAUGGCAUUUGAAAUUAUCAGAGCAGCUCAAAUACUGAUCAGAAUGGGGCAUGCAGUGGUCUUGCUAUACCUGAAUCAACAGGAAAGGGGUAGGCAACAUCUUGGGGCAUCGACAAAGCACUGUUGAUUUCCUAAACACAUGUUAAAAUCAGAAUGGUCUUCAGAAAGUUUGCACAGAGAAGUUCAGGCUGCGAUACCUGGGGCACCGAAUCCUUAUACUAUUUUUGUUAUACUUGGAACACUUCAUUCAUUUCCAAGACACGCAUUCUUAAAUUAAUUUCUUUAUUAUCUUUGACAAUUUAUUCAUUUCGAGCUAUGUUCAGAACCAACUCUAUUCUUAUCCAUGAUCUUUUUGCAAGCAUGUUGCAUUAGAAUAAUGAUUAAUGGACUAAUAAAACUUUCACAAAGGAAGUUUUGCAUAUUACUCUAGAAAUUUCUAAAUAAUAUAGGAACCUGAAACAGGACUAUUGUUUAGAACACACCAAGUUUAAAGGUUGGAAAUCUGAUAAGGAGGAGUCUAAAUUAAGACUAUCCUUUUAAAUUUUGUUGUCUAAAACAUUGUUUGAACAAAAUGAUAAGAUGUCAUAUUGGUGACAAAGCUUAGAUGAAAGAAAGUAAUGAUCACCGAAUAAUAAGAAGAAGUUGUUCUUGGAGAAUAAAAUUUUUCAUUUGUGCAUUGGCAUUUGGUAUGACACCCAUAGAAUGGUAAAAGACCAAAGAGCUUCACAUUCUACAUCCUUGAAUUGUGAUAGGAGAGGAUUGAGAAAAUGCCAGAUUUUUCUUGGGUUACAGCGGGAGAAAGAUGGUACAAAUGUUACAUCCUAGUGGAUUGAGCUUUGAAGUUCACAGUGGGGGCAAUCUGGUCAAGUGUUUCUUUGGAGACGUUAGCCAAGCAAAAGGUGCUAUAGCACAUUAGCGAUAAAAUUUUAAUAAACUUUGAGUAAUGAUAACCUAAGUGAUAAGGAGGAAUCAUUCUCGAAAAAUGACAUUCUGUAUUCAUUCAAAUGUCAUUCAUACAUGCCUAGUUAGGAGCAUUUGAUUCAUUCUGUUCAUGACAUCCUAAUCAUUAGGUAUAAUUAGGUUCAUAAAGUGAAUUAUACAGGUCAUGCUCCCUAGAGGACAGAUCAGAGAAAUCAUAAAGCCUUAUCUCCCUGAGCAACGGUGGAGCAGGUUGAAAAGCAGCAGAUCUUGUCUUCCCGUACUGGUGACGAAGUAGAUCGAAGAAAGCAGAUCUUGUCUUCAUGUAUUGGCGUGAAGUAGAUCGAAGAAAGAAGAUCUUGUCUUCCCAUACUGGUGGUGAAGUAGAUCGAAGAAAGCAGAUCUUGUCUUCAUGUAUUAGCGUGAAGCAGAUCGAAGAAAGCAGAUCCUGUCUUCCUAUAUUGGUAGCGAAGUGGAUCGAAGAUAGCAGAUCUUGUCUUCAUGUAUUGACGUGAAAUAGAUCAAAGAAAACAGAUCUUGUCUUCAUGUAUUGGCGUGAAAUAGAUCGAAGAAAGCAGAUCAUGUAUUGGCGUGAAAUAGAUCGAAGAAAGCAGAUCUUGUCUUCAUGUAUUGGCAUGAAGUAGAUCAAAGAUAGCAGAUCUUGUCUUUCCAUACUGGUGGCGAAGUAGAUCGAGGAAAGCAGAUCUUGUCUUCAUGUAUUGGCAUGAAGUAGAUCAAAGAGAGCAGAUCUUGUCUUCCCAUACUGGUGGCGAAGUAGAUCGAAGAUGACAGAUCUUGUCUUCAUGUAUUGGCAUGAAGUAGAUCAAAGGAUAGCAGAUCUUGUCUUCAUGUAUCAGCAGUGAAGUAGAUCGAAAAUACAAGUCUUAUCUCCCUGAAGUAGCAGUGGAGCUGACAGAAGUAACCAAUCCUAUCUCCUUGAAGUUGCAAUGGAGUGGAUUAAACCUGCAGAUCUCAUCUCUCUGAAGUUGCAGUAGAGCAGAUCGCAUCAGAUUUAUUUUUAAGUUGUAGCAGAACAAGUUGAAGCUAUAAGUCUUAUCUCCCUGAAGUUGUAGUGGAGCAGAUUAAAGAUAGCAAUUUUUGUUCUUUUAAAAAGCUACAGUGUACGAACCCUAUCUCCUUGACAUUGCAGUGGGGUAGAUUGAAACACUAGUUCCUAUACUUCAGAAGAUGUAGUAGGAAAGAAUGAGGUUACUUGAAGGAAAAAGAACUGAAUAAGUCGAGGCUCAGUAAGACCGGGCACAAUUGGGCUUUUAGUAUUUGCUCUGUUCCCGUUACAUGACAACGAGCAAAGAGGGGCAGCUAUAGGGCCCAAUUUUUUCCUGGCCCGUUACAGAAAUAAAAAACCAAACAAAAACCAAAAUGUUUCAGUCCAAUUUUGCUAAGCCCAAUAACCCAAUAGCACAACCCAAAUCAAUUUAUUUUAAAACUAACCUAGCUACAAUCACCGAAACCCUAAAAUCCCUUAGCUACUGCCUCCGGCAAGUGUCCAAUCGGCACACGUUUCGAAACCAGCCCUAUUCUCCGCGUCAUGCUCUCCACAACUACCUGCGAAAACGGACUAAAAGAGUCCCAAUAUUGUAAAAUAAAAAUACAAAGUAUUUUCUUAGGCUAUAAAAAGCCUAAGUUGUACACUGAUAAAAAAAAAGAACAGAGAACAAAAUAAAUAUUUUUACAAAAGUGAUUUUUUUUUGUUUUAUUUCGCAGUGACCAUUUUUUAUAUACAUACGUUUUAUUUUCUUUUAUUUUCAUUUAUUUCGUAUAAAAUAACAAAGAAAAAAGAAAAGGAAAACAUACCUUUUGUCGGAGUCGCCGGAUUGUUGCCAUCUCCAUCGCGGUCGGAGCGUCGGCAUGGGCGAACGGCGGCGCUAGGAGCUAGGGCUGAAAACCCUAGCAGAGGGCAUUUGGUUUUUUUUUCCUUUCAUUCUGUUGCAAAUUUUUUUUAGAGAAAAAAAAACUGUUUUAAAUAACAGAGCAAAACGACGCCGUUUUACCCAAGCAUGACCCGCGCGGUGACCCGACCCGGAGGGGAGGAUCCGCGCGUUCUGGCCGAAGGGAAAAUUUGCGCAAUUGGUCCCUCCCUUUUGCAAUGCGCUUCAAUUAAACCUGUUUUGUUUUUUUUAAUUUGGCCGCAUAUUUUAUUUUUGUUUCAAUUUGGUCCCUUAUUGCGCAGCGUUUUGGAGGGUGGGAUUAAUUUCCCUUCUAGUCCCCCAUUGUUGUUCGCGCGUUCAAGUUGGUCCUUUUUUAUUUAUUUUCGAAUCUACCCCAUCUUUUCAUUUUUAAGUUCAAUUUAGCCCAUUUUUUAGCUUUUUUUUUAAAUUCUUUUUUAUGUUUGUCAUUAUACCAUUAUUAUUAUUAUAUUAUUUGCUAUCAUUAUUGUUAUUGUAUUUUCUAUACAUAUAAAUACGCAUAUUUUUUAUAUUUAAUAUAUAAGCAUAUUUUUAAUAUAUAUAUUUAUAAGUACGCAUCUAUUUUAUACAUACAUACAUACUUUUUUUUAUUUUAUUUCCUAACCUUUAUGUACACGUAUAUAUACUUCUAUAUUUUUGUUUCAAAAUUUUUUAUACAUAUGCAUGUUCGUUUUUUUUAUAUAUAUUAUUUUUCAUAUUUUUUUACAAAACGUAUAUAUAUGUGUAUACAUACACAUUUUAAAAUACACACAUGUUUCCCAUAUUUUACAAUUCAAAAUACACAUUUUUUUUAUAUUAUAUAUAUACAUUCUUUAUAUUUUUGAGUUAUUAUAGACAUUUUUAUUAUUCUAUAUAUACUCCGUUAUUUAUGUACAUAUCAUACAUAUAUAUAAAUUUUUUAAUAUAUGUAUACAUAUUUUCAUGUUUUACCAAUACAUAUAUACUUAUACAUUUUUUAUUUCUGUAAAUAUAUACACAUAUACAUACUUUUAUAGUUUUAUUUUAUUUUCACGGUUUUCAAAUACACAUACGUGCAUUUUUUAUUAGUUUUUGAUUGAUAUAUUCCAUUCCAUUUUUUAUAUGUAUCCUUGUAUAUGUGUGUAAAAUAUAUGCGUGCACAUAUUUUCAAAUUUACUUGUAUAUUGUACUUGUAUGUAUAUAUUUUGUAAAUACAUAUUCAUAUAUGUUUUAAAUUAAUGUUUUGUUUCAUAUUGUACGUUAACUUUUAACAUACCUUUUGGGAAAUAUAUUUUGGUUUUGUCAGUAUAUCAAAAUCAUUUUCUCUUGAUUCAAAGUUUUUUGAAUAAAAGCAAUAUUCAAAGUUUGGAAUUUUUGAGGAAAAUUGAGCCCUAACGUAUUGGGUUCUGAUUUUCUUUGUUAAUCUUAAAUAACCAAGGAUAUUCUUUAUUCAAAAUGCAUGAGUAUAAAGAUCAUUUUCGGGAACUUAACUUGUUGUGUCCUAAUGUAUUGGGCGUGACAUAUUAUUUUCUCAAAAUGAAGAUUUUCGCAUAAAAUAAAAGUAAUAUUUAAAGUUCGGGGAUUUUGAGAAAUUGUACCCUAAUGUAUUGGGACUCGAUUUCUUUACAUGACUUGAACAAUUGAUUAUCCUUUUCAGAUUUCAUCAUUUGAGUUGUUUUAAAAAAAAUUUUUUAGCCCUCGACAUUAAGACAUUAAAUAAUCAAUUUUGUACCGAUUUUGGACGUCACAAGGGUGCUACCCUUCCUCGUGCGUAAUUGACUCCCGAACUCGUUUUCUCAAAUUUCGUAAACCAAAAUACGUUUUAAGGUGAACUGAUCACACCUCAAUAAAGGAUCGGUGGCGACUCCAAUUUUGUUUUUUUAAAAAGUCGACAACUAUAUUUUUUAUUUAAAAAUGGUUUCGACAAUAUGAAAUAAAAGAAAAAUAGAGAGUAGGGAGAGAAAUUUACCUAAAAGCUGAGACGUCGUUCGUCUGUCGUAAUCGAAGUCGGACGAGGAAUCGGGGCCUCCAAACGCUGGUUUGUUGAGCGGCGCACGGAGGAAAAGUUGCUUAGGGUUUGUAGAUCUAUUAAAAUGGCUUAAUGCCUUGGUUUUUUUAGGUUUCAUGCGUGCAACGAAAUGGCACCGUUUGAACCCCGUUCUAAUGGCUCCAAAGCGAUGUCGUAUUGAGGCUCGACCCGAUUCGAACUAGGUUCCAGAUCUGCGUGUUUUACCUCAUAGGGGAGAAUUUCGCGAAUAGUCCUCCGCUUUUAUAGAACCUUCAAAUUGAUCCUUUUAUUUCUUUUAAAUUUGGCUGCUCAUUUUGUGCUUCAUUUCAAUUAGGUCCGUGCAAGGAUGCUGCGUUUUGAGGGAAGGGAUAUUUUCCCAUUCAGUCCCCAAGUUAUUCGCGCGUUCCUUUGUGGCCCUUAAUGUUAUUUUAUUUUUAUUUUCUCUUUUAAUUUUGAAUUAAAUGCAGUUUAGCUUGUUUUUGUUUAAUUUAAUGUAUUCAAUUUUUAUUUUAUUUUUAAUAUUCAUCAUUCUUUUUUAAAAAAUAUUUAAUUUUACAUCUAGAUUAUUUUAUGUUUAAAUUUAGUAUAUUUUAAAUUUAUUAACAAUAUUAUUUUAAUAUUAUAACAUAUUAUUAUUCUAAAUGUAACAUUAACAUUAUUUUAAAUUUAUCAUGUACAAUCUUAUGCAUUCUUGUUGUAGUUUCAAUAUAAUUUAUAGAUUUUUUUACAUUUUUAUUUUAUAAUACAUUUUUUAACUUCACUUAUAUAGUUCUUUGCUUUAAGAUUUGUACAUUAAUAUUCUUACAUAAUAUUUUUCUAUACAUAUAUAUAAUUUGUGUUAAAUUAUUUUUUAUUAUAUAUAUAAUAUAUUACCGAUUUCAUAUUAUUACAUAUCUUUUUACAUAUUUUUAUAUAUACAUAAUUUAUUUCUUUUAAAACCCUACUUUAUUAUGUACUUUGUUUAUUUCAACUUUUUAUAAUAUUAUAUAUAUUAUUAUUAAACUUUUCAUUUCAUAUAUAUAUUACUUAUUUAGAUUAAUGUAUGUAUAUUAUUUGGUAUAUUACAUAUAUAUAUAUUGUAGCAACGUAAAAAUUUUAGCUUAGCUUGGUCGCUAAUUGUGGCGAUUUAUUGAAAUUUUUUUUGAAAUUUGACGUUUGAUUUUUGAAAUAAAUAGGGAGUUGCCACCGAUCCUUUUUCCUAGGUGUGAUCGGACACCUAUUAGAUCUUUUAUUAAAACAAAUAAAAGGCUAAGUUUAGGUCUACGUUAAAAUCCAGAAAAAAUUUAGGGUUCGGGAGUCGGUUAUGCACGAGGAAGGUAUUGGCACCCUCGCGACGCCCAAAAUUGGUAUCUUAUUAAACACAUGUUGUCUUGAUUUUCAAAAAUACGAAUUCAAUUUGACAUUUAAGUGUGAUCCGAUUGAAGGAAAUGAGAAGUUGCAAGUUUUUUUGUUUUUUAGAAGGACGUCCCGUUUUUAACACGAGCCGAUUAAUUUCACCCAACAUAGGAUGAAAUCAAUGACUUAAUGUUAAAAUCGGUACAUUGCCUUAUUCUUAAAAUUAAAAUGUAAAAAGUUUUUAAAAUGAUAGUAAAAAAAAAUCCAAGAAUAUUAUUGUCAAAAAAAUGCGAAUAAUGAUGUGAAUAAUAAAAUAUAUAAAAUAUAAAAUAUCAAAAUAUCAAAAUAUUAGAAUAAUAAUAAUUAAUAUUGAAAAAUAAAAAAUAAAAUAGAAAUAAAAAAAAUGUACAUAAUAUAUAUUAGAAAUAAUAAUGAUGUUUAAAAAUCAAUACUAUUAAUAAUACUACAUUAAUAUGUACAUAUAUAAAAAAAAUACGUGAUAAUAUUAAAAAUAUGUACAUAAUAUAGUGUUAAAAAUACAUACAUAAUAUAGUUAAGAUAUAUACAUAAGAUAACAUGUAAAAAAAAUAUAUAAAUAAUAUAAUAUUAAAGAUAUAUACAUAAAAUAGUAUAAAAUAUAUAUACGUAAUAUAGAAUUUAAAAUAUACCUAAUAUAUUAAAAGAAUAUAUAUAAUAUAAUAUUAAGAAAUAUAAUAAUAACAAAAAAGGAGAGAGAGGGAGAGGGUGGAUGAUUUUCGGCCACAAGGUCGGCCAUCGUCCGGUCACUGGACCGCCGCCGGCGCCACCGUACACGGCAGCCGGACCUCAAAAAAAACUUUUUCGGUAAAAAUGGGUAAGCUUCCUCCUUUUAUUUUUUUUCACUUUCGUAUAAAAGAAACAAAAUAAGAUUGAAAGGAAAACAAUAAGUAAACAAAGAACUUAAAAUGAGAAUAGACAAAGAAACCUCUUUUGCUUUGAUCUUUAAUUAAUCUUCAAAAAAACUAGCUUCUCCAAAAACUAGCCUUCACAAUAACUCUUCUCCUUAAUUACUUUAAAAAGAAACCUCUCCAAAAAUCCUUUACAAUAACUUUCUCUCCCAAAAACUUUCCAAAAAAAAAUCCCCCCCCUUUUACAAAAUAUGAUAAGGCUUAUAUAGCUAUUUACAAAAUAUUUUUUUAUUGUUUAUGUCUUCAUUUGUAGGUACAAGUGGUGGUGGAGCAAGUGUGGUUAGUGGAGUAGGUAAUGGAGCAAGUGUGGCUAGUGGAUUUGGUGGUGGAGAAGGUGUGGCUAGUGGAGUUGGUGGUGGAAAAGGAGUGGCUAGUGGAGUUGGUGGUGGAAAAGGUGUGGCUAGUGGAGUUGGUGGUGGAAAAGGUGUGGCUAGUUGAGAAAAGUUUAAGUUGUGGGCUAGGUUUUUUUAUUUUGAUUUGGGCUUAGGGUUUGGGCCAUUGGGGUUUUGAUGUAAAUUGGGCUUUGGGUAGUUAAGAUUUUGGGUUUUGGGUUUAAUUUUGGUGGGUUAGGUAAGGCUAAAUUGGGUUUUGAUGUAAAUGGGCUAAAAUUGGCCUACAACAGCUGCCCCUCUUUGCUUAUUAUCGUGUAACGAGAAUAGAGCAAAGAUAUAAAGAAAGGCCAAUUUUGCCCGGUCUUGCUAAGUAUGGACUUCUUUGGUGCUCUUCUCAUCCAGGUAGUCUCUUUCCAGUCCAUCGCAUCUUGUAGCUUUGGUUCAAUCCACUGCAAAUUCGGAGAUAUGCCUUAUAGCUUCAAUCUGUUCCAAUGUAAUUCAAUAUGCUCUUCUAUCGCUUCAGUGAGAUAAGGUUUUGGGUCUUCUCUUCUGCCACUUUAGAAAGGCAAGAUCUGAUAUCCUCGAUCAACUCCACUGCAACUUCAGGGAGACAAAAUCUGGUGUCUUCAAUCAGGUCUAAUAUUGAUUCUUUACUCGGCAUGUGAUCCUGAGCUCAACUCAUUUCUCGCAAUAUGAAUUGACUCUGUAAAACUAGACAUUAAAAACAGAAAUUGAAAAUAGCUCAGCACGUGAGCCAAGGCUCAACUCACCUCUCGCAAAAGUAGAUUUUGAAAAUACCUCGACAUGUAAACCCAAGGCUCAACUCACAUCUCGCAAUAUGAGUUGAUUUUUGAAAAGCAGAAAUUGAAAACGCCUCAGCGUGUGACCCGAGGCUCAACUCACCUAUCGCAAUAUGAGUUGAUUUUUUUGAAAAGCAGAAAUUGAAAAUAGCUCAGCACGUGAGCAAAGGCUCAACUCACCUCUCACAAUAUGAGUUGAUUCUUUUGAAAAGCAGAAAUUGAAAAUAGCUCAGCACGUGAGCAAAGGCUCAACUCACUUCUCGCAAAAGUAGAUUUUGAAAAUACCUCGACAUGUGAACCCAAGGCUCAACUCACAUCUCGCAAUAUGAGUUGAUUUUUGAAAAAUAUAAAUUGAAAAAAAUAGAAAUUGAAAAGCAGAAAUUAAAAAGACCUCAGCAUGUGAGCCGAGACUCAACUCACCUCUCGCAAUAUGAGUUAAUUUUUGACAAACAGAAAUUGAAAUUACCUCAGCGUGUCCUGAGGCUCAACUCACCUCUAGCAAUAUGAGUUGAUUUUGAAAAACAAAAAUUAAAAGUACCUCAACGUGUCUUGAGGCUCAACUCAUCUCUCGCAAUAUGAGUUGACUUUCCUUGAAAAGCAUGAAUUAAAAACAUCAAAAUACCCAAAACCUAUCCUUUGGUAGAACUCGGGUGUCUUUUCCUUUGAUUCAGUGCGACUCUCAUUCAAGAUUUCUUGCUCUACUGGAGUACCUGUAUAUGCUAUGUAUGAUGUUAUCAUGAUAUGCACAUGUUUGUCUUAAAUGCUUUUAUGCCUACAUGAUUAUGCAGUGCUCCUUAAGCAUGUUUGUCGUAUGUCCAUUUAGCCACGAUUGUUGAGGGUCUGUGUUCAUUGCUUUGAUUCUCGACUUUCUCCUCAGGCCUUAUACCUACCUUCAAGCUUCACGAGUAAUCGACGUUCCUCAGAUAUCACUCUUCUGCCCCCGAUUGAACUUUGUUCUUACUUUGAGACUCUUGUGCUUAUCAAAUUUUCAUCCAGGUAAUGCUUAACAUUUCUCUUGUUUAGAGUAUGUCAUUUCUCCAUUUAUCAUGUAAAUAAACACAUAAUGAGAUGCAUGAAAAAGGUCAGGUAGGGAAAAAUGAUAUUUCAUAUUCAUCUAUUUCAAAUGUGGCAAACAAAGCAAGUUAACCAAUUAGAGUAAAAAAUGUCAAAAAGAAAGAAAGGAUCGUAUUCAACGGAUGCAAAUACUUUAGAUAUUCGACACAUGAACUCUUCCACGUUCCUCAAUCAAGAAUCUUUUCGAGUCUGGCUCUUUGCGUAGAAGAUUUCGAGCUUUCAGAAAUGCUUCAAAUACUGUAGUCUCACUGUUUGACCCGCUGUUAAAACGCCACGCUCUUUAAGCCAGGUUUACCUCAUUAGGACGCCCUCUCGGGUUUUCAUCCUAAUCUUUUGUGCUAAUCAAGACGCCCUUUGCGGGUUUUCGCCUUGAUCCCUCUUUUUUUUUGGAUGCCCUUUUCAGGUUUUCAUCUCAAGCAUAAUAUUUCUUCACAGCAUCUGAGUUCACUGGAUUCGGUAACUUCUUUCCAUCCAUCUUGGUAAGGAUCAAAGCUCCUCCUGAAAAUGCCUUCUUUACGACGUAUGGUCCUUCCCAAUUUGGUGCCCAUUUUCCUCGCAGGUCCUUUUGUAUUGGGAGAAUCUUCCUCAGUACGAGUUCUCCUUCGUGGAAUUCUCUUGGCCAUACUUUCUUGUCAUGGGCCGCGAUCAUUCUCUUCUGGUACAUCUGCCCGUGACAAAUUGCUCUUAGACGUUUUUCUUCGAUGAGGUUCAACUGAUCAUAUCGAUCUCAAACCCAUUCUGCUUCUUCUAACUUUAAUUCCAUUAAGACUCGCAGGGAGGGGAUCUCAACCUCAAUAGGUAGCACAGCUUCCAUUCCGUAAGCCAGAGAGAAAGGAGUUGCUCCCGUAGAUGUUCGCACAGAUGUGCGAUAUGCAAACAAAGCAACUGGAAGCUUCUCGUGCCAAUCUUUAUAUGUUUCAGUCAUUUUCCCAAUGAUCUUCUUAAUAUUUUUAUUGGCUGCUUCAACAGCCCCGUUCAUCUUUGGGCGAUAGGGCGAGGAGUUAUGAUGCUUUAUUUGGAACUGCUCGCACACUUCUUUCAUCAUCUUAUUGUUCAGAUUCGUGGCAUUAUCUGAAAUGAUUCUUUCAGGCAAACCAUACCGGCAAAUGAUUUCCUUUUUCAAAAACCUGCAAACUGCAGUCCUCGUCACAUUGGCAAACGAAGCGGCUUCUAUCCAUUUUGUGAAGUAAUCGAUGACCACAAAAACGAAUCGAUGUCCAUUUGAUGCUUUUGGAGAAAUUGGCCCUAUGACAUCCAUGCCCCACAUAGAAAAAGGCCACGGAGAAGUCAUGACAUGAAGGGGUGAAGGGGCUACAUGAAUUUUAUCGCUGUAGAUUUGACAUUUGUGGCAUUUUCUGGCAAAAUUGAUGCAGUCAUUUUCCAUUGUCAGCCAAUAAUAACCGAGUCUCAUGAUCUUUCUGGCCAUAUUGAAACCAUUGGCAUGCAUUCCGUAAAUUCCCUCAUAGACCUCUUCAAGUAUUUUUCUGGCUUCAACAUCAUCCACACAUCUCAAAAGCAUCUGAUCCUUUCCUCUUUUAUAUAGGAUAUCCCCAUCAAUAACAAAUCCCGCUGCCAUUCUUCUAAUUGUUCUUUUAUCGUUCUCAUUCGCUUGUUCGGGAUACCUUUGAUUCUUGAUAUAUUCUAAGAUAUCAUGGAACCAAGGUCGUCCGUCUACUUCUUUCUCAAUGCUACAACUGUGUGCAGGGACCUCGUAUAUGCUCAUUUUGAGGGGCAUUAUUUCUACUUCUCUACUUGCUUUGAACAAUGAAGCCAAAGUGGCCAGGGUAUCAACCAGUUGGUUCUCUUCUCGUGGGAAGUAAUGAAAAGUUAUUUCUUUGAAUUCCUUGAUCAAUCCAGCUACUAAAUCGCUGUACUUAAUCAAUUUUGAGUCCCUCACUUCCCACUCUCCACGGAUUUGGUAAAUCACUAGGGCUGAGUCCCUGUACACCUCUAAGAUCUUGAUGUUUCGUUCGAUAGCUGCACGAAGCCCCAUGAUACAGGCCUCAUAUUCUGUGAUAUUAUUGGUACAGAAGAAGUUCAGUCUUGCGGUGAACGGAUAAUGAUUCCCGUCUGGUGAUACCAGGAUUGCUCCUAUUCCUUGUCCUAAAGCAUUUGACGCACCAUCAAAGCACAUCUUCCAUGACUUCUCUUUUGAUGACUCGGAUUCUAUUUCUGUGAUGCACAUUAAGUCUUCAUCUGGGAAAUCGAAUCUUAAAGGCUCAUAUUCCUCUGUCGUUCGAGUUGCUAAGAAGUCAGCUAUUGCGCUCCCUUUUAUCGACUUCUGACUUACAUAGGUAAUGUCAUAUUCCGAAAGGAGGAUCUGCCAUCGUGCCAUUCUUCCUGAUAGUACCGGUGAUUCCAUCAUGUAUUUUAUUAGGUCCAGUUUUGAAAUUAGCCAUGUCGUGUGAUACAACAUAUAUUGUCUGAGUCUCCGAGCUACCCAAACCAGAGCGCAACAAUAUUUCUCAAUGGACGAAUAUUUUACCUCAUAUUCAGAGAACUUUUUGCUGGGGUAGUAGAUCACUUUUUCUUUCUUUCCUGACUCGUCGUGUUGCCCUAGUACGCAACCCAUUGAACUUUCAAACACAUUCAAAUACAAUAUCAAUGGUCUUCCAGGAGUUGGCGGUACUAGCACUGGAGGACUGGACAAAUAUUGUUUUAUCUUAUCAAAGGCCACUUGGCAUUCCUCGUUCCAUUCUCCCGGGUUAUGUUUUCGAAGAAGCUGAAAGAUUGGGUCGCAUUGGUUGGUAAGUUGAGCGAUAAAUCGGGCGAUGUAGUUUAAUCUCCCUAAAAAUCCUCUAACUUCCUUUUGCGUGCGCGCAUGUGGUAAUUCUUGGAUGGCUUUUAUUUUAUCUGGAUCAACUUCGAUACCUCUUUCACUGACAAUGAAGCCUAGCAACUUUCCCGAGGUAGCCCCAAAUGUACAUUUGGCUGGAUUAAGCUUUAGCUAAAACUUUCUCAGCCUUUCGAACAACUUCUUGAGGUUCACUACAUGCUCUUCUUCCCCUCGCAAUUUAGCAAUCAUGUCGUCGACGUAGACCUCUAUUUCUUUAUGCAUCAUGUCAUGGAAUAACGUUACCAUAGCCCUCUGAUAUAUUGCCCCAGCAUUCUUUAACCCGAAUGGCAUCACCUUGUAGCAGAACGUUCCCCACAUCGUUAUGAAGGUAGUUUUCUCCAUAUCCUCAAGGGCCAUCUUGAUCUAAUUAUACCCCGAGAAUCCAUCUAUGAAAGAAAACAAUGAAUGUUUUGCUGUGUUGUCCACAAACGUGUCAAUAUGUGGCAAGGGAAAAUUAUCUUUUGGGCUUGCUCGAUUCAGGUCACGGUAAUCCACGGACAUUCGUACUUUGCCAUAUUUCUUUGGUACUGGGACUAUGUUAGCCACCCAUUCUAGAUAUUUGGAGGCUUGUAGGAAGCCAGCAUCAAAUUGCUUCUUGAUUUCUUCUUUUAUUUUCAACAGCAUUUUGGGUCUCAUCCGUCUUAAUUUUUGCUGGAUGGGCUUGCAUUCUGGCUUUAAUGGGAGCUUAUGGACCACUAAAUCUUCAUCUAGCCCUGGCAUGUCCUGGUAUGACCAUGCGAAAACAUCUUUGUAUUCGCGGAGUAAAAUGAUCAAACUAUGUCUAGUACUCUCUGAAAUAGAAGUCCCAAUCUUCACUUCUUGUUUCCUCUCUUCAAUGCCCAAAUUUAUUAUUUCCACAGAUUCUUCAUGAGGCAAAAUCUGUUUAUCCUCUUGUUCCACCAUUCUUAACAAUUCAGGAGACGAGACAUAAUCUUCAGCAUUUUCUUCGGCUUCAAAUUCUCCUAAGCAAACAGCCUUCUCAAAAUCAAUUUCAAGAUUCGUAACGGGCUUAUUCAUAUCGUCAAUAUCUGAGCACCUGAAAGUUGAAUGGAAAAGGAAGCUAUAGAGGGGCAUCCAAGUAUUGGAAUCAACAAAGAAAUGUCAUGUCAUGGCAAUGAGGCAAAUGUGAGUAUAGGCUAUGAAAUGAGAAAAUGAUUAUGAAAUUAGUGAUAAUGCGAAAAAUCGUGACAAAAUGCAUCUUCAUUGAUAUUCACUUAAAUGAUAAAGAGCGAAUGCAAGCUCCUACAAAAGAAUUCUAUUAUAUCUAAGGACACAAUAGAAUGUUAAUGUUUGAGCAUUACUCUGAAGACUUAUAAACUACAAGAAGGUCCUCGGCAGUCCAAUUGUUCAACAUGAAACCAGGGGGACAAAGGCGUAUCCUUGAGACAUCUUUACUUGUGUCAGCUCCUUUGUCAAUGACAUUUAUACUGAUGUUCUGAAAACCCUUUUCGAUCAUUAACAUUGUGCCUUGUGCAUUGUCCUGCCUCGGGUAUAUCAUUCCCACAGACGUAAAUGUUCUUGACAAAGGAGGGAAUUCCAUAGGCUCCCAUUCUGGUUCUCGGCCUAAGGUUCUCGCAAUCCUUCUUUCUUGAUCUUUCUUCCACUGUCUUCUUCUUUGACGCAUGUCUGGCUGGAACCCCAAACCGUAUCGGGCCUUAUGAUGCACUGGUUUUAGAGCCCUGACUAUUCCUUGUAGAUAUCUCCCUAAACCUCUUCUCACUCGAGCUCCCCUUCCUACAGUCAACUUGACACCCAUUCUAGUAUUUCUCGACAAUUUAGGCACGGGAAUUUUGUUUCCCUCAGUGAAGAAUGUGGCAUUGACGAAUUCAAGGGAUCGGAAGGAGCAUUCCACUACGUCCUUGCUCACUUCAAGGUAUGGCGCAUCAGCAGAGAUAGAUGCGACAAUGUCUUCUUCUCCCUCGACAGUGACCAAACAGCCAUCCAUGAUAAAUUUCACCUUUUGAUGGAGGGAUGAUGGGACCGCUCUAGCAGAAUGGAUCCAGGGUCUUCCCAAAAGGCAGUUAUAUGAGGAUGUAAUGUCCAUGACUUGGAACUCGACAUCAUAUAUGUAGGGACCCACUUCCAGAGGGAUCUCAAUUUUUUCCAUGACUUCAUGCCUUGUCCUGUCGAAUGCCCUUACCGUAGAAUGACAGGGCCUUAAAUGGGACAGAUCCAUCGAAAUUCUGGAAAGUGUGGCCAAAGGCAUAACGUUGAGUGCCGAACCAUUAUCGAUGAGCACGUUCGGUAUUAUGUAGCCCUUGCAACGGGUUGUGAUAUGCAAUGCUUUCACUGAGCCUCUACCAUUGGGCGGUAUUUCAUCAUCACUAAAAGAAAUGAAAUUAUCCGCAUUCAAGUUGUUCAUCCACCUAUCCAGUUUUUCAAUGGAUACAUUGUUUGCCACAUAAGCUUGAUUUAACACUUUCAGCAGAGCGUUUCGGUGUGGUUCUGAAUUCAACAGCAGAGAUAAUACCGAGAUUCGCGCUGGCUGCUUACUCAAUUGUUCUACCACGUUGUACUCACUGUGUUUGAUAAAUUUUAAGAAUUCCUGUGCUUCCUCCUCGUCCACAGGAUUUUUAGCUUCUUGUUCAGGCGCAGUUUCAUGCUCAUCAUCGGUCACAUGCAUCGGUGCUUUUCCUUUCCGUUUCAAGUCACUGUUCUUCUUUAUCUCCUUCGAAUAACAUCUUCCACUAUGAGUGAAAUGACCUAAUUCCCCGAUUCUUCCAGUCAUGGCUUUGGGUUUUUCAUCUUCAGGUGUGACGAUAUUAAUGUCAUAUUUCCAUGGUACUGCUUUAUUGUCCUUGUAAGGGAAAGAAGAUGGUACUUCAAUUAUCAUUUUUGGUUUCACCGGCUCUUUCAUCGCAUCGUAAUAAAUUACUAACGGUUGAUCAGCGCUAUAAGGGGGACCUGAUGACUGGCUAUCAGAGGCGCAUACUUCUCUUUCAUUGGUCUCUUCCCUUUUGUUAAGGAUCUUAAUCUCCUUAUUAUCCAUCCGGUCUUGAAGCAACCUUUUAAAUUCCUCACACGACUGAAUGUCGUGUCCCACAAUUCCAUGGAAAUUGCAAAAACUUUGACCUUCUUCUCCGAGAAUUCUAUCGGGGUGACAAAGCAAUCAUUUCUUAACCAGUACCUCCCAGAUUUUCUGCAAAGGCGUCCUUAUUUCCAAAACACAUCUUCUGACUUUCCAUUCGUCCACUUUCCCCACUAUACUCACAUCCCUUUCGAUAUGGUUAGGGAAUGGGUUCCCAGUUGCAUUACUGGCACUAUCGAAUCGUAGGAUACCUGCAUCAAUGAGUCCUUGAACUCUUCUCUUAAAGGCUAGGCAGUUUUUCGUGGAAUGUCCCUGGUUUCCCGUAUGGUAUGCACAACUAGCGAAUUGUAUGUUUUAACCUCAGCGAACGAGUAUGGAAUAUGCAAUGAAUGAAUGAAUGCAUGAAUGUCAAAUGACUGUUAGUCAUGAAAGAAAUGCAAGAAAUUGGUGUUAAUUUCAAGAUAGCCCCUAUUUAGGCAUUUCCUUAAUCAAAAGAGUCUAUUACACAACGUUUCGGUCACUCGUGUAAUUGACUCCUCUAUCAGAAACCCCUUUUUGGCAACCAAUCUCUAAUCAACCCUUUCCUAACAAGAUGUAUAUGAUGCAUGAUGAAAAAUAGAAAUACAGACAAACAACAUUGGUUAGCAAAACACAUAUGAUCAGAGAAAAAUUGUGGAAAAUCUAACAAAUUAAGCUACUUGGUCCAAUGGACUCGAUUCCCUUGCAUAGAAAGUGAAAGUGCAAAAGGUAAGAGGCGUUCCUCCCGUGCACUUAUUUUGGUGACUACUAAACGGACGGAGGUUCAGCAUGGCUCUAGUUAGGUGGCUCGUAUGGUUCAUUAUAUGCGGUUUUGGUUCUAGAUAGGUACUCGAAUUGCCCGUACUAUCAUCUACUAAGAUUAACACGGAGCCUCGGUCAUAGCCUAUCACAGGCUCACGAGUUCAAUUCGAGGGGUUACAUUUACUUAUGCCUAUGCGGAGGGACAAGUUAACUCACGAAAGCAUAAAUCAUAUGUAACCCGAAAGUAUUCACUAGCCUGUGCGGAGGGACGAGUUAACUCACGAAGGCGUAGUGUUUACUUUCACUUAAACGGACGGAGCCCGGGUAGAGAGCUCAUGUUAUGCGAAAAUGCAAGUGCACGGUGUGUGGGGAACAACUCAUAAACCUUUACGUUUCACUUAAAGAAACUAAACCAAAAUUAAAACCAUAAAAAUUAAAAACUGAAAAACAACCAAAUAAGCAAGUUAGAAGAAAUAUUUACAGCACGAUACAAAUGCAUGAAUUUUGAAAAUGAGAUUUUCGGAUCACGACCAAAUAUUUACUUUGAACAAGGAAAUUUGAAAAUUUUGACAAAACGUGUUUAAUUCCAGACACGACUCUCAAAAAGGCUUUCCCCAGCGGAGUCGCCAGCUGUAGCGACGUAAAAAUUUUAGCUUAGCUUGGUCGCUAAUUGUGGCGAUUUAUUGAAUUUUUUUUUGAAAUUUGACGUUUGAUUUUUGAAAUAAAUAGGGAGUCGCCACCGAUCCUUUUUCCUAGGUGUGAUCGGACACCUAUUAGAUCUUUUAUUAAAACAAAUAAAAGGCUAAGUUUAGGUCUACGUUAAAAUCCAGAAAAAAUUUAGGGUUCGGGAGUCGGUUACGCACGAGGAAGUUAUUGGCACCCUCGCGACGCCCAAAAUUGGUAUCUUAUUAAACACAUGUUGUCUUGAUUUUCAAAAAUACGAAUUCAAUUUGACAUUUAAGUGUGAUCCGAUUGAAGGAAAUGAGAAGUUGCAAGUUUUUUUGUUUUUUAGAAGGACGUCCCGUUUUUAACACGAGCCGAUUAAUUUCACCCAACAUAGCGAUGAAAUCAAUGACUUAAUGUUAAAAUUGGUACAUUGCCUUAUUCUUAAAAUUAAAAUGUAAAAAGUUUUUAAAAUGAUAGUAAAAAAAAUCCAAGAAUAUUAUUGUCAAAAAAUGCGAAUAAUGAUGUGAAUAAUAAAAUAUAUAAAAUAUAAAAUAUCAAAAUAUCAAAAUAUUAGAAUAAUAAUAAUUAAUAUUGACAAAUAAAAAAUAAAAUAGAAAUAAAAAAAAUGUACAUAAUAUAUAUAUUAGAAAUAAUAAUGAUGUUUAAAAAUCAAUACUAUUAAUAAUACUACAUCAAUAUGUACAUAUAUAAAAAAAAUACGUGAUAAUAUUAAAAAUAUGUACAUAAUAUAGUGUUAAAAAUACAUACAUAAUAUAGUUAAGAUAUAUGCAUAAGAUAACAUGUAAAAUAUAUAUAUAAAUAAUAUAAUAUUAAAGAUAUAUACAUAAAAUAGUAUAAAAUAUAUAUAUACGUAAUAUAGAAUUUAAAAUAUACCUAAUAUAUUAAAAGAAUAUAUAUAAUAUAAUAUUAAGAAAUAUAAUAAUAACAAAAAAGGAGAGAGAGGGAGAGGGUGGAUGAUUUUCGGCCACAAGGUCGGCCAUCGUCCGGUCACCGGACCGCCGCCGGCGCCACCGUACACGGCAGCCGGACCUCAAAAAAAACUUUUUCGGUAAAAAUGGGUAAGCUUCCUCCUUUUAUUUUUUUUUACUUUCGUAUAAAAGAAACAAAAUAAGAUUGAAAGGAAAACAAUAAGUAAACAAAGAACUUAAAAUGAGAAUAGACAAAGAAACCUCUUUUGCUUUGAUCUUUGAUUAAUCUUCAAAAAAACUAGCUUCUCCAAAAACUAGCCUUCACAAUAACUCUUCUCAUUAAUUACUUUAAAAAGAAACCUCUCCAAAAAUCCUUUACAAUAACUUUCUCUCCCAAAAACUCUCAAAAAAAAAAUCCCCCCCUUUUACAAAAUAUGGGAAGGCUUAUAUAGCUAUUUACAAAAUAUUUUUUUAUUGUUUAUGUCUUCAUUUGUAGGUACAAGUGGUGGUAGAGCAAGUGUGGUUAGUGGAGUAGGUAAUGGAGCAAGUGUGGCUAGUGGAUUUGGUGGUGGAGAAGGUGUGGCUAGUGGAGUUGGUGGUGGAAAAGGUGUGGCUAGUGGAGUUGGUGGUGGAAAAGGUGUGGCUAGUUGAGAAAAGUUUAAGUUGUGGGCUAGGUUUUUUUAUUUUGAUUUGGGCUUAGGGUUUGGGCCAUUGGGGUUUUGAUGUAAAUUGGGCUUUGGGUAGUAAGAUUUUGGGUUUUGGGUUUAAUUUUGGUGGGUUAGGUAAGGCUAAAUUGGGUUUUGAUGUAAAUGGGCUAAAAUUGGCCUACAACAUAUAUAUAUAUUUUAUUUACUUUAAAAUUCAUUGUGAUACUAUAAUUUCACAUAGUAAUUCUUUUUAUCUUCCUUUAAAUCUAUUUCAAACUCGUAUAUAUAUUGUUUAUGAUAAAUUUUAUGCAUGUAAUUUAUUUUAUAUUAAUAAUUUUCAAUUUCCUCCCUUGCAUGUUAUUCUUUUUUUUGUUUUCAUUUUUUAAGCUUGUUCGUGUUAAUUUACUUGAUAUUCCUUUUAAUUCUUUAGCUUUUAAUAUUAAUAUUUACCCAACAUAUAAUAUGAGAUUCUUACUAUUGUUAUAUUGUAUUGUUUAUUUAUAUUUAUUGAUUGUUUGACAUUCAUUAGUAUACGCUUUAUUUUAUGAAUCAUCAUCUCGCAUUGUAUAUUAUUAUUCAAUCGUUUUUAUUCGUUCAAAAGAUUACGUUUAAUAUCAUUUAAGUAUCGAAAUUGAUUUAUUCAAAAACUUUCAAGAUAGCGUAAUAUUCGGUAUUUGGGUUCUUUGAUAGAAUUGAGCCCUAACGUAUUGGGUUCCAAUUUUCCUUGUUGAAUCUAAAUAAUCGAGAAUAUUCUUCAAUCAAAAAUACAUAAAUAAAAAGCUCAUUCUCGGGAAUUCAAUACGUUGUGUCCUAACGCAUUGGAUAUGACACGUUGUUUUCUUGAGAUGAUGAUUUUUCUAAAUAAAAAUAAAGGCAAUAUUUGGUAUUUAGGAAUUUUGUGAAAUUGAACCCUAAUUUACUGGGUUUUGAUUUUUCAUUUGACCAAAUAAUCAGAUAUCCUUCUCAAAAUGCAUAGGUUUUAAAAAAAAUCAAAAGAUAAACUUAAUUUUGAAGAUAAAAAAUGUAGCGCCCUAACUUACUGGGUGUGACAUUUUAUUUCUUUAAAAUAAGAGUGUCUUAUUAUUUAAUUCAAUUUAUUCAAAGUUAAAAGGAUCGUAUUUUAAAACCUUUUCAAAUUUUUGACACUAAGACAUUAAACAAUCAAUUCGGUAACAAUUUUGGGCGUUACGAGGGUGCUAACCCUUCCUCGUGUGUAACUGACUCCCGAACCUGUUUUCUCAAAUUUUGCAGACCAAAAUCGUUUUUAAGGUGAGCCGAUCACACCCCAAUAAAUGAUCGGUAGCGACUCUCAUCUUUGUUUUUAAGUCGACUACUAAUUUUUGUUUUUAAAAAGUGGUUUCGACAUGUACAUUCAAUGUAGAGUCACAUACAGCCUGCGACAAAAAUAAUAAUUAUACACCGCUGUGUGGGGUGACCGAAAAUUCAUAUAUAGACUUAUUUCGAACGUUCUAAUUUUCCAUUCCGAAUGUUCUAAUUUUCCACCAAAAACAAAGUCGCUUUGGAAUUAAAAUUUUGGUCCUAAGGCCCGCUGGAUUUUUCACAACCACUAUCAUUAGACUAAAAUUAUCUCUCCACGUAUGAUCGGGUUUAAAAAAAUUUAUUAAAAUUAUUUAUUUAAUUUGUUAUUAUUGUUUAUAAUAGAAUAUAAAGUCUUAAAAUAUAAUGAUAUCAUCAUGGAGAAAAAUAUUUUAAUUUAAAAAUGUAUAAAUUUUAUAUAUUAUCUUUUAAAUAAUUUAAAUUAGGGAUAAAUCUCGAAAUCAUACAUGGAUUUGAUUUAAUGUGUAAUUGUAUACAUGAACUUUAAUUUGAUUUAAUAAUUUACAAGAAUUUGGUCAAAAAUAAAAUUUCAUGUAUAAAAUUCUACAAAAUCAAAGUUCAUAUAUAUAAUUGCACAUUAAACCAUAGUUCAUAUAUAGUUUUGAGAUUUAUCCUUUUAAAUUAUAAUGAUAAUUUUUAUAUAUUAAAAUUAAUAUAUUUAACCUUCCUUUAAAUGAAAGAAGCUACUUGUUGAGUUAUUAUAUUUAUUAUAUGUGAUUUAAUUUUAAAUUUUAUUUAUCAAUCUUCACAUAAUUAUUAGAUGCUUUGAGUAAUUUAAAAGAGAUAGACACGAACUGGAAUGAGGUGAAGGAAUUUAUGGCCAUAAAGAGUAAAGGUAUAUGUAUCAACUAAAAAAUAAAAAAUCAUUUAAAAAUAUAAAACUCUCACGGAAGGACAAUAUCUUUAGUUAUUGAAGGGAUCUGUUGAUUAUCAAAUGAAAGAUAUUUUAAAAACUUCUCUUAAAAAAGUCUGAUAAUCAACAAUGCUGAUAGACCAAUAAUUUGAAGCAGUCAAUGAACUUGUAGAAAGGGUAUAGCAAGAGGGAUGGAAGCUUGACGCCAAAAGUUAAGAGAUAUCUCCAUAAUGGUCACUUGUGUUGAGUGGUCUUGGGUGAUUGAAUUUUCUACAAAUGCCAUUAAAUUUCCCACAAGAAUUUUUCUACAAAUGCUUUUCAAUUUUGAAUCAAGUUGGUUUAUGAUUGGAAUUACUUGCUGUAAUAAGUUAGUUAUUUCAUUUUUUUUAUUUAAUACCAAAAUUAAAUAAAUUUUUAUUAUUAUUCUCAUUAAAAACCCAUUAAAGUUUCAGUUUUUCUAUUUAAUAUUGUAACUUUAAUUCUAUUGAAUGUUUAGGUUACUCUUUGUUUUUCAUUAAUACUUUUGGUUUUUUUUUACUAUAAAAAGCUAUUAUAUAUUAGAUAUUACUUAUUAAGAUAUCAACAUUGUUAGAGCAAAAAAAAAAUCUGUGUGAUGGUACAUAUGUUUUUUUUUUGGUGAAGUAAAAUAACAAGAUAAAAUCCGAACAAUUAACGCGACUCGAAUCCAGGUCACACUUGAGGUGUAAUUAGGUGAGAAAGACAUUUUAUAUAAUAAAAUACAUGUGAAAAAAAAUAUUGUUUCAUUAAUUAUUAAUAAAACAAAAAUAUGAUUCAUUUGCAUUUGGUAAAAUUAAAUUAAACAAUAAAAUGUUUUUUUUUUAAUUCUCGUAGAAGUAUAUUUCAUUGAAUAAUUCAAUUGCUUUUAUUGAAAUUAUCGUGGUAUAUACGAAUGUUGCUUAGAAGUUUUUUUGUAACAAAUAUUUUUCAUUGUCAUAUAUUGCAUAUGAUAUAAAGGCAAUAUUUGAAUGGAGCAUUGGUUAGUUUUUCACGGUGAAUCCUCCACAAUAUUCCUUUGUUUGAAGUUGCGGAAAUAUAUAUGUCUCAUGUUUUUAUAAGAUGCAUGUAUUUAAGUUGCGGAAAUUGAAAAGUCUUGACCUGAGUAGCAAUGGAAUUGUAGGUGUUGUGAAUAACCAAGGUUUGUUGCUUUUCAUCUCUGCAAUGAUUAAUCUCUGAAAUUUAAUUUAAGUUUUUAUAAUUAAUUCGUUUAUUUUACUUUUCUAUAUUAGAACAGUAACUUUCUCUUGCAUGCAGUCUCUUUAUCAUCUGCUUUCAACAACUUAGAAAUCCUUGACUUAUCCCACAAUAACUUCGAUGCCAGUAUCUUAUCAAGUAAGCUUCAUCUCUCAAUUUCUAUCUAUGUCUAGUAACUAAUUGUAAGUUUAUGCAAAAAUAAUAUAAAAAUACCUACAUAAUUAACGGGAGAUUUGAAAUGCAUUUUACUAGUUUUUUUUUUUUAAAUAGUUAAAGUUGAUAUUUAUGUAUAUGGGAUAAACCCAAAUUUACGACCAACAAGAAAGAAUAGAGAAGAUUAGGCAUAUAAAUUUAUGUGGGAAAACUCUUUCAAUCAACAGGAUAAAAAAGGAGACUUCAAUAAUGAGCAAACAAACGAAGAGAAUAAGAUGGAGAUAUUCAAAAACAAACCCUAACCCUAAAAACAAAGUUCUUUGGCUAAAAUACAAAAUUCCCUCAAAGCUCUCUCGAAUUUUUCUCUUAAUCUUCUCUCAAUCUUGAUGUUAUGUGUAGAGCCCAAUUCUUGCCCGGGCCUUAACACAAAAAAUAAACAAAAUAAACCAAAAAAAAAAGUCCGUUACAGCAGUGGCCCAAACCCACAAAAUUAACCCUAGCCCGAAGCCCAGUAGAGAAGCAAACCCUAAUUUCCCUAAGGGCGCGCCACACGCUCUGUCAGGCUCCCUCGCGCACGCCACCGCCACCGUCGUCGCUUCCCAUCGCCACCUUCCCAUGCGCGUCAGAACACCUACAAGAAAACUGUAACACCCCUUAACCUCAAACCGUCGCUGAAACUGGGUUACGAGGCACUACCAGACAUAUCAAACAAUUUACAAUUAAUUCCUAGAUAAAUAACUAACAUAUUAAAAUAAAACAUAAAUUCUUAUAAAUUUUAACAGUUGACUUCAUUCAUUUUUUUUUAUAAAUUUCGGCAGCAUUUCUGCUUAUUUUUACAUAAAACCCCUGCAAAUUUCAAGAUUAUAACCUGACCAAUUCCAAUGUUUCAACCAACAUUUAUAUCCUCAAGCAUAAUUAAAAUCAUACUUAACAUUUUAACUACUAUCAUAUAGAUUGCAUAAAAAGAUUAAUCAAAUAACAUAUAUUACAUCUAGACUAAAUACUUUGUAACAUAAUACAUCAAAAUUAAGUCUUCCAUACAUGCCAUAAUUUUCGAGUGAUGAUUACAAAAUACCAAAAGUUGUGGAUAGUGUAGAUGAGUUCCCGACGAUUUCCCGAAUUCCAAGCUGAACUGGUAACACUAUAAAACUGGGAAAAACAAAGAGAAAUAAGCAUAUAGCUUAGUAAGUAGACAUAUGACAAAUAAACAAAUUUUUAACAUGAUUCCAUAGAAACAUAAUUUUAUUCACACAUAAAUUUCCUUGCUUGUUCAAUUUCCAGCAAGCUGUUUUUCUGUGUCACGGUCACUAAUUUAUUUUUAUCUGGAGCUGCUGGGCUCCAAAUUAAGUUCCGUAAAUUUUCCUUGAAACUAUACUUACAUACCUUUCUAUCAUAAAAUUUUUAGAAUUUUCGGUUUAGCCAAUUAGUACAUUUUAUUCUUUAAACUUUCCCUGUUUCACUGCUCAAUAGCUCUGACCUCUCUUUACUUAAAUUUACUUAACUCUUUGUACAGAAUUCAAACAAUGUUCUUGUUUGUUUCUCUUGAAAAUAGACUCAUUGAUAAAUUCAAGCAUGUAAAUUACAAGCCAUAAUUAUUUUUGUACAAUUUUUUGUAAUUUUCCAAAUUUGGAACAGGGGAUUUCGAAAUCAAUUCAACCCUGUCUCACUAAAAUUCAAAUAUUUCAAAAUAUAUAAAAUCUUUUGCUUGCUCUGUUUCUUUCAUGUGAAAAUAGAAUCAUUUAGCUUCAAUUUCAUAUAUUAUUCAUUCUCUAAUUAAACUUCCACCAUUUAUGGUGAAUUUUCAAAGUCGCUCAACUGCUGUUGUUCAAAACUGUUUUAUUUCAAAAUUUACUCUUUUGUAGUUUUGAUAUCUCAUACCAUCUUAUACAUGGGUCGAUUAAGUAUCAAACUCACUAUUCCUCACAUUAUCUUGUCCAUUUCAUAUAUACAUUCACUUUUCCAAUUUCCCUGUUGAACACUCGGAAUAUUAUCCGUUACUCGGUGGAUUAAGCACUUAGCAACCACCUUAAAUUCAGUGAUACGUGGAAUCAGCACAUAGCAACCCCUUUCACAGUCAAGGAUACGGUGGAAUCAGCACUUAGCAACCACCUCUAUAUUCAGUGAUACGGGGAAUCAGCAUAUAGUAACCCCUUUCACAAUCAAAGAUACGGUGGAAUCAGCACUUAGCAACCACCUCUAUAUUCAGUGAUACGGGGAAUCAGCACAUAGCAACCCCUUUCACAAUCAAAGAUACGGUAGAAUCAGCACUUAGCAACCACCUUUGAAGUCAAUAAUUCAGGGAAUCAACACUUAGCAACCCCUUGGGAAAUCUGCACUUAGCGACCCCUUUUUAUUCAAUGUUUUCCGAUCUAUUCCGAGUGUUCAAUCGGAAACCUUGUUUUUCAACACUUUAUCACCUUUCUCAAACUUAACCACAUUUUUCUGAUCUACAUCAAAUAUUUAUUCUAUAUUCAAUCAAAUCUCAACAAUAUAUUGAAUAACAUUAAAAUAACGCAUUAAUUCACAUGCAUACUUACCUUGGUGUAAAAUAUUGUAAUUUUGCAAUUUACUUCACGAUCUUUUCUUUUCCCUGAUUGAGGUUGUCUUUUCGUCUUUCUUGAUCUAUAAUAGAAAUUUUAGUUUAUUUAAUAUUCACAUUUAUUACAACAGUCCUCGACUCAACUUUUUGCAAAAUUAUGAUUUUGUCCCUAAACUUAUCAUAUUUACAUUUUUCCCAAAGCUCGAAAAUUAAAUUUCACUCCUUAUUCUUAUGUUUUACAACAUGCUGAACACUUUUUCCUUCUAUGGAAACAUCAAAUUCUCACUCUAACACGUACUUAUGAACAUUAAAUAUUUUUACCGAUUAUGACAAUUUACCCGUUUUCACUUAAAAUCGCUUAGCAAAAGUUGUUUAACAUAAUUUCUAGCUUCAUAUUCUACCAUAAAACAGAAAAAUAAACACAUUUCACCUAUGGGUAUUUUUCCAAAUAUAAACCCUAGGUUAAAAUAACAGUAGAAAUAGGUAAACCGAGCUACGAGAAUCUUAAAAAUGCGAAGAACAUUAAAAACGGGCUAGGAUGCACUUACUAUGAGCUUGAGAAAGUGAAGAAACCCUAGCUAUGGCUUCCUUCAAAUUUCGGCAGCAACUAAUGAGGAUGAACACCAUUUUUUCAUCUUUUUCCCAUUUUAAUUCUAUUUAUUUACUAAAUGACUAAAAUGCCCUUACUUAAAAAAAUCUAUUUCACCCAUUUCUUAUGUCUAUUUUUUUCCAUCAAUUAGCUAAUGGUCUAAUUACCACAUAAGGACCCCCAAUUUAUAAUUUCAUAACCAAUUAACACCUUUAACACAUAAAAUUCAACUUUUGUAUUAUUUACAAUUUAGUCCUUUUGACCAAACUGAGUGCCCAAACGUCAAAAUUUUUGAAUGAAAUUUUUACGAAAUCUUUCCGUGAAAUUGUAGACCAUAAAAAUAUAAUAACAAUAAUACUUUCCCUCGUCGAAUUUGUGGUCCCGAAACCACUGUUCCAACUAGGCCCAAAAUCGGGCUGUUACAAAAACAACAAAACAGAAACGACAAACGUACAAUCCAAAGCACAAAAAGACAAAAGAAGAGAGAUGUAGUUUUUUUCCGGUUAUAAAAGGCCGAAUGGGGCGAUUGUAUUUCUUCUUCUGUCAUUUUUGUUACAGAUUAGAAAUAAAAAGGAAAACAAAGGUUGCCUUCUGGUUUCUCUGAUUUAUUCAUUUAUUUCUUUUAUUUAUUUUUAAUGAAUCAGUUUUUUUAAAAAAGAAAAAGAACUCUUAAAAAGUAAAAAAUGAAGAGGAAUACCUGGGGUUGCCUGCGAAAUCCAUCGUCGGAGCCAUUUCGUUUGCCGAAAUCGGACGAAAAGGGGGGCAUGGGGGCCUUUCCUUCUCUCGGUCUUAAGGCCCAAAAGGCUAAGCCUUUGGGCGUUUGAAAAAUGGGCCAAAAAUGCGAUCUCCGUGUCGCUCCGACCACCGCUUACGGUAGGGUCACGGCGGCACAAGCGACGGCCCUAUUGGCCGGAUUUGAGGGCUGCGUGGGAGAGAAUGUUUGAGCUUUCUAUUUUUUUUAAAUAAGGGUCAAACUAUUUUUUUUUAUUUUUAACAUUUAUAUUGGGAAUAAAACGACGCCGUUUUGGGUUUAGGCAACAAUGGCCAAAACGACGUCGUUUCACGCUUGACCCGAAUACUCAACCCGUUUAGCAGAGGAUCCGCGCGUUUUCAAGGCCGAAUGGGCUAUUUGCGCUAUGGGUCCCUCCGCUUUGAUGCUUGGCUUCAAUUCGGUUAUUUUGUCCCUUUUUAGCAUUUUUAAUCUGACCCCGUAGAUUUUGUACCAGUUUUGAUUUGGUCUAACGCGAAACGACGCACUUUAAGGGUUAGGGAUUAAUUUCCCAAUUGGCCCCUGCAUCUUUGUGCUUGCUCCAAUCGACUCCAAAUUAUUUUUUUAUAUUUCAAAUCUAACCCACUGAUUUUAUUUAAAUUCCAAUUCAAUCCUUAGUCAAUAAAAAUUCAAAUUUCACCCUUUUUUAAUAAAAAACGAAAAUGGUCAUUAAAUAUUUUAUUUAACAUCCGUUUAAUUAUUUAUUUUUAAUUGCUAACCAAACUUAUAUAUCUUUCAUUUCAUUUAUUAUUCAUUUUUAUGUGUAUUGAUUUGUAUGUAUUAUUUGUGCCUUUAUUUUCACUAUUUAUUUAUUCGUUAUUUUCAAAUAUUUUCAAAAUUUAGAUUCAUUAGUAUUAUGUUUAUUGUGAUUGUAUUAUUGUUAUUGUUACAUUAUUACUUGCAUUAUUAUUAUUCAUGUAUAUUAGCAUUAAGAUUUAUUAGUAUUAAUGUUAUAUGUGUAUUUUAUGAUGUAUAUUAUGUCAUAAUUAUUUCGAAUGUAUGUUGUAUUAUCGUUAUUAGUCGUGCACGACCCUUUUUCUGUUUUAAACAAUUUCUCCUUCAACACAAUCAAAAUUACACGAAUAUUAUCUUUAUAUAUUUUAUUAGUUCUUACUCAAAUUCAAAAAAAGGAAAAUUUUUAUAAAUAAGGCAAUAUUUUACGUUUGGAAAUUCGAGAAAACGUACUCUAACGUGCUAGGUUUCGAUUUCUCGUUUGACCAAAUAGCCAAGUAUCCUCUUAAAAUUUCAAAGUAUGGGUUUUGGAAACCAUAAGGUAAUUUUGGUUUCUAGGGUUUAAAGUAUCGUAUCCUAACGUGCUAGAUGUGAUAUUCUUUCGGAACAAGAGAAUCUUAAAUUCCAACCCAUAUUAUUUGAAAUUUUUUUUAGGAUUGUAAUUUUUAAAACUCUUCAAAGUUUUCAAUAUUCGACAUUAAGACACUAAUUAAUCAAUUAGGUAUCAAUUUUGGGCGUUACGAGGGUGCUAAUCCUUCCUUGUACAUAACCGACUCCCGAACCUGUUUUUCUGAAUUUCGUAGACCAAAAGCAUUGUUUUAAUAAAUCCAAACCAUUUAUUAAAAACAAUCGUUUUAUGAGGUGACCUGAUCACACCUCAUUAAAAAAGAUUGGUGGCGACUCCAAUGUUCGUUUUUACUUUCAAAUACCAAGUCGACCCCCUUUUAUAAAAAAAUGGUUUCGACAUUAUGAAUAUAUUUAUUCUAGGGUUACUAGUGCCCUUUUUAUAGGCUAAGAUUAGAGUUCUAAUAUUACUAAAAUAUCUAUAGAAUAAUCACAGUUUAACUAGGAAAAGUAACCCUCUUGAAAGUCUAAUAACACAGCUACUCUAAGUUAGAAUUUGUCGCGUUAUCACGACGUACCAAGCUCCCCGUUGUGACAUCGCCUCAGCUUUGCUCUUUUUCAAACAUUGUCGUGUCGUUGCGACAUCGCAUGAUUCCUCGUCGCAAUAUCACCCUUACUUUGACUCUGAUCCGACCCGAAAAUGUGAGACACAUUCCACAAUAUCUAAAUAUAUAUUGAAUUUAAAAAUAAUUGUACAAAGGAUAUGUAAUCCUUGAAGAUUAGAUACAAGUAAUUACCAUUUUAUAUUAAAAGUUAGAAAUAUAAAUUAAAUAUUCUAAACUUUUUUUUAUGUGAAUAAGUCAUGUGUUGAUAUAUUUUAUUGCUCUUGAAUAGAAUUGAAGAGUUUGAAAAACUUGAAGACGUUAGAUUUAAGCUUCAAUGGAAUCAGAAGCCUCCGGCACUUUCAAGGUAUAUCUAACUUUGAUAUUUUAUAUACAAUCAACUAAGUCCUAUAAAAAUAUAUUUAUGAACAAGUUAAAAUGAAUGCUUGAAACAAAUAAUUAUUAUUUGAUAUUAUACAAACAAAUUCUCCUUGAAAUUGUAUUACAUAAGUAUUUUACAGAUGAGAAAUUGCAACCCAUGAUGAGUUUGGAAGUGCUUGAUUUGGAUGGUAAUUUCUUGAAGAACAAUGAUUAUCAAGUUUAAAGUCUUUGAUUAUUAGCCAUAACGAAUUGGAAAUUUUCAUAAAAUAAAAAUAACAAGCUAUAUGUAAAUUACAAUUUCAUCAACCUUUUUUAACUGUUAAAAGAAUUAUAUCCAAAUAUAUUCGUUCUUUUGGUAUUUAGCUUUUUAGGUUGUAAACUAAAGUCAUAAUGAUUUUUUGUCCUCCAAUUUUAAAAACAAAAAAUCAUUUUACCUCUCAAUUUAAUUUUUCAUCUCUUCUAGUCAUUAAACUUCAAUUUUUUUUUGUCAAAUCACCCCAAAAUGAAAAGAAAAGUUAAUAUUUGUUAAUUUUGCUAAUGUGACAUAUAUGUGAAUUGUCAUAUAGAUGACAUAUCAACAUUUAAUUAAUUUUUAAAAUUUAAGUAUUUUUUAAAUAUUUUUUAUUUUUUGAAAUUUAUUUAAAAAAUUAAAUAUUGAUGGAUCAUCCACGUGACAAUCCACAUGUAUGCAAUAUCAACAAAAUUAAAAAAAAUUGUUAAAUUUUCUAUUCAUUUUAGGAUGACUUGAUGAACAUAAGUUUAAGAGAUUAAAAAUCAAAAAAUUAAAUGAAAACCUUUUUUAAGUUAAAAAGAGUUAAAUAAAUUAUUAAUAACUAAAAUAAAAUGUUUUUAAUAAUUUUUUUAUGGAGAAAAGUAGUUGAAUUGCAUGAACCAAAAUUACUGAUUUUUUGUGAUAUAACUUUGUUUGACUGACAAAAAGGGUAUUUGAUUUAUUUGAAUAGCAUUCAAUAAUCUCACAAAAUUGAAGAAGUUGGAUAUGAGUCGCAAUUAUGUUGAGAGACUUGGUAAGUGUCCAUAUAUUUUACUUUAUCAAAUUGCUACAUUUAUUAUACUAAUAUCUAAAUGCUUUGUAGAUGAGGAAAGGUAUAAUUUGACGAAUUUAGAAGUGCUUAAUUUGAAUUACAACUCUUUCGGAAAAAGCUCAUUGGCACAGCUUAGUGGGUUUUCCAAUCUAAAGGAAUUGAGUAUGCAACAAAACCAGGUGCAAUUAUUUAAUAUAUUUAAUUUUCCUUUAAACAAAAUUAACUAUUUAUUAAGUUAUAUUUAUUCUCUAUGAUUUACUUUUAAAUUUUAUUUGUCGACUUUUAGAGAUUGAACAAUUUAGAGAAGCUAAACAUUAGAUAUCUAAUGAACUGAUGUCAACCACUAAUUUGACUCUCAAAAAUGGAAGUUUAGAAAAGCAUUUUAGUAGUUCUUUUAAGAAAAAAAUUAUGUCUAAAUAUAUAAUGAGUUUAAAAAUAAUUGUAUUAAAAUCUGUAAUCGUUGAGGAUUAGAUACAAGUAAUUGCGACUUUAAUAUUAAAAGUUGGAAAUAUGUUGUUAUUUUAAAAUUAAAUGUCCUAUAUUAAUUAUUUUUAUAUGAAUAAGCCUUGUGUUGAUAUUUGAUAUAUUUCAUUGCUCUUGAAUAGAAUUGAAGAGUUUGACAAAGUUGAAGACGUUAGAUUUAAGUGGCAAUAGAAUUGAAAGCCUCAAGCACUUUCAAGGUAUACUUAAAUUUGAUUUUCUUUAUACAAUCAACUAAGUCUUUAAGGCGUUGACCUUAUAUAUUUAUAAACAAGUCAAAGAUGCAACUUUGAGAUAAAUAAUUAUUCAUUGAUAUUAUACAAAUAAUUUUUUUCUCGAAAUUGUAUCACAUAAAUCUUUUACAUUUAUUAAAAGAGAGAACCGAAACAAACUACUUGUUCAGUUAUUAUAUUUAUUUUAUGUGAUUUAAUUAUAAAUUUUAUUUUUCGAUAUUCACAUAAUUAUCAUAUGCUUUGAGUAAAUUAGAGUCAUUGAGAAAAAUAUUUUAAAUUUAAAAAAAAUGUAUAAAAUUUAUAUUUUAUCUCUUAAAUAAUUUAAAUAAUAAUAAUUUUUAUAGAUUAAAAUUAAUAUACUAUCUCUUUUGAAAUAAUAUAAAAAUUAUAUUAAUAUAUAAAAAAUAAAUUAUAAAUUGAAAACUUAUCUCUUAAAUAUAUAAAGUAAAAUAUAUGUACCAAAAUAAUAGGAUUUCAAUUUUAAUUUUUUUUCUAUGUGUUAUCAAUUCUUUAAAACAUUUGACUAUUAAGUUCAAAAAAUUUUAUUUUAAUUAAUACUUGUGCAUUUCACGGAAAAAAAACUAGUUAAUAUAUAUAACCAGCUUUGUAGAUGUGGAAUUACUUAUUUUACAUUCUAUAAAUAUAGCAGCACCUAUAUAAAGUAUACAGUACGCCUUUUAUUAAAUUAGUUCUUUAUAAUAAUUUGUUGUCUUAAAUUUUAGCCUAAUAAAUUCUAUUUCUAAGUGAAAUAAAAUUAAUAAAUUUUAAUUAAGAUAUUAUUUCAAUAAAAUAUUUAAAUUUCAUAUAAAAUAUAUUAAUUAUAUUUUAUUAAAUAAAAAUAGUUUUUAAUAAAUGAAGUUACAUUAGUAAAUUUUAUUAAAGAUACAAUUUAAAUCUCAUUAAUUAAUUUUUAUUAAUAUAUUUUAGUUUUUUUAAUUUAAAAAUUAAAAUAUGAUCUAAAUAUUAAAUGUUGUUAUAAGUGUAUAAUAAUUACUUAUCUAUAACAUCCAAUAGUGGCAAUAUAAAAGUUGAAUAUAAGUGAAUUUUUGUGACUAACAAAAAAUGUAUUGAAUUUAUUUGGAUAGUAUUGAAUAAUUUGACAAAGCUAAAGCAGUUGGAUUUGAGUGGCAAUAAAAUUGAGAGCCUCCAAUCUUCUCAUGGUAUGUGUUGAGAUGUUUUACUUUAUCAUAUUCUUACAUAUACAUACCACUAUCUUAUUUAAUAUUCCAUUAGUAAUAAAUUUGUUUAUCUCAAUGCUUUGUAGAUGGUGAGAGGCCACUUAAUUUAACCAAUUUAGAAGAGCUUAAUUUGGAUUUCAACUCCUUCACAAACAGCUUAUUGGCACAACUUAGUGGGUUUUCCAAUCUAAAGUCACUGAAUAUAAGGAAUAACCAGCUUAAAGGAUCAAUAAAUAUUAAAGGUGGAAUUACUUAAUAUAUUUAAUCUUCCUUUAAAUGAAAUAAACUACUUGUUGAGUUAUUGCAUUUAUUCUAUGUGAUUUAAUUUUAAAUUUUGUUUGUCAAUUUUUACAGAAUUAUUAGAUGCUUUAAGCAACUUAGAGGAGCUAGACAUGAGCGAGAAUGAGGUGAAGGAAAUUGUGCCCAUAAAGAAUAAAGGUUUAUGUAUCAACUAAAGGAAAUCUUACUAAUUGUUUUCCAUUAGAUAUCUAGUGAACUGAUGCCAACCACUAAUUUGACUCUUAGACAAUGGAAGUUUGAGAAAGCUAAAGGUUGCUUCAUUAAACCGUGUGUUCACCGAUGGAACUGCUUCUCUAAUACAGCUUCUAGAGACAUUCUCAUCUGUUAAUACAUUAUAUUUGAGUGGCAAUUACUUCAAAGACACAUUUUCUACUCAAGUUAUAAUAUAUAUGUAUGUGAAUAUAUAGUUUUAUAGUUUGGUCCCAUUUAAAAAUAUUAUUUACUUAACGUAAAUCAUCUAAAUAACGCUUAUAAAUUUGUAAAGAUCAACUGCAUGUAUCGAGCAAAAUAGAGGAAUUGGUGCUGGAUUAUUCAUCUCUCAGCAACAACAUUCUUCAAAGCUUUGGUGGACUGGCUUCUCUCAAAGCCUUGUAUUUAGGUUCCUGUGGGUUGUCUGGGACAUUACAUACCCAAGGUAUAUUAAUAAUUAUGACAUAAUUAUUUAGGCAGUCUCUUGAUUAAUUAUUUUUUUAUCCUCUUAGAAAAUUGGAGUAACUUGCACAAAUUUAUUUUAUAGGAUGGUGUGAUUUACGGAAGCUUGAGACGUUGGAUCUUAGUGAAAAUUCUCUUGGGGGAGCACUCCCUUCAUGUUUGGAAAACUUGUCAUCUCUUCGUUAUUUGGAUAUUUCCGGUAAUCAAUUCAUCGGAAAAGGUGCCUCCACCGCUCUAGCCAAUCUCACAUCGCUUAGAUUCAUGUUUCUUUCACGAAAUCUAUUCGAAGUUCCAUCAAUUUUCAUGUCAUUUGCCAACCACUUACACCUCAAAGUCCUCUUUAGCGAUCAAAACAAGUUAGUCAGAGAGCCUACCAUUCAAACAUGGGUCCCAAAGUUCCAACUAAAAGCCUUCCUUUUCUCGAAUUGCACAACAAAGGAACUCCACAUUGAAAUUCCAAAAUUCCUCUACUACCAAAAUGAUCUGAGUAUGGUUGAUCUUUCAUACAAUAAUUUUUUAGGGAAGUUUCCUUUUUGGUUGUUAGAGAACAAUACAAGAAUGGGAGCAUUUUUAAUGAAGGGUAACUCUUUUAUGGGCCAUCUCAAUCUUCCAUCUCAUCCGAAACCAAAAAUGUCCCUUGUUGAUAUAUCUGACAACAAACUAGAAGGUCCAAUUCUAGCAAGCAUUUGUUCAAUCUUUCCACAACUAAAUGGGUUAAACCUAUCAGACAAUUUCUUUCAAGGAAAUAUUCCUCCUUGUUUAGGUAGUUUGAACACUACAUAUUUAAUAUUAGAUCUGUCACAUAAUCAUCUAUCUGGCGGAAUACCAGAAAUGUUAGCUCAAAGUGACUCGUUGGAGCUUCUUAGGUUAUCAAAUAAUGAUCUAAGUGGGAAGAUAGCCCCAACGAUCUUUUGCUCAUCUUCAUUACAAUUUUUAUAUUUAGAUGGCAAUAAGUUUGAUGGAAAUAUACCUGACAUUGAUAUCUCAACUUGUCAUCCGUAUCCUCUUAGUGAUAUGGAUUUAAGUAACAACAAUUUGUCUGGAGAGCUCCCAAGAUGGAUAUGGAAUAUGUCAUCUUUAAAUGCAUUAUUAGUAUCCAACAAUCAGCUCAAGGGUCUUAUUCCGAAGGAAUUGUGCCAUUAUUCCCUUCAAAUUUUGGACCUUUCAAAAAACAAUUUUUUUGGCCCAAUACCAUCUUGCUUCAAUGUACACAGUAUCAAACAUCUCCAUUUGAGCAAAAAUAGGUUAAGUGGUACCUUGACAAAUGCAUUCUUUAAUAGCUCUUCCUUGGUGACUUUAGAUCUUAGUGAAAACCAGUUGACUGGUGAAAUUCCAUACUGGAUUGGAAAUCUUUCAACUUUGAGUGUUCUCCUUCUAAAAGCCAAUUAUUUUAUUGGAGAAAUUCCCAUUAAGAUAUGUAAAUUGUAUUCAUUAAGCAUCAUUGAUCUUUCUCAAAACAAGUUUUCUGGUCUGAUACCUUCGUGUUUGAGUCGUUUAACUCUUGAGCCAAAUGAUAAAAAUCUUCGACAAUAACCUAUGGGUUGGAUUUUGAUGGAAUCUUGGAGGGAGCUAAUUAUAUUGGAAUGACCAGAUUGGAUUUGUCCGAUUUUGGAUUCAAUCUACAUUUCUUUAUUGAGAAUCUAGAAGAAAAGGUGGAUUAUACAACAAAGGGAGCAUCUCGCACAUACAAAGGAAACAUUCUUGAGUACAUGUCUGGAAUUGAUUUAUCAUGUAAUAGAUUAACAGGUGAAAUUCCCAGAGAGAUUGGAAAUUUGAGUGAAAUCCGAUCACUAAACUUGUCGCACAACAAUUUGACUGGAUAUAUACCGUCAACGUUCUCAAAGCUCAAGCAAAUUGAGAGUUUGGACCUGUCUCACAACAACUUAAUUGGAAGAAUACCUGUUCAAUUGACGGAGUUGUACGCCUUAGCAAUCUUCAAUGUGUCAUACAACAACUUGUCAGGGAGUAUUCCGUCUCCGAAAUUUCAAUUUGGAACCUUCGACGAAAGCAGUUACGUGGCGAAUCCUUUCCUCUGCGGGUCUCCCCUGCAUAAAAAUUGUAGCAACCUUGAUUCACUCCCGACAGCAGCACCAAAGAGCUCAAACGAGGAAGAAGAAAGUGGUUUGAUGGACAAGUAUGUUUUCUGGGUGACCUUUUUUGUUUCUUACGUAAUUGUGUUACUGGUUAUUGUUCUCAUCCUGUACAUAAAUCCUUAUUGGCGACAAGCAUGGUUCUCUUUUGUUGAACACUGCAUCAAGACCUGCCAGUAUUUUAUUGAGGACAAUCUUCUAUGAUUUUCCAUCUUCAAAAGAAGCGGGUAGCCUUGUGCUUUGGUGGUUUACAUCUGUAUGUAAAUUUUUUCAUGUGUUUCUAUUUUUCAAAGUUUGAUUGGGUUAUCUGCUUUUAAGUUUUUAGAGGUAGAAUACAAUAGCUCUGUGAUGUAAUAAUUGCCAGUUUAGUAUAAGAAAACAAUAUAUAAAACUAUGCAUUUUCAGUUAAAACAUUUAAUAUUGCUUUAUAAAUUUUAGUGUUGUGAUAGUAUAAUGUUAAAUUCAAUAUAUGUUUCCUUUUCCAUGAUUACGUAAAAGCGAAAUAUACAAAUCAUAUUAUAUUAAUAUAAUCCACAUUCUUUAAAUCAUAUGCUCAAUUGAAACUUAUAUAUAUAUAUUAUCAAACAUGAAUGAUAUAAACAGUCUUCGAAAAAAGUAUGAUUUUCAUGUUUAGUUAUUAUUAUUUAAUAUUUAAUUGUUUUACUAUUAUUUGAUAUCAAUAAUAUUUAUAUGUUUGUGAAUGUUGUUUGUUAUUGUCUCGUGAAAUAUUAUGUUAAAGAUAAAAGAAGUACUAAGUAAUAGUUCUUUUUAGGUGAAAUUUUGACUCAAGUUUGAAUGGUGAGUUAUUUUAUCUAAUUACUUACGUUUGGAUAGCAUAAAGUAAUUAAAUGGCACUUUUGUAAUUACAAAGAUUGUACUUGAUAGAUGAAAGAACUAGGUAAAGGAAGAAAAUAACUAUCCAAACAGAAAGAAGCAGAGAGUGAAAUAAUAGAAUAAACUUCUUGUUGUUUAUUCAAAUUUGCCUACCUCUUAAUUCUUAAUGUACAGUAUAUAAAGACUUUCUGAAUUAAGUAACAACCUCACUAACUGACUAACUACUUCUAUUCUCUAAUAUUCAUCCAUAUUCUCUAUAGGCAAGACCCGUAGAAAACUCCAAAAACGAGUAAAACUCGAUGACGAAAUUGGCUUAGUGAGAACAUCAGCGACCUGAUCACACGCUGGAACUUCUCCAACAGCAACCGUGCCAUCAGCAACCUUUUCACGAACAAAAAAUAAAUCUAACUCAACAUGCUUAAACUUUGAAUGAAGAACAGGAUUUGCAGCAACUGCAACCGCCCCAGGACUGUCACACCAAAUUUGAGGAACACUAUUAGACUGAACAUGUAAUUCUUUAAGUAGCAACAAAAGCCACGUAACCUCACUAGUAACUGCAGCAAGACUUCGGUAUUCUGCCUCAGCAGUAGACCGAGCAACAACCUGUUGUUUCUUCGUACACCAUGACACAGGUGUAUGUCCGAAAUAAACACAGUAUCCAGUAGUAGACCUCCGGUCAUCAAAAUCUAAUCCCCAGUUGCAUCAGCAUAUCCAACUAAGGACAAACUAGUGGAUGGACGAAACACAAUUCCAAAAUCAAUCGUACCACCUAAAUACCUCAAAAUGCGCUUCAGGGCAGUCAUAUGAAUGGAAGUAGGACAAUGCAUAAAUUGACAUAUUCGAUUAACAGCAUAGGCAACAUCAGGCCGCGUAAGAGUGACAUACUGUAAUGCUCCUGCAAGACUCCUGUAUUCAGUCGGAUCCUGUAGCCGCUCACCACCAUCGCGAGUCAUAACAGAGGAACUAACCAUCGGUGUAUGAACACUCUUCGUAUUCUCCAUCGAACAACGUAUAAGAAUAUCACGUAUAUACUUCUUCUGACAAAGAUGAAGGCAACCUGACGAAGAACGAUUAACCUCUAUCCCAAGAAAAUAAUGAAGAUCACCCAUGUCCUUAAGCGAGAACUCACUAUUCAGCAAAUUAACAAACCACUCUAUGACAGAAGGCAUAUCUCCAGUAAUAAUAAUAUUAUCAACGUACACAAGCACAUAUAAUGUUGACGCUGGUACAACUCGAACAAACAAGGAAGCAUCAGACUUUGAAACUACAAACCCCACGGAGACUAGAAAUCCUUUUAGCCUUUCAAACCAGGCACGAGGAGCCUGACGAAGACCAUACAACGCUUUCUUCAAGCGACACACCAAAGGUCUGCCAUCUGAGCCAUAUUGAACAUAACCGGGAGGUUGAUGCAUAAAAACUUCAGUGUCAAGGUCACCAUUUAGAAACGCAUUAUUCACAUCCACUUGUCGAAGCGACCACCCCCUAGACACAGCAAUAGACAAAAUAACUCUGAUAGUAGCCGGUUUGACCACUGGACUAAACAUUUCCUUAAAAUCACAACCCGGAACUUGAGAGCAACCUUUUGUAACUAAUCGAGCCUUAUAUCGAGCAAUAGUGCCAUCAGAAUUCUUCUUGAUUCGGAACAACCAUUUGCACCCAAUGACCUUACGAUUAUAUGGAGCAGGAACGAGCUCCCAUGUGGAAUUACGCAUAAGAGCAUUAUACUCAUCUUGCGUAGCAGUGCGCCACUCAACAGUAGCCAGAGCUUCUUCAAUUGUAGUCGGUUCAACAGCUUCAACACUUAAAACCUUAGGCUUGUAAACCCCUGCUUUAGCGUGAGUAACCAUUGGGUGAGUAUUGCCCACAGCUGUCCUAUUAAUCUGACUAGACAGUCCCAUAUUAGACGAAGAGAGAGCAUUGGUAUCACUGGAGAAUCCUGAGCCAUGCUCUGAUGGAAGAUCACUCAACUCAGUUCCAUCAUUAGCUGAAUAAUCAUGAGCUGGAAGACUACCCAACCCAGUCCUAACAUCAGUUGAAGGAUCAUGAAACUGGGGCUGCUCCACACUAACAUCUAAUACAGGAUCAGUAGGCUGAGACGACACCCCUUGUACCGACGGUGUCAUCAUGCAUGGCUCAAGAGUCGAGGAUGAAGGUGGCCACACAAGAGGAACAACUGUCGAACUAGUCUGACCGGUUGUUGAUACAGACUUGUCUGAACUAGUCUCGGUAAACAAAAACCUCUGCUCAUCAAAGACCACAUGCCUUGAAAUUAUAACCUUACCAUCUGGUAAAAGACAUUGAUACCCCUUGUGACGAGGACUGUAGCCCAAAAAAGUUGACGGCUGAGACCGAAAUUCCAACUUACGACCUACAAACGGACGUAAGUAAGGAUAACAACAGCAACCAAACACUCGAAGAUGAUCAUAGGUCGGAUCACUUCCAUACAGUUCUUUAAACGGAGAACUAUCCUGAAGUACAACCGUGGGAAGUCGAUUUAUGAGAUGAACCGCACAACAAAACGCAUACCCCCAGUAUUCCAUAGGCAAAUUUGCAUGAGCCAACAACGUAAUCCCCAUUUCAACAAUGUGACGAUGUUUUCGCUCGGCUACUCCAUUUUGUUCUGAAGUAUACGGACAGGUCAGUCGAUGAAUGAUCCCCUGAGAUUCUAAGACAGACGUAAACCCACGAUAUUCACCUCCCCAAUCGCUCUGAAACUGCUUAAUAGACUUGCCAAACUGUGUCUUAAUCAACUGUUGAAACUGAGUAAAACAUUCAAGUGCUUGAGCUUUUUGACGUAAAAGAUAAACCCAAGUAAACCUGGUACACAUAUCAAUAAACGAAACAUAAUAUCUCUUAUCACCACAUGCAACAGGUGCAGGACCCCAAAGAUCAGACACAACCAAUUCAAAAGGACGAUAGCUAGUAGUCGAAUGGGAGAAAGGCAACUUAUGUGACCUGCCUUUUUGACACGCAGUACAUAUACCAUCCAGACCAAUUUUAUUUGAAACAACAUUACAUUUAUUUAGAAUAUUUUUGACCACAGAAGUCGACGGGUGGCCUAAACGAUUAUGCCAUAAAGUAAAUACAGAAGUAGUUGAAACUGUAUGUGGAACUUGAGAAUGAGCAACAAACGGAGUAGUCGUAGGCAACGUAGAAACCGCUGGGACAGAAAACUGAUAUAGACCAUCAUGAAUGCGGCCCGUCAGCAAUAUCUCCUGAGUCAUCGUAUCCUUAAUAACACAAUAGGUAGGGUGAAACUCAAAAAACACAUCAUUAUCACGAGCAAACUAUGAGACAGAUAAGAGAUUUUUCCGUAUACGUGGCACACAUAAAACAUUUGAUAACCGUAACGAUUUAUCUUGAGUAGGUAAAAUGGCCGUACCAAUUGAUGAAAUUAUCGUAGGAGUACCAUCACCCAUUAAAAGAGAUGACUUACCUGAGUAUGGCGUGACAUUACGUAAAGCUGACAUAUCACGACAGACAUGAUGACUCGCUCCCGAGUCAGGAUACCAAGACGUGGUGCCACUGCACACUGGAAUGUACGAAUCAUCAUUACCAGUACUAGAUGCAAGCUGAGCCGUAUUAACAUGAGAAUCUGAUACUGAAGGAUCAGAAUAAUUAGACGCAUGUAAAUCCCCUAGCCGUGGAAGCCCAAUACAUGGAUUAGAUUCGGUAUAGACCCGAGCACGCGGUUUAGUAAAUUUCAGAACCGGACCACCAACACCUAGUCCAUCACCAAUCGGUUCAGGCGAGCCGGGAUCAUCUUGAUCAAGUUGAACAAAAUUAGAGGAUGGUACAAUAUUCGGCCCAGCAUUAAACUGAACAUUCAGUCCAUGAGAAGAGUGUUGAACAUUCGGUCCAUCAUUAAACUGGACAUUUUGUCCAUGGGAUUUGUUUCCACUAGAACCGCGCCACUGUCCAUUUCCAGUAGUGAACCCGUGUAAAGUGUCUCCACUAUACCCUUGCCCAGCAUCAUGACCGAAUUUAGACAAGCUGGGCUUGUAGGCAUCAUUUUGUGCAUUGGACACAUGUGGCCCACGUGGUAAUGGCCUAUUUUGCAUGCCAGCACACACAUUUUGACUAACAUAUCUAUUUUGACCAGCAUGACUCCCUUGACCAUAAAAAAUUCUUUGACUAUUCUGAUGAGGAGCAACCAUCUGUUCAUCACCAUUUUGCACAAAAGUUCCAGAAUCACAACCUUCAACACCAGACAUUUCAUUUGAGUCUCGGUGAUACCGAUAAUAGCACUUUUGAGCCACAUGACCAAACCGACUACAGAUCUGGCAUUGAACACAAGAUCUGAUAAACCGGCCACGACCACGAACAGACGCACGACCUCCACGACCGGCCCCUUCUACCGAUGGCUCAUUUUCAACAAGAUUCGCGUUCAAACUGACCUCCUGCAACACUCGAUCUUGACGACUCUCACAAUCGACUAGCGCAUCCACCAGACGUUGCAACGGUAGAACUACAGGCGACAAACGAGUAGAGGAGAUAACCGCCUCAAACUCCGACGGCAAACCCGCAAGCACCACUUCGAUCUUUUCUUCAUCGGAGAUACGAGAGCCAGAAGCAUCUAGCAUACCACAUAAAUCUUUAAUCCGAGCAACAUAAGCCUUAAUCGAAAGAUUACCUUUCUUCAACGAGUGAAGUUCAUGCCGAAUCCUCGACUGCUUGGCGCCCGUAUCAACUGCAAAAAGAUUACCGACCAUGCUCCAUAUGUCGCACGCCGUGCAAGCAUCAUCAAAGGAGGAUUGAUGAGAGGAAGUUACAGUAGACAGAAGCCAGGACAUUAGCAGUUGAUCUUGCUGCGUAAAGACUUGAGCCGCCGGAUUUGGAGCACGAGAUCCACCGGGUAGAGCGAUGAAUCGCAACGGCGGAGCAACAGUGCCAUCUAAAAAACCUGCGAGUCCAUAGCCAUUAACAAUCAGCUUUACCUGUUUACGCCAUUGAAGGUAAGUACCUUCAUCGAGUUUGACCACUUCAUGUCGAGGAAAAACUGUUGUGACUCGAUCGGCAGCAAAUACACCGGAGCUAGGUUCACCAGACGCUGAAUCAGCGGAAGCCAUGAGAAGCAAUGACCAGAAUCACUUGGCGAAUGAUACCAUGAAAGAACUAGGUAAAGGAAGAAAAUAACUAUCCAAACAGAAAGAAGCAGAAAGUGAAAUAAUAGAAUAAACUUCUUGUUGUUUAUUCAAAUUUGCCUACCUCUUAAUUCUUAAUGUACAGUAUAUAAAGACUAUCUGAAUUGAGUAACAACCUCACUAACUGACUAACUACUUCUAUUCUCUAAUAAUAGACGUGUUUGAGUGACACAAUUCCCUAUGUCAUGUUUGUUAAUAUAAAUUGUAAUUACAUAGUUACAUUAUAAAAUUUUUGGUGUUAAAUUUCGCAAAAUUCUGAUAAAAUAGUGAGGUUAACUGAGAAGCGAAUUUAUUAUUUUUGGAGCUUGUUAUUAUUUUUGAAAUUUUUAGUUAUUAAUGGGUAAUGAUGUCGACUAAGAAUCGAAUUGGCCCAAGGGACUAAAUUGAAAGAGGAGUGAAAAGGGAAAGUUUUUAAGUACUAAUAAGCCCAAGGGCUUAAUGGCCAAUUGGCCAUAGUCUUUUAAAGCACUAAAAAUCACGUCCUUUCUAGCCCUUAUUUUCAACUUCUCUCUUUGGCCGUCUGUCUACACUUGCACCGUUGAAAUCCCUUCAAAUCCUCGCCACUUUGUGUCUAAAUACCAUCAUCGAUUGCCACCACUGAUAUCAGCUGCAAUUGCUCUAAUUCACUGCGGACAAUUGCCUUAAUUUGUAGAUGCUCAUUAUUCACAUUAAAGUUUAUUUCUCUAAUGGAAUUGAUGCUAUGGUUAGUCUUAUUUUCAAAGAUGAUUAAGUUUCAUUUGAUUAGAAUUAGUUGGAAUAUGUGCGGUUAACUUCUAAUUAAAAUUAUUUAGUUUAAGAUUCAUUAAUAAAUUAUUUUUACCGUGGUUUCUUUGAUUUAUUGCUGUAAUUUUUUGUUUACUUUUAUUUGUUGUCAAAGGGUAAAUUAUCUGAUACUUUUACAAUGAACUUAGAAUUAUUUUUGAUGAAUUCGAAGCGAAAAACUAGAUAAUUCGAUGAAAGUGAAGCUGGUUGUGAAUUAAUUGCUCCUAAGCUACAAACACUAAGAAAUUCAGUUUGUUACCUUUACGUUUUAAAAUAUCUUAAUGUUGUUAAAUUAUUAGCUUUGUUGUGAUUCUUGCAUGUAAAAUUUUACUUGUGUAGUUGUUUAUUAAAUUGUUUUUAAUGAUGGCUCCUAUUGUUAAAUUGAUAUUCUUUAUUAAUUGAUUAUUUUCCGAAAAUUAUUGUUAAAAGUACGAAUUUAAUAAUUGACUAAAUACUUGAUAAAGUUAGUUGGAAAUUCUUCGGAUAUAAUUAGCAUGUUGUAGAGUGUAGAGGUCUCCAUCAUUGUUUGUUGUUCAUUGUGUGGAUUGCCUUAAGCAUAUGGGAGUAUUGUCAUUGUUGCCUCUUUGCGCAUAUAGUGUGAUGGUAGGUCAUUGAUUAAGUUGCAUUUAUUACGCAAUGCAGUACUGUCAUUGUUGACGCUUGUGCCAUUUUCAUUGACCGUUUGGUGUUUGGUUGGACACUCUUUUGUCCGAAUGUCUUUCCUUCUUGUGUUACUUAGGCAAAAUAAUUAAAUGAACUUAAACAUUAAAUUGAAACACUAUCAUUAUUUAUUGAAUGUAUUGCUAAUGUUUCAUUGUUAUUUUAAAUUGCUACCUUGUGACUGACUUGUGAUUGUAUUGUGUCUUUGAAAAUUAUUUUAAUUAUACACUUUGGUAGUUUAAAAUGUAUUGGAUUACUACUAAGCUGUAAAAAGGCAUAGCACUUGGGUUUUUAAUUUCUUGUGCAAGUAAUAUUUGGAUCGCAUAGUUUGUGAUAUCGUGAUCGAGCAACAUCACCAAAGAGUUUAGCAUGUACUUAGGUGUUGUUAAAUUGGUCAACUUGUUUACUUUAGUUUUAUUUUAGAGCUUAUUGAUUGAUUGAGCAUUGUUAAAUUAUUUUAUUAUUUGACUUUACACUAAUGUUUAAAUUUUAUGAUUUUAUGUGAAAAUGAUUGAAUGAUUGAUUAUUUGGGUCGCUCAGGUGACCGUUGUGACACUUUCGAUCCAAUUGAACUUUUGAGUCGGGUUUGAGGUGUUACAAACAUAAUUUAUAUUUUUUAAAAAAUAUUAAUUAGUAUAAAAAUUAUUAGUAUGAUCAAAAAUAAUUUCUAAACAAAUUGUCAAAACCAUUUUUUUGUAAAACGGGGGUCGACUUUUAUUUUGAAAACGAAAACGAACACAGGAGUCGCCACCAAUCCUUUUUGAUGAGGUGUGAUCGGGUCACCUCGAAAAGUUUUUAAUAAACGAUUUGCUUUUAUUAAAAUAACGAUUUUUGGUCCACGAAAUAAAAAAAAAACGGGUUCGGGAGUCGGUUACGUACGAGGAAGGAUUAACACCCUCGUAAUGCCCAUAAUUGGUACCUAGUUGAUUAAUUAGUGUCUUAGUGUCGAAGAUUGAAAACUUUGAAGAGUUUUUAAAAAUACGAUCCUUAAAAAAAUCGAAUAACAUGGGUUGGAAUUUAGGAUUCUCUUGUUCCGAAGGAAUAUCACAUCCAGCACGUUAGGAUACAACACUUUAAACCCUCGAAACCAAGAUUACCUUAUGGUGUCCAAAACCCAUACUUUGAAAUUUUAAGAGGAUAUUUGACUAUUUGGUCGAACGAGAAAUCGAAAUCCAGCACGUUAGGGCACGUUUUCUCGAAUUUCCAAACGCAAAAUAUUGCCUUAUUUUUAAAAUUUUCUUUUUUACAAAUUUGGGUAAAAUUAAUGUAAUAGUUAAUAAGAUGUACUUUUAAUAUAUGCGAACAUGGUGUGAAGGUGAAAAAUUUUUUUUACGCAAUAUAUAGUACAAUAAUAAUGAAAUAACAUAAAAUAACCAUAUUAGUAGAAUAUUUAAAAAGUAAAUAAUAAAUAAUGGAAUACAAUAAUAAUGACGUAAUUAUAAUAAUAACACCAAAUAAUAAUAACAAUAAUCAUAUUAGUUACUAUUCUAAUACUAAAAAAAUAUAAAAAUGAAAUAAACACUAAUAAUGAUGAUGAUAAUAAUAAUAGUGAUAAUGAUAAUGAAAUGUAUAAAUAAAGGAAUAAAUAACAAUAUAAAUACUAAAUCAAGAAUAGUAAGGAAAUGGAUAAAUGAAUAUGUAUAAAUAAAUAAAACUGAACGAAAAAGAAUAAAUAAAUAAAUAAAAGCUUGAAAUUAAGCGAAUAAAGGAAUAAAUUGAGGUUAAAAUAAAAUUUUAAGUCUAGAUUAUAAUAAAAUGGAUGGAUAAACGUAAAAGGGACUGGAUCAAAUUUUGAAUGGAAUUUAAAGGUAUAAAUCGGAAUAAAAAAAUGACGUAAAGGACCACAUUGAAAAGCGCGAAUAACAUAGAGGGGCCAAAUGGGAAAAUAUUCCCGCCCUUCAAAACGCAUCACUUUACACGGGGCUAAAAUGCAAUAAAAGCAAAAUUCUAGGGCAAGAUCAAAAAAAGAACACAAAAAAAUUCAAAUUGAAGCGGGCCGAGGAAGCGGAAAGACUGAACAAGUAAAUAUCCCUUCCACUUAAAAAAACACGCGGAUCCUUAUCCUGGAGCGGGUUGGGUCAACCCAUUUCGCAUCAAAACGACGCCGUUUUGAUAAGUUAUAUAAACCAAAUUUUUACCAAAAGUUUUAUUUUGCCCAUUAUUUUAAAAAAAACUUUAAAAAUCUUUCAAAAUUUCUCUCAAGCCUUCCCGCGUCUGGCCAUAACUCCGACCAGUCGUCACCGUACCGUAACCUUAUCCUUUCGACCCUCCUAAAUCCAAAUCUGGGUUCAAAAUUCCCAAAAUAUUAACAAAAAUACCUCAAAAGCUCAAGAAACCUUUCGAUUUUCGGUCACCUAUCCUCAGAGGUGACUUCCUCAGCCAUCCACGGUGUUGAAAAACUCGAAUACAGGUUAGUUUGUUACUCCCUUUUCAUUUUGUUUUACUUUCGUAUGUGUAAAUAUGAUAAAAAUAAAAUAACAGUAGACCAAAAAUGAAACGAAGAUUUAGAAAAUAGCAGUAGAUGUAAACCUUUCGGGAUUUUUCUAAUUAUUUUGAGUUUUUCGAGUAUUCGAUCCCUUUUUUUAUUACAUUGAUUGAUGGGGCCUUUUAUAGCCGAUUUACAUGCUAUUUUUUGUUUGCUUUCGCUUUUGUUCUUGUUGAUUCUGUGUCUGUCUCUUUUUUGUUCUGUUUGCAGGUCUUGGCAAGGUCAACAGAUGUUGAAGGGAUAACCCCUGCCAUUUUCGUACAAGGCUGUAGACGCCUGUCAGGCUUCGGGCGACGAGUGCGCUAUAGGGGCACGAAGAGGGAGUGCGGCACACAUGGAGCACUAGGGUUUCUGUUUUCCUCUGAAAGCAGUUAGGUUGUGGGCUGAAUUGGGUUAGGUUUUCUUUUUUAUUUUGGGCCAUACCAGGCCUGGCAUGUAAUUAGGGUUUGGGUUUGUUAUUUGAGUUUUGGGCCCGGUCAAAAAUGGCCUAUUACAGCUGCCUAUCUUUGCUUAUUGUCGUGUAACGGGAAUGAAACAAAGACUUUAAAAGGGCCAAUUUUGCCCGGUCUUGCCGAGUCUUGACUCCUUUUAGUGUUUCUCUUUUCAAGUAGCUUCACUCUAUUCCACUGUGUCUUGUUGCUUCAAUACACUCCACUGUAACUUCAAAAAGAGAUACGACUUGUAGCUUCAAUCUACUCUGCCAUAAUUUCAGAAGGAUGAGAUUUAUGGUUUUAGUCUGCUCCACUAUAACGUCAGGGAGAUAAGACUUGUUGCUUCAACCUACUCUACUGCGACUUCAAGGAGAUAAGGUCUGUUAUGGUAGACUUAAUCUGACCUACUGCAACUUCAGAGGUAUAUGAUUCAUCGUUUUAAUCCGCUCCACUUCAACUUCAGGGAGAUAGGAUUAAUAGCUUCAAUCUACUCCACUACAACUUCAGAGAGAUAAGAUUUGUGGCUUUAAUCUGCUCCACUGCUCUACUGCAACUUCAGGGAGAUAAGGUUUGAUGUGAUCUGCUCUACUGCAACUUCAGGUUUCAAUCUGUUCCACUGCAGCUUUAAGGAAAUGAGAUUUAUAGUUUGUCUUCAAUCUACUCCACUACAACUUCAGGGAGAUAAGAUUGGUUUAUUUUUUAACCUGCUCCACUGCAACUUCAAGGAGAUAAGGUUUGAUGUGAUCUGCUCUACUGCAACUGCUCCACUACAACUUCAGGGAGAUAAGGUUUGAUGUGAUCUACUCUACUGCAACUUCAAAGAGAUAAGAUCUGUAAUUUAUAGCUUAAAUCUGUUCCACUACAACUUCAGGGAAAUGAGAUUUAUAGCCUGUCUUCAAUUUUCUCCUCUACAACUUUAGGGAGAUAAGAUUGGUUUAUUUUUUAACCUACUCCACUGCAACUUCAGAGAGAUAAGGUUUGUCAAGAUCUUCAAUCCAUCCCACUGCAACUUCAGAGGCAUAAAAUUUGCCGCUUCACUAAUCUAUUAUGCGGUGAACUUGACCUGUGGAAUCCAUUUCAUAGACCUAUUUAUGCCUAGUGAUUAGGAUGUCAUAAAUCAGAAUGAAUCAAAUGCUCCUAACUAGGUGUGUAUGAAUGAUAUUUGCAUGAAUGCAGAACAUCAUUUUUUGAGAAUAAUCCCUCUUUAAUGUUUGGGUUAUCAUUGCUCAUUGUUCAUCAAGGUUUUAUCGUUAAUGCAUUACCCUACCUUCUUGUUCAACUGGUGUCUUUAACAGAAAAUCCAAAGAAAUAGUCACAAUUUAGACUAUUCUUUUUCAAAUGUUUCCAACCCUCAGGUUUGGUUAGUUCUAAACAAUAAUCCUGUUUCGAGUCCUCGUAUCAUUUAGAAGCUUUCAGAGUAAUAUGCAGAACUUCUUUUGCUUGAAUAUUAUUGAUCCAUUAAUUAUUAUUUCAAUGAAAAAUGCUUGGAAAGAAUUAUCACAAUGGACAAGAUGGAAUUUCAUUAGGAGCAAAGCUCGAACUGAAUGAAUUAAUCAAGAUAACAAGUUUUUUCCAAAAUUACAAAAUGAGAAUCAAGACAACGUAUUUUGCCAAAAUAAAAAAUGAAUGAAAUGGAAUAGGUGCCUUAGAUAUCGUAGUAUGAACUUCUCUGCACAAAGCCUUUGGAGGACCACUUUAAACUUGAUAGAUGUCCAGGAGGUCCGCAGUAUUUCGUUGAUGUCCCAAGACGCAUAAUCUCUCUUUCUUGUUAAUUCAAGCAUAGUAAAAAUUGUCGCAUGCCCCACCUUUGAUCACAAUUUGAAUUGCCCUUUUUCCCCAGGUUUUCAAUUCAAAACCCCUUUGGUCUCAAAGUGCCCUUCAUGGGUUUUCGCCUUGGCCUCUCCUCUUUUGUUUUAGGCGAGGUACUUUUUCAUUGAAUUCGAAUUCACAGGAUUAGGCAGGAUUUUUCCAUCCAUCUCAGUCAAAAUUAACGCUCCUCCAGAAAAGGCCUUCUUUACUACAUAAAGUCCCUCACAGUUUGGCAUCCACUUUCCUCUAAAGUCUUUUUGUAUGGGAAGGAUCUUCUUCAGUACCAAAUCCCCUUCAUGAAAUUCCCUAGGACGAACCUUCUUAUUGUAAGCUCGUAUCAUUUGCUUCUGGUACAUUUGACCAUGACGGAUAGCUCUCAACCUCUUUUCUUCGAUCAAGUUUAGCUGAUCAUAUCAAGAUUGGAUCCAUUAUGCUUCGUCUAACAUUAGUUCUGAAAAAACUCGGAGAGAGGGAAUUUCAACCUCAAUUGGCAGUACUGCCUCCAUUCCAUAAACCAAAGAGAAAGGCGUUGUCUCGGUAGAGGUCCUGACAGAUGUUCGAUAAGCAUAGAGGGCAAAUGGUAACUUCUCAUGCCAAUCUCUAUAAGUCUCAGUCAUUUUUCCCACAAUCUUCUUGAUGUUUUUAUUGGCUGCCUCCACUGCGCCAUUCAUUUUCAAGCGAUAUGGCGAUGAAUUGUGGUGCUUGAUCUUGAAUUGACUACAGACCUCCGCUAUCGUGUUGUUGUUCAAAUUCAAAGCGUUGUCAGAUUUAAUCCUUUCGGGUAUCCCAUACCGACAUAUGAUCUCCUUUUUUAGAAAUUUACUGACGGUCGAUUUUGUGAUGUUGGCGUAAGAAGUAGCUUCUACCCACUUAGUAAAGUAGUCAAUUACUACGAAGAUGAAUCGAUGCAUGUUUGAAGCUUUUGGUGAUAUUGGUCCAAUGACGUCCAUGCCCCACAUGGAAAAAGGCCAUGGAGAAGUCAUGACAUGAAGAGGUGAAUGAGGCACAUGAAUUUUGUCCCCAUAAAUCUGGCAUUUAUGGCAUUUCUUAGCAUACUUGAUGCAGUCCCUUUUCAUGGUGGACCAAUAAUAUUCGAAUCUCAUGAUUUGCCUGGUCAUUGUAAAACCAUUAACGUGUGUUCCAUAGACACCAUCAUGAACCUCUUCUAAGAUUUGCUUAGCCUCAAUAGCGUCCACGCAUCUUAGCAACACUUGAUCAUUUCCUCUUUUAUAUAGGAUCUCUCCAUCCAAGACGUAGUCAUUAACCUGCCUUCUUAACGUCCCCUUGUCAUCCUCGCUUUCUUGGUUUGGGUAUUCCUGACUCUUCAUGUAUUGUAAUAUAUCGCGAUACCAAGGGUGAUCACCCUUUUCCUCUUCUUUGUCGACAUUGCAACAGUGGGCUGGUGCUUCAUAAAUGCUCAUUCUGAUGGGCCUCACAUCCUUUGUUUAUUUACUUUGAUCAUAGAAACCAAAGUAGCCAAAGCGUCGGCCAUCUGGUUUUCUUCUAGCGAAAGGUAAGAGAAGGUGAUGUCAUCAAACUCGUCAAUUAGCCCUAUAACCAGCUUUCGGUAAUUGACUAAUUUGCGAUAUCUUAUCUCCCACUCCCCUUUGAGCUGAAAAACCACCAGUACAGAGUCCCCAUAUACCUCUAACACUUUAAUCUUAUGUUCCAUGGCUGUACGAAUCCCCAUAAUACAUGCUUCGUACUCGGCCAUAUUAUUUGUGCAAUCAAAACCCAAUUUACAGGUGAAUGGAUAAUGAUCUCCGCUUAGGGAUACCAAAACUGCCCUAAUUCCGUUGCCUACAGCAUUUGAAGCCCCGUCGAAGUUUAAUUUCCAAGCACCGCUUUCUUGAGUGUAUUUUUCAACAGUUCCCACAUACAUCAGAUCCUUAUUUAGGAGAUCAAAGUUCAAAGGCUCAUAGUCUUCUAGAGCUCGACUAGCUAGAAAAUCUACUAUCGCGCUUCCUUUUAUAGCUUUUUGAUUCACAUAGACUAUGUCAAAUUCAGACAGUAGAAUUUGCCAUCUGGUCAUCCUUCCAUUUAGAGCGGUUUACUCCAUCAUGUAUUUCAGAGGGUCUAGUUUCAAGAUUAACCAAGUCGUAUGGUACAACAUGUAUUGUCGCAACCUCCGAGUAGUCCAGAUUAAGGCGCAACAUAAUUUUUUGAUUGGGGAGUAUCUUGUCUCACAUUCGGUGAACUUCUUACUGAGAUAGUAUAUUGCUUUUUCUUUUCUUCCCAACUCAUCAUGUUGGCCGAGCACGAAUCCGAUGGAGUUUUCAAAUACUGUUAAAUAUAGUAUCAGGGGCUUGUCUGGGCAAGGCGGUGUUAGUACUGGAGCGUUGGACAAGUAAUACUUGAUCUUGUCAAAGGUUUUCUGGCACUCCUCGUCCCAUAUGCCCGGAUUAUGUUUCUUAAAGAGACGGAAGAUAGGGUCACAUUUUUCAGUUAACUGUGAAAUAAACCGAGCAAUGUAGUUUAGUCUUCUUAGAAAACCCCGGACUUCUUUCUGAGUGCGUGGUGAAGGCAAUUCUUGUAUGGCCUUGACUUUGUCUGGGUCAAUCUCAAUUCCCCUUUCACUGACUAAAAGUCCUAGCAACUUUCCUGAUCUAGCCCCGAAAGUGCAUUUGGCUGGGUUAAGUUUUAGCUGGAACUUCAUUAACCUUAGGAACAGUUUUCUCAAUACUUGCACAUGUUCUCCUUCUGUCCUAAACUUUACAAUCAUGUCAUCAACACAGACUUCUAUCUCUUUAUGCAUUAUAUCAUAGAACAAAGUUACCAUGGCUCUUUGGUACGUUGCCCCUGCAUUCUUUAAUCCGAAUGGCAUCACCUUAUAGCAAAAUGUUCUCCACAUAGUUACAAAUGUGGUCUUAUCCAUGUCUUCAGGAUGCAUUUUUAUCUGAUUAUACCCCGAGAAGCCAUCCAUGAAGGAGAAAAGUGAGUAACCUGCUAUGUUGUCCACCAGAGUGUCGAUAUGGGGUAACGGAAUAUUGUCUUUUGGACUAGCUUUGUUCAAAUCUCUAUAAUCUACGCACAUCCGUACCUUCCCAUCUUUCUUAGGGACAGAGACUAUGUUGGCUACCCAAUCCGAGUACUUGACCACUUGUAAGAACCCCGAGUCGAACUGCUUCUUGACCUCUUCUUUUAUUUUUAACAAAACAUCAGGCCUUAUUCUUCGUAGCUUCUGUUGCACCAGUUUACAUUCUUCUUUUAUGGGCUGUCGGUGUACUACAAUAUCAGUACUUAGGCCAGGAAUGUCUUGAUAGGUCCAUGCAAAGACAUCUUUAAACUCUUGAAGUAAUCCAACGAGGUCUCGUUUUGUUUCCUCAGUAACGCAAGCGCCAAACUUUACUUCUUUCUCUUCUUCUAAACCCACUACUUCCACGGAUUCCUUAUAAGGUAAGAUUUGUUUCUCUUCUUGCUCCACCAUUCUUAACAAAUCAGGAGAUAAUACGCUGUCUUGGUCAUCUUCAAAACCCUGACGAUCAUCCGUACUCAUGUCUUGUUCAAAUAGGGACUUUGAGUCAGUAACAGCGUCGCUCACAUCAUUGAUAUCUGAAGACCUGUUAUUGGGAGAAAGGAAGGUCCAAAGAAAGAAGAAUCUAAGCAUAAUUGUUUACACAGUAUGAUUAUAAAUUGAAUGAAAAGAAUAGAAGAAUAUUUGCUCAAAAUGAGACUGAAUGAUGUGUUUUCAUUGAAAUAAGAUUUUGGACAUGUGUCUUUUACAAAAUAUUCUUAUUGCCCCCAGGCUUAGGGCAACAAGUGUUCUAGAUAUUACUCUGAAUUAGUUCUAAAUGUUAUAGGGAUCUCUUCUGCAGUCUAGUUGUCUAGAACACUUCCAGGUUCGUAAGGGCGGAUGCCUGAUACACUUCCUUCUUCGAGUUCUUUUUUGAAUAUGGCAUUGAUGUUCAGGUUUUCUAACAUUUCCUCCGUAGUAUCCCUUCUUGGUGUCCUUCGUUCAGGAUAAAUAGUUCCCCCUGAUAUAAAGGUCCUAGAUAUGUGGGGGAAGGUCAUAGGUUCCCAAUCGACUUCUUUUCCACUCAAACGCGCCUUCCUCUUCUCUUGUCUUUUUUCUAACUCUUUCCUUCUUUACUUCGCAUUUGGCUUAGAUCCUAAACCAAAGCGGUCUCGUUUAUCUUUUAUCAUUGGUACCUCUAUCCUUCAUUGAAGACAUCUUCCGAAUCCUCUCCCAGACACUGCUCCUUUUCCAAUCGUCAUUUGCAGUCCCAUCCUCGUAGUUUUGGAUAUGCUAGGCAUCGUGAUCUUAUUCCCCUCAACAACAAAAGUUGCGUUCACGAAUUCUAAGGAUCAAAAGGAACAUUCAAUCGCCUCAUCAUUCGUUUCUAAAUAUGGUGUGUCGCUGGUUACCGAUGCAAUAAUGUCUUCUUUAGCGCUUAUAGUAACUAGUCGGCCUUCUAUUACCAAUUUCAACUUCUGGUGCGAUGAUGAAGGCACUGCUCUAGCUGAAUGAAUCCAAGCUCUUCCCAACAAGUAAUUAUACGAAGGUUUGAUAUCCGUCACUAGGAAAUCUACCUUGUAUGUAUUCGGGCCAAUCAAGAGAGGUAUUUCUAUUCUUCUCGUUACUUUUCUUUCAGUGCCAUCAAAUGCUCUCACUAUAUUCUGGCAUGAUUUCAUGUGAGAGUUAUGCAUCGGUAACCUGUUUAAGGUGGAUAAGGGUAAGACAUUCAAGGCCGAUCCAUUAUCAAUUAACACCACCGGAAACGUGUAUCCCUUGCAGCGAGUGGUGAUAUUUAGGGCUUUGGUGGCUCCUCUCCCCCCCCCCCGAUGAUAUUUCAUUAUCAUUAAAGAAGAUGAAGUUGUCGGCACUUAUAUUGUUAACCAAGCAGUCUAACUUGUUCACCGAGAUAUCGUUAGCGACAUAAGUUUCAUUUAGUACUUUUAUCAACGCAUUACGAUGUGUCUCUGAACUUAGAAGCAACUUAAGCACCAAGAUGCAAGCUGGUUGCUUAUGUAGUUGUUCCACCACGCUAUACUCACUGUGCUUUAAGAAUUUUAGAAAUUCUCUAGCCUCAUUUUUAGUUACCGGCUUGUUAACAUGCGAUUCAAUUCUAAUCGUUUUUGCUUCCCCUCGCUCAACCGCUAAGGUUUUUCCUUUUGUGGUUUCCACUCUUGCAUUUGUCGAAUCGUAGCAUUUUUCGCUUCGUGUAUAGAAGCCUAUAUCAUCACCCUUUUUUGAAGUAUUUAUUGGGUUCUCUUCUCCCGGGAUCGUCACGUUGCACUCGUAAUUCCAAGAAACCCAUUUGCUAUUCUUAUAAAGAAAUUAUAUGGGUUUUUAGAUUAUGACCCUUGGCGCUAUUUCUAUUCCAGAUUCUGUGCUCCUUGGCCUUGAAAUAAUCACCACUGAGUGAUUAACCCUUUGGGCUUCCCCGUAGAUUCUUCCUCCGAGGUGUAAAUUUCCCCUUCUUCUAAUCCUUCAACCUUUUCAUAAAACUUCAACUCUUUGUUAUCCAUUAAGUUUUGCAUCAUGGUUCUGAACUCGGUGCAUUUUUAAGUGUCAUGGCCCUCUUCAGCAUGGAACUCGCAAUACUUCAUCGUCCCUUUGGGCCUCUCCGUUGAAUCUUGCUUGAUAAAACCUCCCUCUAUCAUUCGUUUCCAAACCCAUUUCAACGGGGUUUUUAUCUCUGCUACGUCAGCUUUAACUCUCCUUCCCCACUCUCGAUUAUUGCGUUUACCUCUUUAUCAGAAUGAUUGGUUAACGGAUUCCCUGCUACAUUUGGUUCUGGUGGGUCGUCAAACUUUACAAUCCCCAUCUUAAUGAAUCUUUCCACCAUCUUCUUAAACGCAGUGCAGUUCUCAAUCGAGUGUCCCGUUAUCCCUGCUUAGUAUUCACAUUGGGUAUUCACGUCGUACCAUUUAGGGUAUGAAGGUUGCAUGGGUUUCAGAUAAAAUGGAGACACGACGUGUGCAUCGAAUAGAUUCUAAUACAGUUCUCUAUACGUCAUUGAGAUACGUGUGAAUUGGGGUCUUUCUACAUUCGACCUUGGAUGGGAUUCCUGCCUUAAAAAGCCUUGAUGGCUAGUGGUUAUUGCUCUUGCUUGUCCCACCGUGAUUGGUUUAGAAUAGCCUUUGUUAAACAUACUUGCAUUGUUUAUCUCGUGCUCUUUCUUUCUUGGGGCUGACCUCUUGGCACUUUCCCCCGCUUCUAUCUUGCCGCAUAUUAUUGUAUUCUCUAUCAUUUCUCCAGACAUCACUAUGUCUGAAAAGCUUUUAGUGGCGCUGUCUAACAUGUGAUUGAUGAACAGAGCCUUCAAAGUAUUGAUGAAAAGCAUGGUUGUCUCUUUCUCCAGAAGUGGUGGUUAGACUUGCAUUGCUAUUUCUCUCCAUCUUUGGGCGUACUGUCUGAAGCUCUCACUAGGCUUCUUUUCCAUGUUCUGUAAUGUAAUUCGACCGGGUGCUAUAUCCUUCACAUGACUGUACUGCUUCAUAAAAGUCUGUGCCAAGUCCUUCCAUAAAUUGACUUUAGUCUGGCUCAAUUGGUUGUACCAUUUAGCCGCCGACCCGAUCAAGCUGUCUUGGAAAUAGUGCAUCAAUGUUGAUCAUUAUUGAUGUAUCCUGUUAUCCUUCGACAGAACAUAGUGAUAUGAGCUUCAGGACAGCUAGUCCCGUUAUACUUUUUAAACUUUGGCAUUUUGAACUUAGGUGGAAGCACCAGAUCAGGAACCAAACUCAAGCCUUUGGCGUCAAUUCCACAAUGGUAGUCGGCGUUCUCCAUGGCUCUAAAUUUCUCCUCUAUCCAUCUACACGAUCCUCAAGUUGUUUUGGCAAGUCCAUUCUUACCUUUUCUAUUUCUGCCACGUCAUCGAGAUCAGGGACCACGGGAUUGGUAGGGUUAUCCCCGGGAUUAGAACCCGAGCUUAUUGGAAAGUUCAUUGACACUAGGGCCCCAACCUGAUAUUGGGAUCUGAUAGUGACAGGUACCCUUCAUGGGUACACGUCCGGUUGCGCUUAGAUGUUAGUUAGGGUAAAACCUGGAGGAUAGGCAGGGUCUUCAUGAUCAUCCCCAGAAUUGACCACAGGGCUCUUCCCUUUAUCAUUUUCUCCAGCCAUUAACUGUGUUAACUAGCUCAAUAAAUUUCUUUGGGAUUCUUACAUGUCUUGUUGCAUUUUAGCUAGUUUUUCCUGCAUCUGAACUUGCAUCUCUUUUCACAAUUGUUCCAAUCUUUCUAAUAUCUGAUCCAUUACUUUUGUCUUGCGGCGGGUACCGUAGUGAUAUAUAGUUGGCUGAUUUUUGUUGGUUUCCAAGGUAACUGUCAUAAUUUUAAUUAAUUAGGGCUCUUUUUUGAAACUUUAAUGCAUAUGAUGAGAUGUAAUGCAAAUGAAUCAAAGCAAAAAGAGGCAUUGAUUCUAAUUCAAUUUCAUUAGAAAAACUCGAUUAGAAAACAAAUUUCUUUACAUAAAAUGGAUUACAUAUAUGGCUUCGCCUUUAUACUCAAAGCCUUAACCCUCUUAAGGAGCCAAGCUAACUCUCAACCUCGGCUUGAUUCUGAUUCAUAUUUUAAACUCAAUACAUCAGCCUGAACUGCUAAGGUUUGCAGAUGAUCAGCUACUUCCUGCACUUAAGUUACAACUUCACCCAUAAUGUAAUCUUUAUCUCUAAUCUGACUUUGGGAAUGAUGGAGCUGUUCUUGCCACUGUUCGUUACGCCUCUCAAGAAGUUCCACUCGUAAUUCAGAGUUUUGCAAUGCGUCUUCGAGCUUUUCUAUUUUCCCCUUCAAUUUUUCGAUCUUUCCUAAACUUGCUCUUAACUUGAUCAUUGAGUUGCGACUACGGUACAGGUGAAGCGACUUUUCUAACUAUACUACCCGAGCUUUUAAUCUCGCUUCUUCAUUUCAACAUUCUAACAAGUUUUUCUCUAAAGCUCUCUCUCGAGCUUGGGCGUCUUAAAAUUUCUUUUCCCACUGAUCAGCCAUGGUCUUUUCUUCCUUGAUCUCCUGUCGCCAUUACUCCGACGUUUUACCUAAACCGACAGUUCUUAUUGACAAACGCAGCUUCUUAUAAUCUAUUUUUAGACUAUCUAAAUCCUCUUCAGCCUUGUUCUUCCCUUUCCUUAAUUUUUCGAUUUUUAACUUGUGGAUAUCGACAUCUAGUCCCAAACGCAUCUUUUCCUCUUCUAGCUGCUCUAUCUUCUUUCCUAACUCUGAACUUCUUUUUUCAAAGUCCUGUUUGAUGAUCUCUAAUUCUGAUGGAACUUCUUGUAGAUGGUCCUCUAUAGAUCGAAUGCAUUCUUUUCUCGACCCGGAGAUGUUGUUAUUGACCCUCUUACUCCAACACCCAUAAUAUUCGAAAGUUGUCAUUGCUCUUACGGUAAAUCUUUUCAUCCGGUGAACUUGUUUCCAAGCGCUAAACAUUUCUCGAAUCUUUCUCUUGUAGUUAUCACCCUUAUAAGAAAACUCACACUGAGUCAGCCCUUAUGUUGUCGGUAUGAACUAUCUUGAUUUAUAUUGUCUUAAUACGAGCAAAGGGGUAUAUUCGACAGCUCUCCAAAUUCUAAGUAAAAGGACCAAGUCGAAGUUUUCACAUCGAUAUAGGAUAUCGUCGGGCACCAUCCAAUGAGCUUUCCAUUCAACAUCUUUCUCUUGAAGAGUUUGGAGAAUCACCAUCCAUUUCUCUUCUGUGAUGUCGUUUCAUCUUGGUGUAGCCACUAGUUCCUUUAAUGGGGAGUAGUUUUCUAAGAAUACCCAAUAGGAGACCUUUUUCCACUUUCCAAAAGUGUCUAUGGAACCACACCAAUAAUAGUUGCGCGCAUCCGAUGAACCUUCCUUCACCCGCUCUUCGACACGCAUUUAGAGAUCUAAAAGUUUCAGCCAAUAUUGCUGAGACCGGUGUGACCCCCUUGUCAAGCCUAUCAAACAGAUCUGAAACUGCUUCAUCCACAUGCCCUAAUGCCUUGGGGAAAAUAACUAAACCAUAAAUGCUCAAGACAAAGAUAUCAACUCACUUGGUGCAAAAAUCAUGAAAAACCAGCUUGAAUAAACCCUUAGGACGUUUUUGGCUGAUGAGAAUGCAGAAAAAUAAAGAGAAAUCUAGAUAAUUCCACUUUAGUCCUAACUUUUAAAGUAAAUUUUUGCAAUAUUCUAAUUUUACCCUUAAUUCUCCAAUUCUCCUUAUUUUUCUCAGCUUGUGCCGCCCAAAAUAUCUUCUUUUGGGCUUAUUUACAAUUUAUGUCCCUCCUUAUUUAACAAUGGAGCUAUUUAAUCCUUCUAGUAACUUUUACACCUUUUUUAAUUUAGUCCUUUUCACUUAAUUGACUGCCCAAACAUUAAAAUUUUCUAACGAAAUUUUAAUACCAUAUUACUAACAUUUCAUAAAUAUUUAUAAAAAUAUUUUUGACUUGGUUUUAUGAGAUCGAUGUCUCGAUACCUUGUUUUUACCCAAUUUCUUCAAUAAUUUCUUUUUCUAACUAACCACUAAAUCGGUAAAAUUUUUCUAUCGAUAUUUUCAUACGAUUUUCUAUCAUAUCAAUAUUCAUGCAAAAAUAUUAAAAUAAAUUUCUUUUAAAAUCGGAUUUUUGGUUAUGAAACCACUGUUUCGAUAACCUUGAAUUUAGGCCAUUACAACUCUCCCCCCUUAGGGAUUUUCGUCCUCAAAAAUCUUACCAGUAAAGAGGUUCGGGUAUUGUUUCCUCAUUGCCUCCUCUGAUUCCCAUGUCGCUUCCUUAAUCCCGUGCUUUUUCCAUAAUACUUUCACCAAAUUUAUCUUUUUAUUUCUAAGCUCAUUUAUUUCCCGUGCUAAUAUCUUAACCGGUUCUUCACUAUAAGUCAUAUCCGGCUGAAUCUCCACUUCUGUCAGAGAAAUAACAUGUGAAGGAUCUGAUCGAUACCGUCGUAGCAUAGACACAUGAAAAACAUUAUGAAUUCUAUCGAGUUCCGGUGGUAAUGCCAAUCGAUAAGCGACCGCGAGUUCCGGUGGUAAUGCCAAUCGAUAAGCGACCGGUCUAAUUCUUUCUAUAAUUUCAUAUGGCCCAAUAAAUCUUGGACUCAACUUACCCUUUUGACCGAAUUGGAGAACUUUUUUCCAAGGAGACACUUUUUUGGAAUACCUUAUCACCCACCUAAAAUUCAAUCUCUUUUCGUUUAAGAUCAGCAUAUGGCUUUUGACGAUCGAAAGCUGCUUUUAGACUAUCUCGAAUCAUCUUGACUUUUUCUUCUAUUUCCCGGAUCAAAUCAACCCCAUGUAUCUUCUUUUCACUAAGCUCUGUCCAAUAUAAUGGUGUUCUACAUUUUCUACCAUACAAAGCUUCAUACGGAGCCAUUUUAAUACUGGACUAAUAACUGUUAUUAUAAGCAAAUUCAAUCAAAGGUAGAUACCUCUCCCAAUUACCUUCUAACUCUAAUAUACAACAUCGGAGCAUAUCUUCCAAUACCUGAAUUACACGCUCAGAUUGGCCAUCUGUCUGAGGAUGAAAUGCAGUGCUGAAAUACAAUUGAGUACCCAAGGCUUCUUGCAAUUUGUCCCAGAAACGAGAUGUAAAUCGGGGAUCUAUAUCUGAUAUAAUAGAUAUUGGCACUCCAUGUAGCUUGACAAUCUCAGAUAUAUACAGUUCAGCCAAUUUAUCUAAAAAAUAAUCCAUAAGUACUGGGAUAAAAUGUGCUGAUUUUGUUAAUCGAUCAACGAUCACCCAAAUGGCAUCUUUCUUAUUCGGUGACAAUGGUAACCCAAAUACAAAAUUCAUAGUAAUUCUUUCCCACUUUUAUUCCGGUAUAGUGAUUGGCUGAAGUAACCCCGAAGGUACCUGAUGUUCAACUUUAACCUGCUGACAUAUUAGGCACUUUGAUACAAACUCAGAAAUAUCACGUUUCAUACCUGGCCACCAGUACAUCUUCUUCAAAUCAUUAUACAUUUUAUUACCUCCCAGAUGUACGGACAUAAUACCACUGUGUGCCUCGUGUAAAAUCUUCUGUACAAGCUCUGAAUUCUUCGGUACACAUACUCUGCCUCUGAAUAAUAAACAACCAUCAGUCCCAAUUUGAAAUUCUGAAUCAUUACCUGACUCACAUUGUACCCAUUUAGCCUGUAGCUUUUCAUCAUUUUUCCGAGCUUCAUAUAUUUGUUGUAGAAAUGUCGUUUAACUCUCAACUCAGCUAUGACUGAACCAUUAUCAACCAAAGACAAUCGGGUAUUCAUAGCUCGCAAAGCAAACAAAGAUUUUUGACUCAGAGCAUCAGCUACAACAUUAGCCUUACCCAGAUGGUAAUCAAUAACCAAAUCAUAGUCUUUUAUCAGUUCAAGCCACCUGCGCUGUCUCAAAUUCAAAUCUUUCUGUGUCAUCAAAUAUUUCAGGCUUUUAUGAUCAGUAUAAAUAUGACAUUUUUCACCAUACAAAUAAUACCGCCAUAUUUUCAAUGCAAAUACAAUAGCAGCAACUUAGAGAUCAUGUACCGGGUAAUUUCUUUCAUGUGGCUUAAGUUGUCUUGAAGCAUAGGCUAUUACUUUACCUUCUUGCAUCAAGACACAGCCUAAACCAUUUAAUGAUGCAUCACUAUAAAUAAUAAAUUCUUUACUCGGUUCAGGUUGUACCAACACAGGUGUUUUCGUCAACAAAUCUUUCAAUCGGUCAAAACUCUGCUGGCAUUUAUCAGUCCACUCAAAUUUAACAUCUUUCUGUAAUAAACGAGUUAUCGAAGAAGCUAUCAUAGAGAACCCCUGUACAAAUCUCCGAUAAUAACUGGCUAAACCCAAGAAACUUCUAACUUCAGAUACAUUCUUCGGUGGACUCCAAUUGACAAUAGCUGAGAUUUUACUCAAAUCUACCUUGAUGCCUUCUGCGGAUACAAUAUGUCCAAGAAAACCCACUUCUCGAAGCCAAAAUUCACAUUUACUGAAUUUAGCAUAUAGCUACUUCUCUCGCAGAAUUUGCAACACAAUUCUCAAAUGUUCUGCAUGCUCAUUUUCAUCUUGGGAAUAGACCAAGAUAUCAUCAAUAAAAACUACCACAAACCUGUCUAAGUACGGUCUAAAUAUCCGAUUCAUCAGGUCCAUAAAUACUGCAGGUGCAUUAGUCAGCCCAAACGGCAUAACAAGAAACUCAUAAUGCCCGUACCUGAUUCUAAAAGUUGUUUUCGAUACAUCUAACUCCUUUACCCGUAACUGAUAGUAGCCCAAUCGGAGAUCAAUCUUUAAAAAUACAGUGGCACCCUUCAACUGGUCAAACAGAUCGUCAAUCCGAGGCAAUGGGUACUUAUUCUUUAUAGUGACUUUAUUAAGUUGUCAGUAAUCAAUACAUAAUCUUAAGGACAUGUCCUUCUUUUUCAUAAAUAAAACUGGAGCACCCUAAAGUGAAUGACUUGGUCAGACAAAACCCCUGUCAACAAGUUCUUGCAACUGUGUCUUUAACUCCUUUAAUUCUGUAAGAGCCAUACGAUACGGAGCUAUAGAGAUUGGAGUAGUUCCCGGAAUCAGAUCUAUAGAAAAUUCCACUUCUCUUUCUGGUGGCAACCCUAGUAAUUCCUCUAGAAACACAUCAAAAAAUUCACAUACAAUUGGCACUGCCUGUAUAUUUAAUUGGCACUGCCUGUAUCUUUAACUCAGAUACCUUAGUGUUUAACACAUAUGCCAAAUAAGCAUCAUACCCUUUUCUGACACACCUCUGAGCUGUCAUAACCGAAAUCACAUUAGAUAAUUCUUCUGUCUGAUCAAAUUUAACCCGAAGUAAUUCUCUAUUCUAACACUUCAGCAUAAUAUAUUUCUGUCUACAAUUUACUACUGCAUCAUGCUGAGUUAGCCAAUCCAUACCCAAUAUCACAUUGAACUCAUCAAAAGGCAAUAACAUCAAGUCAACAGGAAAACAAAUACCUUUUACCAUCAGUGGACAAUUUUUACAAACUUUAUCCACCAUCAUAAACUGGCCCAGUAGGUUCGAGACUUUAACCACAAAUUCAGUAAGUUCAACAGAUAAAUUUUUAACAAAUACUAAUUUUGUGCAUAUGUAUGAAUGUGUAGAGCCAGGAUCAAUUAAUACAGUAAUAUCAGUAUCAAGUAAAGAAAAUGUACCAGUAAUAACAUCGGGUGCUGAGGCAUCUUCUCUAGCACGGAUGGCAUAUGUCCUAACAGGUGCUCGUGCCUCAGACCUGCCUGCAGUCUCUUUCGUAACUCCUCAGCUACCACUAACAUUACCAGAUGGUCGAGGUGGUCUACCCCUCGAAACUGGAUUACUCGGCUUCGAUGUAUGUUUAGCUUCUUUUUCACCCCUUUCUAGACAAUCUCUGAGGAAAUGAUCGGAAGAACCACAUCGAUAACAAGCCCCACUCUUUAAUCGACAUUCACCAAAAUGAGUUUUAUUACAGUACUGACAUCUCGGCUUAGGGGUACCAACACUACCAGCACUGGUCACUGAUGGAGUGGAAGGUCUUGGAUUAGUGCGUUGAAAACCUCGCUCUCUAAUCGAAUACCCACUGGCUGAGGUUGAACGAUCCUGGUAUUUCUUCAAUUUCUUUAAAGUAAAAAACUGGGAUUUUUCCAUAGAUGUUUUACUGAAAACCCGAGCUUCUCUUUCAGCUUGUUUCUUUUCUUUGCUCAAUUUUUUUGCUUUAUAAGCUCACUCUGCAAGGGUAGUAAACUCUCGAAUUUCAAGAAUUCCGAUCAAUAGCUUAAUUUUUUCAUCCAACCCUUCUUCAAAUCUUUUGCAUAUUCCAGCUUCUGAUUGUACCCAUUCCCAAGCAUAUUUACUCAAUCGGACAAAUUCUCUUUCAUACUCAGAUACUGAUCUGUUAUCCUGUUUCAGCUAAAAAAAUUCUUUUCUCUUCCGAUCGAGGAACCUCUGACUGAUAUAUUUCUUUCUGAACUCGGUCUAAAAGAAUUCUCAUUUAAUUUCUUCUUUUGGAACCACCGAAGCUUUAGUGUUUCACCAAUGAUAAGCUGUGUCUUUUAACAAUGAUACUGCACAUUUCAGACACUCUUCUGGCGUGCAAGAUAAUUCCUCCAAAACCCGAGUAGUAUUCUCUAACCAAAACUCAGCCCGUUUGGGAUCAUCAUCAACUGCAGCUCUGAAUUCUUCUGCCACAUAUUUUCUGAUUUUAUCAACCGGAGCUUUCCCUUUUUUGCUAGGUUCAAUACCUGUACCCUGUGAAAUCUCGGGAAUCGGUGGAGGAGGAGGAGGAGGAGGAGGAGCUUGAGCUUGCUGCACUAUAGGGUUAGUUUUUAUAUAUUGAGUAAAUCAUUCAUUCAUCAUUUGAUAGAAGGCAAUUUUAGCCUCUUCACUUUGGUCCCUUAUCUCGGACCUUCUACUACUAGUAGCUUCAACUUCUCUUUGUUCUGAAGCCGGAGCAUGACUCUCGGCUUCCUUGGGUUGAACUUGGUCGGCAGACAUUUACUAUAAGAAAAUCACAUUUCAAAUGGUCAGGAGAUAUCACACUAUCAAUAAGAAUUUAAAUCCCAUGUAUAGCUAAUCCAGUAUUUUCUACAUCGGUCCGAGAACUGACUAAAUCGUAGCUCUGAUACCAACAAAAUGUAACACCCCUUAACCAUAUCCGUCGUUGAAAUAGGGUACGAAGCAUUAUCAGAUUUUAUCGAAUUAAUUUUCUAUUAUUACGAGUUAAAUACUAUUCAUUUAUCGAAACAUGUCAUGACGUCCCUUGAAUGGGCCUCCGAAGCCCAAAACAUACAUCGAGACCAAACCGGGAUUAAAUCGAAACCAUAAGAAAUUUUUCGCAAAAUCCCAAAGUUUUUUUUUUAAAACUCAAUACAACCCCUUUAUAAAUAUCUAAUCUUCCCUGCAAUUUUAAACCAAGACCAAUCCAACACAACCAAUCCAUUUCAACAUACUUUCAAAAUAGAUUUAACAUAUUCAUAAGAUAACCUCAUCACAUACCAAAACCAAAAUUUGUUAGCCAUACCAAUGGCUAACCAUUCAUUCAUUUCACAUUAACAUUUACUUUACUAGCUUAUACAUGCCAUUGAUUUCUAAAAUAAAGUUUCUUUAUAUACCGAGAUCUUGAGGUUGAUAGUGUGAUGCGUCUCCGACCAAAUCCGACCUCCGAGCUCUUAACACUACAAAACAGGGGAAAAGGAAACAGGGUAAGCACUUUGUGCUUAGUAAGCUCAUGUAAUAAGAAUUAUACUUACCUAAUAUUUUCAAUACAAUACAAUACAAUACAAUAAACAUUCAUACAUCCAUUCAAUGCAUUAUUCCCCUAACAUGCACGAACUCAACAUUCAAGUUAGUUCAGUAAUUUCCAUGUAUCAAUAAUAUAUAUAUCACGAUUGAUAAGCUCAUCAAUUCCAUGAUUUCCAUUCCCUUGUUAUUUUUCCAUAUUUAUCCCGUUGAACUACUUGGAAUUUCGAUGGAUUUUCAGGGGUACACCUAAGUGUACAAAUCUGGGUUCGUCAAUUCAUAUUCAUGUGCGCACAUUUUCAUUUCAGAGAGCACACUCCCGUGAACCUCAUCCUUACAGCGGGAUUACCAGUCCAGGCUAAAUCCCCUGUAAUAUAAACUCAUAGAAUAUUGUCGGGAUUACCAGUCCAGGCUAAAUCCCCUGCAACGACAAUUACUCUAAUGAGCUUGGAUUUGAAUUACCAGUCCAAGCUAAAUUUAGACCCUAAUUUGGAAUACCCGUCCGGGCUAAAUUCAUUUUCCACAUAUUCUUUGAGAGGGCUGUAUCAGAAUAGGAUCACCCAUCCGGGCUAGAUCCUUUUUACCGUCAAUUCCUUUUCAGAGAUCCAUCGAAUUUUCCUUUCAUUCAACCGGGAUUUAUUUUCUCUUUUCAUCAAGAAUAUCAAUACUUCUUCAAUUAUCAUACAAUAAACAUCCAAAUCAUAUUCACAUCAAGAAAAAUAUAUUUCAAGCAUUUAAGAAUAUAAUUCAAGUUACACGAACUUACCUCGAUACUUGUUCGUAAAUAAAAAUCUACUAAUUCCAAACUUUUUCUUUUCCUCGAUCUAGCUUUGUAUUUGAAUUUUCUAGAUCUAAAUAAAUAAAUUUAAUCAUUAAUCUAAUACAUUUCAUGUUCAUAUGUAACAUUCUCUAUAAUUCCAUUAUUAUUUAUAGUUCAUUCAAAGCUGUCUCAUUGAGUCAUAGUCGCUAAAUUAUUUAUAUCUUGAGCUACGGAAUUCCAAAUUAAGAUCUGCUAAUUUUUCCCAAAACUAGACUCACAUAUCUUCUUACCAUAAAAUUUUCAGAAUUUUUAGUUCAGCCAAUAAGUACAGUUUAUUCUUUAAAGUUUCCCUUGUUUCACAGUUCAACAGUUUCGCCCCCUCUUCACUAAAAAUUAAUUAUCUCAUUGUACAGAAUUUGGAUGAUGUUUCCAUUUAUUUAUUCUAAAAAUAGACUCAUUAAGGAUUCUAAGCAUAUAAAUUAUAACUCAUAAUAAUUUUUUUACAAUUUUUAAUGAUUUUCCAAAGUCAGAACAGGGGAACCCGAAUUCAUUCUGACCUUGUCUCACAAAACCUAUUAUAUCUCAUUAUUUACAAUUCCAUUGACUACACUAUUUCUUCUAUAAGAAACUAGACUCAAUAAGCUUUAAUUCUAUAUUUUUUUCAUCCUCUAAUUCAAUUUACAAAAUUUAUGGUGAUUUUUCAAAGUUAACCUACGCAGCUGUCCAAACUGUUUUAAUGCAUGAUAUUAAUUACCAUUUUCCCCUAAGCUUUCAAUAAAUGAUAAUUUCAUCCUUACUCAAUUAACCUCUCAAUUGAGCUGAUUUUUCUCAAUUAACACAUUAUUCCAUCACUUUAAAGUACUUUAUAACCUUUGGAAAUCAGAAUUUUAGCACUAGACUUUAAUUCCAAACUUUUUCACAAUUAGGUCCUACAAAUCAAUUUUUAUUGAAAUUACCUAAUAAAAUCAUCUCAUAAACAAAUUAAAGCUUUAAUUUCAUGCUAUAUCAUCAUAUAUUUCCAGCACAUAUUCAUAGCAACUUUCAAUUUAGUAAUAGGACCUAGUUGUAAAAGUCUUAGGAACAUAAAAAUUACAAGAAAAAAAGCAAGGAUUAACUCACUUGGUGAAAAAAUCAUGAAAAACCAGCUUGAAUAAACCCUUAGGACAUUUUUGGCUGAUGAGAAUGCAGAAAAAUAAAGAGAAAUCUAGAUAAUUCCACUUUAGUCCUAACUUUUAAAGUGAAUUUUUGCAAUAUUCCAAUUUUACCCUUAAUUCUCCAAUUCUCCUGAUUUUUCUCAGCUUGUGCCGCCCAAAAUAUCUUCUUUUGGGCUUAUUUCAAUUUAUGUCCCUCCUCAUUUAACAAUUGAGCUAUUUAAUCCUUCUAGUAACUUUUACACCUUUUUCAAUUUAGUCCUUUUCACUUAAUUGACUGCCCAAACAUUAAAAUUUUCUAACAAAAUUUUAAUAUCAUAUUAAUAACAUUUCAUAAAUAUUUAUAAAAAUAUUUUUGACUCAGUUUUACGAGAUUGAGGUCUCGAUACCUUAUUUUUACCCAAUUUCUUCAAUAAUUUCUUUUUCUAACUAACCACUAAAUCGGUAAAAUUUUUCUAUCGAUAUUUUCAUACGAUUUUUCUAUCAUAUCAAUAUUCAUGCAAAAAUAUUAAAAUAAAUUUCUCUUUAAAUCAGAUUUGUGGUUACGAAACCACUGUUCCGAUAACCUUGAAUUUAGGCCAUUACAACUCCGACCAGUCGUCACCGCGCCGGCCGCCGGUCACCAAUGACGGCGCCGCCGUAUUCGGUGGCUGAAAAAAGGUAAAACCUCCAACCCUAUCCUUUCGACCCUCCUAAAUCCAAAUCUGGGUUCAAAAUUCCCAAAAUAUUAACAAAAACGCCCCAAAAGCUCAAGAAACCUUUCAGUUUUCGGCCACCUAUCCUCGAAGGUGACUUCCUCAGCCGUCCACGGCGUUGAAAAACCCAAAUACAGGUUAGUUUGUUACUCCAUUUUUCCUUUUGUUUUACUUUCGUAUGUGUAAAUAUGAUAAAAAUAAAAUAACAGUAGACCAAAAAUGAAACGAAGAUUUAGAAAAUAGCAGUAGAUGUAAACCUUUCGAGAUUUUUCUAUUGAUUUUGAGUUCUCUGAGUAUUCAAUCCCUUUUUUUAUUACAUUUAUUGAUGGGGCCUUUUAUAGCCGAUUUACAUGUUUUUUUUUCUUUCGCUUCUGUUCUUGUUGCUUCUGUGUUUGUCUAUUUUCUGUCCUGUUUGCAGGUCUUGGCAAGGUCAACAGACAUUGAAGGGAUAACCCCUGCCAUUUUGGUGCAAGGCCGUAGACGCCUGUCAGGCUUUGGGCGAUGAGUGCGCUGCAGGGGCACGAAGAGGGAGUGCGGCGCACAUGGAGCACUAGGGUUUCAGUUUUCCCCUGAAAGCAGUUUGGUUGUGGGCUGAAUUGGGUUAGGUUUUUUUAUUUUGGGCCAUACCAGGCUUGGCAUGUAAUUGGGGUUUGGGUUUGUUAUUGAGUUUUGGGCCCGGGCAAAAAUGGCCUAUUACACAAAUAAUAAAAAUUAAAAUCAAAUCAUCAUAUUUAUUAUAUUAGUCUAAAAAGCAACUGAUAAUAUAAUUGCUAAUAAAAGCUAAAAGAAAAAUCAACAUUGUAUGCAAUUUUAUCUAAUUAUUCUAGUGCAUAUUUGUUGCUUUAUUCCCUCUUCAAAAUUUAACAUAUGCUCCUUAUUAUCGUCUGUUGGUUUUUGAUCAAAUUCGUCAUCACCAAAAUUUGAAUUUGUAUCAUUAAGAUUAUCAAGAUUUCCUUCUUUCAUGUACUCUUUGAAGUAUGGAUCAUCUUGAUUCUACUUAUAAUUCAAGUUAUGAAAUAUGCAAUAUGCUAGUGUCAUGGGGUUAGACCUUUCAUCUCGCAAAUUGUGUGGCCUUAGACAAUUUCUUCGCUUCAAAUGUGUCUAAGUCAGCCUAACUUUCGCAAAGUGAGAAUUCUCGCAGAAUUCCUCUCUAAGGCAUUGAAAAUAUAGUGGAAGCAAUCUCAAAGACAAAAGAAAGCUAAAAAAAAACAUAAUAGCCACAAAAAAAGUAAAAGUACACCAAGUUAAAUGUUCUCAAUUAGUAUUUACUAAUAAAAAAAUGAAAUACAAUGGAUGAUUACAAAUUAGGGGAGGCUCUCUAUUUAUAGUUGAGUUCUCCCAAAACGGAAGAUAUAGAUUGAGUUACAUCGACGGAUGAGAUCGAAGCAUAUCUACAAUUAAGAGAUAAUCCCCAAGAUUACAAAAUUAAAUCUUAUCAUAUUACAAAUCUUCUAAGAUUUAUUUCCCUAUUUACCAAGGUAACCCUAAUUUUCCAUAAGUGCUUUGUUAGGCCACCAAGGCUUUAAGUAGAUGGGUUUCGUCACUUGUUCUUCAAAUUGGACCAAUUCAAGUGGGUUAAAUGAGGCCUAUUUUAUAUGUAGACCUCAAUAGGAUGCUCUUUGUGCCUUGGUCACGAGCUUUGAACCGUGGCCUGUGACACUAGUAUGAUCCAAUCUUUUUUUUUUAAAUGUUAUAUAAAUAUGAAAAAUAUUUUUUUUAGAAUAACAAAUGUCUUCUCAACUAAAAUUUGAAGUAGUGGUGGAUCCUAGGACAAAGUUUUGGGGUCAAAAAGAUCUUAGGAGUUUAAUAAGGAUUUUUUUUAAAAAAAUUUGGGAACUAAUUAAAUUUUUUUGAGAUUGAUGAGAAUUUUCAAAAUUUUGAGGGGGUGUGAUUAAAAUUUUCUAACAAUUUCAAGAGAGAAAUGAACAAAAAAAAAAAAUUUCUUCCUUUUCUUCUAUGUUGCAUCCAUUGAAAUGAGCAAAAAGGAAUAAAUCAAUUUUGAUUUUAGGGUUCCAAAUCUUAAAUGAAAGUAAGAGUUUGAAAACACAAAAUAUUAAUUUCCUUACUACAGGUUGAAAUUACGUGGAAUUAUUAUAAUUAGGUACCAAAAUGAAAAAGAAACCAUACCAAUAUUUCGUUAACAAAUUAAUAAAGAGUGGUUAAAAGAUAACCAAAUGAUAAUAUUAAUGAUGAAAGUGAAAGUUUUUUCGUAGUUCGAUGAUCAAAAUAAGAAAUGCUAAUAAUUAAGUUUGGAAGUAAUAAUAUUUAUAUGAUAAUAAUAAAUUUCAAAAGAAAAUUAUUUUUAAAAAAAUUGUAAUUAUAACAAUUUAAAUAUAUAUAAAAAAAGCAUCCAACAAAUAUAUCGAAAUAUUGCAAUAAAAGGAUGAAGAAAUCAUAAUAUAACCAUACAUGAAUUAGAAAUCAUUUUAUUUCAAAUAUAAAUGAAAUUUGAUAAUGAAAUAAAUUAAAUUAAACAAAUUAUAAAGUAAGAUAUGAAUAUAUAUAUAUAUAAGUUGUGAAAAAUUUUAAAAUAAAAUAAAAAAUUGUUCUAGAAAUCAUUGACUCUCACGUUCCACCCUCUUUUAUUUAUUAAUUAAUUAUAUUUUUUACUCUUCCACGGUCCUUUAUUUUUUGAAAGGAAAUCUCAUUUGGCUUGACACAAAAGUCAUACAUAAUAUUUGUUGUAUAUAGACUUAUUUCAAAUGUUUGAAUUUUCCAAAAACACACACACACAAAGUCGAUGUGGAAUUAAAAUUUUGGUGCCAAGGUCCACUACAUUUUCCACAACCACUAUAAUUAGACUAGAAUUAUCUCUCCGCGUACACUUGGGUUUAAAAUUUUUAAUUAAAAUUUAUUAUAAUCUUAACAUAGAAAUUAAAUUUGUGAUUAUUUUUAUAAUAGAAUAUAAAGUCUUAAAUUAUAAUGACAACAUAGUUGAGAAAAAUAUUUUAAUUUUAAAAAUGUAUAAAAACUGUUAAUUUUUUUAUUUAUUUUGGGACUAUUUGACAAAAAAACGUAAAUUUAAGGGCUAAAAAAGGUAAAAUAAAUAAAAAUAUAUGGAGACCUAAAAUGAUUUUUUUUAAAAAUAAAACUUUCAUAUUGUUAGUUUAAUGACUAAUGUUAUAAUUUAACCUUUAUUUUUGAAAGGGAAUCUCACUUAAAACGAUCCCACCACUUAGACUACAGUGGCGAAACUAGGACUGGUAAGGGCCCCUUAAAAUGAAAAUUUUUUCAUAUAGUCCCUUUAAAAUUUUUAAAAUUUUAAAUUAGUAAAGGUAAAAUUGUACUUUGGUCUCAUUUAAAAAUAUAAAAAUUUGAUUAAUAAACCUUUAUAUUAAUAUGUACAAAUAAUUUAUAAAUUAAAAAAUUAUCUUUUUAAAUAUAUAAAGUAAAUUUAUAAAUUAAAAAAUUUAUAAAAGAUGGAAUUACUUAAUAUAUUUAAUUUUCCUUUAAAUGAAACAAAUUAUUUGUUGACUUAUUACAUUUAUUCCGUAUGAUUUAAUUUUAAAUUUUAUUUUUUAAUCUUCACAGAAUUAUUAGAUACUUUAAGCAACUUAGAGAAGCUUGACACGAAUCGUAAUGAGGUGAAGGAAUUUGUGCCCAUAAAGAAUAAAAAUAUAUGCAUCAACUAAAUAAUAUAAAUUAUUUAAAAAUAAAACACUUUUCAUUAUUUGAUAGAUUCAUUGAUUACCAAAUAUACGAUAUUUCAAAAAAAAAACAAUUAAAGAAAUCCAGCACUUGAAAGUGCUGAUAGAGCAAUAAUUUGAAGCAGUUAAGAAACUUGUAGGAAGGGUAUAGAAAGAAGGUUGGAGGCUUGACGCCAAAAGUCACCAUAGUGGUCUGCUUAGAUCGUUUGGGGCGACUGAAUUUUCCACAUUGAAAACGAAGCCACUAUUGCUACGAAGACCCUUGAAUUUUCCACAAAGAAUUUAUCCCAUAAAUAGAAUUUAUCAUUACAUUAUAUCAAAUUAUGAAUAAUUCAGAGAUUUGCACAUGUACCUUUUUAUUUUAUUUUAUUUUUUCUUUUUUAUUAUUAAAUUCUUUUGAAGCAAAUAAAGAUAAAUUUAUUAUUUUAAAAUUAAUUAAUUAAAAUACUCAUAUUUUUAAAAUGUUAUCAUGGAAGGAGACUCUUUCAUUGUCAAAAUCCAAACAAAAGGAGGAAGAUUUCAUAGAUGGACAACUAGAACUAAACCUGUUUAAUUAUAAGUCGGAUCAGGCCUGCUCAAAAAGUGAGAGGGUUUGAGUAAAAUUAUAACCUUAAAAAAUGGGUUUAGACAAAAAAAUAAUGUCUGUUUAAAAACGGAUCAGACUUCAGGUAAGGCAUUUUUCACCCGAGUCCAAUCCGAAUUCACAAAAUGACAAAAAAAUCUACUAUUUUUUGUUAUUUUAAUUCUAUUUUCUUGUUAUUUUCUUCUUAUUUUGUUACCAUUUCACUAUUAUGUUAUUACUAUUUUGUUGUUAUUGUUUGGAUAUUAUAUAACACUUGUUUUAUUGUUAAUUUUGUUAUUCUUUUAGAGGCAUUUGUUUGUUAAGUUGCAUCUAUCUUAGUGUUAUUUAAGUAUACGUAUUUUUUAAAAUUUAUUUUUACUUUGUUGGAAAAUAUUUAAUUUAAUGUUUUUAGUAUUUUUGAUGUAUUAUAUAUAUUUAAAAAUUAUAUAAAAAUAAUAUAAAAAAUUAAUAUGGGCAGGUUGGGCCCGGGCCUAAAUUUUUGUUUGGGCCCAGUCGAACCCAACCCAUGAGCAUCUCUAUGGAGAAGCAAGAAAUGAAACUUUAUUGAUAAGUGUCAAAAGUAACAUAUUUUAGUCUCAUCCUUAAUAUUUUUUUUAGGUGAUUAUGUGACAUUAAUUGUGAAAUAUAUAUUUCUAAUCUUUUAUAUUCAUGUUUUGAUACUUAAUAAGGCGCUUGAAAAUAAUAUGAGUGAUAAAUAGUGGAAAUUAGAACUUUGAAGUAUUCCAGACGCUACGCACAUGCAUCAAAUUUUCACACAAACAAUUUAUGAUUUUUAAGUUUUUUUAGCAUUCUAACAACAUAUAAAUAAGGAAAUAAGAAGGGAGGAAGACAACCACGAAAUUACCUUCAGAACAUUAUUAAAGCCUAUUAAAUUAAAUUUUCUAACUCCUUUUGAAUUUGUAUUAGCAAAUUCAAAUAUAUUUACUCCAAAAUUAAAUUCGUCGUUUUUCUCUUCUAUUUUAUUUUAAUUUCUAACAUCUUAUUAAGUCUUUACAAUCUUGUUAUUAUUUUUCAAUCCAUAAUUUGUUAUUGAUGGGUGUCGAUUCCACCAAUAUAAACCUACGCCUAAUUUGCAAAUUUAAGCAGUAUAGGAAGUAGAGUUGAUCCCUUAGAGACUGGGUUUACUGCAAAUUAUUGCUCUCUUGACCAGAUUUAUAUCGGGGCAGUUGUCGUGCUCAAGAAGUUCGGGGGGAUAAAAUUUGAAACCUGAAAUAAAUAAAUAAAAUGCGUAAAAAGUAAAAGUUGAAAAUAAAAUAAUAAAAAGCAGUUAAAUAAAUCUGAAGAAAAAUGAAUUAAACUAAGCUCAGCUUUAGGCACGGGUUUUUCUCGUCUUUGAACUGAUCCUCGAAAUUAGAUGAACUCCUCUUUUCCAAUAAACUAGUUAUAGCUACCAAGGACGCCUCGGACACCAACUCUUCCUUGUGUAAAUUAGUUAAGAAACGUCCAAUAACUAACCCUUACCGAUCGAACAACCAACGAAAUGUUCAUGAUUUAGAACUCCGGCAGCUUUGCGUUCUAGAAGAUUCUAGCUCGAACCAAUGCCCUCAACCGCGUGGGACAUUUAAAUCUGGUUACUACUUCCCUUAACGGAACCAAACAGCAAUCCCCACUUGGCACGCCAAUGUGUUCACAGAAAACCGAUUAGACAAUCGAUCCUUUCGAAAUUCCAACUGUACGUCUAACCACACUAACUCAAACGACGUCUUUUUUGACUUAGUGUUGAUUUGACUUUGUGAGUUGACGAAGUCAUACUCUUAAUCCGGAGAAAUAAUAAGUACUGGAAUUUAGGAGUCAAAUUGCUCGGGUUCGUAACUCACGGAUCUUAACGAAGUUAACACCGGCCUAAAGCUGAAAUGGAUACUUAAUAAAAAAAUUGGUAAUUAAAAACUUGAUUAAUGACUUGAUUCAAGACUUGAUUCCUAAAUGAACAAUGUAGCCCCCUAUUUAUACUAGUGGCUUUGCUAAAUUAAGAGCCACUAGCCAUAGAGAAUCAAGGAAAUAAAAUAUUCCAUCAUAUAAAAAUCCCUACAUAAUCUCCCACUAAUUAAGUCAACAAAAAUUUCAGCUAAUUAUAUCUUGGAAAAUUUUUGCUUUGGCCCGCCUUCUUUGCUCUUUUCUUCAAUCUAGCCCAAUUGCUUCUCCUUUUUCUCUUUUGACCCCAAAUUGUACACCUGUGUAAAAUUUAAGUUAAACAUGGAAAAAUUAGUGGUGCACUCUCGUAAAUUAACCAAUUUAAUUACAUAAAAUAUGUAAUUUUAGCAUUUAAUCAAAUCCCUCUACUUAUUUAAUGCUAGUCCUCGAGCAUUAUGCAUGUAUCUACAAAAGGAAAAAUUUCUUCUAAAAUAGGACUUGACUCCCAUGGUUUGCACAAUUCAACAAUUUAAUCCUAGCACAUUAACAUCUCAAAUAACCUAGCCUAAGAAGGAAGUAAAUAUAUUUCAGAAUUUAUUAGAGCUUGAUAGACUUACCUUUCAUUUUAUUAUUUUUGUACUUGGGACAUUUUCGAAUUUUUUGACGCGAGACAUGAUGACAACCCAAGCACCAUGUUCCGGUUACUUGAUUCGGAUGUCUCUAAGCGGGAUAUUUCACCCUACUCGUGAUAGCUUGUUAGCGGAGUGAGUGCAAAGAAAUUGGACAGCCACAUGAACCUUUUUACGUGAGAUGUGAUGACAACCCAAGCACCACGUUCCGGUUACUUAGCCCGAUGUACAACCCCAAUUUUUCACUCUUAACAUUCGUAUCAGAGGAGUAUUAUUAUUCAUUUUUUCUUUUUUUUUUCCUUUUUUUUAAGACAAGAAGACAGAAAAUUGACAUGUGAUAUAAGGUAGGCAGUCAAGCAAACUCAUAAUUCGUAAAAAUUUCUUACCCACUAAGUCUAGGUUAUUGAAAAGUUUAUGUGUAAAGAACUAAAUGGCUAAAUAGGUCAAACCAUAAGUGUUCCAUCCCAAUUUAUCAAAAGAAAAAAUUUUACCUUUCACGGAAAACAUGCAAAAACAGCGACAAUGGAUAAGCAAAAUAGAACCAAUAUAUGUUCCUUUCCCCCUACUUGUUUUACAUUGUCCCUAAUGUAAUUUGAAUUGAAUUAAAUGAUAAAAAGUAAAGGUAAGUAGGGAAAGGAAAAAGAAACUCCCCAUGUAUUUCAACGUCAUGGAGGGUUGCCUCGUAGGUGUGUCCACGGUGUUAAAUAGUGGGUAGGUGGAUUGGGCCUUGGCUGAAAUUAAAAGAAUUUUAUGGGCUGACAUGGGAGAUUUAAUUUUGUCUUGGAAUGUCUCCCAAGUCUUCCCUUAGACAGAACUGAUCCUCGACAUGCAUUUUCAUUUUCCGUUUACCAAAAAUUUUAUUUGCAUAAAGGGAAAAAUUUGGGUUGCCUCCCAACAGCGCUUUGUUUAACGUCGUUAGCUCGCCGAUCUGUUAUUCAAAUUCUGGGCUCCCCAAGAACAAUUGUAAGUGUUGCCAGUCCCCAGCAACAGCGCCAAAACUGAUGGGUGUCGAUUCCACCAAUAUAAUCCUACGCGUAAUUUGCAAAUUUAAGCAGUAUAGGGACUAGGGUCGAUCCCUCAGAGACUGAGUUUACUGCAAAUUGUUGCUCUCUUGACCAGAUUUAUGUCAGGGCAGUUGUCGUGCCCAAGAAGUUCGGGGGGAUAAAAUUUGAAACCUGAAAUAAAUAAAUAAAAUGCGUAAAAAGUAAAAGCUGAAAAUAAAAUAAUAAAAAGCUGUAACACCCCUUACCCGAGACUGUUGCUGGAGUCGAGCACGAGGCAUUACCUGACUUACUUACUAAUUCGGAGCAUAAAAUUUGCUUUUAAAAUUAAUUCAUUCACAAUCAAUCCAUAUGUCCCUAAAAGAACUCUCGAGACCCCAAAAUCAUGUAAUAAAAAUGGUUCGGGUCCAAACCGGGAACAUUUAUAAUUUUCCGAAUACUUAAUCAAAUUAAAACAAUUUAUUUCACUAUUCACAAUAAAACUGUCCACCUGCGCAGCAGUCACUUAUUUAAUUAUAACUCGAGUUACGAAACUCAAAAUUUAGAUUCGUAAAUUUUCCCUGAAACUAGAAUCAUAUAUCUUUUUCACUGUCCAGCCAAUUAGUACAGUUUAUUCUUUAAAUUCUCCCCUGUUUCACUGCUCGACAGCUCUGACCCCUCUUCACUAAAAAUUAAUUAUCUUAUUGUACAGAAUUCAGAUAAUAUUAUCGUUUGUUUCUAUUGAAAAUAAAAUCACUAAGGAAUCUAGGCAUAUAAAUUAUAACUCAUAAUUCCUUCUAUACAAUUUUUAAUGAAUUUUUAAAGUCAGAACAGGGGACUUCAGAAACCAUUCUGACCCUGUCUCACUAAAAUUCAAAUAUCUCAUAAUAUAUAACACUUUUUCUACUCUAUUUCUUUCAUGUGAAAAUAGACUCAUUCAGAUUUAAUUUCCUAUCUCACUCAGGUUCUAAUUCAAUUUAUUCUAUUUUUGGUGAUUUUUCAAAAUCACGUCACUGCUGCUGUCUAAAAACUGUUUCAUUGCAAAUUUUUACUCUCUUUUUUGGUGAUUUUUCAAAAUCUGAAGAAAAAUGAAUUAAACUAAGCUCAGCUUUAGGCACGGGUUUUUCUCGUCUUUGAACCGAUCCUCGAAAUUAGAUGAACUCCUCUUUUCCAAUAAGCUAGUUAUAGCUACCAAGGACUCCUCGGACACCAACUCUUCCUUGUGUAAAUUAGUUAUGGAACGUCCAAUAACUAACACUUACCGGUCGAACAACCAACGAAACGUUCGUGAUUUAGAACUCCGGCAGCUUUGCAUUCUAGAAGAGUCUAGCUCGAACCAAUGCCCUCAACCGCGUGGGACAUUUAAAUCCGGUUACUACUUCCCUUGACGGAACCAAACAGCAAUCCCCACUUGGCACACCAAUGUGUUCACAGAAAACCGAUUAGACAAUCGAUCCUUUCAAAAUUCCAACUAUACGUGUAACCACACUAACUCAAACGACGUUUUUUUUUACUUAGUGUUGAUUUGACUUUGUGAGUUGACGAAGUCAUACUCUUAAUCUGGAGAAAUAAUAAGUACUGGAAUUUAGGAGUCAAAUUGCUCGGGUUCGUAACUCACGGAUCUUGACGAAGUUAACACCGGCCUAAAGCUGAAAUGGAUACUUAAUAAAAAAGAUUGGUAAUUAAAAACUUGAUUAAUGACUUGAUUCAAGACUUGAUUCCUAAAUGAACAAUGUAGCCCCCUAUUUAUACUAGUGGCUUUGCUAAAUUAAGAGCCACUAGCCAUAGAGAAUCAAGGAAAUAAAAUAUCCGAUCAUAUAAAAAUCCCUACAUAAUCUCCCACUAAUUAAGUCAACAAAAAUUUUAGCUAAUUAUAUCUUGGAAAAUUCUGCUUUGGCCUGCCUUCUUUGCUCCUUUCUUUCUUCAAUCUAACCCAAUUGCUUCUCCUUUUUCUCUUUUGACCCCAAAUUGUACACCUGUGUAAAAUUUAAGUUAAACAUGGAAAAAUCAGUGGUGCACUCUCGUAAAUUAACCAAUUUAAUUACAUAAAAUAUGUAAUUUUAGCAUUUAAUUAGUUAUUUAUUAGUUUAGAUUUUUUUCUAUGUUGAAUAUAUUUUAGUAAAUAAUAUUUCAUAUUUAACUCUAAAUUUGUUUUUUUAAUAAUAUACACUAGUUAUUCAAUAUAAAUUAAUGUAUCUAAUAAAAUAUAUUUUAAAAUCUAUAUUUUAAAUAUUUUAAGAUUAGAAACCUAAUUUAAAUUUAUUCAAAAGGACAUUUUAAUUAUUAAGUAAUUUAAUUUUAUAAAUAAUUAUAUAUAUCUAUUUGAACAACAAAUACAUAGUAUAUUUAAAAUAUAAUUAAUUAAUUAAAAAUAUUAUUUUCUAUCAUUGUUUUUAUGUAUCUACUUAAAUUUAAAACUAAAAGGAUGUAUGAUAAUGAAUAAGAAAAAUAAUCAAUUAUUUUAUUGAAAAUAAUUCAACUCUAAUUUAAGAUUAAAUAAAGACAGAUGAAGGCUAUUAUAUUAGAAUUAACUUUUUUUUAGUUUUUAUAUAAUUGGAAUUUACUAAUAUGAAGUAAAAAAAAUGCAUUUUAAUAUUGUAACAUUCAUUUACUUUAUAUCAACAAAAUGUUCAACCUUGAAAACAUUAGUUAUGAUUUUUUUUUUGAUAUAUUUACUCAAAUGAUAAAAAUAUUAAUUGAUGUAAAUAAAUAAAAAAUGAUGCAUUUGCAUUUGGUAAGAUUUAAUUAAACAAUAAAAUGUUUUUUUUAUUCUCAUUGAAUAAUUUACUUAUAAAAAUAAUUGUUUCAAAACAUGAAUAUCAGAUCAUAUCUAAUUACCUACAAUAUGAAAUGAGAAAAUUCAUAAAUUUAUUUACUUCAAUUGAAUAAAUUCAAAAAAAAAAUAAACUAAAUAUUCUUAUAUAAAACAUUUACUUUAUAAUUUUUUAAUAAAUUUCAUAUAAUUAUUUGUAAUUAAAUCUAAUAUAAAUAAAAAGACAAACCCGCAGAGCGGGGUUAUAUCCCUAGUAUAGUAAUAAAAUCAAUGCAAUGGGACCCAACUUUUGGAAGAAGAGAGGAUUUCAAGUUGUCUAUAUAGGCUUUGGUUGAUUGAAAUGCAGGAAGGUAUCAAGUGAGUGGUUUGUUGAUUUAGAGAAGAUGGAGGCUAAAUCGUUGUGGGUACUACUCGCUACACUUGUGUUUAUCAUACAAGGGUGGCCACAGACUGAGGGGUGCUUGGAGCUGGAGAGAAUUGCUCUCUUCCAACUCAAAUCUAAUUUCUUCAAUCACCCUUCAUAUUUGAAGGACUGGGUAGAUGUGAAGGGUUCGAAUUGUUGUCAGUGGGAAAGAAUUGAGUGCAACAUCACCAGUAACCGAGUAAUUGGUCUCUAUCUUUAUUCUGUACGUCAAAGUGAUACAUAUGGGUAUCUCAAUAUCUCUUUAUUUCUUCCAUUUGAAGAAUUAAAGAAUCUUUAUUUGAGUGACAAUAAAAUUACAGGUCUUGUGAAUAACCAAGGUUUAUUGCUUUUCUUCUCUCCAAUGACUGAUUCAUCUUUAAAAUUUGAUUUAAUGUUUUCUAAUUAAUUCGUUUAUUUUACAGAUGAGAAAGUGCAAUCGAUGAUGAAUCUGGAAGUGCUUGAUUUGUCUCGUAAUCUCUUGAAGAACAAUGAUGUGGCAUUUCUUAAGGGGUUAGCUAGUUUAAAGUCCUUGAAUAUGGGAGGAAACCAAUUGGAAGGGUCAAUAGGUAUUACAGGUAUGUAAAAUUUCGUAAAAUAAAAAUAACAAGCUAUACGUAAAUUACAAUUUCAUGAAUCUUUUUAACUAUUAAAAAAUUAUAUCCAAAUAUAUUUCCUUCAUAUAGGUAGUAAAAUAAAGGCAUAAUGAUUUUUUUGACCUUCCAACUUUAUAAAAAAAAAUCAUUUUUAGUCCUUAAUUAAAUUUUUUGUCUAUUUUAGUCUUUACACAUGUUUUUUUUUUCAAAUCACGCCAAAAUAGAUGGUUGGUAAUGUGGCAAACAUGUGGAUUUCCAUGUAACUGACAGAUCAUUUAAUUAAAUUUUUUUAAAAUUUAAGUUUUUUUAAAUUUCUAUUUUUUAAUAGUUUUAAUGAUGUUUAAUUUUUAAAAAUACUUUUUAUAUUUUUUUGAAUUUUUCAGUUUAAAAAAAAAUUAAAUGCUGACGUGUUAUCCACAUGACAAUCCAUGUGUAUGUAAUGUCAACAAAGUUUUAAAAUGUUAAUUUUUUUAUUCACUUUAAGAUAAUUUGACAAAAAAAUACAAGUUUAAGGAUUAAAAACAUGAAAAAUUAAAUGGAAGCAUAAAAUAAUUUUUUUUUAUAAAGUUGAAAGGUUAAAUAAGUUAUUAUGCUUAAAAUAGAAUGUAUUUGAUGACUUUUUUUUAUCAAGGAAAGUAGUUGGAUUUCAUGAACCAAAAUUACUUAAUCUUUGUCAUAUGACUUUGUUUGAGUGACAAAAAAGAUAUUUGAUUGAUUUGAAUAGUAUUGAAUAACUUGACAAAGCUAAAGGAGUUGGAUUUGAGUGGCAAUAAAAUUGAGAGCCUGAAAUCUCCUCACGGUAUGUGUUGAUUUACUUUACUUUCUCAUAUUCUCGCAUAUACAUUCCAAUAUCUCAUUUAAAAUUCUAUUAGUAAUAAAUUUGCUUAUCUAAAUGCUUUGUAGAGGGGCUAGUUAAUUUGACUAAUUUAGAAGAACUUAAUAUGGAUUACAACUACUUCAAAAACAACUCAUUGGCAUAGCUUAGUGGGUUUUCCAAUCUAAAGUUAUUGAGUAUAAGCGAAAACCAGCUUAAAGGAUCAAUAAAUAUUAAAUGUGGAAUUACUUAAUAUAUUUAAUCUUCCUUUAAACAAAGCAAACUAUUUGUUGAAUUAUUGUCUUUAUUAUGUGUGAUUUAAUUUUAAAUUUAAUUUGUCUAUUUUUAUAGAAUUAUUAGAUGCUCUGAGCAAUUUAGAGUCACUGAGAAAAAUAUUUUAAUUUUAAAAAAUGUAUAAAAUUUAUAUAUUAUCUCUUGAAUAAUUUAAAUUAUAAUGAUAUUUUUAAUAUAUUAAAAUUAAUAUAUUAUCACUUUUACUAUUAUAUAAAAAAUUAUAUUAACAUAUAAAAAUCAUUUAUAAAUUAAAAAUUUAUCUCUCUAAUAUAUUAAGUAAUUUAUAAAUUAAAAAAUUUAUAAAAAUUUUGAUGUUGAGAGACUUGGUAAGUGUCCAUAUAUUUUACUUUAUCAAAUUGCUACAUUUAUUAUACUAAUAUCUAAAUGCUUUGUAGAUACAAUUUAAAUCUCAUUAAUUAAUUUUUUAUUAAUAUAUUAUAGUUUUUUAAUUUAAAAAUUCAAUCUAAAUAUUAAAUGUUGUUAUAAGUGUAUAACAAUCACUUAUCUAUAACAUCCAAUAGUGGUUAUACAAAAGUUGACUAUAAGUGAAUUUUUGUGACUAACAAAAAAUGUAUUGAAUUUAUUUGGAUAGUAUUGAAUAAUCUGACAAAGCUAAAGCAGUUGGAUUUGAGUGACAAUAAAAUUUGAGAGCCUCCAAUCAUCUCAUGGUAUGUGUUGAUAUAUUUUACUUUAUCAUAUUCUUACAUAUACAUACCAAUAUCUUAUUUAAUAUUCCAUUAGUAAUAAAUUUGUUUAUCUCAAUGCUUUGUAGAUGGUGAGAGGCCACUUAAUGUAACCAAUUUAGAAGAGCUUAAUUUGGAUUCCAACUCCUUCACAAACAGCUUAUUGGCACAGCUUAGUGGGUUUUCCAAUUUAAAGUCACUAGAUAUAGGGUAUAACCAGCUUAAAGGAUCAAUAAAUAUUAAAGGUGGAAUUACUUAAUAUAUUUAAUCUUCCUUUAAAUGAAAUAAACUACUUGUUGAGUUAUUGCAUUUAUUCUAUGUGAUUUAAUUUUAAAUUUUGUUUGUCAAUUUUUACAGAAUUAUUAGAUGCUUUAGGAAACUUAGAGGAGUUAGACAUGAGCGGGAAUGAGGUGAAGGAAAUUGUGCCCAUAAAGAAUAAAGGUAUAUGUAUCAACUAAAGGAAAUCUUACUAAUUGUUUUCCAUUAGAUAUCAAGUGAACUGAUUCCAACCACUAAUUUGACUCUUAGACAAUGGAAGUUUGGGAAAGCUAAAGGUUGCUACAUUAAACCGUGUGUUCACCGAUGGAACUGCUUCUCUAAUACAACUUCUAGAGACAUUCUCAUCUGUUAAUACAUUAUAUUUGAGUGACAAUUACUUCAACGACACCUUUUCUACUCAAGGUAUAAUAUAUAUGUAUGUGAAUAUAUAGUUUUAUAGUUUGGUUCCAUUUAAAAAUAUUAUUUACUUAACGUCAAUCAUCUAAAUAACUCUUAUAAAUUUGUAAAGAUAAAUUGCAUGUGUCGAGCAAAAUUGAGGAAUUAGUACUAGAUCAAUCAUCUCUCAACAACAACAUUCUUCAAAGUAUUGGUGCAUUGGCUUCUCUUAAAAUUGUCUUUGAGUGGUUGUGGGCUGUCUGGGACAUUACCUACCCAAGGUAAAUUAAUAAUUAUGACAUAAUUAUUUAGACAAGCUCUUGAUUAAUUAUUUUUUAUCCUCCUAGAAUAUUUAAAUAAUUUGUACAAAUUUAUUUUACAGGAUGGUGUGAUUUACGGAAAUUUGAGGUGUUGGAUCUUAGUGAAAAUGCUCUUAAAGGAACCCUCCCUUCAUGUUUGGCUAACUUGUCAUCACUUCAUUAUUUGGAUAUUUCCGGUAAUCAAUUCGUCGGGAAAGGUGCCUCCACUGCCUUAGCCAAUCUCAAUUUGCUUAAAUUCAUUUCUCUUUCACGAAACCUUUUCGAAGUUCCUUCCAUUUUCAUAUCUUUUGCCAACCAUUCACACCUCAAAGUACUCUCCAGCAAUCAAAACAAGUUAGUCGAAGAGCCUACCAUUCCAACAUGGGUCCCAAAGUUCCAACUAAAAGCCUUCCGUUUGUCAAAUUGCACAACAAAGGAACUCCACAUUGAACUUUCGAAAUUCCUCUAUUACCAAAAUAACCUGAGUAUUAUUGAUCUUUCAUAUAAUAAUUUUGAAGGAAAGGUUCCUUUUUGGUUGUUAGAGAACAAUACAAGAAUGGAAGCAUUUUUAAUGACGGGUAACUCUUUUAUGAGUCAUCUCAAUCUUCCAUCUCAUCCGAAUCCAAACAUAUCCUUUGUUGAUAUAUCUGACAACAAAAUACAAGGUCCAAUUCCAACAAACAUUUGUUCAAUCUUUCCACAACUAAAUGGGUUAAACCUAUCAGGCAAUUCCCUUCAAGGUAAUAUUCCUCCUUGUCUGGGUAGUUUGACCACUUGGAAUUUAUUAUUAGAUCUGUCACAUAAUCAGCUAUCUGGAGGAAUACCAGAAAUGUUAGCUCAAAGUGACUCGUUGAGGUUUCUUAGGCUAUCAAAUAAUCAUCUAAGUGGAAAGAUAACCCCAACGAUCUUUUGCUCAACUUCAUUACGAUUGCUAUAUUUAGAUGGCAAUAACUUUGAUGGAAAUAUACCUAGCAUUGUUAUCUCAACUUUCCUUUCAUAUUCCCUUGUUGAUAUGGAUUUAAGUAACCACAAUUUGUCCGGAGAGCUCCCAAGAUGGAUAUGGAAAGUGUCAAAUUUAAAUGCAUUGUCAGUAUCCAACAAUCAGCUCAAGGGUCUCAUUCCGAUGGAAUUGUGCUAUUUGGAUUCCCUUAAAAUUUUAGACCUUUCAGAAAAUAAAUUUUCUGGCCUAAUACCAUCUUGCUUCGAUGCACAAUCUAUCAUGCAUCUCCAUUUGAGCAAAAAUAGAUUAAGUGGCACCUUGACAAAUGCAUUCUUUAAUAGCUCUUCCUUGGUGACUUUAGAUCUUAGUGAAAAUCAGCUGAGUGGAGAAAUUCCAUACCAGAUUGGAACUCUUUCUGCUUUGAGUGUUCUACUUCUAAAAGCCAAUUAUUUUAUUGGAGAAAUUCCCAUUGAGAUAUGUAAAUUGUAUUCUUUAAGUAUCAUUGAUCUUUCUCAAAACAAGCUUUUUGGUCUGAUACCUUCUUGUUUGAGUCGUUUAACUCUUGAUCCAAAUGAUGAAAAAUCUUCAACAAAGACCUAUGUGGAGGGCUCUGGAGGAAUCUUUGAGCCGGGUAAUUACUUUGGAGUGACUGAAUUUGAAUUUUUCACUUUAAGAGGAUACUGAUGAAGUUGGUUCAGCAUGCAGCAAACUCAACAGCAUGCAGGCCAUGAAGACCAAGUCGUGCAGGAGCUGCUGGAACGAGCUGAACUAUUCCUAUUUUGUUCAUCUAGUAAUCUUAAGUUAAUGUAUUGUACUUUAGUUCAUUUAGAACUAUGUUAGGUUUAUGAUUGAUGUAAUUUUGAUGACAAUUGAGCUGUUAAGUCAGCUUUGUUUAAGUGUGUAAGCUUAGUUUUUCAAGUUUCAAUGUAUUAGUGGUAGUAUGUGAUGAUUAGGUAUCAUUAUGCAGAUUUUGACAAGCAAAUUGCUUGGUUUAUGUAUUGGCAUUAUGCCAUUGUUCAAUAUAUGGAUGAAAUCAGCUUUGUUCAUCAAUAUUCUCUCAAAUUUCCUCAGCUUAUUUUCUUCUUUCUUCAACUCGAAAUUGUUUGUUUGCUCAGCAAGAUUCGAGGCUUGCUCGACAAGAUACUUGCUGAGUCUGUUUGAUUCUGCUGUUGCACCAACAAUUGGUAUCUAGAGCUUAUUUCUUAAGGGACCUGUUAUACAAAUCCAUGGCUUCAUCAAGCUUUUCACCAGCUGCACCUCAAGUCUUCAAUGGGGAAGGCUAUCACAUAUGGGUGGUCAAAAUGAAGACCUACCUGCAGGCUUUCGAUCUGUGGGAGGUGGUCAACUCUGAUGUUGAACCAGAGCCACUUAGAGCUAAUCCAACGGUGGCUCAGAUCAGGCAGCAUGCUGAUGAAAGGACCAAGAGGCACAAGGCUAUGUCUUGCAUCCAAAACUCAGUGUCUGAUGUGAUUUUCACAAGGAUUAUGGCCUGUGAAUCACCAAAACAGGCCUGGGACAAGUUGCAGGAAGAGUUUCAAGGGACUGAGAGGACAAGGCAACAACAGUUGUUAAACUUGAGGAGAGAUUUCGAGAAUUUGAAGAUGAAGGAAGAAGAAACUGUCAAGCAAUAUUCUGACAGGAUUAUGGCUGUGGUUAACAGCAUCAGGCUCCUUGGAGAGCAGUUCAAUGAAGCUAGGAUAGUGGAGAAGGUUAUAGCAACUCUGCCUGAGAGGUAUGAGGCAAAAAUCUCAUCUCUCGAGGACUCAAGGGACCUGUCCACCAUCUCCCUGACAGAGUUGAUCAAUGCUCUAUAUGCUCAAGAGCAGAGGAGAGCAAGCAGACUGGAGGAGCACCAAGAAGGUGCCUUUCAGGCAAGAACAAAUACUACCUACAAAGGCAAGAAGGCCUGGAGAGACAAGCCAAAGGAUAAUGCUGCAAGAAGAGAAGGUCAGACUUGCAAGCACUGCAGAAAGGCUAGUCAUUCAGAAGAAAAAUGCUGGUUUAAUCCAGAUGCUGUGUGUCAGCAUUGUAAGAAAAAGGGUCAUGUUGAGAGAGUCUGUAAGAGCAAGGCCAAAUCAAGGCGCAAUCAGUCUCAACAGAUGAAAGCUGAGGCUCGAGUAGCUAAAGAGGACAGUGACCAAGAGGAGCAAGUCUUUACUGUGUCAUGCUCAGCUGCUCAGGAAAGGUCCUCAUCUGGUUGGCUCCUAGACAGUGGAUGCACCAACCACAUGACACCUGAUGCUGCAAUCUUUAAGUCUUUAGACAGAAGCUGCAGAACUAAAGUCAAGAUAGGAAAUGGUCAUUUUAUUCAAGCUGAAGGCAAGGGUGAUGUUCUGAUAUGCACCCUUACAGGUACCAAAGUGAUUUCAAAUAUGCUGUUGGUGCCUGAAAUUGACAGAAACCUGCUCAGCAUAGCUCAGUUGCUGGAAAAAGGUUACUCAGUUGUGUUUAAAGACCACCAAUGCCAAAUCAGUGAUCCAAGUGGAUCCAAACUGAUGGCAGUCCCUAUGGCUGAUAAGAGCUUUGUGGUUGACUGGACAAAAAAGUCAGACAUUGCCUACACAGCCACUUCAGAUGAAUCCAAGCUGUGGCAUCAAAGACUGGGACAUGCCAACUUCAGAUCGAUGGCCCGAAUGAUCAGAGAAGACCUGGCUGAAAACUUCAUCAACUCAGUAGACCAUGAUGAUGUAUGUGAAGUAUGUCAGCUAGGAAAGCAGGCCAGACUCCCAUUUCCCUCGAAUCAAGCCUGAAGAGCCUCUGAAAAACUCCAACUGGUGCAUACUGAUGUGUGUGGACCUAUGAAGACUGAGUCAUUGAGUGGAAACAGGUAUUUCAUACUGUUCAUUGAUGAUUUCUCGAGAUAUUGCUGGAUUUACUUCUUAAAACAGAAAUCAGAGGUGGCCACUGUGUUUUGGAAGUUCAAAACUGCUGCUGAGACUAAAACAGGCUGCAGGGUGAAGACCAUAAGGUCUGAUAAUGGGACUGAGUACACCUCAGCUCAGUUCCAAGCCUUCUGUGAUAAGGCAGGCAUCAAACAUCAACUUACCAACACAUAUACACCUCAGCAGAAUGGGGUAAGUGAAAGGAAGAAUAGGAGUUUGAUGGAUAUGGCCAGGUGCUUGAUGAUUCAGAAGAAUCUGCCUAAAGCACUAUGGGCAGAAGCAGUUAACACUGCAACAUACAUUCAAAAUAGACUUCCAACCAGGGCUUUGGAUCAAAAGACCCCAUUCGAGGCCUGGUUUAGCUUCAAGCCAUCACUGGCUCAUCUGAAGGUCUUUGGAUGCAUCUGUUAUGCACAUGUACCUGCUGUUAAAAGGGACAAAUUGUCUGAAAGGGCUCGACCUGGUGUUUUGGUGGGCUAUAGCACUGUUAAGAAGGGCUAUAGGAUUUUAGAUCCUUCAACAAACAAAGUGUCAGUAAGCAGGGAUGUGGUAUUUGAUGAGAGGUCAUGUUGGAACUGGGAAAGACAUGAACCUGAAGAAGUUUUUGAAGAACUUGCAACAGACCAAGCUGAGCCAGACCAAGAUGUCCCUGAAAUGGAUAUUGAUGAUGAACCAGUCAGAGGAACAAGGCCAUUGGCUGAAAUUUAUGAAAGGGCUCAUGUAGCCAUAGCUGAACCAAGCAACUUUGAAGAGGCUGAGGCUCAGAAAGGGUGGAAGCAGGCAAUGGCUGAGGAGAUCAGCAUGAUUGAGAAGAACCACACCUGGAAAUUGGUUGAAAGGCCAGUCAAAAGGAAAGUGAUUGGGGUGAAAUGGGUGUACAAAGCCAAGCAGAAUGCUGAUGGUACCUUGAACAAGCUGAAAGCAAGGCUAGUUGUCAAGGGGUUCAGUCAGAGGUAUGGCUUGGACUACCUGGAGACCUUUGCACCAGUGGCCAGGCUCGACACCAUCAGACUGCUGAUUGCCUUAGCAGCACAGCUUGAAUGGAAGAUCCAUCAACUUGAUGUGAAAUCAGCUUUUCUGAAUGGUUUCUUAGAUGAAGACAUCUAUGUUGAACAACCACAAGGGUUUGAAAUAGCUGGCAGAGAGCAUAUGGUCUACAAACUGAAGAAGGCCCUAUAUGGAUUAAAGCAGGCUCCAAGGGCCUGGUAUAGCAGAAUUGAUGGCUACUUGACUGAUCUAGGAUUCGAUCGAAGCAAGAGUGAGCCAACACUGUAUGUCAAGAAACAAGGGACACAAAUACAACUCAUUGUGUCCCUGUAUGUUGAUGAUCUUCUGGUGACAGGAGGAGAUCGAGUAGUGCUGGCUGAUUUUAAGACCAAGAUGCAGGAAGUGUUUGAAAUGUCUGAUCUUGGGGAGAUGUCAUACUUUCUUGGAAUGGAGGUGUCUCAAGUACAGAAUGAGAUAUUUCUAAGCCAGAGAAGCUUUGCCACAAAGAUUCUGACCAAGUUCUCCAUGCAAAACAGCAAGGCAACUAAAACACCUGUUGCUGUUGGAGAAAAACUAUCGAGCCAAGGUGAUUUUAAGAAAGUUUCUGAAACAACCUACAGGAGUCUAGUUGGUUGCUUGCUAUACUUGACUGCCACUAGACCAGACAUUAUGUAUGCUGUAGGAUUGCUCUCAAGGUUCUUGCAUUGCUGCAAUGAGAAGCAUUUCCAAGCUGCAAAGAGAGUGCUGAGAUAUGUCAAAGGCACUUUAAACUAUGGUUUGAAGUACAGCAAAGAAGGAAAUCUGAAGCUGGUUGGCUACACUGAUAGUGACUGGGCUGGCUCAAUAGAUGACAUGAAAAGCACCUCAGGGUAUGCUUUUAACCUUGGUUCAGCCAUGUUUUGUUGGAGCUCAAAGAAGCAAAGUCUAGUAGCUCAAUCUACUGCUGAAGCAGAGUAUGUGGCAACAGCAAGUGCUGUCAACCAAGCCAUAUGGCUAAGAAAAAUAUUGGCUGACUUGAAUGUGCAUCAAGAGGAAGCUACUGAGAUCUUCUGUGACAACCAAUCUGCAGUAGCAAUUGCUAAAAAUCCAGUGUUCCAUGGAAGAACAAAACAUUUCAGCAUCAAGUUGCAUGUUGUUCGAGAAAUGGAGCAAGCUCAGGAAGUAAAGCUGAUCUACUGUAAUUCAGAAGAUCAACUUGCUGACAUUUUAACCAAAGCUCUUAGUGUCACAAGGUUUGAAUAUCUAAGAAAGAAGCUAGGUGUUUGCUCCAUGCAAACCAAGGAGGAGUGAUGAAGUUGGUUCAGCAUGCAGCAAACUCAACAGCAUGCAGGCCAUGAAGACCAAGUCGUGCAAGAGCUGCUGGAACGAGCUGAACUAUUCCUAUUUUGCUCAUCUAGUAAUCUUAAGUUAAUGUAUUGUACUUUAGUUCAUUUAGAACUAUGUUAGGUUUAUGAUUGAUGUAAUUUUGAUGACAAUUGAGCUGUUAAGUCAGCUUUGUUUAAGUGUGUAAGCUUAGUUUUUCAAGUUUCAAUGUAUUAGUGGUAGUAGGUGAUGAUUAGGUAUCAUUAUGCAGAUUUUGACAAGCAAAUUGCUUGGUUUAUGUAUUGGCAUUAUGCCAUUGUUCAAUAUAUGAAUGAAAUCAGCUUUGUUCAUCAAUAUUCUCUCAAAUUUCCUCAGCUUAUUUUCUUCUUUCUUCAACUCGAAAUUGUUUGUUUGCUCAGCAAGAUUCGAGGCUUGCUCGACAAGAUACUUGCUGAGUCUGUUUGAUUCUGCUGUUGCACCAACAGAUACGAGUCAUUAGAUGUAGAUUUCGAAAUUGAGAAUCAAAUGGAAGAAAAGGUGGAUUAUACAACAAAAAGAGCAUCUUACACAUACAAGGGAAACAUUCUUAAAUACAUAUCGGGAAUUGAUUUAUCAUGUAAUAGAUUAACAGGUGAAAUUCCCAGAGAGAUUGGAAAUUUGAGUGAAAUCCGAUCACUAAACUUGUCGCACAACAAUUUGACUGGACAUAUACCGUCAACGUUCUCAAAGCUCAAGCAAAUUGAGAGUUUGGACCUGUCUCACAACAACUUAAUUGGAAGAAUCCCUGUUCAAUUGACGAAGUUGUACGCCUUAGCAAUCUUCAAUGUGUCAUACAACAACUUGUCAGGGAGUAUUCCGUCUCCAAAAGCUCAAUUUGGAACCUUCGACGAAAGCAGUUACGUGGCGAAUCCUUUCCUCUGCGGGUCUCCCCUGCAUAAAAAUUGUAGCGACCUUGAUUCACCCCCGACAGCAGCACCAAAGAGCUCAAACGAGGAAGAAGAAAGUGGUUUGAUGGACAAGUAUGUUUUCUGGGUGACCUUUUUUGUUUCUUACGUGAUUGUGUUACUGGUUAUUGUUCUCAUCCUGUAUAUAAAUCCUCAUUGGCGACAAGCAUGGUUUUCUUUUGUUGAACACUGCAUCAAGACCUGCCAAUAUUUUAUUGAGGACAAUCUUUUGUGAUUUUCCAUCUUCAAAAGGAGUGGGUAGCCUUGUACUCUGGUGGUUUACAUUUGUAUGUAAUUUUCAUCACUCUUUUUUUUUUUCAAAGUUUGAUUGGAUUAUCUGCUAGCUUCUAAGUUUUUAGAGCUAGAAUGCAAUAUAUCUGUUAUGUAAAGCAAUAUAUAAUGUAAUACCCAAUUUUAGACUGGGCUCACAAAAAAAAUAAUAAACCUAAAAUAAUAAAAUAAAGUCUAAGUCCAGUACAAAAUUAUAUCAUUUGGCCCGAUCGGAAUUGCCCAUUACUUGAAAAGGUUGAAAGUCCAUCUAUAAGCUUAUGGAAACAUAUUCUUCAAAGAUAUGCAAUCUUAGAUAUGAUAUGCAAUCUUAGAAGAUAUAAUUUUGUAAUAUUAGAGAUUUAAUUUGUAGAUACCCUUUAAUCUUAGCCGUUGAUGUAAUUGAUCUGUACCGUUGGAUUUGGGGAGGCUCAACUAUAAAUAGAGGCCUCUCCCUUCAUUAUAAAAAAAAGGGGGUAAUAAUAAUUCUUAAGAGUAUUCACUCAAAUUUCUCUCUCUCUUGCAUUCUUAUUUUCUUUGGCUUGUUCUUAUUUUGUUGAUUUGUGUAUAAUUUAUUUAUUGAUUUGUAUAUUGUUGAUUUCAAAUCUCUUUUUCCCUUAUUAUUCAUUUUCAAAUUCAUUAUUUUCAAAAUUGUUUACAUUUUAUUUUACCUUAUAUUUUUUAUUUUAUACUCUUUGUUUUAAAUUCAUUGGUCUUUGAUUAUUGAUGUUAUUUGAUCAUCUAUUUGUUAUUUUAGUUUUUUUAUUAUUAAAUUAAUUAUUUUAAUAUUAUUAAACUAUUAUGUGGCAUCAUUAAUCUUGUAUCAUAUAUAGUAUACAUAUACUUGUAUAUAUUUUAUACAUAGGUUUUUUAUUUUUAUUUCCUAACUUUUAUAUACAUAUAUAUAUACUUUUAUGUUUUAGUUUCAAUUUUUUUUUACUUUGAUAAAUAUGUAUAUACGUAUGUUUUCUUAUAUUAUUCUUCAUAAUUUUUUUAUUUUUUUGAUUAAUUAAUUUCAAUAUAUGUAAUUAUUUUUUUUAAAUUAUCCUUUUUUAUAAUCUAUAUAUAUGUAUAUAAUUAUUAUAUAUAUAUAUAUGUACAUGUAUAUAUUUAUUUUUUAAUGAAUAUUUUCAUAUUUAUAUGUAUAUAUUUGUGUUUUUUUUAAAUGAUUAAAUGCUUACUUAUUUUUUAAAACACGCCUAUUUUUUAUUAUUUUAUAUAUAUACGUAUAAUUAUAUAUAUUUUUUAUUUUCAUAAAUACAUUAUAUAUUUUGUUAUAUAAAUUCUAUAACUCUAGAUUUCAUAUGUAAAUCCAUGUGCAUAUUUUUUUAUUCUUCAUAGGUUCAAUGUAUAUAUUAUGCAUUUUCUUUUCUUUAUAUGUUUUUUGCUUAUUUCAUUCAUUUGUUUAUCAAUUUAUCUUUUUAUAUUUUUUAUUUUGCUCAUUUAUUUGAUAUUUUGCAUGUCAUUAUUUAUUUAUUUAUUUAUUUAUUCAUAUUAUUUCUAUAUAAUUGUUGUAUUUACUAUUGAUAUUUGUUAAAGAGGCAUUUAUUCAUACAUUCAAUAUAACAUUACAUCAUCCUUUUACUCAAAUUUAAAAAUGGAACUUUUCAAAAUAGAGAUAAUACUCGUAUUUAGGAUUUUCAAGAAAAUUGAGCCCUAACGUAUUGGGUUCCGAUUUUCUUCGUUAAAUCUAACAAUCGAGAUUUACUCUUUGAUCAAAAAUAAAAUGGCUUGUUGUUGGGAAUUUAAUGUGUUGUAUCCUAACGCAUUGGAUGUGACGUAUUGAUUUCUCGAGACAAAGAUUUUUAAAAAAUAUAUAUAUAUAUUAAUAAAGGAAAUAUUCAAUGUUUGGGAUGUUGAGAAAUUGUGCCCUAACGUAUUGGGCUGCGGUUUCGUCAUAAAUCUUAAACAAUUGAAUAUUCUUUUAAAUUUUAUCACACAAAUCUUUGGACAAACUCAUUUUGAAAAAAUAAAAUAUCGUGCCCUAAUGUAUUGGGUGUGAUAUUUUCUGUUUCAAAAUGAGGGCGUCUUAAUAAAUAAUUUAAUUUAAUUAAGGAUCGUAUUUUUCAACUCUCGACAUUAAGACAUUAAUUAAUCAACUUGGUACCAAUUUUUGGGCGUUACGGGGGUGCUAAUCCUUCCUCGUACGUAACUGACUUCCAAACCCGUUUUUCUAAAACUCGUAGACCAAAGUCGUUUUAGGUGGUCCAAUCACACCUUAAUAAAAGAUUGGUGGCGACUCCAAUUUUCAUCGACAACUAAUUUUUAUUUUUUUUUAAAUAAAAAAGGUUUCGACAGAUAAAGUUAUGCAUUUUUAAUUAAAACAUUUAAUAAUGUUUUAUAAUUUUUAGUGUACUGAUAAUAUGAUGUUAAAUUCAACAUAUUGUAGCAUAUAUAUAUUAAUAUAACCUAUAUUCAUCUAUACAAAUUUUUUAGUCAACCAAACCAUUGAUGUGGUGGCAAAAACUUCACAUUGUUUUCAAGUCUUCAUUGACAUUAGGUUGAGGUUUCAAACCCUAGCGUAAAAGAGGGGGGAGAGGGGUUGUCUGAACCAAAACUUCAUUUCAACAGAUAUCCUUUACCCACUAAAUCAUAUGCUCAACUGAAACUUUUAUAUAUAUAUAUAUAUCAAACAUGAAUGAUAUAAAUAGUCUUUAAAUUUUUAAAUGAUAUAAAUAUAUAUAUAUUUUUAAAAUGAACAAAAUUAUAAUAAUUAAUAUGUAGUUUCACUAUUUUAUUUAAACUCAAAAUAAUAAUAUUUAAAAAUUGAGUUUACGUGAUAUUUAUUUACUUUAAAAUUAAUAAAAUGUAAAUAUAAACUUUAUUUUAUUUUAUUUAUAUUCAAAUUUAAUAAAUGUUUAUCUAAUUUAUUUAAAUUUAAAUAAAUUAAAUAAAUGAGCACACAAUUAUUUUAGAGAAAGUGACUCUUUUUUAAUGAUGAGAUGUUAGAAGAUUUACCAUAUGUGUAAUGUGGAGACAAUAACCCUAAUAUGUAACUUUUGCACAAUAACCUUAAUUUAUAAUUAGUGAAUCAUCAAUUAAAAAUUAAUUACUUGAGUAUAUACACUUGUCCAACCAUAUUUUAUUUAAUAAGUGUCAUGGAUCAUGGGUCAAACAAGUGUCACAAUAAUCAGAGUAAUACCUGCAAAAAUUGAAUCCAAAUAAACAUAUCCAUAAAUUGUUAAUGAAACUUUGUUCGCAGCGAGAACGUUAGUUAAGGUUGGACGAAUUUAUAUGUUUUUUGUCUUUUUGUUAAAAUAAGUAUAAAACAUAUAAAAAAAUACAUUAUGAAUGUUCAUUUUUUUAAUAGUUCAAAAAAAUAUAUUAUAUAUAAUAUAUAUUACUGUUUUGCCUUGCUCCUCAAAGAAAAUGGAAACAAUCGUAAGCUUAUGGCAUCAUUAGAAACACCAUUAAUCUUGAUGUGUCGCAAAUCUCUAGAAAGUUAGCCAAAUGAGCAUUCAGAUCUUUAUCUUGCAACCUAUCAAACUGAAUAUAUUGUUGUACCAUCUGAAUUGUGUUCGACUUUAGCUCAAAAUUGUUUAUAGCAAUAGUCAAUCUGACAAUACUCGAUUCAACCCCAAUCAGAAUAGACUUAGCAUAAUCAUACAUAGUCUGAAGAGUAGGAGCUGCAGGAAGCUAUUGAUUAUUUUUAUGAUCAUCCAUCUCCACAGUAAUAUCCUUUUCCUCUCGAUCAUUUACUAAAAUCUAUUUAUCUUGCCUUUUUCUUUUCUAACCUCUCUAAGAUUUCUGCGAGCAGUCUUUUCAACUUCACUAUAAAAAAUUAAUGGUUCUGACGAGUUUCCUCUAGUCCUAAACCAACAUAACCUAUCAUAAUCAAACAAACGAAAAAUUAGAAUGUAAAAAUUACAUUAAAAACAAAAAUAUCAAAAUAAAAAUAAAAAUAAAAAUAGCUAAAUUAAUAGAAAUAAACUUUUCCUAAUAUUUUAGUCCCCCGGCAAUGGCGCUAAAAACAUGAUGCAGUCCUAAACCAACUAAAAAUCUGACUAAGGCAAGUGUACCUAUCAAUUAAUUGUAUAGUUACGAUGAACAAAUAAACCGUUCCCACGAAGAGUAAAAGUACUAGUAAUUACUGUCUUUCUAUUAUUUAAUCGAUAAAUUCGAGUAAUUGAUUAAAACUAAAAUUAUUUAAAUUAAUUAACUAUGAAUGUGACAAAUAAUAAAUCAGGAAAAUAACUGAAUAAUAACCAAGAAGCAAAACAAUACCUAGGAAAGAAUUCACCUAGAUUUGAUCUGUCAUUAUCAAUCUAAAUUCCACAAUUUCUUUACUUAGGAUCUUGAUUCAUAGAAAUCCCUAAAUCAUGCUAAUAUCUCUCUUCAAGAAUAAGAGCAACUAACUUUAGGUUGAUUAAUUGAAAUUUCUUUCUAAUUAAAACCCCUAUUAUCGUAUUAAAUCGCUUUAUGGAUUCCCCCAUUACAUUUGACUCUAAUCCGAUAGAUUUAUGUCAUCCUAUUUCUAAGAUUGCAUGCAACUCCACUCAAUUACGCUAGAUCUAUUCUUAAACAAGGUCUAUUUCUCCUCUGAUUUAAGCACAACAAACAUGGAUCAACAAUCUAGAAAUAUUAAACCAAGAGUAAAACACACAUAAUUGAGAGCAAGAUCUAAGUAUUUAUUGUGUAAAAAUAGAAAUCAAAUAAUAUAAUUCAUCCUAAGGUUCAUCUCUCUAGGUAUUUGGAAAAUUAGUUCAUGCUUGCAAAUAAAAACAUCCCAAAGACAAUAUUACCGAAAGAAAUAAAGAAGCUCAUGAUAAUCUCCUAAGAAAUCAACUGCUUGUCUUCAAUCUUGACUAAAAUUUGCUUCAGAAUCGGCUUCAAUGGUGUUUUUCGAGUUGUUUUAUUGAGUAUUCUAUGACGGCUCUCUCCCCUCUUCUUAUAUUUGUCAUAUAUAGGUCUUAGAAUACCCGAAAAACCUAAACAAAAGUGUUUUUCUGUAGGUUUGGAAUGUGACUCGUGAUUUCCACGCAGUCUCCCACAUGACCGUGUAGAAGCCCAUGUGGCCACACGGUCGUGUGUCCAGCCCGUGUGGCUCCUGAAACUUAUUCCAAUUUUCGCUUAUUUUUCGCUCCUUUUGCUCUCAAAUGCUACUAAGUAUAGAAACAUGAAUUUAAAGGAUUAGGAGCAUAAAAUUCAUCAUUUUAAAUCGAAUAAUAAUCCAAAAAUACAUUAAGAAUGAGGCUAAAACAUGUUACUUUUGGCAUUUAUUAAUUUUGCCAACACCCAAAAUAGUUGCUUAAAGGUACAAAUUUAAACAACCCAAAAAAAGGGUCAGUGUAAUCCAAAAACCGUUGUGUUGGGCUUUUCAUAUGACAACACUUUUAUAUAGUUGGGAAAUGUAUAACAAAAGUUGGCAUAGUGUUGGAUAAAACUGAUUCUUAUUUAAACGUUGCUUUAGGCAUGCAUGUCCCAACCUUUAUACAAAGAGUUGGCCAAAGCGUAUGUCGACCAGACUAUCCUAACACUUAGGAAAGUGUCAGCUUAGUGUUGGACAAACUCGAAUCUUAUUUAAGUGUUGCCUUAGGAAUGCAUAUCUCAAACCUUAUACAAAGAUUUGGCCAAAGCGUAUGCCGGCAAGUCUAUUUAUUAGCUCAAUAGAUCAAAUAGAAAUUGCUAAGAGGGGUGAAGUAGCAUUUAAAAAAAUGUGAAAGCUAGAAAGAAAAUUGAAAGAUGAACACAAUAAUUUAGAAUGGUUUAGCCUCAAUUGCCUACUCCACUACCUUAACUUUCCACAACUAAGGAUUUUUCCCAAAUUCGCUAAAUUGAUAACCUUUAAGGAUAAGGUUUAACCUUACAACUCUCUUAAAAUUUUUGUAACACCCCAAACCCAAUCUAGACGUUAUGGCCGAAUCUAGCUUUGUCACAUGGAAUGGGAUUUGAAACAUCUUUGUUUCGAUGAAAACAUUUUAUGUUAUUAUCUUUAGUAAACCUUUGUUAGAACUUAGGAAGUCGUCUUUAUUCAUUUAAAACAUUUGUUUUGAAACAUACCUCGUUGCGGAAGCUUUAAUAAAAUAGUCUAAGUGAUCAUGCGUUUAGAAAAUACUUUUAACUUUUUAAAAACUGAAUUUCCUAUGAACAGUAGGUAUAAAUCCAUAAAGUAAAAUAAAUAAAUAAAAACCAAAAUUUAAAACCAAAGUCCCAGAGGUUUCUUAAAUUACAACCCAAAUAAUCAAUAAUAAUCAAAUCAUAAAUCGUAAAUUGAAAACCAUGAAGUCCAAAUAUUUCUGUGGUCACCGCUAAGUCCUCCGUCGCACCGAUCCGUCUAGGUCUGGGGAUUACCUGUACACAUUAAACAAAAAAAACGGAGUUUACGUAAACUCAUGUGUAAUCUCGUAGAAACAAACAAACAAUCAGUAUUCACAGUGCAUAGUUGAACAGUCUUGGGCCUUAGCCUAUCUCAGUACAGUGUUAAAAAUGCAGUAGGUCUUUAGCCCAUCACAGUAUCAGUAGCAAUAACAAUUAUGCAGUAGCAAAAUCCUACCCAACCAGCCUCUACAUACCAUCUCCAUCCAACCCUACACUCCAUGUGGGGAUAUAAUCAACCCACCCAUCCCUUUUUAAUAUAACCCAUGCUAACUAAAUAUUCAUUUAUGUUUUUAGUAUUUACUUAUAUGUUCAUUCAAAGCUGUCUACUUGAGUCAUUGUCACUAAAUUAUUUAUAUAUUUAGCUACAGAAUUCCAAAUUAAGAUCCACUUGAUGUUUUCAAAACUAGACUCAAAUACCUUUCUACCAUAAAAUUUUCAGAAUUUAUAGCCUAUCAAAUAACUACAGUAAAAUCUUCAAAAUUAUCCCUAUUCUAUUGUUUGACAGCUUCAACCUUUCCUUACUAAAAAUUAUUUAUCUCUGAAUACGAAAUUUGGAUGAUGUUUCCAUUUGUUUCUCUUGAAAGUAGACUCAUUAAGGAUUUAAAUGUAUAAAUUUAAGCCCCUAAUUAAUUUUUUACAAUUUUUGAUGAUUUUCCAAAUUUAAAAUAGGAGAACCCUAAAUCAUUCUGACCUUGUCUCACAAAAUUCAUUAUAUCUCCUAAUUUAAAAUUCCAUUGCUUACAUUGUUUCUUCCGUGAAAAACUAGACUUAAUAAAAUUUCAUAUUUUAUUCAACCUUUAACUCAAUUUCCACUAGUUUUGAUGAUUUUUCAAAGUUAGACUACUGCUGCUGUCUAAAACUAUUUUAGUGAAAAAUGUUGAUUUCCAAGUUUAUAAUACCCUUAUUUCCUUUCUCUACAAUUUUUUGCAUCAUUUUCUCUUAUUUCUCGACAGUAAGCAAUUUUGGCUUUUCACUGAAUCCCAUUUUCUGCAUUUUGGGUACACAUCUAGUUUCGUUUGAUGCUAAAACAGUCCCCAAGCACUAUAAAGCCUAUAAUUGAACAAAUAACACUAAUUUAAUCUUACAUAGUGAUCCCAAAUUGAACUCGUAUCGAGGUUUUAAUCCAUAAGCGACUAAACCUUACCUUCAACUGAUGAACAAUAAUUCCUACACAAACUAAGACUCCGAUUGGUGAUUACGACCCUUGAAUCCUCCCUUAAUUGGCACAAACAAAACACUUUAGAAGAAAGUUAAAAAACAAAGACAAAUCACUUAUCUAAAACUUACCAAACGAUCAUAGACAAACGUGGAACGACACGAGGCAGAGUGGGAAAAGAAAAAUCAAGAAGAUGAAGGGUGAAAGAGAGCAGAAAUUCGACAGCAAUGAAGAGAAAAACGGCAAGAGGGUGGAGGGGUUUGGGGAAAGUAAAAAAAAAAAGAAAAAAAAAUGAAAAAAAUAUUUGAUAAUCACCCCAAUCCCUUAUUUCUCUCCAUCAAACUCCCCAAUAAAUCAACUACUCAGAUUUUUAGUCAAUCUCAAACUCUCCUAGACAUACGAGCAAAACUAAUACCCACGCCAAGAUUCGAACAUAGGACCUCCUUCACACCAACACUCCACUUAUCCACUAGACCAGCAAGCCAAUUCUAUUAAUUAUUUGCCAACUUUUACUUAAAAGCCUACUGACCAAAUAUAGAGCUUAUUCAUAAAAAGGCCAAAAUUUGCCCAAGUCCUGACUUGAACUUGUGACCUCCUAAACACACCCAGAACACAUAAUCACUAAAGCAGACAGAUAUUUUGUGUCACACAUUCACAAUACCCAAAAUUAAAAUUUUGGGGUGUUACAAUUUCUAUCUCAAAUCUUAAGACACAAACCUUCGCAAGGAAAUACAAAUAAGCAAAUAAAGAAAUAAUCCUUACAAAAUCAAAGUGUUUGUAAAUUAAGCUCAAAUAAAAUGAAAUACACUUGAGCAAAAGAAUAGGAGUAAAGCUCACAAGUGUAUGAAAAAGAAAUAUGGAAAUAGUAAACUCAAAGGUUGUUUGAUUGAUGAUUUUUUUGCUUGAAAGUGAUUUCUUGUUGUUGUAGAAACUUAAGAAGUUAGUAUUUAUACCCCCUAAUUGAUUUCCAACCAUUGAGGUUGUUGGUGACAUGAAUAAAACCAUUGGGAUGUAAAAAUCAGAGCAUUUAAUUCACCUGCAACAUCGAGUCUUGAUACUAUAUAAAAGGGUUUCGAUAAUUUUUGCUAUAAAUGCUAAAUUCAAUGAUCGUUGGAGUUUUGUUAUCGAUACCAAAAAAAAAGUUUAUCGAUACUUGUAAAAAGGUAUUGAUACUGUAUCGAUACUUUGUAAGUUUUGUAAGAAACAAAAUGCUAUUUUAGUAUCGUUUUUAAGAAGGGGUAUUGUAAUAGCCCAAUUUCAAUGAAAUCAGAACAGUGGUUUCGAGACCACAAAUUUGAGAUUAGAAGAAAAUUUAUUUUAAUAUUAUCGUAUGUCUGUAUUAUGAUAGAAAUAUUACAUGAAAAAUUUGAUAAGAAAAUUUUAUCGAUUGAGUGCUUAAUUGUGAAAAGGACUCAUAAAAUGCACAAGUUGAAUUCUAGCAGCUAAAAGGAUUAAAUAGCUAUGGGGUUCAAAAUGUAAGGUCCUUAUAUGGUAAUUAGACCAUAAAUUAAAAGUUAGUAGAUAUUUUGAGAUGACUCAUCCAUAGAAAUUUUAGAAAAAGGUAAGGACUAAAUUGGAAAUUAAAUUAAUUUAAUUAAUUAAAAGAUGAUAAAAGAAAUAUCAUCUUAUUUUAUGUCAUCUUCUUCCUCAAAAUGCAUGGAAACCCUAAGAGAGACAAAGGAAACUAACCAAGCUUGAUUAGGUAUGUUUUCUUGUAACACCCCCACCCCUUAUUCGUCGCCGGAACAGGGUUACAGGGCAUUACUGGACAUUUCAAAUCAAAUACGAGUAAUCACAUAUUUGUUUAACAUAAACAUCACAAAUUAAUCAAAAUGUCCUUUUUAUGAGCCCUCGAGGCCCAAAACAUGAAUUAGAAACAAAUCGGGAGUCAGAGAAUUUUUUGUGAAAUUUCAAAAUUUUUCCUAAGUGUAGGGCUCACACGUCUGUGCAGUUUAGAGAUACGCCCGUAUGAUCCUAAACACGCCCGUGCUUCAGGUCGUGUCCUACCUCGUGUAAUUCUCUGACUUAGAUCACACGGCCAGCCACACGCCCAUGUACAUAGUCCGUGUGCUUAACACGGCUGAGACACACGCCCGUGUCUCUGUGAUGCGGAAACCCAGAUCUAAACACAAGAAGAGAAACACAAAUUAGAAAUAAAAACGAGAAUAAGUAAAAAUUAGUUAAAUAAUAAUAAAAGAAAACAAAUAAAAGAAAAGAUUAAGGAUAGAUUUGCCCUAUAGAACCCUUGGUUAACUUGUAACCAAAAACUUCAAUGAUUGAGCGGCUCCCUACGAAACCCCUAGAAGAAGAACCUCUAGAAACACCGAUGAACGGGAAAGAAAUUUGAAUAUUUGUAACUCUGAAAUACCCUCGAAAGUAACAAACUCCAAACUAAAUAGCAAGAGAAGAAUCACUCUACUCUCAAAAAUUUGCCUCACACAAAUUUGGAAGAAAACAAAAUACUCUUCUUUUUUUAUUAAUCCCCUCAAUGUGUAGAAAGCAAGCCUAUUUAUAGGCAAAUUACAAGAGUAAUUGAAUCCUAAUUAAAACUCUUUCAAGAGUAAUUGAAUCCUAAAAACUCUUUAAAGAGUAAUUGAAUCCUAAUAAAACUCUUUAAAAUUAUCUAAGAAAAUAAAUAAAUAAUAAUCUAACUAAUAAAAUUACUUAACUCAUAAGUGAUGUGUUCCAACCAAUGAGAAUUAAGUAAAUAAUAAUAAUAAUAAGAUACAUAAAAGAUUAAUCCACCAAUUUAUGGGCUUUCACUAUUCCAAGAUUGGUCCAGUGAAUUGCAUUCCCGUAUUUGUCAACGUCACGAACAUGAUGAAUUAAAUUUGUAGUAACAAAGUCUUGGACAAAAGCAUUCAUCUUUGAUUUUAAUUGUCGUGCCUUGCUUCGAGUGAUUGGACCACUAGGAAAAACAACCCUUUGAGUGUCACCUCCUUAACUCGUAUCAUUCUCCCCUUCUUCAAGAAGAUUCGUCCUCGAAUCUGAACCUAUAUCAAAUUCAAAAGGAGAAAGAUCAGAAACAUUGAAAGUAGCACUAACAUUAUACUCACCUGGAAGAUCAAUGCGAUAAACAUUGUCAUUUAUUUUCUCGAGUACUUGGAAUGGUCCAUCUCCUCGUGCAUCAAGUUUAUUCUUUCUCUUAGAAGGAAAUCGUUCCUUCCUCAUAUGCACCCAUACUCAAUCUCCAGGUUCAAAUAAGACUUGCUUUCGCCCUUUAUUAGCUCGAUGUGCAUUGCACUCAUUCUUUUUCUCAAUGGCUUUACGAGCCUUCUCAUGAAUCUCUUUCACUAAAUCAGCUUUCCUUUCACCAUCUAAAUUAGCAAUCUCAUUCAAAGGUAAAGGAAGCAAAUCUAAAACAGUAAGUGGAUUAAAGCCAUAUACAAUCUCAAAAGGAGUAAAACCUGUGGAAGAAUGAACAGAACGAUUAUAAGCAAACUCAACAUAGGGUAUCCAUUCUUCCCAAGAUUUAACAUUCUUACCUAUUAUGGCUCUAAGCAAAGAUCCCAAAACUCGAUUUACCACCUCAGUUUGACCAUCAGUUUGAGGGUGGCAUGUAGUAGAGUAAAGUAGUUUAGUACCUAACUUACCCCAUAACACCUUCCAAAAGUGACUAAGAAAUUUUGCAUCUCUAUCGGAAACGAUAGUCCUUGGGAUUCCAUGUAAUCUCACAACUUCACGGAAAAAUAGAUCGGCAACAUGGGUUACAUCAUCAGUCUUAUGGCAUGGAAUGAAAUGAGCCAUUUUAGAAAAUUGAUCCACAACCACAAAGAUGCUAUCUCGACCACGCUUUGUCCUUGGUAAAACUAUUACAAAAUCCAUUGAAAUGUCAGUCCAAGGUGAACUAGGAACAGGAAGAGGAGUAUAUAGACCAUGAGGCAUCACAGUGGAUUUAGCUUGUUUACAAGUAAUGCAAGUAGAGCAAAUUUUCUCAACAAGUUUUUGCAUGUUAGGCCAAUAAAAAUGCUCAUGUAAAACAUCAUAAGUCUUAGUGACUCCAAAAUGACCCACAAGACCACCACUAUGAGCCUCUCGAACCAACAAUUCUCGCAUUGAACACUUUGGUAAGCAUAGUCUAUUAUUUCAAAAAAGAUAGCCAUCAUGCUUAUAAAAUUUGUGAAAUGCACCAUGUUCACAUGCGUCAUAAAUGCUUGCAAAAUCAGAAUCAGUGGCAUAUAAAUCUUUGAGAUACUCAAAACCUAAUAACUUAGUAUGCAAAGUACUAAGUAAAGUGUACCUCCUUGAUAGAGCAUCAGCCACAAUAUUAUCUUUACCUUUCUUAUACCUUAUAACAUAAGGAAAAGAUUCAAUGAAUUCAACCCACCUCGCAUGUCGCUUGUUCAACUUACCUUGUCCCUUUAAGUGCUUAAGUGAUUCAUGGUCAGUGUGAAUCACAAACUCCUUUGGUAAAAGGUAAUGUUGCCAAACUUCUAAUGCCCUUACCAAGGCAUACAACUCUUUAUCAUAGGUCGAAUAGUUCAAAUGUGCUCCACCAAGUUUCUCACUAAAGUAGGCUAGUGGUUUACUAUCUUGCAUGAGGACAACACCUAUACCUACACCAGAAGCAUCACAUUCAAUCUCAAAGGUCUUUUCAAAAUUAGGUAAAACAAGAAUAGGAGCAUUACACAAUUUAUCUUUAAGUUCAUUAAAUGCUAAUUCUUGCUUAUCUGUCCAAUGAAAAGAUACAUUCUUUUUAAUAAGUGCAGUCAAAGGCGAAGCAAUUGCGGAAAAGUUACGAACAAACCUGCGGUAGAAACCAGCUAACCCAAGGAAAGACCUUACCUCAGAAACAGUUUUAGGGAUAGGCCAUUCUUUAAUUGCCUUUACCUUCUCCUCAUCCACAUGGAUUCUUGUAGAACUUAUCACAAAACCCAAAAAAACAAGCUUAUCCAUACAAAAGGUGCAUUUUUCAAGAUUAGCAAAGAGUCGUUCAUGCCUUAACACAUCCAAUACUAAUUUAAUAUGCCCAACAUGAUCAUUCAAAGUUUUGCUAUAAAUCAAUAUGUCAUCAAAAUACACAACGAUAAAUUUUCCUAAAAAAGGUCUAAGUAUGUGGUUUAUUAAUCUCAUGAAUGUGCUAGGAGCAUUAGUUAAGCCAAAUGGCAUGACUAACCACUCAUACAGGCCAUACUUAGUCUUAAAAGCAGUUUUCCAUUCAUCACCUUGUUUCAUUCUUAUUUGAUGGUAACCACUUUUUAAGUCAAUUUUAGAGAAAAUGCAUGCACCAUUAAGCUCAUCCAACAUAUCAUCUAAUCGAGGAAUUGGAUAUCGAUACUUUAUCGUAAUCUUGUUGACAGCACGACAAUCAACACACAUUCUCCAAGAACCAUCUUUUCUUGGGACGAGAAGUAUAGGGACCGCACAAGGGCUUAGACUCUCAUGAAUCAACCCUUUCUCUAAGAGAUCUUCAAAUUGCCUUUGCAACUCUUUAGUUUCUUCAGGAUUGCUUCGAUAGACUGGUCUAUUCGGAAUACUCGAACCAGGCACAAAGUCAAUUUGAUGUUCAAUCCCUCGUAAAGGAGGUAAUCCUUUAGGCAUUUCAGAAGGAAAUACAUCCUCAAAAUCCUGCAAAAGAUCAACAAAACAACUAGGCAAAUGUGUAUUAGGGUUAGUCAAAACAAAGUUUUCCCUAAACCUAAUAAUUACAAAUGUUUGUUUUGUACAAAGAGCAAAUUUGAUAUCUCGAAACCUAGCGAAUAAACUCACUUUCUCAUCUCAUGACUUGUGUGUGCAAUCACUCACCAAUGUUGGGCCUUUAAGUUGGCUUUUAACACUAAGGGCCUCUUUACUCUCAGCAUUUUUCAAUGAUUUUACCUCACUUCCCUUACCCAUCUCACUAGCAAGUUUGAGUUGAUCAUUAUAGACUUCUUGAGGAGGAAGUGGAGCCAAAGUAAACUUCUUUCCAAGGAACACAAAGGUAUAUUGGUUAAGGAAACCAUCAUGAUUUACUCGUCGAUCAAACUGCCAUGGCCGUCCAAGUAAUAUGUGCCCAGCUUGCAUUGGAACAACAUCACACAAAACUUUAUCAGAGUAUCUACCAAUGGAAAAUGAAACUAAGCAUUGUUUAGAUACUUUUACCUCCCCACUAUUAUUCAGCCAUUGCAAGCGGUAUGGCCUUGGAUGCUUCACACAAGGUAGGCCAAGUUUCUCAACAAGGGAAGAACUUACCACAUUGGUGCAACUUCCACUAUCGAUGAUCAAUGAACUAGGUUGUCCACCAAUCAAACAUCUUGUGUGGAAAAUGUUAUCUCUUUGUUCGCGCGCUUCCUCUUUAAACUGGACAUUUAAAGCCCUCCGAGCAACAAGUGCUUUCUCACCAUACUCUAAAUAUUCUUCAUACUCAUCAUGAGCAUGCACAUCAUCAACAUCUUCUAAAGGAGGCAUCUCAUCUUCGUUAUCAGACUCAAAAUCAACCUCGCCAUCUUCUCGAAUCACCAAUGACUUUUUAUUAGGGCAUUCUCGAGCAUAGUGACCCCUUCCUUGGCAUUUGAAGCAGGUAAUAUCUUUUUGCUGCUUAAUGGCACUAGGAGAAGUAGAAGAAGAAGAUGGAGCUUGAUUAGUAGAAGUAGAACUUUUAAAUGAAUUAGGCAUACCUCUAUCUUUGGAGUAAGUUCUAGGCUCAUUUGGCUUGAACCGUGCAUCUCUCCCAUUCCACAAUCUAUCAUCUUGUUUUUGCCAAUUUCCUCUCCAAGUAGGAUUAAAAACUGAACUAGAACCCCUCGGUGUCCCUUUCUUUCGUCAUUGCUUUUCAAUGGUGAGUGCGGUUUGAAGCAUCUCUUCAACAUCCAUGUAGUGUUGUAACUCAAGUCGAUUUGCAAUCUCAGGCUUUAGGCCGGCAAGGAAUCUAGCCAUAGUCACCUCAGCCUCUUCAACAAGAUUGGCUCUAAUCUGAAUAGUCUCCAUCUCUUUGUAGUAGUCAUCCACAGAUCUAUCUCCUUGAACAAGAUGUUGGAGUCUUUGAUGGAGUUCUCGAUAAUAGUAUGGUGGAACAAACCGUUUUCGUAAGAUGCGCUUCAUUUCAACCCAAGUAGUAACAGGUUGCUCUCUAUAAAGAAUUCUGCUUUUACAUAAUUGAUUCCACCAUGUUAGUGCAUAAUUAAUGAACUCAGCGACAGCGUAUGUUACCUUUUUUCUCAUCAGAGUAAUUGUAACAAGCAAAGACUGCUUCCAUCUUUUCCUCUCAAUCAAGGUAAGCAUCAGGAUCAUUCUUCCCUGAAAAAGAAGGAAAUUUUGGUUUGGGGGUGUCAUUGUUUCGCUCCAACCUUUCUCUAGGUACAUACUCGGACUCAAAGUCAUCAUCAAAAACAUGGUCCUCCCUUCGUUUAAAAGUUUGAUCUCGUGAAUUUGAUCGGCUUAUAAAGGCUUCGUUCAACUUCUUGUAAUUAUCGGCAAUGUAUCUCUCUUGAGUUGUAAGUUUUGUAUCAAGAUACUCCCUUUGCUCUUGUAACAUCUGGGUCAUGCGAUGUUCGACUUGAGUUUGCAACUUUUUCAUCUCUUUUUGUAACAACUCGACCAAAGGAUCAUUCUCUCUUUUUAGCUCAUCCUCUUCAUUUUUACUAGUUUGGGAUCUAGUGAGCGGAAUGGUAUCUGUGAAAGAUCAAACAAACAGGAACAAGAAAAAAAAUAAUAAUAACCUCACUCGUUAGCUCUCAAAAGAAUAACUCUCUGAAUGAUUCAAAACCUGUAAAUAUGUUUGGAGAGGGUUACUAAUCAAGAUCAAAUAACGGAGGUGCAAACUUCAAAGAAACAAUGAAGACCCUAAUUGCUCUAAGAGGCCAAUAAACUUGACAAGGCAAUUUGUAAUGGAGGCUACACGGAUGAAGAAAUUUGUGAGUGCCUUUAAUAUCUGCUAACACAAGAAGAAACAAAGUGUUAGAAAGCGUAAGAGAAACAAAAAAAACGUAGACCUACAACGAUCCCUAACUCUAGAGUCAAAGAAAAGCUUUAAUAAGAAGAAAACUUAAGAAAAACUCUACCCAAAUUUUUAAAAAAAAAAUCGAAAACGUUUGGUGUCUUAAGAUUUUCAAAAAUUGAAGCUUUAAUUAUACUUGAGUCAAGAAAAGAAGAAGGAAAAGAAAUUCAAUUUUGGGAAAAAUAAAAAUAAUAACAAUAAUAGGAAAAGAAGAAACUUACGUAUGAAAGGUAGUCAACUUUUUUUUUGCUCUUUUUACUUUUUUUGUGCUGUUUUUUUUUUUAAAGAAUAAGAGGAGAAUAAACACAAACUUCAAAAAAAAAAGAAUUGACGAAACUGAUGAAAAGUGUUUUUGGUAUUUUGACUCGUUUCGGAUUUGAUUUUAGCUUAAAAAAUAACACCGAAUAACCUGAAACUGAUACCAACUGAUGCGGAAACUCGGAUCUAGACACAAGAAGAGAAACACAAAUUAGAAGUAAAAACGAGAAUAAGUAAAAAUUAGUUAAAUAAUAAUAAAAGAAAACAAAUAAAAGAAAAGAUUAAUGAUAGAUUUACCCUAUGGAACCCUUGGUUAACUUGUAACCAAAAACUCCAAUGAUUGAGCAGCUCCCUACAAAACCCCUAGAAGAAGAACCUCUAGAAACAGCGAUGAACGGGAAAGAAAUUUGAAUAUUUGUAACUCUGAAAUACCCUCGAAAGUAACAAACUCCAAACUAAAUAGCAAGAGAAGAAUCACUCUACUCUCAAAAAUUUGCCUCACACAAAUUUGGAAGAAAAAUACUCUUCUUUUUUUAUUAAUCCCCUCAAUGUGUAGAAAGCAAGCCUAUUUAUAGGCAAAUUACAAGAGUAAUUGAAUCCUAAUUAAAACUCUUUCAAGAGUAAUUGAAUCCUAAAAACUCUUUAAAGAGUAAUUGAAUCCUAAUAAAACUCUUUAAAAUUAUCUAAGAAAAUAAAUAAAUAAUAACCUAACUAAUAAAAUUACUUAACUCAUAAGUGAUGUGUCCCAACCAAUGAGAAUUAAGUAAAUAAUAAUAAGAUACAUAAAAGAUUAAUCCACCAAUUUAUGGGCUUUCACUAUUCCAAGAUUGGUCUAGUGAAUUGCAUUCCCGUAUUUGUCAACGUCACGAACAUGAUGAAUUAAAUUUGUAGUAACAAAGUCUUGGACAAAAGCAUUCAUCUUUGAUUUUAAUUGUCGUGCCUUGCUUCGAGUGAUUGGACCACUAGGAAAAACAACCCUUUGAGUGUCACCUCCUUGGCUCGUAUCACUCUGCCCGUGUGCAAUUUCUUAGGCAUUCUAUUUUGAAUUUUUAAGGUGCAAGGGACACACAGCCUAACCACACGCCCAUGUGUAAGCUGUGUGUCUCACACGUUCUAGUCACACGCCUGUAUGGUAGGCCGUGUAGACUCAAAAUAAGCAUUUUACAUCAAGUUUACCAACCUUGCAAAUCUUGAACAACAAGCAACUCAAUAAUCAAUCUUUCAACCAAUCCAAAACACAUUCAAAUACUUUUAAUACAUGCCAAAUUCAUUUAUUUAAGAACCUAACCAGUGUACUAACAUAGAUACUUUACAAAUAACAUCCAAAUCAAUCUAAUUAACUUCAUUCUAACCAAAUCUAAUUUCAUACCAAAACAUACUACUUAUAAUCUUAAUAUAGCACAUAAACUUAUAUAUAUAAGUCUCCAAUAACAUUUUGUAACAUAAUUUACAAACACUUCUCUAAAUAACAAACACAAACAUCCUAGGUACAUGCCAUUUACCAAAAAGAAAUGUACUUCACCACUUUGAGUUCCGAAACAGCUUUGGAUGCUGAUUGAAUGGUCUGACUUUAACCUAACCUAUGCACAGAAACAAACCGUACACUGAGUAUGAACUCAGUGGUAUUUCUAUAAUCCAAAUACUUUUAAAAUUAUGAUAAUAUAACAUGUAUAUUUAAUUAUAUAUUAACAAUAGUCAUUCAGUAAACAAUUCAUAAACAAAUAAUUUAUAACAUUUUCAUUUCCAAUUAUUUGUUAUUCCAAACACCUUUUCACAUUGCCAAUACAUAUAUCCGAUCAAUUGCUAUCCCAGAUAGCUUUUCACAAUGUCAAUACAUAUCUCGUUUGCAUUUUCACAUUCAAUAUUCCAAUAAUCACUUGAUGAACUUAUGGUUCAUACUUUUUCAUUUACACAUCACAAAUCAAUAUCUAAAUCCAAUUCAUAUUCAAAACCAUUCAAUAACAUUCAUAUCAUCAAUUCAUUAAUUACCCCUAUUAACAUGACUCGAACUUUGGCGGAUACACGGAUCUAACCAAAACACACCAGUUUAGCACCUAGUGCCUCAUCGGAUAAUUCGAAGCAAUAAGUUGACACCCAGUGUCUCAUCGGCCAUGCCGAAGUAAUUUGGUACCAGUACCUCAUCGAAUUUAUCUGAAGCAAUAGUUUGACACCCAGUGUUUCAUCAACUCAUGGUCGAAGUAUCCCUAAACUCUUCCAAUCCGAUGGCAUGCCAAGUAUAUCCAACUCAGCCCAAUACAGUUAAUAGGGUUUCCAAUUCACUUCCAAACACAACCAAUAUUCAAUAAUCAAUUGUCUCAAUAUUUACAUUUCAAUAUCAAUGCAUAUUUCAAACAAUCACAAAUUCUCAUAAUUCAACUCAAUUCAAUACCAAUCCUCACCUCAAUUCUACUUACCAUAAAUAUAAAAUAAUAAUAAACACAACAAUUAAUUAUCAGCUUUGGAUUAUAGAAAUACAAACAAUAAUUCUCGAGUCACUUCUGGUUAACCUUGUCUUUUCCUUUCUUAGUCGAGGUCUCCGGCUUGAUGUUAGCUACGGAAGUAAAAUAAUUAAAAUUCAUCAAUACAACACAAUUUAAUAUUGAAUAUUUCAACUUAUACACAACUUAUGCCUAAAUUCUAAUUUAGUCUUUAAAUCAAACUAACUCUUUUUCUUACAAAACUAAUUCCAUAUCUCAAUUCAAUUUCCACUUUAAUCUAAUUUCAACUUCUUAAUUUCAUCAUAAAACCCUAAUUUUGAAAUUCUUUCAAUUUAGUCCCUAUUACUCAAAACUUAUAAUUUAAUUUACAAUUCAAUCAUUCUUCUCAAUUCUAUCAAUUUAACCUCUAUUUCUUCAAUUUAUUCAACAUGAAGUACAUCUAAAAAUCCACUAAAUUUCAAAUUUUCAACAUAAAUCAAGUAGUAUUUUGUUCUAGGAUUCUCGAAACAUCAAAAUUAUAAGAAAAAAAGGCUAAAUUGCCUUACCAAAUUAACUUUGAAUCCUUAGAACCCUAAUUUCCCUUUUCUUUUUCUUUCUCUCUUUUCUCCCCUGUUUUCGUUUCAAUUCUAUUUUUUGUUUCCUUUAUUUAUUUGUUUAAUUAUUAUAAUAAUAUAAUAAUAUAAUAUUAAUAUAAUAUAUUUACUUAAAUAAUAAGUAAAUAAUAAUUAUUAAUAUAUGUAUAUUAUUUACACACAUGGAAUUUAUUUUUACCAUACACUUGUUAACACUUGUUAACUUUUGGCUUAAUUUCUUAUUUAGUCCCUCGGCUUUUCUCCAUUCUAUAAUUAAACUUUCACACUUUAUUCAUUUUAGUCCUUAUACCUAAUUAACCUUAAUUUAAGCUAAUUCACCUAACUAAAACCUAAUUUACCACACAACUAACUUUGUAAAUAUUUUUAAUAAAUAUUUAUGAAUCCAUUUUACGAAAAUGGAUACCCGAAAAUACACUUUCUAAUAACCGUAAAUUUCUGGUCGUUACAUUUCUUGUCCCAUUUUUAAUGAUUUUUAUAUUUUUUAGAUCUAGAUAGCCUAAUAUAUCCAUUUUAGAGAUUAAUUUGAAAAGUUAACAAAGUAUGGAAAUUUUGUCAUGGAUGAAUAUGCUGGAAAAUUGAAAUUUAUGGUAGAAUAUGAAAGAUUGUUGAUAGAUAAACAACUUUUACAAAGUGAAUUUUAAUGAAAACAUGAUUUAGGGACUAAAUUGAAAAGUAGUAAAAUUCAUAGAAAAAUUAUAAAUUUUUGUGAAUUGCGUGUGUUGUAAAAGUUAUGUUAAAAAAUUGGUUAGGCUUGGAACAAGGAUUAAAUUGCAUGAAUUUUAUUUCCAAGCCUAGGGACAAAAUUGGAAUUUAUGUAAAGUUUAGGGGCAAAAUGAUAAUUUUGUCUAGAGAGUAAAAUAAAUUCAAUUAAAUAUGAAAUGUGAAAAUUAAUGAUUAAAUUCAUUUAUAUCGAUCCGGAUAAUUCAAACUCGAAGCCUGAUCAGGGAAAGUAAAAGUUUAGAAUUAGUAGAUUUUUCGAAUACGAACCAUUAUCGAGGUAAGUUCAUAUGACUUAAUUUAAUAUAUAAAUAUGAUUGUAUUGAAUAUUGCUUUUGUAUUGAAUUUGAUAUUUGUCUAUGUGAAUUAAAUCAAUGGUAUAUAUAUACAAGACAUGAUUAUAUACUUGAAAAGGAUUAAAUCUGUUUGAAUAUUUGAUAUCGAUGGACAUAUGUGAUUUCCUUAUUGAAUGAGGUCCUGCAUUUAUUGCUGAAGGGAUUUAGCUCGGACGAGUAAUCCUAAUGACCUCAUUUUAGACGGUAUUUAGCUCAGAAGAAUAAUCCCUAUAUUAGCCCUCUCGAGUAUAAGUUGUAGACAGGAUUUAGCUCAGACGAGUAAUCCUGAUACAGUUCAGUAAGCAUUCUGAAUGGUAGUGUACUUGCAUAUGUUGCACAUUACCAAAGCUAUGAAUAAAUGAUUUGAUAUGUGACUCGAGAGUGUACUCUCUGGUUUAGUACCCUAUGGGUACCUACAAUCAUGAAUUGACGAUUUAUAGACUUGUACACAUUGAGUGUACUAUUUGAUUAUUCAUCGAUAUUUCCAAUAAUUCAACGGAUGAAAUUCUUGACAUGAGAAAGUGAUGAGAUAAAAAGUAUGAUAUCUUGAAUGCUUCUAAAUUGGUUGAUGAAAUGUACAUGAUGAGCUCAUCCAUGUUUAUUGAUAUACAUGAUGCCUAUGAAACUAACUUGUUGAUUAAGUGCAUUUGUAUAGGUAACUAUGCCAAGUUGAUGAAUAACAUGUUAUAAUAUGUUUGGAUGUUAAUAAAUUAGAUGGGUAAGUUUAAUUCUUGUUAUAUGAACUUACUAAGCAUAAAAUGCUUACUAGGUUUAUUUUCCUCUGUUAUAUAGUGCUCGAAAGCUCGCGAAGGUUGGAGUUUGGUUGGAGCAUCAUCACACUAUGCACUCGCUCAUUUUGGUAUUAAUGGAAAUCUCAUUUUGGGUAUAAUGGCAUGUAUAGGCUAUUUUGUCAAUAUUGGCAUGUAAAUGGUUAAAUGUAAUCUAGCCGUUAGAAUGGCUAGCAAUAAUAUGUUUUGGUUUAAUUAAGAGGUUUAUCAUGAUGUUGUCUCAUAUGCUCUGUAUGAUUGAUUAAAUUAUGUUAACAUAUAUGUUUACAUAAAGGUAAGAAUAUAAAUGUGAAUGCAUGAUACAAUAUACCAAGUUAAAAUAUGGAAAUUGCUUAGUUAUGAUGCUUGGAUUGGUUAGGAUACAAUUAUAAAGUUCUGUGUAGGUUGUUGGUAAAUUUGGGUGAGAAAGUAAAGAAGUAAAGCUAGGAAAUGGCUUUAUUUUAUCCACACGGGUAGACACAAAGGCGUGUGUCUUGACCGUGUGUGACACACGGCCUGGUACAUGGUCGUAUGGUUAGGCCGUGUGUCCCCUGCACCUUAAAUUCGAGAAACAGAAUGCCCAGUAUUGAGCACACGGGUAGAGACACGGGACACAAGCGUGUGACUUGGCUAUGUGAAAACUGCUUCUUCAUGUUUUGCAAGUCAAAAAGUUAACGGGUUAGUGACACGGCCGUGUGACCUAUGUCACACACCACACAACCUAGGACAUGGGUGUGUCACUUGGCCGUGGGCGUGUGACCCCUGUACAUGACAAUUUUUAAAAUUUUACAAAAAAUUUUAUAAGUUCUCGAUUUGGUCCCAACUCGAUUCUAAUGAUUACUUUGGGCCUCGAGGGCCCAUUCAAAGGAUGUUAUAAUGAAUUACGAAAAAUGUAUAAUAAUUGAUUUGAAAUAUAUGGAAAUAUUCUAUAAUCAUCGGUAAUGCUCCGUAACCCUGUUCUGGUGACGGAUACGGGUUAGGGGUGUUACAAGUAUUGAUAUUUUAGAAAAUAUCGAUACGUAAAAAAAAUGUAUUGAUACUUAAUAGGGUUUGUAAAAAACAAGAUGUCAUUUUGUUAUCGCUUUUAAGAAGGGAAUUGAUAAUUCAUAAAAUAUCGGUACUUAGCUAAAGAGGUAUUGAUACUUUUUGGCCUGAAGCUAUUUUGACUUGUUUGAAAAUUAUUUUAACUUGAUAAAAUGAUAAACACUUACUUAGUCAAAUUUCUUUUAACUUGAUUUUAGAAUUGCUUCAAAAAAAUUUCUAAGAGUUCAAAGUAGAUAUUCAAAAUUUUUAUCACUUAGACUUCAAUUUUAAACAAAUCAUUUUGUUAAUUUUGUUCAAUCUUAUAUUUUAUUCAAAAACACUUCAAUUUCUUAUAUCAAAGUAUUUUAGCAAAUAAAGCUUGGUUUAACACUAUCUCAAUACUUAAAAAAGUGUCGGCCCAAAAGUGUAGUCUUAGGACUAUCUUGUUGUAGUGUCUUGACGAUGUUGUGGAUAGCUCGGUUCAAGUUGAGGGUGCUUCUAAUAAUGCUGAUCUUUCUUCUAUUGUUCCAUCCGAUAGGAAUCCUUCUUCUAUUAGUGUAGCUACUGAUACUGUUAUCUUUACUUCAAUAUGAGAUGAGACAAUAUAGAUUAAGUAGGUCAUGUUUAGUCUUUCUGUAAAACUUUGGUAUUUAAUGCAAACUUUAGCCCUUAUUUGGAUUCCGUGUUUAUGUUAUGCUUCGUUGCAUUUCUUUAUCAACUUAUUGUAUUGAUCUUGUGUAACUUUAUGAAGCUUUUAUUUUUACUACUUGGAAGAUGUAGGAAAUUUUAUUCUUUCCUUAUUUGUUUUAUUGUGCUUUUAGAUUAACUUAGUGAUAAGUGCCCUUGGAGGGUUAAGUCCUUCAGAAGGCUAGUAGUUUUAUUUGCUACUAAUUUAAUGAGCAGUAUCCUUGGAGGGUUUAUGCAAAAUUAGUAGAGCAGAGGAUUGGUUGCACUGUCAUUUUUAGUUACGAUAUGACACCCCACACUCGUUCCGGACAGCAAAUUCAAAUAUAAGACAUUACAUCCGUUGCUAAACAACUUAAACAAAUAAAAACGUGACAUCGAACAUCGAUUCUUUUCACUUCGAAAUGGGUUGUCGUGACAUUGGACUUUGAAUAUAAUUUCUUAGGUUCGAAGUUGGAUGUCGCGACAUUGAUGGCCCUUUUGACCGUCAAAGUUGGAUGUUGCGACAUCCUAGGGUAGUCUACUGACUCCUCGACCUAAAACAAUGUCUUGCACACUUAAUCAACUUGUUAGUCUUUCCCUUAGGCCCAAUUGGCCCAAUAGGUCACAAAACAUACUAAAGUGCUUGUAACACCCCAAAUCCGGCCUAGACGUUAUGGCAGUAUCUGGCAAUGUCACACGAUAGUGUUUUUGAAACCUCGUUGUUAUGAUGAAAACAUUCCAUGUUAUAAUCUUUAGUAAACCUUUGUUAGAACUUAGGAAGUCGUCUUUAUUCGUUUAAGACAUUUGUUUGAGACAUCCCUCGUUGCAAAAAUUUUAAUAAAACAGUCUAAGUGCUCAUGCGUUUAGAAAAUACUUUAACUUUUUGAAAACCAAAUUUCUUACGACCAACAGGUAUAAAUCCAAUAAAUAAAUAAAAACUCAAAUUUAAAACCAAAGACCCAGAGGGUCUUUAAAUUACAACUCAAAUAAUCAAUAAUAAUCAAAUCAUAAAUCGUAAAUUGAAAACCAUGAAGUCCAAAAAUUACUGUGGUCACCGCUAAGUCCUCCAUCGCACCAAUCCGUCAAGUCUAGGGAUUACCUAUGCAUAUUAAACAAAAAGGAUGAGUUUACGUAAACUUAGUGUGUAAUCCCGCAGAAACAAACAAAUAAUCAGUAUUCACAGUGCACAGUUGAACAGUCUUGGGCCUAAGCCCUUUUCAGUAUCAGUGACAGUUUGGGACUCAGCCCAUCUCAGUACAAUGUCAAAACUGCAGUAGGACCUUAGCCCAUCACAAUAUCAGUAGCAGUAACAGUUAUGCAGUAGCAAAAUCCUACCUAACCAGCCUCUAUACACCAUUUUCGUCUAACCCUACACUCCAUGUGGGGAUAUAAAUAACCCACCCAUCCCUACACUCCAAAUAGUACCGAAUGCGGCACAAAACAGUAGUUUGCAGCUGAGCUGCCAGUAAAUUAGGCUUAAAGCCUUUCAGUACACUUCCUCCGAAUAACAGCUCCCAACCCAAUGCAAUGCAACAUACCAUGGAUGAUAUGCUAUUAUGCAAUUUCAGUACAUAUAUUCAGUUCAAAUAUUAAUAUGCUCAGUACAUAUAUCAUUCAGUCAAUUUCACACAUUUAGGGGUCUAAGUAGCGCUUACGGACCUUACAGUAGGUUCACAGUCGACUAGGGCGACCCGUGCAACCUUAGAAACAUUUCGGUAAAAAUGGGCCCACACGCCCGUGUGAGCCCAUUUGGCCCACUCGAACCCAAUUGGCCUUGGCCGUGUGAUCCAUUUUUAAUGUAACCCAUGCUAGCUAAAAUAUUCAUAUAUGUUUUCACUAUUUACUUAUAUGCUCAUUUAAAGUUGUCUACUUGAGUCAUUGUCACUAAAUUAUUUAUAUCUUGAGCUACAGAAUUCCAAAUUAAGAUCCACUUGAUGUUUUCAAAACUAGACGCAAAUACAUUUCUACCAUAAAAUUUUCAAAUUUUAUCACUUAUCAAAUAAGUACAGUAAAAUCUUCAAAAUUAUCCCUAUUCUAUUAUUUGACUGCUUCAACCUUUCCUUACUAAAAAUUAUUUAUCUCUUAGUACAAAACUUGGAUGAUGUUUCCAUUUGUUUCUCUUGAAAGUAGACUCAUUAAGGAUUUAAAUGUAUAAAUUUAAGCCCCUAAUUAAUUUUUUGCAAUUUUUGAUGAUUUUCCAAAUUCAAAAUAGGAGAACCCUAAAUCAUUCUGACCUCGUCUCACAAAAUUCAUUAUAUCUCCUAAUUUACAAUUCCAUUGUUUACACUGUUUCUUCCGUGAAAAACUAGACUCAAUAAAAUUUAAUUUCAUAUUUUAUUCAACCUCUAAAUCAAUUUUCACUAUUUUUGAAGAUUUUUCAAAGUUAGACUACUGCUGCUUUCCAAAACUAUUUUAGUGCAAAAUGUUGAUUUCCAAGGUUAUAACACCCUUAUUUCCUUUCUCUACAAUUUUUUUCGCAUCAUUUUCUCUUAUUUCUCUUAUUUCUCGAUAGCAAGUAAUUUUAGCUUUUCGUCGAAUCCCGUUUUUUGUGUUUCGGGUUCACACCUAGUUUCGUUUGAUGCUAAAACAAUCCACAAGCACUCCAAAGCCUAUAAUUGAACAAAUAACACUAAUUUAAUCUCGCAUAACCUGAUCCCAAAUUGAACUCGUAUCGAGGUUUUAACCCAUAAGCGACUUAACCUUACCUUCAACCGAUGAACAGUAAUUCCCACACAAACUAAGACUCUGACUGGUGAUUACGAGCCCUUGAAUCCUCCCCUAAUUGGCAUAAACAAAACACUUCCGAAGAAAGUUAACAAAUAGAGACAAAUCACUUAUCUAAAACUUACCGAACAAUCGCAGACAAACGUGGAGUGACACGAGGCAAAGUGGGAAAAAAAUAAGAAGAUGAAGGGUGAAAGAGAGCAGAAAUUCGACAGCAAUGAAGAGAAAAACAGCAAGAGGGUGGAGGGAUUUUGGGGAAAGUAAAAAAAAGAAAAAAAAUUAAAAGAAUAUUUGAUAAGCACCCCAAUCCCUUAUUUCUCUCCAUCAAACUCCCCACUAAAUCCACUACUCAGAUUUUUAGUCCAUCUCAAACUCUCUUGGACAUACGAGCAAAAAUAAUGCCCAUGCUAAGAUUCAAACAUAGGACCUCUUUCACACCAACACUCUACUUAUCCAUCAAACCAGCAAGCCCAUUCUGUUAAUUAUUUGUCAACUUUUACUUAAAAGCCUACCGACCAAAGAUAGGGCUUACUCAUAAAAAUACCAAAAUUUGCCCAAGUCCUGCCUUGAACUUGGAACUUCCCAAACACACCCAAAACACUUCACCACUGAAGCAGAUACACAGUUGUGUCACACAUUCACAAUACUUAAAAUUAAAAUUUUGGGGCGUUACAAUGCUUGUUUUAUUGAAUUAAACUAUAACCUUACUAACUUCAUAAAAUGCAUAAAAAACUAAUGCAUCACUUGAUUACAAACUCAUAUUCAAGCUUAAUUUGCCACAGUGAGUUGUGGUCAAUCAAUUGUUAAUAUGAAAAUUAUUUUUUUAGAACAACCAAUUUCUCUCAACCGUAUUUUGAAGCAGUGGUGGAUCCUGGGACAAAGUUUGGAGGGGAGGCUAGUAAAAUUUUUAGGAAUUAUAAUUUUUUUUUGCCAUAACUAUCUAAUACUCAUACGUGUUUAUGCUUAUAAUAUAAUUUUUGUAACUAGUAUAAAAAUAAAUUUUUAAAAUGGGAUUUGAGUGUAAUUACGUAUGUAAUCAUUUUAACUCUCACCCUAUGUAAUCAUUUUAACUCUCACCCUCCCCUAAGAAUUAGAAAGUGUAAUUGAGUGCUCUAAUUACAGCCAAUUCGGUGGGACUCACCAAUCAAUGGUUACCCAAACAUGUCAUCUUUGUGUAAUUACUAGCAAUUACACCCAAAUUCAAUUACUAGGUGGUUUUCCAAACAUUACCUUAAUAUAUUACUAUUGGUUCUUUCUCACUUUUGUUUUAUUUUAUUUUCUUCACUUUUAAAAUGUUAUUUUAUUAUCUUAAUUAUUUUUCAAAAUUAAUAGAAUUUUAUUAUAAAUUAGGAUAGUUCUCAUUUAAUUAACAAAUUUUUAUAUAUUAAAAUUAUAAAAAUACAUUACUUAGUAAAUUAAAAAAAUAAACAAAUACAUAGUUUCAUUAAGAGUACUUUUGUAUUUUCUCCAUUAUGUGGUAUUUUCCCUAUAAAUACAUAGUUUUAGAUUUAUACCUAGAGAUAGCCACCUUAGUAUUAUUUUGCUUUAGAGUUUUCUUUUCUCCAUGAAUUUCUAAAUCAUCUUUUCUAGUCAAAGGAUUUUGAAGUUUGAUUCUAAUAGUUUGUAAGAUCUAAUUGCUCUUCAUCUAUUCUUUGUUCUUUAGUGUUUGCAUGUGUUCUAUUUUAAUCACAAAUAUUCAAGUUUGUUGGAUAUUGGUACCAUAUUCAAUUGCUUAGAACAUAGUGACAAAUAACAUUGUAAUCACUGAAUUUUGUCCGGGAUUAAUUUCGUAUUUUUUUCAAAAAAAAAGAAUUUUUUAAAAAAAAUUAUUACAUUUUGACCCCUAAACUUUUCUAAAAUUAUAUUUUGACCCCUAAACUUUCUCAAAAUUUGACCCCGAAACUUCCUCAAAAUUACACUUUGGCCCCAAAACUUUUGCUGCAUUUACGAUUUAGUCCUUCUAGUAGCCACCAAUGCAAGUUGCACCUACAACGGCGGCGGCCGGCCUAGGGCAUAGCCCCCUCCCCCUCCCCACUUGCUACCUGCAAAAAGAACAAGAAAAUCAGCUAUAAAAAGGGCUUAAAACCCCAAAAAUUGGAACCCCCACUCAUGAAAAAAUUCAAGAAAAAAUAAAGAAAAAGAGAGCUUUUUUUUCAAAAAGAGGAGGAGGAGAAAUCGGCCACUGGAGAACCACUUGCGGAGGCGACUGCAGCAGCACGAGCAGCGAUGUCGACGGGACGAAGGAGGCCGAACGGAGAAGAAGAAGAAAAAAGAAGAAAAAAGAGAAAGAAAGAAGGAAGAAGAAGAAGAAGAAGAAGAAGAAAGAAAAAGAAAAAAGAAAAAGAAAAAAGAAAAAGAAAAAAAAUAAAAAUAAAAAUAAAAAAUAAUAUUUUUUUGAACAGUCGGGUCGACCCGACCAGACCCGACCCACGGGCCGACCCGCGACCGACCCAUCAGCAGUAGGCCAGCCCAAUUCCGAAGGCAGCCCAAAAAGAAAGGAAAAAAAAGGAGCAGAAAAAAAGCAGGCCAAGCAGCCCAAUCCAGCAGGCCCAACAGAUCCAACAGCAGGCCCAAUCAGUGCAGGCCCAGAAGGCCAUCUGCAGCAGGCCUGUGGCAUGCCCAUAAUCGGCAGCAGCCCAGUCCCUGCAGUAGCCCAGCAGCCCAGCAGAAAAAAAAAGAAAAAAAAGAGGGGCCCAAGUCGUGUGACCCGUUCAAUUUAGUUCAUAUUUUCGAGCUUUUAGGUAAUUUUCUUUUUUUUCAUUUUUAAUUUAAUUUGUGUACUUUUAUAAUGUCUCGUAUUUUAUAUUAUGUUUUUAAUAUUUUCUUUAUUUUUAUUUUAAUUUUACAAAACAUCAUUAUAUUUAUUAUAUUUAUUUAUUUUAAUUUUAAAUAAUUUUAAUAAAUAAGGCAACGAAUCGAUUUAACAUUAAGCCAUUGAUUUCAUCGCUAUGUUGGGUGAAUAUUACCGGUUUGUGUUAAAUAGGAGACGCCCUUUUAAAAAUUGAAAAUAUUCAAAAAUUCUCGUGUUUUAAUAAAAUCAAGAUUAAAUAUUAAGUUGAGUCGAUUUGACACUAAUUCGAUAAUUUCAUCGCUAUGUUGAGUGAAUAUCACCUGUUCGUGUUAAAUACAAUACAUCUUUUUUAAAAAAAAAAAUCGAAAAAUUCGUGUUUCAAAAAAUUCUCUUGUUUCAAAAAUUUUCGUGUUUUCAAAAAUUGUUGUGUUUUAAAAAUUUUCAUGUUUUUAAAAUUCUUGUAUUUGAAAAGUUUCCGUGUUUCAAAAAUUUUCGUGUUUCUAAAAUUCUCGUGUUUCAAAAAAAAUCCCGUGUUUUCAAAAAAAAUGUUGUGUUUCAAAAUUCUUGCGUUUUUAAAACAAGAAAUUCCUGUGUUUCAAUUGGAUCACGAUUAAAUAUUAAAUUGAACUUGUAUUUUUGAAAAUUAAGACAACAUGCGCUUAACAAGAUACCAAUUUUGGGCGUUACGAGGGUGCUAAUACCUUCCACGUGCGUAACCGACUCCCGAACUCUAAUUUUCUUUGAAUUUUAACGUAGACCUAAAAUUGACUUUUUUUUAGAAAAUUUGAAAAAUAAUUUUUCUUUUAAAAAGAGAGUUUAUUAGGUGUCCGAUCACACCUAGAAAAAAUAUCGGUGGCGACUCCUUUUUUUAAAUAAAAUCGAGACUCUGUUUUCAAAUUUUCAAUAAUCACUUCAAUUAGCGCCAAUGUACAAAAUAUUUAGGUCGCUACGAACAUGAUUACAUAUAAACUAUGUAUGCAAUUCAUGUUAUGUGGAUACCCGAUUUAAUCUAAAUGAACCCCGUUGGUGUGUGUUUGUUGGUCAGAAAUAAGUUUUAGUCAUUCUUAAUACUACCGAUAAUUAAGCUAAAUCCUAGGCACGAAGUUAUAGGACAUCUUGGUUAUCGAAAGGUAAUGAGAGAUUGUUUAUAGGGUUCUUAAUGCUAGGUGCGACAUGGGCAACUAUAACUAAUUUAUUAAAAACACUAAAAUUAUAUUUGGAUCAUUGAUCAAACUCACUAAUCAAAAUUGAGAUUUUACCUUGGUUAGACUCUCAUUAUAUUGAUUUUGCUAUAUUUUAUUUUGCAAUCUUUUUUUACAAAGUUUUAAUUUUAAUUUUAAAAAUCCUUAUUUUUAUUUUACUUGUUUUAUUAAAGAAUUAGAACAAUCACUAGUCUUUGUGGAUACGACUCUACUCACAGUCAUCUACAAAUUUAUUUAUUUUAUUAAGAAUUUAUUUUUAUAGGUCACAACAACCAUACAACUUUUGACACCAUUGUUGGGGAUUGGUGUCCAUAAUUUUAUUUCCUUUUAAAUUCAAAUAAGAGUUUUCAAGAAGAGUGAAUAAGGUAAAUAUUUCUUUUUCCUAAUAAUCAUUGAGACCAAACGAUAACAUUAAUGAUGAACUUGAUAUUUGUGGGUGUCGAAAUAUCCCUAAAAAAAUGUAUUUCAAAAAUUAAUUUUCCAGGAAACACAUUAUAAAUAAUAAAAUAUCUAAUAACAAAGUAAAAAAAAAAUCGAAGUUUUGGUUCCCCUAUAAUCGAGGGCACAGUUUGCCUUUAACGUGGAUGAUGAGGAAAGUCUUGACGAUGUUGUGGAUAGCUCGGUUCAAGUUUAGGGUGCUUCUAAUAAUGCUGAUCUUUCUUCUACUGUUCCAUCGACUGGGAAUCCUUCUUCUAUUAGUGUAGCUGCUGAUACAGUUACCUCUACUUCAAUAAGAGAUGAGACAAUACAGAUUGACUAGGUCAUGUUUAGUCUUUUUGUAAAACUUUGGUAUUUAAUGCAAACUUUAGCCCUUAUUUGGAUUCCGUGUUUAUGUUAUGCAUCCUAGCAUUUCUUUAUCAACUUAUUGUAUUGAUCUUGUGUAGCUUUAUCAAGCUUUUAUUUUUACUACUUGGAAGACGUAGGGAAUUUUAUUCUUUCCUUAUUUGUUUAUUGUGCUUUUAGAUUAACUUAGUGAGAAGUACCCUUGGCUAAGUCUUUCAGAAGGCUAUUAAUUUAACGAGCAGUAUCCUUGGAGGGUCUGUGCUAAAUUAAUAGAGCAGAGGAUUUGUUUCACUACCUUUCUUAGUUGCAACGUGACACCUCACAUUCGAUUUGGAUGGCAAAUUUAUAUAUAAAACAUUAUAUCCGUUGUCAAAGCAACUCAAACAAACAAAUUGCUGAUGUCAAAGCCAAAUCAAGAAGCAUAGCACAUAAUUCAUAAUUUUCAAAACGCUAAUAAUUAAUUUGUAACUUUUUUUAAUAUAGUUAAUUUAGUGACUAAUGUCGUAAUUUGUCUCACUUAAAAAGAGCCCACCACUUGACUUGACGCAGAGGUCAAGAGAUAUCUCUAAUAAUGGGAAGCAAUAUUUGAUGUUUAUGGUUGAUAUUGCUCUAUGUAAGGGUGUUCAAAUGAUUAAUUGAUCAGUUAACUAAAUCGAAUUAGUAUUUGAUUGAAUUAAUCUAACUUUUUAAUCCUUUAAUUGUUAAUUAAAUCAAUUUAUUUCAAAAAACAUUAACCGAACAAAAAUAUUUCGGUUAAUUCGAUUUGUUAACCAAAAUUUAUAUUUUUUUUGUUUAAAACAAAUAUAAAACAUAUAAAAAAAUUUGAUAAUGUUCAUUUGACCGAAUUAACCUAAUUAAUCAAAUUAGUAAUAGCCUAAUACAUAUGACAUAUAAUAUUAUUUAUUAAGUUUGGUUAAUUCGAUUAAUUACUCGAUUUCGAACCGAAUUAACCAUUAACUGAAAUUUCAAAAAUCAUUUAACCGAUUUCGGACCAAACUAGAUUAGUUAACUGAUCAAUUAACCGAAUUAAAUUAAUCUGAUCAAUUAAUUUAAUUUUAACAGAAGCUUAAACACCAAAAACCAAGUCUUUGUGGAAUUAAAGUUUUGUUGUUAAGACUCACUGGAUUUUUCACAACCACUAUAAUUAGAUUAGAACUAUCUCUCCGCGUAUGCUCAAGUUUAAAAUUUUUUAAUUAAAUUUUAAUUAUCUAUUUUUUAAUUAUUAUAAUAUUAACAUAGAAAUUAAAAUUGUGAUUAUUGUUCAUAGUAGAAUAUAAAGUCUUAAAUUAUGAUGAUAACAUCAUGGAGAAAAUAUUUUAAUUUAAAAAAUGUAUAAAAUUUAUAUAUUAUCUCUUUUACAAUUAUAUAAAAAAUUAUAUUAAUAUAUAAAAAUAAUAAAUUAAAAAAAUUCUGUUUUAAUCGUUUGCCAUUAGAUAUCUAGUGAACUGAUGCCAUCCACUAAUUUGACUCUCAAAAAAUGGAAGUUUGGGAAAGCUAAAGGUUGUUAAAUUAGACAAAAAGAAACAAGAAGCCAUGCCAAUAAUUCCGUUAACAAUUUAACCGGACCAAAGUAGAACUAAACGAUAACAUUAAUGUUGAAAUUGAAAGUUUUUUGUAGUUCAAUGACAAAACAAAAAUACGCUAAUAAUUGAGCCACUCAUUGUGUAAUUUAGCAUUAAUUUAUUUUUGGAAGAAAUUGUAUUUAUGUGAUAAUAAUAAAUUUCAAAAAAAUAAAUUAUUUCUUUUGUCAAAAAUUUGUAAUUAUAAUAAUUUAAAUAUAUAUAUAAAAAAGUAUCCAACAAAUAUAUCAAAUUAUUGCAAUAAAAGGAUGAAGAAAUCAUAAUAUAACAAUACACCAAUUAGAAAUAACUUCAUUUCAAAUAUAAAUGAAAUUUAAUAAUGAAACAAAUUCUAUUAAAGACAAGGACUAAACUAAAAAAAUUAAAACCAAUUAUAGACUAAGAUAUGAAUAUAUAAAUAGUGAAAAGUGUAAUCAUAAACUUUUAAAAUAAAAAUAUUCUAGAAAGCAAUUAUUUCUAAAAAGUAAAAAUCAUUAACUCUUCCACCUUCCGCCCUCUUUUAUUUAUUAUAUUUUUAUAUUGAAUAUACUAUAUUUUUUUACUCUUAGUCUUUACUUGUUGAAAAGGUUACAAAGUUAUCAUAAAUUUCCUAAAAUCUUAUGGCACUUUUCCAAAGAUCCAAUACAGAUUGAUACAAUAGCUGAAUUAUACCAUUAAUUAUUAAAUUAUAGAUAAUCAAACAAGAUUAUAAUUUAGUCAUUAAUAUUUUCAAAAUUAUUUUUAUGGUCACCUGAUUAUUAAGUGGCACUUUUUUGGUUGGUAUGAUAACAAUUUUAUUCUUUGAUUUUUCUAUUAAUUUGGCCCUGGUGCUAAAUAAAAAUUAUAAAUAAAUAAAUAAAUAAUUUCGAAAACAGUAGUCAUCAAAUUGUAACAUUUUUAAUUUAAUGACUAAAACAAAAACUUACCUAUAAUUAAUUUAAUGACUAAUUUCAUAAUUUACCCUUUAUUUUUUGAAAGGAAAUCUUACUUAAAAAGAUACCACCACUUGACUUACACAUAAGUCAAGAAAGGAAAGCAAUAUUUGAUGUUUACUGUUGAUAUUGUUGUAUGAAUGCCAAAAUCCAUGUAUAGACUUAUUUCGAGUGUUUGAAUUUUCCACCAAAAACAAAGUCGCUGUUGAAUUAAAAUUUUGGUGCUAAGACCCAUUGUAUUUUUCACAACCACUAUAAUUAGACGAUAAUUAUCUCUUCACGUAUUCUCGAGUUUAAAAUUUUUUAAUUAAAUGUUAUUUAUUUUUUAUAAAAUAAAUAGUCAGAGAUAAUAAAGAACAAUGAAUAUGAGAGAACAAAAGAGAGUGUGUAUUUUAUUGAUCAAUCAGAAUAUCUACAAACUUUCUCCAAAAUCUGUAACACCUCAAACCUGGCCUAAACGUUAUGGCCGAAUCCGGAGAUGUCACAAAGAAUGGUUUUGAAAACGGAGUUGUCUCGCCAAAUCAUUCACAUUUCAUACUUCACACGCAUUCCCAAUUUUACUGAAAACAUCAUUUAAUUAGUUUGUUUGCUAAAAUGUAUUACAGCAGAAACCUGAAAACAAUCGUUAUGUUUUUAGAAAUGCAGCCGCAUUUUUAGGAAAACAUUUGUUUGCGUAAAAGCUGUCGUUUUCAAUAAAACAUUUCGUCAAAGCAUGCAUACCAUUAACAAUCAAAACCAAAGCCAAAGGUUAAAAAGUCCCAAACAGUCCAGAGAGUCCCAGAAUUUACAAACUCUCAAUGAAACCAAAAUUUAAUAUAAAAUCAUAAAUUAAUAUUUGAAAACAGUUUACGAACGACUGGUCACCACUGAGUCUCCUGCCGCACCGAUCCGCCUAAGUCUGUGGAUUACCUGACAUAAUAGACAAGUAGAUGUGAGUUUACGUAAACUCAGUGUGUAACCCAGCAGAAUUAAGCAUGCAAUCAUACAGAAUCAUAUACAUAAACAGAAACAAAUACAAUACAGAUUCGGGCCCAGGCCCAUUUCAGAUACAGUAAACAGAAUCAGAUAAUCAGAAUCCUAUCCCCAUCCUCUACACACCAUCUCCGACCAUCCCAACACACUAUGUGGGGUUAAAAACACCCACCCAUCCCUACACACUAGGUUGUUCCAUUACAACACGUAUCAGAUAUAGUGCAGCCAAGCUGCCAGAUAAUAGGCGAUGAUCGCCAAACAGAACACUUCCUCCAUCAAUACAAAACCCACCUCACAAUCAUAUACAGGACAAAUACAAAAUAACAUACUAGACAUGCUCAACAUGUUAUGUACGGAUAUCAGAAUAAUCAGAUAUGCAUGAUAUUAUCAUACUCAGAACAAAUCAUCAGUCCAUCAAAUCUACAGUUUUAGGGUUAGGCUAGCCCUUACUGACCCUACGGUAGGCCCACAGUUGAUUGAGACGACCCGUGCAACCCUAGGAUAAAUUUUAAAAAUUUGGGUCCACAUGCCCGUGUGGCUUGCCCGUGUAGGCCUACACGCCCAGAUUGGCCCUUACUAUAUGGCUUGCCUGUGUGGCCCACACGACCACACUCGAGCCACCGCACGGUCGUGUUCUCGCACAUGGCCUACCACACGCUCGUGUGGCGUCGAUAGAACUAUUUUUUGGCUUUUGUUCAAACCUCUUUUUUUGCAUUUCGGGUAUACACCUAGGAUCGAUUUGGUGCAAAAUCACACUCGAGCCUUCCAGAACCUAAAAUCAAAAUUUCCAAAUUUUGAAUUUAGUAACACCAACAAAUCUCCACCAAGACAAUUUCACAACGAAACCUUACAACAUUAAUCAACGCACGCGAAUACUUACCGCUAACAAACAACAACCUUGAAAACUUAAAUCGUCGCAGGAACCCCAACCGAUCCUUGACCUUCGCCUAAAUUGAGAGUAACAAAACAAAUCCUUUCGUUAAACACUUAGCCAAAAAACGUUAAGAUUCUAACAAUACAAAACUUACAAAAAGAAUGCAGUCAAACGUUGCACAAAAAAAACGAGACCGAUUCAGAAAAGAAAUAAAACAGAAGUGGGAAAUAGAGAGACAAUUUUUCUACAAAGAGGAGAACAAAAAGAAUGUCAGUUUUUUUUGGAAAUCGAAAAUUUUGAAAAAAAAAUAAAAUAGAAUUAUCCCAAAUCCCCCCCUUUUUCUCUUGCUAACCCACUAACAUCCAACAUCCUCAGACAUGCAGUUCAACCGAAACUCCCUCCGACAACCGAGCAAAAAUUAAUUACCCAUGCUAACGCAAAAAUUUGAACACAAGACCUCAAACACACCACUCCCUUACCACCUGAACCAACAAGCUCAAUCUAAUUUAAAUUUACAGGCAAUAAAAUAUAUGCCCCCUUACCAAGGAUAAGGCUUAGAUUCAAAAAUAACCAAAAUUUGCUAAAGGUAAGGCUUGAACUUGAGACCUCUCACACAUACCUAGAACACUUAACCACUAAAGCAAACAAAUAUUUGUCAAAAACUUACAAAAACAGAAAUAAGAAAAUCAGGGCAUUACAAAAUCUCUAUUUAUAGGUAUAAAAAGUAUAAAUGAAGUAGAGAUCUCCUAAUGACUAUUAGAAUUUAAAGUACAUCAAAACUUAUCUUGAUCUUAAUGGACAUCCAUAUAAUAAUAUAUUCAUAACAUUUAUUUAUUUUUAAAAAUUAUUAUAAUAUUAACAUAGAAAUUAAAUUUGUGAUUAUUGUUUAUAAUAUAAUAUAAAUGAUAACAUCAUGGAGAAAAAUAUUUUAAUUUAAAAAUUGUAUAAAAUUUAUAUAUUAUCUCUUCAAUAAUUUAAAUUAUAAUGAUAAUUUUUAUAUAUUAAAUUUAAUAUAUUUAAUCUUCCUUUAAAAGAAAUAAAUUACUUGUUAAGUUAUUGCAUUUAUUCUAUGAAUUAAUUUUAAAUUUUAUUUGUCAAUCUUCACAAAAUUAUUAGAUACUUUGAGCAAUUUAGAAAAUCAUUUAAAAAUAGAAAAAUUCCAUUGAAGAAUGAUACUUUUGAUUAUUGAAAGUAUCUGCUGAUUAUCGGACGCAUGAUGUCGAAACCAUUUUUUGGAAUCGACUUUUAUUUUAAAAAAUGAAAAAUGGGAGUCGCCACCAAUCCUUUUUUUAUGAGGUGUAAUCGGGUCACAUCGUAAUUUAAUCGUUUUAAUAAAGGGUUUAAUUUAUUAAAACAACGAUUUUUUGGUCUAGAAACUUUGAGAAAUGAGUUCGGGAGUCGGUUACGCACGAGGAAGGAUUAACACCCUCACAACGCCCAAAAUUGGUACCUAGUUGAUUAAUUAAUGUCUUAAUGUCGAAAAUUGAAAACUUGAAAAGAGUUUAAAAUACAAUCCCUCUUUGUAUUAAUAUCAUGAUUACUUAAAAAAUCUUAAAUAAAUCGAAAAGUAUGUUAAAGACCCUCUCAUCUCGAGGUAACAAAAUGUCACAUCCCGUAAAUUAGGACACGACACUUCAAAUUUUUGAGAAUGAAUUUGCCUUUAUUUUUUAUUUGAAUCUCACAUGUUUUAAUUUUAAAAAGAUAUUAGGUUAUUUAGACCCAACGAGAAAAAAAUCGAAACCCUGUAAGUUAGGGCACGACUUUCUCAAGUUUCCAAAUACAGAAUAUUGUAUUAUUUUAAAAAUUUUGAAUAAUAACAAGUGUAAUAUUUAAACGAUGUGUAUUUUUUAUUUGGAUACAAUACAUCAAUGGACAGACAUAUCUAAACUUAAUGUAUAGUAGUGAUACAUGAAAUAAUAUAAAAUGACUAUAUUGAUAGAAUAUUGGAAUGAUAAAUAAUAGGUAAAUAAAUGAAUACUAUAACAAUAAUAGUAUAACCUUAAUAAUAAUAAUAAUAAUAAUAUUAACAAUCAGAUCAUAGUGAUAAUAAAUAAAAUAAUUUAAAAUAAAUAAGAACAUGGAAGAUGCAUGUUAGAAACUAAAGGUGCGUUUGGUUCGUUGUAUUGGAUUAGAGGUGUAUUGGAUUAGAGGUGUAAUAGCAAACCAACUGUUUGGUUGAAUGUAAUGGAAUAGAGGCGUAAUAGUAAUCUUGUGUUUGGUUGAAUGGAAUAGAGGUGUAAUAGCAUAAUGGAAAAAACUAAAAUGACUAGAAUACCCUUAGCAUAAAUUUGUUUUGGUAAAUGAUUAUUGUUAUUGUUAUUUAAAUUUUAAUAAGAUUAUUAUUAUCAGUAAUAAAUAUUUUAAUCAUAUUUAAACAUAAUUAUUAUUAAAUAUAUUUUAAUUAAAAUAUAUAAUUUAAUAAAAUUCUUAUAAUUAGCAGAUAUUUGUUUUGGUAAAUUAUUAUUGUUAUUGUUAUUGUUAUUUAAAUUUUAAUAAGAUUAUUAUUAUCAAUAAUAAAUAAUUUAAUCAUAUUUAAACAUAAUUAUUAUUAAAUAUAUUAUAAUUAAAAUAUAUAAUUUAAUAAAAUUCUUAAUAAUUAAUAUUCUUAUAUGAAUUUACUCAAAUCAUAAUAUAUGAUACUGUAAAAAUAUAAAUUAACAUAAUUAUUAUUAAAUAUAUUAUAAUUAAAAUAUAUAAUUUAAUAAAAUUCUUAAUAAUUAAUAUUCUUAUAUGAAUUUACUCAAAUCAUAAUAUAUGAUACUGUAAAAUAUAAAUUAACAUAAUUAUUAUUAAAUAUAUUAUAAUUAAAAUAUAUAAUUUAAUAAAAUUCUUAAUAAUUAAUAUUCUUAUAUGAAUUUACUCAAAUCAUAAUAUAUGAUACUGUAAAAUAUAAAUUAACAUAAUUAUUAUUAAAUAUAUUAUAAUUAAAAUAUAUAAUUUAAUAAAAUUCUUAAUAAUUAAUAUUCUUAUAUGAAUUUACUCAAAUCAUAAUAUAUGAUACUAUAAAUGAAAAUUUGAAAUAAUUAAUAUUAAAUAUAUUUUAAUUAAAAUAUAUGAUUUAAAAUAAUUUAAAAUAAUUAUAACUAAUAAAUUAUAUUUUAUGAAUUUGUAUAAUUUAAAAUAAUAAUUAUUACAUAUAAUUUAAUAAUUAAUAUUAAAUUUCAUAAAAUUCUUGAUAAUAAAUUUUCUUAUAUGAAUUUAUACAAUUUAAAAUAAUUAAUAUUAAAUAUAAUUUAAUAGUCAUAUAUAGUUUCAUAAAAUUCUUAAUAAUAAAAUGUUCUUAUAUGAAUUUACUAAAAUCAAUAUAUAACUUGAGAAUUAUAUUCUGCAUAAACAUAAUUAACUUAUAUUAAGAAAAAGUUAGAUGAAAAUGAAAUUGUACAUCAUAAUCCAUAUGUUAUAUAGUUUUACAACAUCAAAAAGUUUGAACAUUGAUAUUUAAUGGUGAGAAAGAAAUCUUCUGACCCAUUCCAAUCGGGCAACAGAAGGUAAACUAAAGAAAACGAUCAUUUGAGUUGGAUGAUCGGGAAUUUUACUCUAAGCAUCAUACCGCUGAUCGUCGGUUAAACCUUCAAUUGACCAUAAGGCUGAAUAUAAAUUUGAAGCUUUCUUUUCCAUCUUUUGAUGUUCUUCUGACUUCUGCUGAACUACCACCUCGGAUGCAAUACUCCUACUGAUUUGAUCGCCAACGGCCUGAAUUUUUCCCCCCAACAAAAUGGCAGCCUCCUCAAAUGAAGAAUACACAUUAUCACGAGCAUCAGAUUUCUUCUUUCUCUUGUUUGAAGAUGAGGAACCCCCUUGGUCUCUAUCUCCUCGCGGAUCCGUACCAGAAACAUCCAUGUGGUCUAAAGAGACGUCAGCUUCGCAGUCAUAGAAUGUGUUUCUCUCUUCAUUCAUAUCUGUAGUACGUUCAUCCUCAGCAUGUAUUUCUUCAAGAACAUCAGCAGCUGUUUGAGCGUCUUUCCCAGUCGCCCGAUCUCUUGCGUAUAUGGCAGUAAGCUGGUUGUAGUAAGGGAAAGAACGAUGUCUGAACUGAGAGGCUUCUUUGUGACUCUAAAAAAAACAAGGAAAUCAUAUUAGUUAUAAGUUUUGUAAAAAAACAAAUAAAUACUUGAAAUACAUUUUACCUUAACAUAGGAUUCCCAAACUGCAUCUUCAGCAACAACGAGCUGCCUAUGCUCGUCCCAACCAAAGCCGCUGUUGUUUUGACCAUUAAGCAUGUCGUAGACGACUGACCAUUCCCUUUUUAGGCACCUAAUCCGAGAUUCAAUAUUUGGUCUCGCCUUCAACAUUGCUCUUGGUAAAGCCUUUUCUAGCAUUUUCUCUAGCUCGUUCAAAUAACCGACUUUGAACCCGGUAUCAGCAUUAAAUGUUCCUACAUUGUGCAAAUCCACCAUGCAAGAAACCAAGGCUGCAUCCUCUUCUGGAACCCAUUUUAUUUUGCUUCCUCGAGAAGCUUGAGAAGAAGCACCCGUUGGUGGAACACCUGACAUAUUGUUCUUAAGAAAAAAAAAACAAAUUAACAUUAUUUACUAUUUUGAAUAUCAUGAAUCAAAAGGUGAACAAUUUAUAAUAUUAUAUCGGUAGUUCAAUACUAAAUUUAAAUUUAUAACACAUGCUGAAUGAAAAGAUAAUUAAAUUAUAAUUCAACAAAGUUUAGUACAAUACAGAAUUUUAAUCAAAGACCACCAAAGUUUCAUAAACUAGAUACAUAAAAUAACAUCAACAAAUCAAUUCAAACUCAAUUUGUCCCUAAACCUAACUAAUUUCUAGAUGCUUGCCAUUCAUCGAACAUUUGGUUGGCUAGUUCCAUCCUCCAAGUUGCCCAAGCAUCCGAUGGAUGAAUAUUUGUGAUAUUCAGCUCAUCGUCAUCCACAACAUUAGUAGGUAAUCCUUCUCCCACCUCCGCUUCAAUGGGAUCAAUACUCAUAUGGGUUCGAAUAAAAUUAUGGAGCAAACAACAUGCAAUAAUAAUUCUAUUGUUAGAAUACUAAUUUAAUUCUAAGUCAACUAAAUGUUGUACAAUCUAUAUAUAAAACUCAGUCUAAUACCUUAAACCAUUUCCACCUUGUGUCAGAAGAAUCGGCUGUAAUUGGCUCCGGCUUUUUAAAUAAGACAUCUUGUAAGCGUAUGACAGCAUUUAAAACACUAUGAAAUGCUCUGCUUGCAGUUUCCCUGGACCUUCUAAAGUGAUGCUUGAUAACUCGAUUUUUAAGGUGAUGGGAGAUGAUAUGUAAAAACAUUGCUACUUGCUCAUCAAGAAGCAUGAACCUCGACGACUUCAAUCCCCCUAUCGAUUCUAACAUCUCACAUAGUUUAAAAAAUGCAGUUCUAUUCAUCCUAACUUGUUCAAUACAAGUCUCGUCACUAGCAUAUACAAGCCUCUUCACAUAAUCCCGUUGUGCAUAAAAAUCUACGGUAUAGGACCUAAUCCUUGGUCUAUAAGUAUGUAGGCUAAGGCUGGCACCCAUUCUAAAUAAGAACCAAAUCGCGAUUCUACAGAUUUCCAACCAAAUUGUCAAUGCAGCACCGAUUCUUUUACGCCUCACACUUUGUGCAAUUAAGGGCAGACGAGCCAUUACUGCACCAUAUUAAAAUUAGAACUCAGUAUCAAUCGCCUCACACUUUAGAGAUGCAAAUUUAUUAAAAUAAAUAUCGUAUAAGAUAUCUUUUUCAAUUAAUAAAAUAGAUAAUUCAUUCAAUUUUUGUUGAGAUAUUGUUAAUCUUCAGUAAGAUUUUAUCAAUUUUAAUUUUUAGAGCAUUUUCUCCGUUGAUGCAACAAAAACAUGAGUUAUUAACAUUAUACGCAUUUGAAAAAGGAAUAAACUCUUUAUGAAUAAUUAUGUCAAUUGAGUGUCAUUUUAUAAUUUGAUAAUUUAUUUGAAAAUAAUAUUAUAAUAAUUUGAAUUAAAUAAGGAAUUUGAAUAUUAUUAAUUUAAUAACAAUUAUAUAAGCAUCGAAAUUGGAACUUGAUUGAUUGUUUAUAUAAGUACCGAAUUAUAUUUUAAUUAAAAUAUGCAGAUUUAAUCUUAAAUUUGGAUAUUAUAUAAGCAUCGAAAUUGGAACUUGAUUGAUUGUUUAUAUAAGUACCGAAUUAUAUUUUAAUUAAAAUAUGCCAAAUAUAUAUUAUUAUCAUUACCAAAUUUCUACUUGGGACUUGGGUGAUUACUUUUCUUUACAAUUAACUCUCUUCAACUUUUCAAUCUUUUAUUUUAUUUUAUUUUAUUUUAUUUUAUUAACAUUGUAGCCUUAAAACAACUACCUAUUUUAUAAUCGCUUUAAUCAACACGUAGUUGAGGUUCGGGAUUCGAGUUUUGAUUUAUUUUAACACAUGGGUUCUUCUUAAGGGUAAGCAGGAAAAUUCGAAAAACCAAAAAUUAACUUGAACUAAUGUGUUUGGACGGUUUAUGAAAUGCUAGUUUUAAAAUGUGAAACCCAAAUCAUUUCUAUUUUUAUUUAUUAUAUAAUUAAUUUUAAUAUUUUAUGAUAUAAAAAUAAAAUUAUUAUAUUUACAGUAGUGAAAAUAAUUUAAAAGUUUUUGAAAGAUUAUUAUUUUCUAGAAACAUUUAUGAAAAUGUUUUUGAAAUUUUGUCAAAUAAUAUUCAAAAAGCCAUAAAUAAAGCUCUUUUUGUUAAAAUAAAUCUAAAAGCUCAAAACAAAAAUAUUAUAAGUAAUAUAAUAGAUAGUUGAAAAAAUUCAAAAGACUCAAUUAAAUCAAACCAAUAGAACCCUAAUUUUCCCCAAAUUUAUUAUAAGUAAUCAGUAAUCGAGUUAUUUUGCAUUGAAGUUGAUUUAAAAAAACUAUGAAAAUUUUAAAAAAUAAAAACUUUUUUAAAGAAACAUAAUACAAUCUUAAUUACAAUACAAAAUAAUACACGUUAGAAGCAUUAGCCUUUCAAAUUUUCAAAAAUACAGAAUACAUUCAAAAUUAUUAAUAAAUGGUCGGGUAUUACGUUCCUAAUGGAAAGACUCAAAUUUAAACUUUAGAGACGACAUUAUUAAAAGAGAAAAGCACAAACUCUAAACAUAAAAAAAUAUAUAUAAUACAUUUAAAACUUAAACCGAAAUAAAUAUUAACUAAAAAUUCGCACAUGAAUGACAUAGGAUGAGACUCUAACAUAAAAUUUUAAAGAUUUUUAAAACUUCAACCAUACAAGAUACUGUUUAAUUUAAAGAAUUUAAAAAUAACAGUUGAAAGAAAAAGAUUACAUGUUUUUCCCAUCCCGUCAAAUCAAAUUAACUUUUUUUUUCUAUAAUUUUAUAGUAGUAGCAUAAUUUAUUGAAUCCACUCAUGAACAAGCAUGAUAAAAGAAUGCGAAAAAUUCAGCAAAAUCAUGCAAAUAACAUCAUUACGCAACUACCUUUAGAUUCAAGUAAAUUGGACAUUCAUGAUGACUUGGAUAAUAAAAUUACUAUAAUGAGAAAGGGCAAUGCUCAGAAAGCCUUCAAAGUCGAUACAUAUAUGAGAUGGAGAGUAGGUUAAAGAGUUACAUGCAAAUAAGACAUUACCAGAAUUAUAUUCUAUCCAAUAAUUGAAGCGGAGUGGGUUGAAGGAUGUUUUAUUAGAUGGGGCUAUCAAAGUAGGCUUUCUUAUUUCUUCUAAGGGAGCUUAUAAUGUUAGAACCAUGGAAGAAUGAUCGAAAUGACAAUAGGUAAUUAUUUUGGUAACUUGGAGUGCUGCUGGUUUUAUGUUCUAGUAAUGUAAUUUUUUAUGGUAGAGUUAACAAUCUUGCCAGUAUCAUAUUAGAGAGAAUUAAGUUAAAAGGCUCAUAGUUCUUCAAUACUAAUCUCAGUAACAGUAAAAAAAAUCAAAUAAUUUAAUUGCAAAAAAACUUACAGUGACUCAGUGAAUACAAGAGGCUUAGUUAUGGGUGGAGCAAGCAAGCCAAGGGACUAAGGGAGUAGUGCUAGUGGCCGGAGGCGAAGCAAGCAAGGGAGGUUGGGACUGAGAGGUGAAAAUAAAAAUACAAAUUCAAUAAUAAAAAAAGAAGAAGAAAAAGUAAAGCAAUAUGUUUGAAGAAGUAAAACAACAUGCCUAUAACAUAACGAAUAAGAAACACAUAAAUAACAUAACCCAACAAAGAAGAAAAAGCUAAAUAGGAAUAUUUCAUGAUGUGUAAUAGGAGAUGACUAGCACUUCGAAUUUAAAGGAAUUUAUGUUAUUUGGUUUCAUAGUUUAGGGAUUCAUCAGCUGACAGUUGGUCUAGAUCAUUGGUCCAGAUACAACUUCACGAAUGAGUUUCUAUUUGGUUUCAAUGAUUUUUAACUCGUCUUCAUUGUCUUGCUCUGCUUAGCUUUGUUACGGAAAAAAGGUUUCAUUUAACUAGAAACUCAUGGUGUCAGGGUUUAUUCCAAGAAAUCCACUAAUUACUUCUUCAACUAUGUUUAGAAAAAAUUAUAAAUAAGGACAUACAUUCUUAGUAAAAAUACAAUUUACUUAUCCAGUUCAGCUAGUAAUAUACACAUGACUAGAAAGCAAGAGGGCAAAGAAAUUAAGUAAAUUAACCUCAAAAAAUGUACUCUUACAGGAAUCGUAGCUUUUGAAGCUUGCCCAGAGUAGAUGGAAUGUGUCCGGUUAAAGUAUUCAAGUAAAGAUCCAAGCUCACUAAGUUGGUCAAAUUUCCAAGAUCCUCUGGGAUUAUACCAGAUAUGUUAUUACUAUAAAGCUCCCUGUCAUAAAAAAAUGGUAAUCUUCAGCAAAAGAAGUUUAAUAGAAGCACAUAAACCAUGCAUGUAUCUAUGAAAAUGCAACCAAAUCCAAUGGAAAGAUGACAACAGAUGCAAACCAUUGUGUAAUGACAAAAGCAUAGAACAUCAUUGUUUACAACUAUUUCUACUAGUAUACCUGAAUAACUCAGACAUUCUGGUCAGUUUUGGUUACUAGGAUGACAAAAGCAUGCUGGUGUUUUGUUUUUCCUUUAUGUAUGUCUCAAUAUUCUAACAAUGAGAGGUAGCAUGUAAGAAAUGAGUUAUCUAUUUUGGGGUCAACCAAAAAUAGACUAGGCCUACACUAUUGACUUACAAAUUCUGCAAAGCCGGAAGCUGUCCAAGCUGUGGAACCAAAUGACCAAACAGAUUUGCAUUCCCGAGGUCCCUAAAUUGAGAAGGAAGAAAGCGUUUACUAAAUGCUUAUCAGGAAUGAGUUUCUAUUUGGUUUCAAUGAUUUUUAACUUGUUUUCAUUGUCUUGCUCUGCUUUGCUUUGUUACGGAAAAAAGGUUGCAUUUAACUAGAAACUCAUGGUGUCAUGGUUUAUUCCAAGAAAUCCACUAAUUACUUCUUCAACUAUGUUUGUAGGUACCACUGAAAACACAUGAAAAGAAGUCUAUCUUAAAGUUUUUCUCAACAAUGAAAGUUAAAAAGGAACAAGAAUCAAACAUGGAACAAAGUGUGUGCGAUGAAUAUGUCAAAAAAAAUUUGCUGAAUAACUUAAAGGAGGAACCUAAAAGUACAGAUGAUAGACUUGCAUCCUUAACAGAUAAAAUCGUUCACCUCUUUUAGUAAGCAAUUCACCAUUCAAGUGCUUUCUUUUACACAACAAAUCAAUAAGAACAACAGAAGAACACAUGCAACCCCAAAUCCCCCUUAAAAACGCUUCUUUUCCUUUGAUUAAUUAAUGCUUUUAACAAUUUAAACCCAAAAUGAAACAACUUCCAAUUCCCUGUUAGAACGAACCAACAAAGCCUAUAUACUUAAUCAUGAAGUAAAGAAAAAAAAAAGAAAUCACCCACUAAUAAAAAACAUAAAGGUCUUUUUUUUAAAUGGUGCAAUACAAAACCAAAAGAGCUAAAAACCUCAGUAAAUGAAUGAUAUUAAGUUAUUAACAUACAAGGAAAAUGAUCAUAGUUUAUAUGAAGAAAAAAUACCUGAAACUAGGUUAAAACUUCUGGGUCUGUUACAGAAAACAAAGAAAGAAAGGAGAAGCCUUUGUAAAUUUUUACUUAGAAAGAGAAAAACAGAAGCAGCUCUCUUCUUACCUUUCUCUAUGGCAUGCUCGAGAAGAAUUUGGGGCUACUGGCCGAAGGCGAAGCAAGCAAUGAAGGAGAUAAAGGAGAGACAAACCCAGGAAACAGAGGGCAAAUUAGGGCGUGAAAACUAAAACGGAUGUAAACUGAAGAGAAGGCAAGGAUUAGAAAACAGAGAAUUCUGAGGAUUAGGGGCGUAACGUAUUAGGGGUGUAUUAGGCAAUACAUUGAACCAAACACCUACUUAAGAGGGGCUUAAGUGGGGCCCACGGAUUAGGGGUGUUUUGGCUAAUCCAAUACACCAAACCAAACAUAGUGUAAAUGACAUGAAAAUGCCAAAAAUAAUAAAAGAAAAAAUGAAGCAAUAAGAGCACACCAAAAAGUAAAAAUAAGAUAACAAUGACGAUAAUAAAUUAAAAAUGUGACAAUAAAAGCAUGUGUACAAUCCAAUUUACGAGUAUGUGUAAAAAAUAAUAAUAAUAAUAAAUAUAUGAUAAAUAUAUGGGUACUAAUAAUAAUAAUAAAUAAAAUAAUAAUCAUGAUAACAAAUGCACAAAAAGAAAAUAAAAAAUAAAAAAGCUAAAAGAAAAAAGAAAAAAAUCACGAUAAAGGAAAAUAAAAUAAAAAACAGUUUUAAAUAUUAAAAAAUGGUAAAAAAAACUAAUAAAUAAGUAAAUAAGCAAGUAAAUAAAUAAAUAAAGGACUCAAUCGCAACUUAAAUAGAAUUAAAAGUAUAAAUCAAGAAAAAUACAUAAAUAAAAUACCAAAAUGAAAAGCGUGAAAACAAACGAGGACCAAAUGAGAAAUUAUCCCAAUCCUCUGAACAUGCGUCCCUUCUCCAUGAGAUUAGCGAGCCAGGGACUAAAUUGAAAUGCGUGAAAACUUCAGUGGCCAAAUCUAUAAAAAAAAGAAGUAAAAAAGGGACUAUAUUGAAACGUGAUGUAAAAGCGGAAGGAUUGACUACGCAAAUAUGCCAAUUUUCAAAAACAAGCGGAUCCCAAGGGUUAAUGGAUCGGGAAAUUGGGUCGGCCCAAAACGACGACGUUUUGGGCAUCAGAAGCCAAUCCCAAAGCGACGUCGUUUUGGGGGGGCUUAUUUAAGUUAAUUUUUUUCAAAAAAUUUCAUUUCUCUCUUGCUUUAUAAAAAACUGCUUUCAACUCUUUUUUUUUCUCUGAAAUUUCCCUAGGGCCGGCCAUCCGGUCCAGUGGCCUCUCGUCGACCACCGGUCACCGGUGACAAUGCCGCCGUCCAUGGUGGUCGAAACCCCUAAAAAAUCCCUUUUUGGCCCUUUGUUUAAAAAAAACUUAGGUUUUAGAUCUAAAGGCAAAUGCCUAAAAAAUAGAAAAAAAGAACAAAAAGAAAUUCGGCCUCUGCCCUUUUUUUGCCUAUUUGCCCUAUCGUGUUCCCUUCUUGACGAAGGCCGAACGGUGCCCUAAGGACCUACGACAAGCGUGACGCGAGUAGACAGGUAAUAGAUUUUAUUUUUUUUAUUAUUUUCCUAUUUUAAGAAUAAAAAAAAAAGUGAGUCACCCAUUUUUUAAUCUGAUUUUCUUUUUCAAAAAAAGUCCCUUGAUACAAUCUGUUUUAUGGCUUUUAUAGCCAUCACAUACAUUUUUCUAUAUUUUUACUGAUUCUACUAUUCUUGCUUGGUUGUCUUUCGUCCUUUUUCACUUUUUUUACAGGCAUCGACGCGCGGUCAACAAUGGGGAGAAAAUGGCGCCCUUGCUAUUUUUUUGAAAUGGCAGCAGGGGCAUCAGACCUCGGGACGAGGUGCCUCGAGCGGCGUGCAUACGAAAGGGGGUGCGAGCUAGAGGCUAGGGUUUUUGUUUUUUUUCUAAAAUAGUUUAGGCUAUUGGGUCUAGGGCCAUAGGGUUUUUUUUAAUUUUGGGCCAUUUGGGCUUGUAACAUAUUGGGUUAUAUUUGUUGUAAAUGAACAGUUUUUUAUUUUGGACUUUAUUAUUUUUGGUUUAAAUUUUUGUAAUUUGGGCCUAGGCAAAAUUGGGUCAUUACAACUGCCCCUUUUUGCUCGUUGACAUGUAACGUGAAUAGAGCAAAGGCCUUAAAAGGGUCAACUUUGCCUGGUCUUGCCGAAUCUCAACUUCUUUGGUACUUCUCUUUUUUAAGUGGUUUCAUCCUAUCCCACAGCAACUUCAGGGGUAUAGGAAUUGUAGUUUCAAUAUACUCCACUACAACGUCAAGGAGAUAAGAUUUGUAGCUUGUAGCUUUAGUCUAUUCCACUGCAACUUCAGAGAGAUAAGACCUGCUAUGGUAGAUUUAAUCUGACCCACUGCAACUUCAGAGGUAUAGGACUUAUCGUUUCAAUCUACUCCACUGCAACUUCAGGGAGAUAAGAUUAGUAGCUUCAAUCUGCUCCACUGCAACUUCAGGGAGAUAAGAUUUGUAGCUUCAAUAUGCUCUACUGCAAUUUCAGAGAGAUAAGAUUUGCUAUCUUCGAUCCACUCCGCUGGAAUUUCAGAGAGAUAAGAUUUGUAGCUUGUAGUUUUAGUUUAUUCUACUACAACUUCAGGGAGAUAAGACCUACUAUGGUAGAUUUAAUCUGACCCACUACAACUUCAGAGGUAUCGGACUUAUCAUUUCAAUCUACUCCACUGCAACUUCAGGGAGAUAAGAUUAUUAGCUUCAAUCUGCUCUACUGCAACUUUAGAGAGAUAAGAUUUGCUAUUUUCAAUCCACUCCACUGCAAUUUCAAGGAGAUAAGAUCUGUAACUUCAAUCUGCUCCACUACAACUUCAGGGAGAUAAGAUUUGUAAUUUGUAGCUUUAAUCAAUUCCAUUGCAACUUCAGGGAAAUAAGAUUCGCUAUCUUCAGUCUGCUCCACUGCAACUUUAGGGAGAUAAGAUUUGUGGCUUUAAUCUGCUCCACUACAACUUCAGAGAGAUAAGAUUCACCAUGAUGACUUCAAUCCAUCCCACUGUAACUUCAGGGGUAUAAGAUUUGUGGCUUUAAUCUGCUCCACUGCAACUUCAGAGAGAUAAGAUUUGCCAUGAUAACUUCAAUUCAUUUCACUACAACUUCAGGGGUAUAGGAUUUGCGGCUUUAAUCUACUCCACUACAACUUCAGGAAGAUAAAAUUCACCAUGAUAACUUCAAUCCGUCCUACUGCAACUUCAGGGGUAUAGGAUUUGUGAUUUCACUGAUCUAUUACACCGUUCUCUAGGGAACAUAACCUGUAGAAUCCAUUUCAAGGGCCUAUAUUUAUGCCAAGUAAUUAGGAUGUUAUGGUCAGAAUGAAUCAAAUGCUCCUAACUAGAUGUGUAUGAAUGAUAUUUGCAUGAGUGCAGAAUGUUAUUUUUCGAGAAUGAUCCCCUUUUAAUGCUUAGGUUGUCAUUGCGCGUUGUUCAUCAAGGUUCUAUCACUGAUGUGUUUCCAUGCCUUCUUGUUUAGCUGGUAUCUUUGACAGAAAAUCCGAAGAAAUAGUCACAAUUUAGACUAUUCUUUCUCAAAUGUUUCCAACCCUUAAGUUUGGUUAGUUCUAACUAGUAGUCCUAUUUCAAGUUCCUGUACUAUUUAGAAGCCUUUCAGAGAAAUAUGCAAAACUCAUUUUACUUGAAUAUUAUUAGUCCAUUAAUCGUUAUUUCAAUGUAAAAAUGCUUGAAAAAGAUUGUAACAAUAGACAAGAUUGAAAUUUAUUGGGAGCAAGGUUCGAAAUGAAUGGAUUAACCAAAAUAGCAAACGUUGCUAAAAUACAAAAUAAGUAAGAUGAAAUUAGGUACCCCAAAUAUCGCAGCAUGAGCUUCUUUGCACAAACUUCUUGAGAACCAUUUUGAGCUUGAUAUGUGUUUAGGAGAUCCAGAGUACUUUGUUGAUGCCCCAAUACGUAACGUUCCUCCUCCUUGUUAAUUUUGAGAGGACAAGACUACCGCAUGCCCCAUCUUCGAUCAAAAUUUGAGCUGUCCUUUUUCGGGUUUUCAACUCAAAACCUCUUUGGUCUCAAGGUGCCUUUUGUGGGUUUUAGCCUUGGCCUCUCCUAUUUGUUUCUUUCUUUUUUUUUAGGUGAAAUACCUCUUGAUUGAAUCUGACUUCACAGGGUUAGGCAGGUUUUUUGCCAUCCAUUUCGGUCAGAAUCAGCGCUCCUCCAGAAAAUGUCUUUUUUUACCACAUAAGGUCAUUCCCAACUUGGCAUCCACUUUCCUCUGAAGUCCUUUUGUAUGGGAAGGAUCUUUUUCAAUACUAAGUCUCCCUCAUGGAAUUCUCUGGGGUGAACAUUUUUGUUGUAAGCUCGCAUCAUUCGUUUUUGGUACAUCUGAUCAUGACGGAUAGCUUUCAACCUCUUAAGUUCAACUGAUCAUAUCGAGAUUGGACUCAUUCUGCUUCAUCUAACUUCAACUCUGAUAAAACUCGGAGGGAAGGAAUCUCGACUUCAAUCGGGUCGGCCCAAAACGAUGCCGUUUUGGGCGUCAGAAGCUAAGCCCAAAACAACGUCGUUUUGGGGAGCUUAUUUAAGUUUUUUUUUUUUCAAAAAAUUUCAUUUCUCUCUUACUUUUAAAAAACUACUUUCAACUCUUUUUUUUCUCUAAAAUUUCCCUAGGACCGGCCAUAGGGUUCGGUGACCUCCCGUUGUCGACCACCAGUCGUUGGCGACGGUGCAGCAGUCCACUGUGGCAGGAACCCCAAAAAAUCCCUUUUUGGCCCUUUUUUUUAAAAAAAAAAACCCUAGGUUUUAGAUCUAAAGGCAAAAGCCUAAAAAAUAGAAAAAAAAAAAGAAUGAAAAGAAAUUCGGCCUCUACCCUUUUUCUGCUUAUUUGCCCUCUCAUGUUCCCUCCUUGACGAAGCCCGAACAGUGCCCUAAGGACCUACGACAGGCGUGGCGCGAGUAGACAGGUAAUGGAUUUUAUUUUUUAUUAUUUUCCUAUUUUACGAAUAAAAAAUAAAAAAAAGUGAGUCGCCCUUUUUUUUAAUCUGAUUUUCUUUUUCAAAAAAAGUCCAUUGAUGCAAUCUGUUUUAUGGUUUUUAUAGCCAUCACAUACAUUUUUUUAUAUUUUUACUGCUUCUACUGUUCUUGCUUGGCUGUCUCUCGUCCUUUUUCACUCUUUUUGCAGGCAUCGACGCGCGGUCAACAGCGAGGAGAGAAGGGCGCCCUUGCCAUUUUGGUGAAAUGGCGACAGGGGCGUCAGACCUUGGGACGAGGUGCAUUGGGCGACGUGCACACGAAAGGGGGGUGCGAGCUGGAGGCUAGGCUUUCUGUUUCUUUCUGAAACAGUUUAGGCUAUUGGGUCUAGGGCCAUUAGGGUUUUUUUAAAUUUUGUGUCAUUAGGGCAUACGAAAUGGAUAGUUUUUUAUUUUGGACUUUAUUAUUUUUGGUUUAAAUUUUUGUAAUUUGGGUCCAGGAAAAAUUAGAUCAUUACACAUGAUAUUUUAAAAACUUCUCUUAAAAGAGUCUGACCCCUCAACAAUGUUAUAGAGCAAUAAUUUGAAAUAGUCAAGAAACUUGUAGGAAGGGUAUAGCAAGAGGGUUGGAGGGUUGACGCCAGAAGUCAAGAGAUAUCUCCAUAAUGGUCACUUGUGUUGAGUGGUCUGCUUUUCUUCUAAGGGGUGAUUGAAUUUUCUACAUUGAAAACGAAGGUAGAGGACAAUUGCUUUUUUGUCACUAUUGCUACAAAUGCCAUUGAAUUUCCACAAGAAAUUUAUCCCAUAUUUAGUUAAGGGAACCUCACUUGACUUGACGCACAAGUCAAGAUAUAUCUCUGAAAUGUAAGUAUUAUACACUUUUAUUUUUCCUAUUAUAUCAAAUAAUUUUUUUUAUAUUUAUGUCAUGUAAUUAUAUUAUGCGGUAAAACGUAAAAUUCUAAUGAAUAAUGACUUUCGAUAUUGCCUAACGUGUCAUCAUGUCUAUGCUAUUUUUGUAUUAUCCUUGUUUUCAAGGCAAUAUAUAUUUAUAUAAAUUUUUUAAAUUUUGUUUUAGGUAGAUUUUUACAUGUUUUUUAUUCAUGUCAUGUUCAUUUUUUUAAUUUUUUUCAUAUUUUAUUUAUUGAAUGUUGGGCUUAAAAUAUUAUAAACGUUCCUAAUUAUAUAUUAAUUUUACAUUAAGUUUUAACAGAUAAAUUUAGCAUUAUUAUAUUAUAUUAUACUAAAUUUCUUAGGUCAAAAUUAUCUUUGAUUUUUUAUCCAAUUAGAUAUUCCUACACAUUUUUUUAUUUCUAAUAACAAAUUUAAAAUUAUCUAUAUCUAUCUAUAGUACAAACUAGCUCUUAAGAGAGUUUUAAGAGUAAAUGAGUUGAUAAUAGUGUUUUUCAAUUUUAUCUAUAUAUUAAUAUUUUUAGCUCUUAAAAAUCUAAAUUAUAUUUAAUAUUUAUUUACAACUCUAAAUAUCAAAGCUUGAUUAGAUAUAGGUUAUUUGAACUUUUCAUUUUAAAUAAAUUUGAGGAAAUUAAAAAUGGAAAUUUUAAUUAAUUUUUUUAAAAAAAUAACAUGAUUUUGAUUCAUUUCAAUGUAUAAUAAUUUUAAACUAACGUUUUUUCUUCAGUAAAUUUCACUUUAAUCCCUUUCUUUACUUCUUUUAAAGUUAUUUUUAUUUUUUGCCCUUUAUUUUUCUUCUCAUUUAUAAAGUCUUUAAUCUUAUAUGUUUCGAGUAUCAAAGUGUAAAUAAAUAUAAAUAUUAAAAAAAUACCUAAAUUUUAAAAUAAAAAUAAUUAAUAAUAAAUAUUUAGCUUUUGUAGUACAGAUGUAUAAUUCAGACAAUUUUAAUAUAACAAAUAAUCAAGUAACUGGGAUUUAAUAUUUAAUUAAAAAUAUUCAUCCAAAAAUUGUAAAUCGCAUAACAUUAAAACUCUUUAAAUAAUAUGUCACAUACAUGAUCCCUUUUUUUUUUUUUGUAAAUAUACAUGAUCUGUUUUUAUUUAUAAAACUUCCUUUUACCUCAUUUUUCUUCAUUAAUGUCUAGAAAUUUGAAGGGAGUCCUGUACCGAUUACAUUUGAAACCUAUCAAGAAUGAGCUUUUGAUUGUUAUAUUAGAUGUUUUCCUAUUAGUUUAAGAUCCCCAAUAAUUAAGCAUGCUUUCUUAAUAAUUGGAAAAUAUUUAUUUAAAAUAUUACUUUUGAAAGUAUUUCUGUGAAGUGUGUCUCAUAUUUUCGGUCAAACUAAAUGGCAAAGCAGGGGCAGCGUCGCGACAUUCGAAACUAAAUCGAAGCAGGGCCGAUGUCAUGAUGAGGGGACCUACGAUGUCGCGACGAUGCGACGAGACAACCACGUCUCUUGACAACUCUAUGGAUUUUCUUUCUUCCCGUUGAACUUUGAUUCUCGGUUCUCUUUUCCUAAUUUAACUCUAACUAUUCUAGGGAUAUUUUUGUAAUACCCUAUAUGUUACACCCUUAACCAGUCUCUAUCGUCAGAUUAAGGUUACAAAUAUUACCAAGCAAAACAGAACAUUUAACUUCACAACAGAAACAAUUAUAUUAAUUAAAUGUAAUCAUGGUAAAAAUACAAUUAUAGGUCUUAACUCGAGUUUACAGGACCCAAAAAACAGUUUGGGAACAUUUAGAGAUCAAUUCGAAACAAAUCAAAAAAAUUUGAAAAAACAUGAAAAUUUUAGAAACAGGGAUCACACGAUCGUGUGACAUAGCCCAAAUUGUGUGGACAUUCGAAUUCUGAACACACAGUCGUUUCCCAACCCGUAUGAGUAUUCGGAAUAAGGCUACACCAACAUGUUACAAUUAAGUCCUGUGUCAAACCAUGUGUGCAUUCGAUACUUUUGUCACACGACCUGUGAUGAAAACAAUAAUUAUACACGGAUGUGUAGGGUGACCGAAAAUUCAUAUACAGACUUAUUUUGAAUGUUGUAAUUUUCCACCAAAAACAAAGUCGCUGUGGAAUUAAAAUUUUGGUCCUAAGGCCCGCUGGAUUUUUCACAACCACUACUAUUAGACUAGAAUUAUGUCUCCACGUAUGAUCGGGUUUAAAAAAAUUAUUAAAAAAAUUAUUUAUUUCUAAAAUUAUUAUAAUAUUAACAUAGAAACUAAUUUUGUGAUUAUUGUUUAUAAAGAAUAUAAAGUAUUAAAUUAUAAUGAUAUCAUCAUGAAGAAAAAUAUUUUAAUUUAUAAAAAGUAUAAAAUUUAUAUAUUAUCUUUUGAAUAAUUUAAAUUAGAGAUAAAUCUCGAAAUUAUACAUGAACUUUGAUUUAAUGUGAAAUUGUAUACAUAAACUUUAAUUUGAUUUAAUAAUUUACAAGAAUUUGAUCAAAAUAAAAUUUCAUGUAUAAAAUUGUAUAAAAUCAAAGUUCAUAUAUACAAUUGCACAUUAAACCAUAGUUCAUGUAUAGUUUUAAGAUUUAUCCAUUUAAAUCAUAAUGAUAAGUUUUAUAUAUUAAAUUAAUAUAUUUAAUCUUCCUUUAAACGGAACAUGCUACUUGUUGAGUUAUUAUAUUUAUUCUGCGAUUUAAUUUUAAAUUUUAUUUGUCAAUCUUCAUAUAAUUAUUAGAAGAAGGAAUUUAUGACCAUAAAAAAUAAAGAUAUAUUUAUCAACUAAAUAAUAAAAAAAUAUUAAAAAAAUAAAAAAAUUCCUACAGAAGGACAAUAUCUUUAGUUAUUAAAGGGAUCUGUUGAUAAUCAAAGGAUAUUUUAAAAACUUUUCUUAAAAGAGUGGGAUCAUCAAAUGCUGAUAGAGCAAUAAUUUGAAGCAGUCAAUAAACUUGUAGAAAGGGUAUAGCAAGAGGUUUGAAGCAGGCAAUAAACUUGUAGAAAGGGUAUAGCAAGAGGAUGGAAGCUUGACGCCAAAAGUUGUGUUGAGUGUUCUGGGGUGAUUGAAUUUUCUACAUUGAAAACGAAGCUAGAGGACAAUUGUUUUCUUGUCAAUAUUGCUACAAAUGCCAUUGAAUUUCCCACAACAAAUUUUCUACAAAUGCUUUUCAAUUUUGAAUCAAGUUGGUUUAUGAUUGGAAUUACUUGCUGCAAUAAGUUAGUUAUUUCAUUUUUUUAUUUAAUACCAAAAUUAAAUAAGUUUUUAUUAUUAUUCUCAUUAAAAACCCGUUAAAGUUUCAGUUUUUCUAUUUAAUAUUGCAACUUUAAUUCUAUUGAAUGUUUAGGUUACUCUUUGUUUUUCAUUAAUACUUUUGGUUUUUUUUUUAAAUAUAAAAAGCUAUUAUAUAUUAGUUAUUACUUAUUAAGAUAUCAACAUUGUUAGAGCAAAAAAAAUCUGUGUGAUGGUAAAAAAAUAUAUACAUAUUCUUUUUGGUGAAUUAUAAUAACAAAGUAAAAUCUGAACAACUAACGCAACUAGUGCGACUUGAAUCCAGGUCAUAUAUGAGGUGUAGUUAAAUGAGAAAGACAUUGUAUAUAAUAAAAUAGAUGUGAAAAAAAAAUUGUUUCAUUAAUUAUUAAUAAAAUAAAAAUAUGAUUCAUUUGCAUUUGGUAAAAUUUAAUUAAACAAUAAAAUGUUUUUUUUAUUCUCAUAGAAGUAUAUUUCAUUGAAUAAUUUAAUUGCUUUUAUUGAAAUUAUCGUGGUAUAUACGAAUGUUGCUUAGAAUUUUUUUUUUGUAACAAAUAUUUUUCAUUGUCAUAUAUUGCAUAUGAUAUAAAGGCAAUAUUUGAAUGGAGCAUUGGUUAGUUUUUCACAGUGAAUCCUCCACAAUAUUCCUUUGUUUGAAGUUGCGGAAACAUGUCUCGUGUUUUUAUAAGAUACAUGCAUUUAAUUGGUUUCAAACAAUUCUCCUUCAGUAUUACAAAAAAUUAUGGAUAAAAGUAACUCUUUUAUAAAAUAGCUGCCGAUGUUGACGGAGAACUUCAUACUCCAAUUGCAAUGCAAAAGGCAAAGGUAAUGAGAAUUGUAAGCUACCAACCCGCCUAAACCUUAGAUUCGAAUUCGAAAGAUUAUAUUGGCUACUAAAAUGACUCAAUAAGGUAGCGGAAUUUAUAAAAUAGUCGUUUUAAAACAUUUGUUUAUCUUUAGAGGAAGUUUUGUCUAUUUUCAAAAAAAAAACUUAGCGUUUUAUUUCCCUUCUUACGAAAUAAUAAAGUUAAUCCAAAACUAAUUGAUUUAUAAAUUAGCUACUCGUUUAAAAAUUCAUUUUCCAACAAUGCAGCAGAAAAGUGAUACUAACAUAGUUUUAAUGAAAACCAUGUUUUAUGCAUUAUAAAAUAAAAUAAAAACUCAAGUUUUAAUAGCCUAAAAAUACCAUGCAUGCCCUAAAUAAACUCAAAACUAACUCUUGUGCCACAGUUUAAAAGUUCUCAAAAAAUAGGAACUAUAUUAAAUAAUAUUAGGUAAAAAAAUAUUUAUAUAUCUUUAAUCCAAGACUAGCCCUCCGAUUUCCCGAUUUUACUUCCUAACCUGAUGGAUUAUCUGUAAAUAUGUAAAUUAAAAAGGAGUGAGCUAUGAAGCUCAGUGUGAGUUCAGUCAUAAGAAAACUGGAACAAAACUGUAGGCAAAGCACAUCGGUUAGCAAUUCUGAGAAUAAUCACAAUCAUAAAGCAUUUCAAAUUAACAGUUUUUCAUAUCAUCACUUCACUAUUUCAUAAAUCACAAUUUUAUAUGCACAUGCUAAUGAAUGACAAUAUAAUUUCAAUUUGUUUGAAAAUAUCACUCUAGGUUGCGGAUGAACCAUCGUUGAUUUGCAGAUAAACUGCCACUUGUUUCUGGAUACGCGAUGUAAUUGCAGAAGCCUUUUUCAAUCAAUGAGAACAAAGCCCCGGGUCCGGAUGGCUUUAAUUUAUGCUUUUUUUUUUAAAUGUUGGGAGGUUCUUCGAGAGGAUUUGUUUGAGAUGAUGGCAAAGUUCUUUAAAUCUGGAAAAUUGGAGAAAAAGUAUAAACUCGUAUUUUAUUGCAUUAAUUCCCAAGAACGAUAAUCCGCAUGAUAUUUCCAAAUUCAGACCAAUCUGUUUGGUGAGCUCGCUGUACAAAAUUAUUGCUAAGGUUCUAUUGAGAAGAUUACGAAUUUUAUUGGGGAUGUGGUCAGUGAUACGCAAUGUGCCUUCAUUUGAGGUAGACAUAUUUUCGAUGGAAUUUUAAUCGCAAAUGAAUUGAUACAUUCGGUCAAGAAAAAGGAUGGCUCCGGGGUUAUUUGUUUUUUAAGUUGGAUUUUUCUAAGGCAUACAUUUGUGUGAAGUGGGAUUUCUUAGAAUUGAUAUUGUUGAAGAUGGGUUUCGGCUAGGAUGGACGGGAUGGAUGGUGGAGUGUGUGUCAACAACGAGGGCUGCAGUGCUAAUUAAUGGUGCAGUUACAAAUGAGAUCAGAAUAUUCAGAGGUCUCCGGAAAGGGGAUUCUUUAUCUUCAUUUUUAUUCAUUCUUGUGACGGAAGUUCUGCAUCUGAUGUUGGUGGAAGCGGAGUAGUUGAGGGUAAUUGAACGGAUAAAAGACGUUAUUCAUGGGCAGUCUGUUUCACAUCUUCAAUUUGUAGAUGACACCAUUUUAUUUUUGAGGGCUGAUGUAACAGCUCAAUUUUCAGUAGUGUUAGAACAGUGAUUUGAGAUCACUAAAUUCGAUGAAAAAGUUAGAAAAAUUGAUUAAUUAAUAAUUAUAAGUUAAGUGUGAUUUUAGAAAUAUUUUUAAAUUAGUGAAUUUUGUGAUUUAAAAGAAAUUAUUAGGUAAAUUGGGUCAAAAACGAGGUAUCGAGACCUCGAUAUUAUAAACUGAGCUGUAAAUAUUUUUAUAAAUAUUUACGGAGUGUCAUUAGGGUAGUAUUAAAGUUUCGUUAAGAAAUUUUAACGUUUCGAUGGUUAAUUGAUUAAAAAGAACAAAAUUGAAAAAAAAAUGUAUUCCCGAGACUCCGUUUCGUAACUCGAAUUCAUAAAUAUUUAUUAUAAAUGUUGACACCAUUUUUUUAUCGAAAACGGGGUCGACUUGGGUUUUGAAAAAAAUGAAAAUGGGAGUCGCCACCGAUCCUUUUUGAUGAGGUGUGAUCGAGUCAUCUUAAAAAAAAGGGUUGUUUUUAAUAAAUAAUUUGAUUUUAUUAAAACAACGGUUUUGGUCCACGAAAUUUAGAAAACGGGUUCGGGAGUCGGUUACGUACAAGGAAGGAUUAGCACCCUCGUAACGCCCAGAAAUUGGUACCUAGUUGAUUAACUAAUGUCUUGAUAUCGAAAAUUGAAAACUUGAAAAAAUUAAAAAUAUGAUCCUUGUAUUAAAAUGAUUUUUUUUUAAAAAAAGGGGCAUAUUUCACGUUUAAUCGAGAAAGAAAGCAUCAUAUCCAGUAAGUUAGGACACAAUGUCUCGAAUUCCCGACACGUAAAAAUGCCAAAAUUUUACUCAUUUAAAAGACAUUUUAGCCAUCUUGAGUUUAAAAAUAAGAUCACGACCAGUAAGUUAGGACGUGUCUCUUUUUUAAAUCCCGAGAUAGUUUGAAAUUUGAGUUCGAAAAUUUUGUGCAUUUAGAUUUAUUGUAAAAAUCGAAACCCAGUAAGUUAGGGUACGAUUUUCUCAAAUCUAAACACGAAAUGCCAUUUUUUUAAAACAAAACUUUCUAUAUCGGGUAAAAUAAAACACGUAAUUGUAGCAAGGAAUAUGAAAGCAAGUUACAUUUUAUUAUGCAUAGCAAAACCAUAAUGAAUAUGAAAGUAUAAAAAAUAUAAAAAUAUGAGCAAUAGCAACGAUAUAAAAGGCCAAAUUUACAACAUAAACAAUAGCAAAGCAUAAAAACGAAUAAAACUAAAACAUUCAUUCAAAAUAAUAAUGAAAAUGAAAUAAAUAAAGAGUAAAUACAAUAAAAAAAACAAAGAGAUAUAUAUAUGUGUAUAUAGGUAUGUAGAUAGUUUUAAGCUAUAAAGUAUAAAAAUAUGUGCAUAUGUGAAUUAUAAAAUAUAUAAAGACCAUAUAUAGGACACGUAUUUAAAAAUAUAAAGAAUAUGUAAGUGUAUAUAUAUUUAUGAAACAAGAUAUGUAUAUAGAUAUAUAGAUAUGUAUAUAAAUUCAAAUAUAAAGAUAUAAAUCUAUUUAUAAAAAUACAUACAUAGAUAUGUAUAAUAAUAUGAAGAUACAUAUGUAGGUAUAAGUAAAAUAUAUAUGUAAAAAAAAGGAAAUAUAAUAUAUACACAUAAAAAUAUACACGUUUUAAUAUGAAAAAUAUAUAUGAAUAGGUAUAUAAAUAUUCGUGAAAGUAAUAUUAAUACUAACAAUAAUAGUAAUAAUAACCAUAAUAAAAAUAAUAGUAAACUAAUAAUAAUAUUUAAAAUAAUAAUAAUAAUAAAUUGCUAAAAUAUGGGCUAAAUCAAAAUAAAAAUAAAAUGUAGGGCGAAAUUGAAAGAAAAAUAAAAUAAAAGGGACCAAAUCAAAAAGCGCGCCAAAAGGGAAGGGUCAAAUGGGUAAAUAACCCAACCGCCUCAAAACGCGGCGUAGCAGUUGGCCAGAUUGAAAUAAAAUUAAAAUUAUAGGGCUAGAUUAAAAAUAAAAGGAAAUAGCGAAAAGGACCGAAUUGAAACACGCGAAUCCUUUGGGUCGGGUCGGGUCGACGCGUGGAUUCCCCAUUACUCAAAACGGCGCCGUUUCAAAAUUAAUAUAAAUACUAAAAAAAACAGUCUUAAAAUCAUUUUUCAAAAAAAAAACAGAGAGAAACUCUCUCUCAUUUUCUCCCUCAGGCUCCGGUGCCGGUCAUCGGCCGAUCUAGGCCUCCGACGUGCCUCCGCCUUAGCACCGCCACAUGCGGUGGCCGGCGAUUCCAAAAUCGGAUCUUUUUUAUCCUCUUUUGAAGCCAGGCGUGUCCUCGGCACAAAUCUAGGGCCAAACCUCAAAAAGGAGUCCGAAGCCUGAAAAACGAGGGGAGACCGCUCGUCUUCUCCCUUCCGGCGCGGCGCAGGUAAGUUUUUUGUUCUUUUUGCUUGUUAUUUUGUGUAGAAGAUAAAAAUAAAAAACAAAGAAUAAAAAAAGGAAUAGAUUUGGACACCAAAAGAGUCACAUUUUUCUCUUGUUUUUGUUUUUUUUUUUUUUUUUGCUAAUCUCUGUUUUGUUACAAAAAUCGCUAGAAGAGCAAACAAAGUUACAUUUUUGGUUGGCUUUUAUAGCCGAUUUUCUACUACCUGCGUUCUUUGUUUGCUUGUUCUCUUCUUUGCAGGUAAUGGCGCAAGUGGGGGUGGCGACGUGACCGGGGCGGUGGCGACGUGACGUGGCUGCAGUGGCAGAAGACCAAAAGUCAGAGGGGGGCAGUGCCUAGGUGCGACGCUAGGGUUUCCUUUCUAAAACCCUAGGCAAAUUUUUUUAUUAUUGGGCCUCGGGUUAGUGGGUUGUUGGGUCUAGUUUAGUUGGGUAUUGGGUUGCUGCUUUGGGCUUUGGUUUGUAAUUGGGUUAGGCUGUUGGGUUUAUUUUUGGGUUUGUUAUUGGGCUAUUCAGGUUUGGGUUGGUUAUUGGGCUGAGGUUUGCUGGGUUAUAAUUGUUUUUGUUUAGUUUAGGGUUAAUUGGGUUUUGGGCUAAAAAUUGGGCUUGUACAAUAAAUAUUUAUGAAGUUAGUUGUGUAGUUAAUUAGGUUUUAAUUAAGUGAAUUUGUCUAAAUUGAGGUUAAUUAUGAAAAAGGAUUAAAUUACAAUAGAGAUAAAAGUUUAAUUAUAGAUUAAAGAAAAGUUAAAAGGACCAAAUAGGCAAUUAUACCUUUUUCUAAAGUUGAGUCUAGGGGUGGGCAAAACUCGAUUCAACUCGAAAAAAUCAAAAAAAAAUUCGAAUUUAGAAAUAAAUGAAUCGAGUUAUUCGAAUCAACUCGAAUUUUUUUUUCAAAUUUUGAGUUCCAAUCGAGUUGAGUUUUCGAAUUCGAAUAACUCGAAUAAUUCGAAUAAUUCGAAUAUCAAACUAUAAUAUUUUAUAUUUUUACCCCAAACUCCCAAACCUUUUUACUUUUCCCUCAAACUUUUACUCCUUCCCACUUUCCCCCCAAAACUUUUACUCCCCUCCCCUCCCAACCCCCCAAUCUACCCAAAAUCCAUUUCCCACCAAAAUUUUACUCUCCCAUUUACUUUUUCUCAAAAUUUUACUCCCAAAAACCCUCAAGACCUUUUAUUUUCCCCCAAAAUUUUUACUCCCUCCCACUUUUCCCCUAAAACUUUUAUUUCCUUCCCAUCCCACCUCCCACCUCCCAUCUACCCCAAACCCUACCCCCUCCAAUUUUUUUUUUAAUAUUUUCCCUCCAAAAUUUUACUCCCCCUAUUUACUUUCCCUCAAACUUUUAUUCCCCAAAACUUUUUAUUUUCCCCCUAAACUUUUACUUCUGACACUUUACUCUCAAAUAAAAAAUCAAAAUUAUCUAAAAAAAAUCACUAAAUAUAAAUAGUAAUAAUUUUAUUUAUAUCUACUAUUUAUAUUAUUAAAUUAAAUUUCACAUUUUAUAUUAUUUAUAUUAUUGAAUUGUUUAGUCAUAUUGAAUAUUUAUAUUAAAAUUGAAUUAUUAAUUAUACCAUAAAAUAUUCGUGUUAAAAUUUUAUAUUGGUAUCAAUUUCACAUUUUAUUUUUAAAAUAACUUUUAUUAAAAAAUCAUAUUUUUACAUUGAAUAUAUUUUUUAAUUCCAAAAUACAUAGUGAUAAGAAUCUGAAGAUAAUUGAAACAACUAAGUAAGCAAAGAAGCUAACCAAUAUAUAAAAAAUUAAUAAAUAAAUUAUGAGGUGAUGAAAGUUAAUAAAAAAUUUGAUUAAGGUGGACAAAUUUUAUUACGAUGGGCGACAGGGGUUACAAGAACCCAAAAUUAUUUUUUAAAAUUUAACUCGAACAAAUAUAUUCGAUUUGAUUCGAUUCGAAUUCCAUCUCACUUGACUCGAUUCGAGAAAAUUUCAAAUAAAGUUAGGAUGGUAAAAUGAGAUUUCAAAUUUUGAUUAACUCGAAAAUUUUUUAUUCGAUUCGAUUCGAUCGAAUCCCACCCCUAGUUGAGUCAGCACAUGCAUGACAAAAAUCUUAGAUUUUUUUUAAAGUAUGUUAUUAUUUUAUUAUAUUGUAAAUUAUAUUAAUUAUAUUAUAUUAUUAUAUUUUAAAUAAACAAAUUUGUUGACAAAUGUAUGGUGCAUAUGAUGACAUGUGGAAAAAUGAAAUACAUAUAUUAGUAAUUAUUACAUAUUUACUUAUUAUUUAAGUAAAUAAUUUUAUAUUAUUAUUUUAUUUUUAUUAUAUUAAACUAAUUAAAUAAAAGAAAUAAAAGAUAGAAAAGAGAAUAGAAACAGAAUAGGCAAACGAAACAGAGAAGGAAAGAAGGAAAGAAAAAAAAGAAAGAAAGAAAAGGGAAAAUUGAGGUUUUGAGGUUCCAAGCUCAAUUGGUAAGUCAAAUUAAGUCUUUUUCUUAUACUUUUUGAGUUUUUUAGAGUUCUAGAACAAAAUAUUUCAUGGUUUAUGUUGAAAUUUUGGAAGUUAUUAUAUUUCUAGACAUUGAUUAUAUUGAAUAAAUGAAAGCAUUAGGGGUUAAAUUGAUUGAAAUUCAAGUUAGAAGUUAGUAAAUGAUUUAAUUGUAAAAUAAAGUGUAAGUUUUGAAUAGUAGGGACUAAAUUGAAAGAAUCCCGAAAUUAGGGAUUUAUGGUGAAAUUGAAGAGCUAAAUUGAAUUAUAGUAAGAAUUAAGAGAGAAUAUGGAGUUAGAAUGGGAAAAUAAAAUUAGUAUUGAUAAGGGAUUAAAUUAGAAUUUGGGUAAAGUUUAGGUAUAAAUGGAAAUAUUUUAAUGAAAUUGUGUAUUAAUGAUUUUUAAUUGUUUAAUUAUGUAGCUAAUGUCGUGCAAGAGUCAUUGUCCGAGAAAGGAAAGGAGAAGGUGGACAGUGAUUGACUCGAGAGAAAUUUCGGUUAGUAUUACCAUAAUUCGAAUUUAAUUAUUAAUUGAUAAAAUUUAAAUUAAUAUACAUGAUAAGCAAAUUGGGGUAAGUAUCACGAUUGAAUUGAAUGAUAAAUACAUAUUGGUAUUGAAUUUAUUAAUAGUAAUUGUUGAAUUUUGAAUAUGUUUAGUAAAUAAAAAAAUAAGGUGAAUAUCGAUAUUGAAUUGUAUGUGAAUUGAAUGGAAAUUACUAGUGAUAUGAUUUGAAUUAAAAGAAUUAAUGUGGUAUUGAAAUGUAUAUUGAAUGAAAAAUAAUUAGGGAUUUGAAUUUGAUUGGAAAAUGAAUUAAAAUAUGAAUUGAACAAAAGUGAAUUAAAUUAUGAUUAUGUGUGAAUAUGUGUAUUGUGAAUUGAUAUGUGAAUUGGAAAUCGAGAUAUGAGAUUUGAAGAUAUGUGAAUAUGUGAAUAGUGUAUUGAUUGAAAAGUGGUUUGAAUGAAAUUAGAUUGAAUUGUGAUUAUAUGUGAGUAAUUGAGAUGAAUAUUGAAUUAAGAAAGUGAAAUUGAAAUGUGAUUAUUGAAUAGAAAAUGAAAUGGUUUGAAUUGAAUUAUUGAAUUGAACUGGAAUAUUGAAAUUGGUGAUUGAUAUGGAUUUUAUUAGAAUUGAAUUGAGAAAAUGGAAAUUAAUAUGUGAGACUGAUACUGAAUUGAAUUAUGGAAUACUAAAGUAAUGAAUUACUGCAAUACUGUGAAACUGAUUGAAAUAAGGAAUUUUAAUUGAUACUGAACUAAGAUGGAAAUUGUACUAAAAAGUAAAUUAAAUACCCUAUUAACUAGUCGGGCUAGUCGGAUAUAGUUGGCAUGCCAUAGGAUAUGAAAGAGUACGGGUUUUUGCCGGCUUACUGAUCAGGCACUUAUUUGCCGACUACUGUUACUGUUACUGAUUCGAUACUUUGUGUGUCGAAUAUUGUUACCGUUACUGUUACAGAUUCAGCACUUUGUGUGUUGAAUACUAUUACUGUUACUGUCACUGUUACCGCUACCGUUAUUGUUUACUGAUUAGGUACUCUGUACUGUUUUAGGCACUAUGUGAUGUAUUGGUGUGCUGGUUGGAAUCCGUGUAUCCGCCAAAGUCCAAGUCAAGUUAAUAGGGGUAAAUGAAUAAUUUUGUUAAUAUAAAUUUUAUUAAAUGAUCUUGAAUAUGAAUCGAAAAGAGAUAUUAAAUUGAGAUAUAGAAAAUGAAAUGUAUGAACCAUAGGUUCAAGAAAUAGAUAAUGAUAUAGUUCAUGAAAUGGUUUUGGUAGUAUGAGAUGAUGUAAAAAUAUAAGUAAAGAAAAGUAAACUGAAAUAGCUAUUGUUGAGAAAUGAGAAGUGAAAAUAAAAUGAUUUGAAAUAGUGAAAUUAUAUGUGAAUUUAAUUGAAUACAAGUUAUUGAAAUUUAUUUAUGGAUUUAAUGUAUAAAUUGAUUGUUAAAAGAUUAUAAGUAUAAAAUUGAUUAUAACUGAACGAAUCGAAUUGAAAGAUAGUUAUAAUUAGUUAUUAUUAUUGAAACAUGUUGGUCUAAAUUUUAAUUUGAUUAUUAAAAUAUUGAAAGUAUAAAUUGAAUGUAUACAAUUUAUCGAUUAAUGUUAUUAAUUUGAAUUAUGGUAAUACCACUGAGUAUUCCCAUACUCAGCGUACAGUUGUUUCCGCGCGCAGGUUAGUAGAAAACCAGUGUUUGGUCCAGCAUCCAGAGCAAUCCCGACCUCAAAGAAAUUUUAGUGAUGUACCUUUGUUUUGAUAAUGUGGCAUGGACCUAGGUGAUGUAUAGGUUAAGUAUAAGAGUUUUGUGAUUACGGUUGUAGAAUGAUGUUUAAAUUGGUUAUAAGUAUGAAAUGGAACUAAUAUGACAUAUUUGAUACAAGUAUGUUAUAUCUGUUAUUUAUUUGUGAACUAGUUAUAAGUUAUCCGAUAUAUUCGGUAAUGCUUUGUAACCCUAUUCCGGUGAUGAUUUAGGGUUAAGGGGUGUUACAGCAGAUGAGGUUGUGGUAAGAAUUUCUAAGUACAUUCUUCGCUGUUUUGAAAUUUUUUCUGGAUUAAGUAUAAAUUUUCGGGAGUCUUGCAUAGUGGGUUUUGGUACUGAAUAGGAGUUUUUGUUCUAAAUGGCUGCUAUUUGUAAAUGCAAGAUAGGGAAAUUAUCAUUCAAUUUUUUGGGUAUAUCUUUAGAUGCUGAUCCAAGGAAGAUAUCUUCUUUGAAUGGUUUUGUGGAAAGAGUAGAGAGGAAAUUAUCGGGCUGGAAAAGUAAGUCUCUCUCUUGGGCAGGCAAAACUGUGCUUAUUAAUGCUGUGUUAUCCUCUCUACCUAUCUAUUUUAUGUCAAUUUUUUAAACACCUAUUGCAGUGAUUAAUAAGAUAGACAAAUUUAGACAAAAUUUUUUAUGGGGAAGUUCUUAGAACAAAAUGGCAGCAAACAUGAGCAAACACAAACAGCAAGCAAAAGAAAAGAAAACUGAUGAGCAAAAUUAUAACUGAAAGAAGAAGUUAUCCAUUUCAUUCACAAAUUUGAAAAUAUAUUAAAGUUACAGACUAAUUAGUCAAUUACCUAAACUUGUAACUGCUCCCACUAAUUUGUCUAAUUGAUAACUUAAGUAAUACAAAAGCAAAACUGAAAAAAGUCAGCUAUUACAUCCAUUAGUUUCAAAUCAAAAAUUUACCAACUUUAGAUAUCAAGUUACAUGCUAACUUGAUCACAUUACAAAAGAACAAAAUCAAACAAAGGAAGUAGACUGCUUCUGGUUCUGUCUCGAUGCUGGCAUGCUAGCUGAUUUGCUGCUGCUACUGCUCUUGGUUACUCGUUGCAUUGCAGUCCAUUGCUUAACACUCCUCCUUGGACUAUAGGCAACAAACACCAAUUGAAUCUCUCAAGAUUUUGAACCUUGCUGCACCAAGAGGUUUUGUCAAAAUGUCAGCCAAUUGAUCUUGUGAGCUGCAAUGAAUGAGACCAACUUCUUUGGAUUGUACAGCCUCUCGAACAAAAUGAAACUUAAGUUUAAAAUGUUUGGUUUUGCCAUGAAAAACUAGAUUCUUGGCUAUGGCAACUACUGAUUAGUUAUCCACCAUGAUUUCAGUAGGUUCAAGUUGUUCUUCAUUUAAAUCACAUAGCAACUUUCUAAGCAAAAUGGCUUGGCUUACUGCUGCUGUAGCUGCUAUGUAUUCAACCUCAGCUGUUGGCUGAGCAACUGUUUGCUGCUUCUUCGAGCUCCAGCAGAAAACUCCUGAGCCAAGUGUAAAGAAAUAGCCCGAGGUACUUCUCAUAUCAUCAACAGAUCCAGCCCAAUCACUAUCUGAGUAACCAAUCAGCUUAAGCUUACUUUCUUUCUUGAACAUAACCCCAAACUUCAAAGUUCCUUUGACAUACCUGAGUAUCCUCUUAGCUGCCUUGAAAUGAGUUGUAUUGCAGCAGUGCAUGAAUCUCGACAAUAGACUAACUGCAUGCAUAAGGUCAGGUCUGGUUGCUGUUAGGUUGAGCAAGCAACCAAUUAAGCUUAUGUACUCCCUUUCAUCAACUCUUUCUUGACUUCCAAAGCUAAUCAGUUUCUCCCCUUGAGCCAAUGGUGUGCUCACUGAUUUACAGUUUGUCAUAUGAAAAUUGUUGAGAAUUUUUAAGGCAAAGGCAUGCUGGCUGAUAAAAAUGCCUUGAUCAGACUGGCUUACUUCCAUACCAAGGAAGUAUGUCAUGAUUCCUAAAUCAGUUAUAUCAAAUACUUCUUGCAUUCUUACUUUGAACUCUUGAAUCAAAUCAACCUUGCUUCCAGUCACUAACAGAUCAUCUACAUAGAUUGAAACAAUCAGUAAAGUUUCAUCUUGACACUUUUUCACAUAAAGUGUAGGCUCACUCAAACUUUUCUAAAAAUUGAGCCUAAACAGGUAAGAAUUAAUCCUGUCAUACCAGUCUCGAGGUGGCUGUUUCAGCCCAUAAAGUGCUUUCUUCAACCUACAAACUUUGGCCACAUUACAUCUUUGUCCUAUUUUCCUUGGACCUUAAAACCAUCAUGUUGUUCAACAUAUAUCUCUUCUUUAAGAAGUCCAUUCAAGAAGGCUGACUUAACAUCAAGCUGAUGCAUUCUCCAUUGCUUCUGUGUAACCAAGGCAAACAGAAGCUUAAUGGUGUCUAGCCUUGCUACUGGAGCACAUGUCUCCGCAAAAUCUAUGCCAAACUGCUAGAUAUACCCUUUCACCACAAUCAUUGCCUUGUGUUUGUUUAAAGAGUCAUCAGCAUUGAAUUUAGCUCUAAAAACCCACUUGACACCUUGAUCUUCUUCUGGUCAGGUCUAUCCACCAGAUCCCAAGUGUCAUUUUUGUGGAUCAUAUCAAUCUCAGCUUCCAUGGCUUGCUUCCAAUGCUUAUUUCUUACAGCUUCUUCAAAGCUAGAAGGCUCAACUAUGGCCACAUUACAUCUUUGAUAGAUGUCAGCAAUGGACCUGGUCCCUCUUACAGGAGAAUCAUCUACAUUUGCAUUACUGGACUCAUUUUCUGUUAAUUCCAAACUGCUGUCAAUCUGAUCUUCUUCAAACUGACUUGUGUCUGAACCAUCCAAGCUCCAAAAUUUAUCUUCAUUAAAUUUGACAUCCCUACUCAUCAAAAUUUUCUUGGUUGAGGGAUCAAAUAUUCUGUAGCCCUUUUUGGUCCCACUGUAGCCAACAAAUAUCCCUAGAACUGAUCUUUUCUCAAGCUUAGUUCUUCUUUCAGCAGGUACAAGGACAUAACACACACAUCCAAACACCUUUAAAUGGGAAACAGUUGGUUUAAGACCAUACCAUACUUUAAAAAGAGUUUUAUCCUUCACAGCAUGUGUUGGCAGCCUAUUAAACAGGUACACAGAGGUGUUGACACCUUCAACCCAAAAUGUGCUUGGAAGUUUGCUUUGAAAUAGCAAACACCUAACCAUGUCCAUCACUGCUCUAUUCUUCCUCUCACACACCCCAUUUUGCUGAGAAGUAUACACAGUGGUCAAUUAAUGAUGGAUCCCAGCUUGCUCACAUAGCUUCUGAAAUCUUUCAAACAAAUAUUUAGUUCCAUUAUCUGUCCUCAAAACUUUAAUCCUGCAGCCUGUUUGAUUCUCUACCAAAGCUUUGAAUUUUGCAAAAGCUUCAAAUGCCUCAUACUUGUGCUUUAUGAAAUAAACCUAGGAAAAUCUGGUCAAAUCAUCUAUAAACAAUAUAAAAUACUUACCGCCAUUUAAUGAAGGGGUCUUCAUUGGUCCACAGACAUCAGAGUACACUAAUUCAAGCUUUUCUCGAGCCCUCCAUGCUUGGUUUACUAGAAAAGGCAGUCUAGCCUGCUUACCAAGCUGGCACACUUCACAAACAGACUCUUUUGAAUCAACCGUGGUCAUGUCCUCUGCCAAAUUCAACUUGUGCAGCAAAUCGAGUGACCUGAAAUUUACAUGGCCUAAUCUUCUAUGCCAUAGGCUAGUAUUGUCAGUUAAGCUUGUAUAAGCUUUUCUCUCAAGCUAACUUACAUCAAGCAUAAAACACUUGUCUGCCAUUGGUGCUGAGACAAUUUCUAUACCAUGAACAUCAUUAAUAACACAAGAACCAUUCUUGAAAACUAGUGAGUAGCCUUUUUCAACCAACUGACCUACACUAAGUAGGUUCUGAUCUAUAUCAGGUACAUAAAGCACAUCUGAGAUAACUUUGUUACCUGAAUCAGUGUUGAUCACCACAUCACCUCUGCCUUUGGCUUCAAUCAGAUUCCCAUUGCCUAUCCUGACCUUCGAGGUAAAACUUCUGUCAAGGCCUUUGAACAAACUUCCAUCAGCUGCCAUGUGAUGUGAGCAGCCACUGUCAACAAGCCAACUAGAUUUUACAUUGCUUGUGGUUGCAAAUCAUGAGGCAGUAAAAACAUGCUCCUCCUGAGCUUAAAGAUCCUCAGCAGUUUUAGCUUGUACUUACUGCUGAGCAUGAGCCUUCUCUUUGCCUUUGCAAAUUUUCUCAUGAUGGUCAUACUAUUUGCAACUCUUGCACUGAAUAUCUAGUCUAUUCCAGCAGUACUUUUCCAAAUGGUUUGUUUUCUUACAGUGAAUGCAUGGUGGAAACCUCCUUCUCCCUGCAUCUUUUCUUGAUUUCUCCCUUCUUUCAAAUCAAGGCUUCUUUGCUUUCUGACUUGAGUUAGAGCCUUCUUUGACUUUUGCUUGAAAGGCUCCUUCAGGAUGCUCUUCCUGCCUACUAGCCCUUCUCUGCUCAAGUGCAUAAAGUGAGUUUACCAACUCAGCCAAAGAAAUGGUUGUGAGGUCCGUAAUAUCCCGAAAAUUACUAUUGUAAUACCCCGAAAAUUACUACAGUAAGAAAGUAGGUAUCAUUGAUAGUAAAAUAAGGAAAUAAAGUGACAAAAAGGGAAAUUUUGAGUUAUAGCAACAUUGGGAAUUAUAUUAUGACAUAUUAAUUCAAGAAAGGAUUAAAUCGCAAAAGUGAGAAAAGUUUUGUUGCCCAAGAGUAAAUACUCAAAAUUUGAGGGAUUAAAGUGUAAAUAUGAAAAAGUUGAAGGACCAGUAGUGUAAAUAUUUUAAGAGUGGAAUAAUCUAGAAACUAAAGAAAAUGGAUGAAUUAGGACCAAAUUAAAAAGGUGAAGAACUUUGAGGGACUAAAUUACAAUUUUACCAAAUUAAAUGAUGACUCAAUGAUGGAAUUUCAAAAGAUUAUAAAGGGCAAAAUGGUCAAAUAUAUAUAGAGAGAGAGAGAGAAUUCUAGAAGGUAAUAAUAAUGUUUGUGAUAUUUUUAAUUAAUUAAUUAAUUAAAUGUUAUUUAAUUAAUAUUUUAUUAAGAUUUUUAGUAUUAUUUUAUUGUUAAAUGAUUAAUAUAAAAGGGAGGAAAGAUGAUGAAAAAAAAUCAUCAUCUUUCCAUGCACCCAACGUUAGAAGAGAAGAGAAGAAAGAAAGUUUUACUUUCUUUACAAUUUGGUCCUUUCACCAAAAAUUUACUAUUUUCACCUAGAAAUCAAAAGAAUUUCCAUAGCUUCCAAGAGAGAAAAAUAAUAAGGAGACAAUGGGGAGCUAGAAUGUCAAGUUAGAUUCAAGAAAUAGAAGCUGGAGGAGAGAGAAAAUCAAGUUAAAGAUUGAAAUCAAUAGCACAAGGUAAGAACAUCAAGAUUUCAAUAUAUUUUUAAGUUUGUUAUUAUUGAAAAAAGCAUGGAAAUGAUGUUAUAGUAGAUUUUUCUUAAAUAAAGUCUUAUGUUCUUGAUAUAUUAGUGAAGGGAAAUAAGUAAAAAUGAUGGGAAAUAUUAUAGAGAAAGGGAAUUAUGGAGUUAUAAACUUAGUAAUCAACAUCUUGCACUAAAACAGUUUUGGAUAGCAGCAGUAGGUUAAAUUUGAAAAAUUACCAUAAAUUAUGGAAAUCGAAUUAGAGGAUGAAAAAACAUGGAAUUAAAUCUUAUUAAGUAUAGUUUCUCAUAGAAGAAAUGUUGUGAGACAAGGUCAGAAUGAAUUAGGGUUCCCCUAUUCUGACUUUGGAAAAUCAUCAAAAAUUGAAUAAAAAUAAUUAGAGGCUUAAAUUUAUAUUUUUAAAAUCCUUAAUGAGUCUAUUUUCAAGAGAAACAAAUGGUAACAUCAUCUGAAUCCUGUACAAGGAGAUAAUUAAUUUUUAGUGAAGAAUGGUCGGAACUGUCAGACAGCAGAAUAGGGAUGACUUUAAAGAAUAAACUGUACUUAUUGGCUAAACCAAAAAUUCUGAAAAUAUUAUGGUAAGAAUAUAUGUGAGUCUAAUUUUAUAUAAAUUUAGCAGGUCUUAAUUUGGAGUUCCGUAGUUUAAGAUAUAAAUGAUUUAGUGACUAUGACUCAAGUGGACAGCUUUGAAUGAAAAAUAAAUAAAUAGUGAAAUUAUAGAUAAUGUUACAUAUAAGCAUGUUAUAUACAUUAAGGAUGUGGAAUGGAGAGGAGGAGGAGGAAAAUAAAUGAUUAUUCAACUAGCAUGAGUUCUCAUUAAAAAUGGUCAAUUUGCAUGUUUUAGGUUCAAGGACUAAAUUGAAUAAAAGUAAUAUUUUAAGGGUAAAUUAGUAAAGAUGUCAAAAAGUAAUUAAAUAGCAUGAAAUGAAUUGUUUUAUUAUUUAAAUUAAUAAAUUGAAUGAAAUAUUAAUUUAUAUCAAGAUUGCGUGGAAAUUCGAGAAAAAUGAAAAAUUACCAAAAUGUCCUUGAAUUUUGGUAUUUCUGUAAUUUAGCCUGGUAAGUUCGUGUAACUUGAAUUUUAUUCUUAGAUGAUUGAAAUAUAUAUAUUGGAUUGAGAAAUUGAUUUGAAUUGUGAACAAGAGAAAUUGUGAAUUGAAUGAAAUAGAAAUGAAUCUUUGAAUUACAUGAGUAAAUAUUGGGUCUCGUAGGCCCUGUUUAUUAAGAAUAUAAAAUUUUGAGGAUACGUUGUAAAGAAUUAUAAAAGCACGUUAAUAAUUUGAGAGUUUUAAUUCGAAUAAAAUUUUGUAACUCGGUUUAAUACGUAUGCAAAUUUAUGUCUUCUAGUAAUGCCUCGUACCCUAUUCCAAUGUCGAAUACGGGUAAGAGGUGUUACAAUGUGACAUCGCCAAAUUCGACCAUAACGUUUAGACCGGGUUUGGGGUGUUACACCUCGAGUCCUCUAAUGAGGAGAUUUUUUACUCAAACCUCUCAGGGAGAGUGGUAAUAACUUUCUCAACAACCCUGCUGUCACUAAAAUCUUCUCCAAUGAGUCUGAUAUUGUUAAUAGUAGCCAUGAUCCUAUCAGAAUAUUGCUUGAUAGUCUCUGACUCCUUCAUUUUCAAAUUCUCAAAUUCCCUUCUAAAGUUGAUUACUUGUUGCUAUCUUGUCUUGUCUGAUCCCAAGAACUCCUUUUUCAGCCUAUCCCAUGCUUGUUUGGGUGAAUCACAGGCCAUAAUCCGAGUGAAGAUCACAUCAGACACCCCAUUCUGCAGGCAAGCCAUGGCUUUGUGCUUCUUGGCUCGCUCCUCACUAUGCUGCCUCAUCUGUGCAAUAGUUGGAUUUGCCCUCAAUGGAGGUGGUUCAACAUCACUUUCAACUACACUCCACAAAUCAUGUGCUUGGAGGUAAGUUUUCAUUUUAACUACCCAAAUGUGGUAGUUCUCUCCAGCAAACACUGGUGGUGGAGGAGGUGUAAAGCUCAUGUUGCUAAAACAAGUUUGACAAAAUUGAUUUCUUUUUAAGUUUGUUUUAAACAGAAAGGCUUAAACAACAACAGAGGUCCUCAAAGACAAUAGGCUCUGAUUACCAUUUGUUAGAACAAAAUGGCAGCAAACAUGAGCAAACACAAUCAACGAGUAAAAAAAAAGAAAACUGAUGAGCGAAAUUAUAACUGAAAGAAAAAGUUAUCCAUUUCAUUCAUAAAUUUGAAAAUAUAUUGAAGUUACAAACUGAUUAGUCAGUUACCUAAACUUGUAACUGCUCCCACUAAUUUGUCUAAUUGAUAACUUAAGUAAUACAAAAGCAAAGCUAAAAAAAGUCAGCUAUUACAAAUCUAAAAUUUACCAACUUUAGAUAUCAAGUUACAUGCUAACUUGAUCACAUUACAAAAGAACAAAAUCAAACAAAGGAAGUAGACUACUUCUAGUUCUGUCUCGAUGCUGGCAUGCUAGCUGAUCUGCUGCUGCUACUGCUCUUGGUUACUUGUUGCAUUGCAGUCCAUUGCUUAACAGAAGUGUAGGUGGUCAGAGGAAAAUGGUGAAGGUAAAAUGGAAACAGAUUUGUUUACCAAAGGAUAAGGGGGCGCGAGAGUGAUGGAUAUCAGGGCUAAAAAUAAGUCUAUCAUGACCAAAUGGUGUUAGAGAUUCACGGUGGAUAGAGAAGCUUUGUGGAUAAAAAUUAUUGUUGUAAAGUAUGGUUCCCCUGUGCAACAUUGGCAUUUUAGAACGAGCAAUUUGAAAGAUAUGUCGGUAGUUUGGAGGGGUAUUGUGGAGAAUGCGGAAGAUUUAAAAGUGACUAAAUGGAUGGGGAAUGAGUCUUUUCGUUGGUUUGUGGGGAAUGGCAAUUCGAUAUUAUUUUGGGACGAUAUUUCGUAUGGUGAUAGUCCUCUGAGAGUGUAAUUUCCAAGGCUGUUUUGUUUAGUCUUGAAUAAGAAAGGACUAGUAAAAGAUUUUUUUGAUGUCGAAUGGGUUUAACGAGGUUAAUUGGGCUGAUUUCUUUUCUCGUCCGUUAAUGGAUAGGGAGAUUAAUAUGAUUACUCGUUUAAAGAAAGCUGUUAGCAGUAUUGUUUUGUUACCUGAGGAGGAAGAUCGAUUAAUCUGGAUUCAUGAUAACAAAUGGGUGUUUUCGAUGAGGAAAUUAAUAGAAUUAUUGAUCAGUGAAUGUGUGGUAGACAUAAGUUUCACUUUUGAUAAAAUCUGAAAGUUAAAAGAUGCCUCCUAGAGUGAGAAAUUUCCUUUGGGUGGUUUCAAUUGAUCGUCUUCCUACUAAGGACUUCCUCAUUAGAAGAGGUGUGAAGAUUAGUCAAAUGGAGAUUGGUUGCCCUUAGUGCUACAGUGAACCGGAGACAGCAGUGCACCUUUUCUUCCAUUGUAAAUUCAUUGUGGGUUUUUGGAGAAAAUUUUUGAAUGGUGGGAGGUGAAAUGGAGGCCAAUUGAUGGAUUCUCUACUUUUUUUUCUCAUUUUGUAAUAAUGUCUCUUAUACAGGAGUGGUUAAAAGUUUAUGGAUGAUCUCAGUGUCAGCGGCUUGCUGGUCGAUGCGGUUAGUGAGGAAUGAGUUGGUGUUCGUUAGAAAGUAGCCUACAAUGUCUAGCUUGGUUUUUCUUUCAAAGAUUCGGGCUUUGAUGUGGAUCAGAUCGGUGCAUGAAGAAUUAAAAGUGGAUGAGAAAAUUUAGUGGGUCUGUCCAUAUAGAAGCUGGAGUGAUAUUAAAAAAUCUAGAUUGAAUGGUAGGUUUUGGUGCCCUCCGAGUCUUGGUUGGGUAAAAUUUAAUGUUUGUAGUGUGGAGAUUGAGGAUGAAGUUGGGUGUGGAGGGGUGUUAAGAGAUUCAGACGGGAUGGCAAGGGCAUUAUCUUCUGGUCUGUUUGCAGCGAAAGACUCCCUUACUGUGGAGGUGGGGGCGAUUAGCUUGGCUUUGGAUGUGUUCUUAGCAAUGGGGUGGAAAGGUAAAUGCUCUUUAAUCAUCGAGGUUGGAUCCAUUGAGGUGUUUAAUUGGGUAGAAAACAAAGGUUUGAGACUGUGGUUGUUGUUUUCUUUCUUUAAAAAAGUUGAAAUUAGGUUGUCUAGAAUUGGAAAUAUUUCCUUUUUGAAAGCAGAUAAGCACGGCAAUAAGAUGGCAUUUGUGCUGGCGGUUUCUAGUCUGAAAAGGCCGGGAAUGUUUAAGGCAUGAUGGUGAUUUUAGGUGUGAUGUUGUUGUGUGUUUAUAGGUGUAUUUGUAAAUUGUUUAGUGGUUUAAUGGGGUGUUUUGUGUAGGUUUUAUUCUGGUUUGAGGAUUGUUUAACAGAUGGGGUUUGUUUGGGUUUUUGUAGGUUUGCUUGCUGUAAUCUGUCUGUGUUUGGAUUAUUGUUUCUUGGGUUUGGGUCUUCUUGUAUCUGUUGUAUGUUUAGCUUUUUUAUAGCUUUGAAAGCUGUUGCACCUUGAUUAUGCGAAAAAAAAAUAGCAGACCAAAUGAUAGAGUGACCUCAUUUUUCUUCCUUUAUGUCUUAUAUUGUGUAUGAUAUAAAGUCAAUAUUUGAAUGGAGCAUUGGUUAGUUUUUCGCAAUGAAUCCUGGACAAUAUUCCUUUGUUUGAAGUUGUGGAAAUACAUAUAUAUUGUAAGCUUUUGGUUUGUGGGAAUGCCGCCACUUUGUUGUCAAGAUUUGCUGCCCAACUUUCGCAUUUUGUAUGUGUGAUAGUGGGUUUUUUUAUCUAAAUAAUACAAAAAAUAAAAUUAAUAACUGAAAUGGUAUGCUCAUAAGAUUAUUUACUAAAAUGGUAUGGUUUUACUAGUGUCUGCUUGUCAAAUUGGCGGCACUAGACUGAAAUGUAAUGAUCUGAAGUAUUUAAGGACUUGAUAUGCAAAUUUUUCAUUUUGAGUGGCUGCUAAAAAAGGUGAAGGGUGCCACCUAACAGUGUGGCAGCACCAAACCUUAAAUGUGGCUAAUUGUCUUGUAAGCCCUCCUUAUUUAUUAUUUUAUUUUUAUUCCCCUUCAACUCACUAUAUUGUAUUUAAACAAGCCCUUAACCUAAUUUUGUAGUUAAAUAAGCCCUUAACUUAUUAUUUUUACUCAUAAAAUCCCUUUAUUUUAAUGUUAAAGUAAAUAUAUUUUACCCAAAGUAAAGCUAUUUAAAAAAAUAUAAACUAAUUCACAUUUUAUGUUGAUGUGAAUUUUAUGAUAAUAGAUUAUUAAAAUAAAAAAAUAAAAUUUUAAAAUUUCUUAAGAGUGCUUAUAUACAUGAUAUUCUUAACUACUGUUUGAAAUUUUUUAUUAUUUUUUAGAUUUUAUGUUGAUGUUAAAGUGUAUAUAAUUUUUAUUGCAUCAACAAAAAAUUAAGAUAAGAGCUUGAAAUUUAAAAUAUAUUUACUUUAAUAUUAAAAUGAAGGGCUGAGUAAAAAUUAUUUUUCCAAUAAGAUGAUGGGUAGAGAUAUUGUCAAUAUUAUUGGAUUAAAAAUUAAAUGAGGAUGUGAGAAUAAAGUAAAAGAUACAAAUUAGACGAAAAGUUAUUUGUUUACAUUUUUAAUUAAAAUAAUAUUAAUAUGUCAUGGACCAACGUGUCGAAUAUGCCUCAAUUGAGCAAUAAUAGAUAAUACAAAACUAACGAAAUAAAUAAAUAUAUCUACCUAAAUUACAUUUGAAGUUUUAUUCCAAAUAUUGUUUAGGUAAAAAUAUUUUUAAAUGAUUUUUUGAGAAAUCUCUUAAAUUUCUAUAUAAUUAAAAGUGAAAUAAAAGUAAAAAAAUUAAAAUUAAAAUAUUUUUUUUCAGAACAUGAAUAUUAAAUCAUAUCUAAUUACCUAAAUGAGAAAAUUAUAAAUUCAUUUAUUUCAAAUAAAUAAUUUUAAAAAAUCAAAUUUAUGAAAAAUUAAACCAAAAUUUCUUAUAUAAAUCAUUUACUUUAUUUUUUUUAAUAAUUCUCAUAUAAAUAAAAAUACAAGGAAAUAACUUACAUUAGAAUUAUCUUAAAAACUAAAGUUUUUAGGCACCAAUAAAAUUUUGCCACAUCAUUAAAUUUUUAAGACAUAAAAUUAUUAUUGUUAUUAUACACUCAUCCAUAGAAAAAUUAUUUUAUGGACCAUUCCCACUACAUUAUUUAUGGCCCAUUUCGAAUUAUUUAAUAACAUUUCAUCAAUUUUUCCAUGUGGUUAACACAUAAUAUUUGUAAUUUUUUUACCUUUGAACCCCAAACCUAAAACUAUGAUCAUUAAAUCUAGAAUCUCAAACUUUAAAUCUAAAAUCUUAAAUCCAAAAUCCUAAACUUGAACACUGAACUCGUAACCCCAAACCUUGAACACUAAAUCUAAACUUGAAUCCAAACCCUUAACCCUUAACCCUUGAACCAAAAUCUCGAACCUCAAAUCCGUAACUUUGAACCCUUAAACCUUGAGCCUAUCUUGAAACCCAAACCCGAACCUUAAACCUUAAAUCUUGAAUCUAAACCUUGAACCUUGGGGUUCAGGGUUUAAAAUUUAAGGUUCACGAUUUGGGUUCAAGGCUCGAAAUUCAUGGUAAAAUAAUUACCAAAACUAUGUGUCAAUAACAUAGAAAAAUUGCACAAAAUUACUAUUUUUAAAAAAAAUUGGCUGCAAAAAAUAAAAAAAUAUAUUAACUUAUGGAAAAAAGCAAAAUGAUUAAAUUUUGAAAAAGAAAAAAAUGAUUGUUUAUAAUUUAAAAAAUUAUUUAUUUUAAGUAAUUUAAUUAAAGUUAAAUUAAGUUUGAGAAGAUAUUAGAUAUAGAUGACUGUAUAAUAAUACUUUAUUAUCUUUAAAAUUUAAUGACGUGAUACUAAUUUAUUUGUGCCUAAAAAUAAUACUUUUUAAGAUAAUCUUAAUAUAAGUUAUUCCCAAAAUACAACUCCUAUUCCUAUACAAUAAUUAUGUGGUUACCAUAAUUAGGGAGAAAAAUCAAUGCAGUGGGGCCUAACUUUUGGAGUAAGAGAGGAUUUCAAGUUGUGUAUAAAUUCCAAGGCUUUGGUUGAUUGAAAUGCAGGAAGAUAUCAAGUGAGUGGUUUGUUGAUUUAGAGAAGAUGGAGGCUAAAUCGUUGUGGGUAUUACUCACUACACUUCUGUUCAUCAUACAAGGGUGGCGACAGACUGAGGGUUGCUUGGAGCAGGAGAGAAUUGCUCUCUUCCAACUCAAAUCCUUCUUCAAUCGCCUUUACAAAUUGGAAAACUGGGCGGAUGUGAAGGGUUCAAAUUGUUGCCAAUGGGAAAGAGUUGAGUGCAACAUCACUAGUAAACGAGUAACAGGCCUUGAUCUUUAUUUCACACGUUAUUGGGAUAACCGUGAAAGAAGAUCAGAUUUAUCUGGGUAUCUCAAUGUCUCUUUAUUUCUUCCAUUUGAGGAAUUGAAGAGCCUUAAUUUGAGUGAAAAUAAUAUCGCAGAUCUUGUAGAUAACCAAGGUUCGUUGCUUUUCUCUCUCUCUCAUUUCCGAUUAAUCCUUGAAAUUUAAUUUAACGUUUAAUAAUUAAUUUGUUUCUUUUAUUUUUCUAAACUAAGACACUCAUGACCAAUAACUUUCUCUUGCAUGCAGUAUCUUUAUCAUCUGUUUUCAACAACUUAGAAAUCCUUGUCUUAUCCGGCAAUAACUUCAAUGACAGUGUGUUAUCAAGUAAGCUUCCAUCUCUCAAUUUCUAUCUAUAUCUAGCAAUUAAUUGUAAGCUUAUACAAAAAAAAAAUGAAAUGAAAGUGAUAGGGUUCGAUCAUACCAACUUACAAUUGAUUGCUACAUUCUCUAUUAAUUUAUUUUAAAUUUCUUUUAAUUAACAGACAACAGGUUGAAAUAAACAAAUUGUUUCCCUUAUUUGCAUACAUUUAAACAAGUUAAAGCAUGUAUGUACUUAUUAUAAAACUUGCAAUUACUUGUCUCUAAUAUUUAAAGAUUACAGAUUUUUUAUAUAAUUAAUAGGAAUAACUUACAUAUGGUCCUAAAAAUUAAAGUUUUUAGGCACCAAUAAAAUUUUGUCACCAUUAAAUUUUAAAUGUAUGAAAUUAUUAUUAUACACUUAUCCAUAGAGAAAUUAUUUUAUGAACCUUUCUCACUUCAACAAUUUUUUUCAUGCUAUUGACACAUAAUUUUGAUAAUUUUUUUACCCUAAACUUUAAACCUAAAACCCGUAACCCUGAAUCUUUAAACCAUGAAUCUCAAACUCAUAACCUGUAUCCUUCGCUAUUUGAAGGACUGGGUGAAUGGGAAAGAGUUGAAUGCAACAUCACUAGUGAAAGAGAAAUAGGGCUCCGUCUUUUUUCCAUAUGGGUAUCUCAAUAUCUCUUUUUUUCUUCCAUUUGAGAAAUUGAGAAGUCUUGAUUUGAGUGGAAAUAAAAUUACAGGCUCGUUACUUUUCAUCUUUUCAAUCACCAAUUAAUUCCUGAAAUUUUAUUUAACGUUUUAUAGUAACUCGUUUAUUUAUUUUUCUAAAUUAAGACACUCAUGAUCAUUAAUUUUCUCUUACAUGCUGUAUAUUGAAAGUUGGAAAUAUAUUCUUCUUUUAAAAUUAAAUAUCCUACAUUACUUUUUUUUAAUGUGAAUAAGCCUCCAUAUGUGUUGAUAUAUUUCAUUGCUCUUUGAUAGAAUUGAAGAGUUUGACAAAGUUGAAGACAUUAGAUUUAAGCGACAAUAGAAUCAUAAGCCUCCGCCACUUUGAAGGUAUAUCUGAAUUUGAUAUUCUAUAUGCAUUCAAUUAAGUUUUAAGGCGUUAGACUUAUAAAGGCCUUCAUCUGUGUUGAUAUAUUCCGUUGCUUUUGAAUAGAAUUGAAGAGUUUGACAAACUUGAAAACGUUAGAUUUAAGUUAGAAUAGAACCGAAAGCCUCGAGCACUUUCAAGAUAUAUUUAAAUUUGAUCUUCUUUAUACAAUCAAUAAACCUUCAAACCGUUAACCCAAAUAAAUUGUCCUUUGAAUUGCAUGACAUAAAUCUUUUACAGGUGAGAAAGUGCAACCGAUGAUGAAUUUAGAAGUGCUUGAUUUGUCUGGUAAUCUCUUGAAGAACAAUGAUCUAACAUAUCUAAAGGGGUUAUCAAGUUUAAAGUCCUUGAACAUUGGAGGAAACCAAUUGGAAGGGUCAAUAGAUAUUAGAGGUAUGUAAAAUUUCAUAAAAUAAAAAUAAUAAGCUAUAUGUAAAUUACAAUUUCAUCAACUUUUUUAACUGUUAAAAAAAAUUAUAUCCAAAUGUAUUGGUUCAUGUGGGAUUUAACUUUUUAGGUAGUAAAAUGAAAGUAUAUUUUAGCCCUCAAUUUAAUUUUUCGUCACUUUUAAUCUUUAAAUUUGUAUUUUUUGUCAAAUCACCUAAAAUAGAUGGAAAAGUUAGACAUUUGUUAAUUUUGCUAAUGUGGCAUACAUGUGGAUUGCCACAUAGAUGACACAUCAAUAUUUAAUUUAUUUUUUAAAAUUUAAGUAUUUUUUAUUUUAUUCUAUUUUUUAUUUUUUAUUUUUAAAAUAUUUUUUGAAAUUUUAAAUUUAAAAAAUUAAUUAAAUAUUGAUGUGUCAUCUACAUAACAAUUCACCUGCAUGCAAAAGUAAAAAAUUAAAUAGAGUUCUAAAAUAACAUUUUUUAUAAAGUUGUAGAGUCAAAUGAAUUAUUAUUUUUAAAAUGUAUUUGAUGACAUUUUUAAUCGAGGAAACUAGUUGAAUUUCAUGAACCAAAAUUAUUGAUUUUUGUGAUAUGACUUAAUUUGACUAACAAAAGAGAUAUUUGAUUGAUUUGAAUAGUAUUGAAUAAUCUGACAAAGCUAAAGCUGUUGGAUUUGAGUGACAAUAAAAUUGAGAGCCUCCAAUCUUCCCAUGGUAUGUGUUGAUAUGUUUUACUUUAUCAUAUUCUUAUAUAUAAAUACCAAUAUCUCAUUUAAUAUUCCAUUAGUAAUAAAUUUGUUUAUCUCAAUGCUUUGUAGAUGGUGAGAGGCCACUUAAUUUGUCCAAUUUUGAAGAGCUUUAUUUGGAUUCCAACUCCUUCACAAAUAGUUUAUUGGCACAGCUUAAUGGUUUUUCUAAUCUAAAGUCAUUGAGUAUACGCGGUAACCAGCUUAACGGAUCAAUAAAUAUUAAAGGUAGAAUUACUUAAUAUAUUUAAUCUUCUUUUAAACGAGACAAAUUACUUGUUGAGUUAUUGCAUUCAUUCUAUGUGAUUUAAUUUUAAAUUUUAUUUAUCAAUCUUCAUAGAAUUAUUAGAUGCAUUGAGCAACUUAGAGCCAUUGAGAAAAAUAUUUUAAUUUUAAAAAAUGUAUAAAUUUUAUAUAUUAUCUCUUAAAUCAUUUAAAUUAUAAUGAUAAUUUUUAUAUAUUAAAAUUAAUAUAUUAUCUCUUUUAAAAUUAUAUUAAUAUAUUAAAAAUAAUUUAUAAAAUAAAAAAUUGUCUAUUUAAUAUAUAAAGUAAAAUAUAUAUACCAAAAUAAUAGUAUUUCAAUUUCAAAUUUUUUUUGUUAUCAAUUCUUUUAAGAUUUUUUUAGUAUUAAAUUAAAAAGUUGUAUUUUAAUCAAUACAUACAAUCAACCUAAGGGAAAGAAACUAGUUAAUAUAUAUGACCAGCUUUGUAGAUGUGAGAAUUAAUUAUUUCUAAUAGUAACAUCUAUAAAUUAUAUAGUACAAUCUUUACUAAAUUAGUAAUUAAUUCUAUUUUCUAAGUGAAAUAAUAAAUAACAAAUUUUAGUUAAUACAUUAUUGUAAUAAUUUUAUAUAAAAUAUAUUAAUCAUAUUUUAUUAAAAGAAAAUAUUUUUUAAUAAAUGAAUUUCGUUAAAGAUACAAUCUGAAUCUCGUUAAUUAAUAUUUUUAUUAAUAUAUUAUAAUUUUUUAAUUUAAAAUUUUUUAAAAAUUCAAAUAUGAUUUAAAUAUUAAAUCUUGUUAUAAAUAUAUCACAAUCACUUAUCUAUAACAUUCAAUAUUUUGACAGACGAAUGGAGUUGUUAUAUGGAAGUUGAAUAUAACUAAAUUUCUGUGAUGAUUACUUUAUUCGACUGACAAAAAAUGCAUUGGAUUGAUUUGGAUAGUAUUGAAUAAUCUGACAAGGCUAAAGACGUUGGAUUUGAGUGACAAUAAAAUUGAGAGCCUUCAAUCUCCCCAUGGUAUGUGUUGAUAUGUUUUACUUUAUCAUAUUCUUAUAUAUAAAUACCAAUAUCUCAUUUAAUAUUCCAUUAGUAAUAAAUGUGUUUAUCUAAAUGCUUUGUAGAUGGUGAGAGGCCACUUAAUUUGACCAAUUUAGAAGAGCUUUAUUUGGAUUCCAACUCCUUCGCAAACAGUUUAUUGGCACAGCUUAGUGGAUUUUCUAAUCUAAAGUCAUUGAAUAUAAGGAAUAAUCAACUUAAAGGAUCAAUAAAUAUUAAAGGUGAAAUUUCUUAAUAUAUUUAAACUUCUUUUAAAUGAAACAAAUUACUUGUUGAGUUAUUACAUUUAUUUUGUGUGAUUUAAUUAAAUUCUAUUUGUCAAUCUUCACAGACCUAAAUGCUUUGAGCAACUUAGAGAAGCUAGACAUGAGCAAUAAUGAGGUGAAAGAAUUUGUGCCCACAAAGAAUAAAGGUAUAUGUAUCAACUAAAGAAAAUCUUAAUAAUUAUUUGUCGUUAGAUAUCUAGUGAAUUGAUGCCAACCACUAAUUUGACUCUCAGAAAAUGAAAGUUUGGAGAAGCUAAAGGUUGCUACAUUAAACAAUGUGUUCAUCAAUGGGACUGUUUCUCUAAUGCAACUUCUGGAGACAUUCUCAUCUGUUAAUACCUUAUAUUUGAGAGACAAUCACUUCAAUGACACCAUAUCUACUCAAGGUAUAAUAUAUAUGUGCGUGAAUAUAUAGUUUUAAAAAUAUUAUUUACUUAACAUCAAUCAUCUAAAUAACUCUUAUAAAUUUGUAAAGAUCAAUUGCAUGUGUCGAGCAAAAUAGAGGAAUUGGUGUUGGAUGGUUCAUAUAUCAACAACAACAUUCUUCAAGGCAUUGGUGUAUUGGCGUCUCUUAAAAUUUUAUCUUUGCGUGGUUGUGGGUUGUCUGGGACAUUAUCUACUCAAGGUAAAUUAAUAAUUAUGACAUAAUUAUUUAGGCAAUCUCUUGAUUAGUUAUUUUUUAUCCUCUUAGAUAACUAGAAUAACUUGCACAAAUUUUUUUUAAAGGGUGGUGCGAUUUAUGGAAGCUUGAGGUGUUGGAUCUUGGUGAAAAUGCUAUUGAGGGAACACUCCCUCCAUGUUUGGCUAACUUGUCAUCUCUUGAUUAUUUGGAUAUUUCUGAUAAUCAAUUCACCGGGAAAGGUGCCUCCACUGCUCUAGCCAAUCUCACUUUGCUUAGAUUCAUUUCUCUUUCACAAAACCUAUUCGAAGUUCCAUCAAUUUUCAUAUCAUUUGCCAACCACUCACACCUCAAAUUCCUCUUUAGUGAUCAAAACAAGUUAGUCAAAGAACCUACCAUUCAAACAUGGGUCCCAAAGUUCCAACUAAAAGUCUUCCGUUUGUGGAAUUGUGCAACAAAGGAACUCCACAUUGAAAUUCCAAAAUUCCUCUAUUACCAAAAUGACUUGAGUUUUAUUGAUCUUUCAGAUAAUAAUUUUGGAGGGAAUCCUUUUUGGUUGUUAGAGAACAAUACAAGAAUGGGAGCAUUUUUAAUGAAGGGUAACUCUUUUAUGGGCCAUUUCAAUAUCCCAUCUCAUCUGAAUCCAAACAUGUCCAUUGUUGAUAUAUCUGACAACAAAAUACAAGGUCCAAUUCCAGCAAACAUUUGUUCAGUCUUUCCACAACUAGCUAGGUUAAACCUAUCAAGCAAUUUCCUUCAAGGUAAUAUUCCUCCUUGUUUGGGUAAUUUGAAGACUAUGUUGAUGAUAGAUCUGUCACAUAAUCAGCUAUAUGGAGGAAUACCAGAAAUGUCAGCUCAAAGUGACUCAUUGAUGUUUCUUAGGCUAUCAAAUAAUCAUCUAAGUGGGAAGAUAAGCCCAACGAUCUUUUGUUCAUCUUCAUUACAAUUCUUAUAUUUAGAUGGCAAUAAAUUUGAUGGAAAUAUACCUAGCAUUGAUAUCUCAACUUUCCCUUAUUACUCCCUUAUUGAUAUAGAUUUAAGUAACAACAAUUUGUCUGGAGAGCUACCAAGAUGGAUAUGGAAUGUGUCAAAUUUACAAACAUUGGCAGUAUCCAACAACCAGCUCAA